rnacentral:lncRNA from 1 species
UCCACGUUUAAGGACAUGACCUUGUAAUUUCAUUUUUAUCUUGUCCAUUUGGAUCCUUGUGACCUACUUGGGCUGUAACUAUUUGCUGUUGGUGUUGCUUUAGAAUGAGUGGUUUAUUUAGACAAACUUAACAAGUUUUUGUGUGGACUUGUGUAUAGUCCUAGUUCUAUUUUCCUGUUAUGCUCAUUUGAAAAACAAGAUGGAACAUGUCAUUCCGAUUUAUUAAAUAUAUAAAACAACUUGAGAAUUUCAUAAUUAAGAAAAUAGUUCCUCUGACGAAUUUGGUAUUAUCUUUGUUCCUCAAGGAAGGGCCAGUAUAUGUGGCGGUUGGCUGUUGGCUGCAAGUGUAGAGUCGGCUGCCUUAGGUGGCAUGGCUCUUGCCAAUCAUGUAAGCAAGAAUAUGAUUUUCUUUUGCUUAUUUGUUUUAUUUUGUGCAUAUAACUGUAUAUUUCAUGGUUGACAUAAAGUAAAUAAAUAAAUAAUUCUAACACAACCUUUUUGUCCCUAUAUGGACAUCUAAAUAUAAAUUUGUAGAUUGGCUUCAAUCAGAUUGAAAUAUCAGACAAGCUUAACAACUUAAGCUUGAAGCUUGAUUAUUCUUAUAUAAAUAAUGUAGUUGGUCUACAUAGAUUGCAGACUAUUUAGGAAGUGGUGGAGUUCAUCCUGAGGAACUUGCUGUUGGUUUAUACAAUGAUUUUCAGCCACUUGAAGGACAUGAUACUGGACAAUUUCCGGGUUUUGGAGUCCAUGGGAAAAGAGGAAGUUCAAGCAUAUCAACUUACCUCUUGAAUCCCUAAGCAGGCCAUGAAAAUUUCUAGUGUUUGUCAAGGUAUGCUUCUAUUGAUACACUGUGUAUGGCUUUCUGUUUUUCACUUGGGUUACUGUCAUGUUUAUUCUCUUGUUUUUAUAGCUAGGAUUAAGGAGUUUAUUCACUAGGUGCUGUUGUCGUCAUAGUUGCUAAGCAAGUAUCCUGAAGUUCUUUUUGUGAUACCAUCCAUCACGAAACAUAAUGAGUACAGAUUCAGAGUAAAGGGGAUUCUUCGGGCGGCUAAAUCUUUUCUGAAAACUUGUUUUCAGUAGCAUAGAUGACAGGAAUCGUGAUAUUUCCCGGGCUUUCAUGGAAGAAAAUUUUCUAAUAACUGAAACUCUUUUCAGUUGUCCACAAAUCAAAUUUGAAUAUGAAGCCAAAUAUCAGAUGCAGAUUUACGGGCUUCUUUCAGAGCGACAAAGUUCAAUGCUAUCAGUUGUAUGGGUUCAAGUGAUCGGAGCUUCAUCCAGCUCAAGUACACAUAACAGAGUAUGAAAAAUAUCCAAACUUACCGUUAAAAGUUCUCAAGUUCCAGAUUUGACCUGUAGUCACAUUCAAGUUUAUACAUGACUACUGAUAUACGAAAUGGCAAUAUUAUUCAGUUCCAGGAAAGUUACAUGCAUAGGAUCUGAGUUUCAUUUUAAUUGAAUGGUUUCAAGCUGCAAUAUAUUAUAUAUAUAUUUUAUAAUUAAUGGAGUUUGCAUUCCUCAUUACAGGAUAAGAAAGGAAGAUUAAUUCUCAGUUGGAAAAGCAUUGAAACAAGCUUCUCAUGCUCAUAAUCAGCUUCCCAGUUGCUCACCACGGUAUCUUUUCCAUAUGCACGUGUUGAUAAAAUUAUUUCUUGGUUAUAUAACCUGGAUAAAUAGCUGUUCGUUGGCAACACAAGCAACAAAAUUACACAAAUUAAUUCCAACAAAAAUAAUAUUUUUACACGAGAUAUUUGGUUGAGAGAAGAGGGUUAAUUAGAUGUUUACUAUUGAGAUCACAAUUUUGAAAUGAGCACAGGCAAUUGAACAAGCUGUUACACAGACCAUCCAGCUGAAGAAAUCAACGACUCUUCGGCAUUCGUAUGCAAGCUCGAAAACCACUGUCCUUCUGCUAAAUUAACUUGAUAGCUAGCAACCAAGACAAGGAGGAGAACCCGGCACAUUUGCAGUUUCUAGUUUUUCAUGCUUGCCAUCUUUUCUUGUGAUUGAAAUGAGUUGAGAUUUAUUUAAAGGUUUUAUCUUAGUAUGCAAUUAAUGGUUUGAAAACAGAUUAUAUGUUAUUACAAGUUAAUUUUUCUGAUAACAAUUGUUGGAAUAGGAUUCUUGUUGUAGUAUAAUUAUUAAACAUGAUUUUAUAAUUAAUGAUUCAUACAUUAAGUAAAAUAGAAACCAGGAUUUGAAAACUACCAUGUUAGUAAAAUCACUUGGAAGCAAAAGCUUAGAAUUAUCAUAUGGUGUGAAAACCGGAAAGUUCUAUGAAAACGGGAAAGUUCUAUGAAGAGAGAUGAAAUUUUCUGAAGUUCAACUGAAAUGAUUGCAAGAUUUAAUCCAACAAUGCAAGAACAUAUUUGACAUAUUAAAACUGAUGAAAAAUUCUUUAUCAUUUUCUUGGAGGUGAUCAAAGUAUUUUUGAAUUAUACUUGAUUGUACUCCAAAUGUAAGACGAAAAAGAAAUCUCUUUUAAUGUGGUUAUUCCAAAAUGGCAGAAUCUACUAUUUUGAAUCAAAGUAUAUCAUUAGAACAAGAAGGAGAGCCAAGGACAUUUUAUUUUGAGAACUACCUGAUAGAGUGCUCCAUUCUUGACAUAGUACCGGCCUUCGUCGUCAUGCCACAGAAUCUGAUCUUCUUUGAGGAAAUGAAUGCUUUGAUGGAAGAAGAUCUUGAGCAAGAAAAAGGCCAGCAUGGAAGAGAGAUGAAGAAAAUCUCCAAUUAUGCAAAUAUGGUCUGAUUGGCCUGUAAGAUAACUAACCAAACUAAUCACUACUUUCAAUCUCAAUCAAAUUCCAAAAACAAUCUAUUUUCUAUUCAAACUCAGGUGGUGAUCGGCUAAAUAAAUUUGUUUGAAAACUACCGAACAAAGCUCUAGGGAUAUAGUACAUUGUUUAUUGAAAUUGAAUACGUAGACAGAAAUAUAAGAGCAUCUUGUUGAAAUUUGUUUGAGAUGUAGUGAUUGAUUUGGUAUAACAUAUGUAUCCAUGUCCAGGAUGAAGCUUGGCCGAAACUAAGUAGGUUAGAAUAAUAUGAGCUGACUUUCAAUCUAUGCCAUUGAUUCAAUGACUUUAGAUAUGUCCGUGAUAUAAACUAUUAAAAUAAUUAAAAUUAUGUAUUUUAUUUCUUUAAUUUUAUGGUAUUAGUUAAUUUUGAACUAGUCAAAAGUAGUUGCACUUAUUUUGUGGAACUACAUGUAAUUAGUGGAGAAUUAUGUGAGAACGUGCUUAGUGUCACUAAUUUUUAGGUUGUAAUCCUAAAUAAGCUUUAUUAUAUAAAGCUUGAUGUUAUUCAAUAAAAAGUAUCAUAAGUUUAUUAUUUUGGCAACAUAAAAGUUGUAAUUGGGAGUUUAUUGGUUUCUCGAAUAACCAAUACUUAUUUGGAGAUUUGGAUUUGUUCGAAUUAACCCCAUUUAUCAUCUAAUUUUUCUAUUUCAUUUGAUUUCUUCUUAUAAACUUUAGUGCUCGUAUCAGUCCACAACUCAUCAUGCUGAUAAUGUCCUAUCUGUGACUUGUAAAAUUUCUCUUAUGAGUAUUACAUAAGCUGUUAUGAAAGAGCCUUUAUUAGAGGAGUUGAUUCUGUCUCAUGGAUGGCAAAUAACUCAGCGACGCUUUUGAGUCCUCAAAGUGAUGGUUCUCAUUGUUGGACCUUCUUCAGCACUGCAGCUUACGGGAAAGGAAACAAGGUUCCACUGGUCAGUUUGUUUGUAAAUGCAUGUCUUGUUAAAUACUUAUGAUUAUAUGCUGGCAUUGUCACACUUUUCUAACCAAUAGGCUAGGCCUCUAGUUGAAUUCAUUCAUCCUUCAGCUUGCAAUCUCAAGCUAUUGAAACGUGGUUUUUUUUUACCGCAUAUUUAUAUAGAGUUUGCAAUAAGAUUAGCUUUAUCUUCCCUUUUGUACUUGAAUCAAUAUGACAUUUCAAAUUUUACAGCAAAAUUAUGUGCUGCGUUGAUAUGUAUAUGUUGCAAUUUAGGCUUUUUGCAAGAUUUUUACGAUUGUUUUCAUAAUUUAUUAGGAAAAUAUGCCAACUGCAACAGCAUCGAAGGUGAAAACAGGUAUGCUCGAGGGUGUUGGAGCCGUUGCUUGGCCUGCCGAUAGGUCUUGUCGGAAGCCCAUUUAUACUUGAGUCCAAUUAUGGUAAGGAUCCACUUUUAUGGACAUGACCUUGCAAUUUCAUUUAUAUCAUGUCCCAUUUGGAUCCCUUGUGACCUACUUGGGCAGUAACCAUUUGCUGUUGCUUUACAAUGAUUGGUUCACUUGGGCAAGCAUCAAGUAUAAUAUUAAAACAUAGGUAACAAACAAGAUUAGGCUCAACUCGAAUUCUUCAAACUAGUGAGAUAAGACCCUGCAAAACCUGAGUUUGUCAACCACAGCGAUGUUGGAAAUAUUCAGGUUCUUUUUACUGUGCUUUGUUGUAUAUAUCAGGCGAAUAUGGCUCGGGAGGACAAAUGGGAUAAGACCCUGCAAACCAAAUAUAUGAGGCAAGCCCAAGAACAAAUGACAGCUAUAGUCUCUUUGUUUGCAUUUGGGAAAUAGUACACGAAACAAUAGUCUCUUCGUUUGCAUAUUUUUCCAACUCGCUGUAAUUUGUAUAUACAUUGUGGGGUUUAAAAAGUUCUCAAACUGAAAAAAGAAAUCAUGCGUUGAUUUAAUUGUAUAUGUCUUUGUUCGUCUUUUAUUGUAAUUCUGAUUAAGAUUAAAUUUGUAAAUCAAAUAAAUUACUGUAUGUUAAAUAUUUGUUUUUCCUUUUUCCAAUUUUAAGGAUGGAACUUUGAUUACUUAUAGAAUGACAAUCACAUGGAAUUAUCAAUGAGCACCCAUGAGCCGUAUAUCAAAAUUCAAUAGCCCCAGAGCCAAUUAUAAUUUUUCUCAUUGAUAUCUAUUGCUUUUGGGUCUGGGGGUGUUUGAUGUUGAUUGCCGGGAUUGUCAUUGAUAUCUAUUGUUUGAUGCUGAUUGCUCUGGGGCUGUUGAAUUUUUUUGCCCUUUUUUUUUUCAUUCCACACAUCCUAAUAUGCGCACAAAAGAUAUCAAUGAUAUUAAUGACAAUAUCAUAUAUCAAAAUUCAACAGCCCCAGAGCAAUCAGCAUCAAACAAUAGAUAUCAAUGACAAUCCCGGCAAUCAACAUCAAACACCCCCAGACCCAAAAGCAAUCGAUAUCAAUGAACACCCAUGAGCCAUGAAUAAUAUCAAUAAAUUCCUUGGUUGAAACCUCGAAGAAACCCAGAAACCCUUCAAUUCAAACCUCAAAAAAUGUGCCCCGGAUAUAACUCAUAUCAGCGCUCUGUUUUCUGGGAUGAGGAUAAAAACCUCGUUCAUUUCAAGAACCCUCUUCCAUCAGGGAUGAAGAAAGAGGAUGUGAAGGUUGAGAUUGAUGAAGAUGGGAAAUUGCUUAUAGAAACAAGCAAAGGGGUAAGGUCACAUAUUGAUCCUCUCUCUUCAGCUUCUUCCUCGAUGAUCAGAUUCGGAUCCUCUUUCCUAAGCUUCUCGAAGAAAAAUGAAGGAGACACCGCCAGCCCGAUAAUGUCGAUGAAAUUCAACUUCCCAGCAGGUCUUGACCCGAAAGGCUUCAAGACUGCAAUCGAUGACGAGGGGUUGCUGACUCUCACUUUUAAAAAGCUCGUUGCCAUUCAUUCCGAAACGCCCUUCGACCUCAAAAACGACUCCGAGUGGGUGACUGCUAAAGAGAACAACAAGGACAUUGUUCACUUCAAGGCCAAUUUGGCAGCGGGCACGAAGAUGGGGGAUGUGAUGGUUGGUAUAGCAGGUGGUAAUUCCCUUAUCAUAGGUUUGCUGAAGAAAGAGGAAGGGGACACCAAUAUUCUCAAGCGGUUCCAUGGCAACAACUGUUGGAUCUCCGUUUUGCCAGAUGGUGCGAACCCGGAUGGCUUCAAGGAUGCAAUGGAUGAUGCCGGCCUUCUAACUGUCACCUUCACUAAACUGAAGCCAGAGAAGAAGAAGCUGAUGCCAAGCCCAAAGAAGAUACUGGGAUAUUUGGCCUGCUUGUUUGCUGAUAGGUUGCAGGAUAGGUGAUGAGAUGAGUUCAGGAGACUACUAGUAAGCUGGUGUCAAGUAGAUAUUUCCUUCAUGUUCAUGUGUUUUGUUCUGUCGUUUAUCUUUAGCGUUUGAAAGAAACUCUGGACGUCUAGACCAGGUGUUCGUUAAUUUCUGUGUUUGCGUGGUGUUGUAUCUCCUUUGUGUCAGUGAAAUAGAAAGGGCUUUGUCUAAUAAAAAAUGAUAAACGCUGUUGAGCGAAAAAUAAAUGCAUUUUUUUUUUUUUAAUCGUGUUGAAUAUUAAAAAAAAAAAACAAGGCCUGUUUUCAUGCAUACGUGCAGCCACAAGAUAAAGGAGUAACUGGAGAUCGGUCAGGUGAGCCAAUCAUGCUACAGAAUCUGCAAUCUGUGUAUAAAAGAAUUAAAAAGACAAAAAAAAAAAAAAAAAAACUGCUAGCGGUUGGUUACUUUUUUUAUUUAUAAAUGAGUACAUCGGUAAUGGUAUCGGGCCAAUGCUCGAGCCAGAGCCCCACUUUUCUCCUUUAAUAAUCGCUCAUUUCACUAUUUCAGCGCAAUAGAGGGUAGGGUGAUGCUAAGUUACAGUAUUUGUACCUUACAGCCACCUUAGUACAGAAAAACAAAAAGCGGACACAAGUGGGGUUCAUGGUCACUUUGUGAGGGUGCUGUAAGGUACAGAUACUGUACCGUAGCAUUCUCCGAGAGAGUAAAGGCAACUUUUGAAGAUAAGAACGAGAUGACAGAGAAAAUAAAACGACCCAUGUGAUUAUCAGUCCAUAGAAAUCUACACCAAAUUCUCAGGUCUCCGCAGUGACGCGCACACAAAUAUUUCAAGAUUAUGGCAACUUCUGCAACUCAUUCCUUUGAGCUUCAAGGUGGCCAUCGAAAAAAUAACUGGGUAAUAUGACACAACAAAGAUUUACCUUCACCGAACUGAAGCCGGAGAAAAAGGCGGUGUCAAGAUCAAAGAAGAUGCCGCGAGGUUUGGCUGAAGCAGUGCCUGUUUGUAUCUUGAUAGGUUACUAGAUAAGUUGGGGAGACUACUAAUUAGCUGGUGGCAGGUAAGGUAUUUGCUAACAUCAUGUUCCAAAAUGCAAAAUCCUGUAUAGUUUGCUAUUGGAAAAUAGGAAAAAAGGAAAAAAAGAUAUCUAGUUUUACAUUCUACCAUUACAAUGGAUUAGGAAUGGUGAAGAAUCUCAUUUGGUACAGGGCAACCUUUUCAAAAUGCAAAAUCCUGUAUAGUUUGUUGAUAUAUAUAUAUAUAUUUUUUUUUUUCUUUUGUGGGAUACUAGAACUUCAGAAAGAUUGGAAAACUUCAUAAAAUUUCAUACAGAUUUUUUCACUCUAAAUUUUGAGAAAAUGAUAGCUAGAUUACAACUAAGAUUAAUAGCAACUCUCAGCUGCAAACAACUAGAAGGCUGGUACUAAAUGCCAAUUUUGAAAUAGAACAUGAAGCCGUAAGUUCCCAAGUAGUGGAAGGAGCCCAAGGCUCUGAUCAUGUGCCCGUUGAAGAAUGAGCCGGCAAAUCCUAAGCAGUGGCUUGGUUAGGGAAAGCCACCGAAAUGAGUCUCCAUUGGGCAAUUGCCACUACUUAUGUACCCAAACAUGGGUGAUCUAUCCCUGACCAGGAUGAAGCUUGGGCGAAACUGAGUAGGUUAGAAUAAUAUGAGCUGACUUUCAAUCUAUGCCAUUCAUUCAAUGACUUUGGAUAUGUCCACAACUCAUCAUCUUGAUAAUGUCCUAUCAGUGUCUUGUAAACUUCUCUUAUGAGUAUUAAAUAGGUUGUUAUGAAAGAAUUGAAAUCAUCUUUAUAAAUGUAACGACCAGAUAGGGUUCUAGACCUAGAAGAUGAGGUUAUGUUUGUUUCCUUUCUGUUUCUUGUUGAUUGUAGACUGUUUAUUGCUUGUGGCUGCUAUUUACAGUUUGGCUUUGUGCUGUGGUAAUGGUUCCCUAAUGUAAUGGGAGGAAAAUUUUCAAAUUGGCUGCUUGGUUCAUCUAGCUUACCUCUAAUAGCUAGACAAAACGAAGUUAUAUAUACUUUGAAAUAUUAAGUUUUUUUUGUAUUAUUAUCUGUUACAGAGCAUGGUCAGAGCUGUGAGGAUGAGCACACUUGAUAACUUGAUAGCUUACGUGUAAAAGAGUCAGUUAGCUGAGUCAGCUACUUGGUUAACCAAUUGGUUUAGCGUGUAUAGAAUAUAAAACAGAUUUAGUUUACAUUGUAACCAAGUAUAAAUAAAGAGCUGUAAGCACGAUUGUGUGGUUGAGUUUUAUUCAAUAAAUUCCAGAUUCUUCUUCAUAACUUUUCUUCGUUUUCUCAUUGUUUUUCUUACUCUCCAAACACAUAAUUACAGAUUCUUUCAUGGUAUCAGAGCAAUCAAUGAUGAGCUCGAAUCAAACCUCUGGAUCUUAUAGUUUUGUUACUCCUGUGAAACUCGACCAGAAUAACUUCAUUGUUUGGAGAACUCAGAUUUUAACAACGAUUAAAGGUAACAGGUUGGAGAGCUUUAUCAAUGGUGAUCGAGCCUGUCCAGAGCAAUUUCUUCCAUCAGCUGUCACUGGAGCUAUUGAUUCAACAAGAUCAAAGGAUUGAGAAAUUAAUCCAGAGUUUUUAGCUUAGGUGAAGACUGAUCAGUUGAUUCUGAGUUGGAUGAUGUCAUCAAUUCAACAAAAUUUGCUGGCAACGGUGAUUCAUUGCUCUACUGCUAAAGAGCUUCUGGACACACUUACUAGUAUGUUUAUCUCACAAUCUCAGGCUAGAAUAAUGCCUCUUAAAAUGCAGAUUCAAACACUUAAAAAAGGCUCAAUGUCAAUGAUUGAUUAUUUUGCUAAAAUGAAAAGGUUAUCUGAUAGCUUAGCUCUGGCUGGAAAACCUGUUGAAUUGAAUGAUUUUGUUCAAUAUGUUUUGACUGGAUUGGAUUCCUCAGAUUAUGAGUCUCUUGUUACGAGCGUCUUAGCUAGAGGUGACAAGAUUAAUCUUGAUGAGUUUUACUCUUUACUGUUAAGUCAUGAGAAUAGAGUUGAGCAGAAGAGAGGCAAAAUUGCUAGUGAUGUUACUCAUAAUUUGUCAGCUAAUAUGGCAUAAAAACAGUUUAAUUCUGGAAAAAAUGCUGGUGGUAAUCCAAGAUAUAAUAAUAAUAUAACUUAUGGUGGAGGUGUCUAUGGAAAUUUUGCUAAUGGAAAUGGUAUGGGACAAUCUGGUGAUGGUAAUUCAACUAUCAUUUGUCAAAUCUGUUUUAUACCGGGUCAUGGAGCUCACAAGUGCAAGAAUAGGUACAAUUCUGCUUUUGUACCUUCAAGGAAUCAAGCAAGAGGAAAUUUUAAUGGCAAUUUUAGGGCUGGUCAAAGGAAUUUUGGAAGGGGAUUUGGAAAUUCAGGUGGCAGAUUUUUUAAUGGUGCUUAUGGCAGAGGGUUUAAUUCUCAAUUUGGCAAUGUCUUUACUAAACAUAAUGCUGGAAAUUUCAAUUUGCCAAGAGGUCCAGGAUAUCAAAGCUAUGUGAUGUGCUCAGAUCCAGCUGCUUUUUAUGUUACUCAACCUGGUAGCUCCACUAAUGCAAGUUCUUCUGCUUCUGGUUUUGGUUUUACUGGAGAUUACAGUGGCUGCUCUCCUUCCGCACCCACAGUUCCUACUCCUGAGAUGGUUGAAGAUCCCACCUGGUACAUUGACAGUGGUGCAACUAAUCAUAUCACCAAUGAUGCAGGUAAACUUCUUGAACCAAAAUCUUAUAGUGGAAGUGAAAAGUUGCUUGUUGGUAAUGGUUCUUCUCUGCAUAUUAAACAAGUUGGAUCAGUAUUGCUAGCCACAACUACAUCUGAAUCUUUGUUGCUAAGUCAUGUUCUUUAUGUUCCUCAAAUAACAAUUCCAGAUUCUUCUUCAUAACUUUUCUUCGUUUUCUCAUUGUUUUUCUUACUCUCCAAACACAUAAUUACAGAUUCUUUCAUGGUAUCAGAGCAAUCAAUGAUGAGCUCGAAUCAAACCUCUGGAUCUUAUAGUUUUGUUACUCCUGUGAAACUCGACCAGAAUAACUUCAUUGUUUGGAGAACUCAGAUUUUAACAACGAUUAAAGGUAACAGGUUGGAGAGCUUUAUCAAUGGUGAUCGAGCCUGUCCAGAGCAAUUUCUUCCAUCAGCUGUCACUGGAGCUAUUGAUUCAACAAGAUCAAAGGAUUGAGAAAUUAAUCCAGAGUUUUUAGCUUAGGUGAAGACUGAUCAGUUGAUUCUGAGUUGGAUGAUGUCAUCAAUUCAACAAAAUUUGCUGGCAACGGUGAUUCAUUGCUCUACUGCUAAAGAGCUUCUGGACACACUUACUAGUAUGUUUAUCUCACAAUCUCAGGCUAGAAUAAUGCCUCUUAAAAUGCAGAUUCAAACACUUAAAAAAGGCUCAAUGUCAAUGAUUGAUUAUUUUGCUAAAAUGAAAAGGUUAUCUGAUAGCUUAGCUCUGGCUGGAAAACCUGUUGAAUUGAAUGAUUUUGUUCAAUAUGUUUUGACUGGAUUGGAUUCCUCAGAUUAUGAGUCUCUUGUUACGAGCGUCUUAGCUAGAGGUGACAAGAUUAAUCUUGAUGAGUUUUACUCUUUACUGUUAAGUCAUGAGAAUAGAGUUGAGCAGAAGAGAGGCAAAAUUGCUAGUGAUGUUACUCAUAAUUUGUCAGCUAAUAUGGCAUAAAAACAGUUUAAUUCUGGAAAAAAUGCUGGUGGUAAUCCAAGAUAUAAUAAUAAUAUAACUUAUGGUGGAGGUGUCUAUGGAAAUUUUGCUAAUGGAAAUGGUAUGGGACAAUCUGGUGAUGGUAAUUCAACUAUCAUUUGUCAAAUCUGUUUUAUACCGGGUCAUGGAGCUCACAAGUGCAAGAAUAGGUACAAUUCUGCUUUUGUACCUUCAAGGAAUCAAGCAAGAGGAAAUUUUAAUGGCAAUUUUAGGGCUGGUCAAAGGAAUUUUGGAAGGGGAUUUGGAAAUUCAGGUGGCAGAUUUUUUAAUGGUGCUUAUGGCAGAGGGUUUAAUUCUCAAUUUGGCAAUGUCUUUACUAAACAUAAUGCUGGAAAUUUCAAUUUGCCAAGAGGUCCAGGAUAUCAAAGCUAUGUGAUGUGCUCAGAUCCAGCUGCUUUUUAUGUUACUCAACCUGGUAGCUCCACUAAUGCAAGUUCUUCUGCUUCUGGUUUUGGUUUUACUGGAGAUUACAGUGGCUGCUCUCCUUCCGCACCCACAGUUCCUACUCCUGAGAUGGUUGAAGAUCCCACCUGGUACAUUGACAGUGGUGCAACUAAUCAUAUCACCAAUGAUGCAGGUAAACUUCUUGAACCAAAAUCUUAUAGUGGAAGUGAAAAGUUGCUUGUUGGUAAUGGUUCUUCUCUGCAUAUUAAACAAGUUGGAUCAGUAUUGCUAGCCACAACUACAUCUGAAUCUUUGUUGCUAAGUCAUGUUCUUUAUGUUCCUCAAAUAACCAAAAAUUUACUUAGUGUCUCAAAACUUCUAGCUGAUAAUAAUGCUACUAUUGAAUUUCUUGAAAAUUGUUGUUUUGUUAAGGCCAGGAGCUUAGGGACCAUCUUGCUUAAAGGAAUUGCAAAAGGAGGAUUGUAUCAAGUCCAAAUUGCAUCCCAAUCUUCUGAUGAUAGCCCAGUUUCAUUUUGUCAAUCUUCUGUCAAUCACUUUGAAUCUAUGUUUGCUUAUUUUCCUUCUUUGUCUUGUAAUGGUUCUGCUGUCCAGAAUAAUCCUUCCCUUGUCAGUAAUAACUUAUGUAAGUCAGCCCUGAUAGUUAAUGCAAGCACUGCUGACAUCAAUUUGCUUCACAAAAGGCUAGGACAUCCGGCUUUUCAUACUCUAAAAAAUGUAUUGAAGGAUUGUACUGACUUUUCCUUGAAUAAAAUCAAACACUUGAGUUUCUGUAAUGCUUGUCAAUUUGGUAAAAGUCAUCUGUUACACUUUGAUUCUGUUCCAACAAAAACAGUAGAGCCUCUUCAACUCUUAUAUGCUGAUCUUUGGGGUCCUUCUCAUGUUACUUCAACUCAGGGUUAUUCCUAUUAUUUUUCCAUUCUAGAUGAUUUCAGUAGGUUUACAUGGAUCUUUCCCUUGACUGCUAAAUCUGAUGCUCUUCAAGUGUUCAUAAACUUCAAAAACUUCAUUGAAAAACACUUGCAUAGGCAUAUCAAAACUGUCCAGACAGAUUGGGGAAUGGAAUUUAGAAGUUUCUCCAUAUAUCUUGAUCAAUUUGGUAUUCAAUUCCGACAUCCUUGUCCUCAUAUUCAUCAUCAAAAUGGUAGAAUAGAAAGAAAACAUAGGCACAUUGUGGAUAUUGGCCUCACUUUGUUAGCCCAAACAAGUUUGCCACUAAAAUUCUGGUGGAAUGCUUUUCACACAGUUGUGUUUCUCAUCAAUAGAUUACCUACACCAACCUUGAAUAAUAUUUCACCUUAUCAAAAAAUCUUUCAUCAAAAACCAGAUUACAAUUUUCUUAGAACCUUUGGUUGUGCUUGUUAUCCGUACCUCAGGCCAUAUAAUAGGCACAAACUUGAGUUUAGAUCAGGUAGAUGUGUCUUCAUUGGGUACAGCUCUCAACAUAAAGGGUACCAAUGUCUUCAUUCUUCUGGUAGGGUGUACAUCACCAAUCAUGUCAUCUUUGAUGAAAACUCCUUUCCAUAUGUGCCUGGCUCAUACUUUUCUUCUGUCACACAAUCAUGUAAUUCAAAUGAUACAGUUUCCCAUUCGUCCACUAUCUCUACUCCUAUCUUUACUCAUUUUCCAGCACUGCAAUCUCCUCUACAAUCCUCUUCAGCAAGUGGUUCCUCCGAGUUUUCAACAACAAUUCCUAGCCAGGUAAAAUCCCCUUAUUCUUCUUCUCAUACACCACAAAUGUCUGAUAUACAACCUUUAAAUGAUACUCAAUCACCACCACAUAUAAUACCUGCUGCACCACUAAUAGGACAUUCUAUGAUCACCAGAUCUAAAGCUGGCAUUUUUAAGCCAAAGUCUUAUCUUGCUGCUCUUUUAGCCACACUCUCAAAACCUACCUCUGUUUCCCAAGCAAUCACUGAUCCAAAAUGGUUUUAAGCAAUGCAUGAGGAGUAUCAAGCACUUCAAAACAAUCAUACCUGGGUUUUAGUACUACCAUCAACACCUGUCAAAGUAAUUGGCGGCAAGUUGGUUUUCAGAAUUAAAUAUAACUCGGAUGGAACCAUUUCUAGAUACAAAGCAAGACUUGUGGCAAAAGGUUUCCAUUAGACACAUGGAAUAGAUUAUACUGAAAGCUAUAGUCCAGUUGUGAAAGCUUCCGCAGUUAGAAUAGUUUUGAGUUUAGCUGUCAUGAACAAAUGGAUCCUCAGACAGGUAGAUGUAAACAAUGCAUUCUUGAAUGGUUUUUUGGUUGAAGAUGUGUAUAUGGUCCAGCCUGAAGGAUUUGUUGAUCCUACAAAGCCUACUCAUGUAUGCAAACUCAAGAAGGCCAUCUAUGGAUUAAAGCAAGCCCCCCGAGCAUGGUUUGACAGAUUCAAGAAUGCUAUGGUAGAUCAGUGUGGUUUUUUAAACUCUAAGUCUGACAGCUCUCUCUUCUAUAAGUGGGAAAAUAAUCAUAUCUUGCUUGUCUUAGUAUAUGUUGAUGACAUAAUUGUUACUGGAUCUAACUACCAACUAGUGCAGCAAGUAAUUCAUAAUAUGCAGACUACUUUUGCCUUGAAGGAUUUGGGGGAGUUAAGCUAUUUUCUUGGGAUUGAAGUCUCUAAGACAGCAGCUGGAGUUCAUCUAUCUCAAGCCAAAUAUAUAGCUAAUCUCUUCGCAAAACAUGAUAUGGCAAGUUGCAGUCCAGUUCCUACUCUUAUGUCCACAGGGCAUCAUCUCACAAAAGGUUCAGGCUCACCUAUUUCGAAUGCAUCUUAGUACAAAAGUAUAAUUGGGGCCUUGCAGUAUGUGACUCUAACAAGACCUGAGAUAGCAUUCUCAGUUAACAAACUAAGUCAAUUUCUAUCUUUACCAAUGAUAGAACAUUGGGAAGCAUGGAAAAGACUUUUGAGGUAUUUGAAGGGAUCCAUUCAUUUUGGCUUGCAUUUUUAUCAUUGUGGAACUUUACAAGUGAACUGUUAUAGUGAUUCUGAUUGGGCAUGUGACAAAGACGAUAGAAAAUCAGUAGCUGGGUAUGCAGUGUAUCUUGGUUCGAAUUUAGUUUCAUGGUGUUCUAAGAAACAACAAGUGGUUUCAAGGUCCAGUACUGAAGCUGAGUACAGAGCCUUAGCUCAAGCUACAUCUGAAGUUGUUUGGAUUGAAAAUCUGCUUAGUGAGUUGAAAAUCAAACUUGUUGCAGAACCUAUUAUGUGGUGUGAUAAUCAAGGUGCCAUAGCUUUGGCUUACAAUCCAGUUUAUCAUGCUAAAACUAAGCAUGUUGAAUUGGACAUUCACUUUAUCAGGGAGAAAAUAGCGGCCAAAAAGAUUGAAGUGCAAUUUGUUCCAAGUGAGGAUCAAACUGUAGAUAUACUUAUCAAGCCAUUAACUUUUGACCGCUUCCAUUAUCUUCGCAGCAAGCUAAAUGUCCAUCCUGGACAGUUUAGCUUGAGAGGGGAUGUUACAGAGCAUGGUCAGAGCUGCGAGGAUGAGCACACUUGAUAACUUGAUAGCUAACGUGUAAAAGAGUCAGUUAGCUGAGUCAGCUACUUUGUUAACCAAUUGGUUUAGCGUGUAUAGAAUAUAAAACAGAUUUAGUUUACAUUGUAACUAAGUAUAAAUAAAUAGUUGUUAUCUAGCACAUGUUUUAUUCAGUAUCAGCCAUUUAUAAAUUAUUUCAAAGAUUCAUGGUGCAUUUUCCUGGUUUGCAGAGGCUAGAACUAGGUUUUAUAUCGGCCCUUCUUGUCGCAUUUGAGGAUCCCCUUCAACUAGGCAGUGACAUUUGAAGGAGCUUUUAUUAGAGGUGUUGAUUCUGUCUCAUGGAUGGCAAAUAACUUAGUGAAGCUUUUGAGUUCUCAAAGUGAUGGUUUUUCAUUGUUGGACCUUCUUCAAACUAGUGAUACUGGAAUUUUUUGUUUCUGAGUUUGUCAACCACAUCCAUGUUGGAAAUAUUCAGGUUCUUUUUGUUGUGCUUUGUUGUAUAUAUCAGGCGAAUAUGGUUCGAGAGGACAAAUGGGAUAAGACCCUGCAAACCAAAUAUACGAGGCAAGCCCAAGAACAAAUGAGAGCCAUAGUCUCUUUGUUUGCAUUUGAGAAAUAGUACACGAAACAAUAGUCUCUUCGUUUGCAUAUUUUUCCAACUUGCUGUAAUUUGUAUAUACACUGUGGGGUUUAAAAAGUUCUCAAACUGAAAAAAGAAAUCAUGCGUUGAUUUAAUUGUAUAUGCCUUUGUUCUUCUUUUAUUGUAAUUUUGAUUACGAUUAAAUUUGUAAACUGCAUUGAGGAAUUUUAUCGAGACUUUUGAGAAGUGCGAGAAGAAGCUCACACCUACAGAGGGGUGCCGGUUGUCCCACCUCGUCGAAGGGAUGUUAAAGAUUUUUAAUGGGCUAAGCCAACAUGGCCCUCUUAGAUAUUUUGGGCUUUUACCAACAAGUUCCUGGUCACACCCCUCAAACCUCCUUAUCAAACCUUUUUUUUUUAAAUAAAAAUAAAAUCACUAAAUAACUAAAUACAAUUUAAUUUCUUUCUUUAUUUUUAAAUGAAAAUUUAAUUAUAUAUUUAAAUAAAUUGUUAUUUUAACAAAUAUUUUAUUCCUGCCCCAUUUUAUAAUUAUAUUUUGAUUUCAAUAACUCGAUAUAUCAACACACGAUUUUCAAGUUCUUUUAUUUUGACUCGCCAAUCAAUAGGAGGCUGAGAUACUGUUUUUGAUGACCUCAUUACACAUAGAUUGCAGAGUUUGUUGAGAUUGCACGAAUUUGCAAUGAUAAUGUUGUCUUUUUAGCCACUGUGAUAGUGUUUCUGAUGACUUCCGUUCCCUGACAGCAUUGAAACAUUUAGAUGACAUCCUUGAAGGGGAGAAAUUUUCAAGAUUCUCAAGGAGGAAUUUUUUUAGCAGCUUAAAUGGAUUUUUAAAAGCCUCAGAUCAAAUGAAAUGUUCAUUGAAUUGGAUGAAACUACAAUUAAGGUAAAUACGAGCAAGAGAUGCUGCCUUUACUAAAACAUUCCGGUAUGAUAAAAAUUGUUACAAAAACUUUUUAACUUUUGUAACAAACAAUCAAUGGUCCAGGUUACAUCAAAACUAAAAUAAAGAAGCACAACAAAUUCUAUACACAAUUUGUCUUGAAGUCCCUUGCUGAGUCACCAUGCUUACAACAGUGUCGAUCUUUUUAUUUCAAGCUCUUUCUUCUUGAUGCUUUGAUAUCAGCCAUUGGAUCACUGGGUGAUGGUUGUCGAAGCCAGCAAAAAUAAAUACCUACUCUAAAUAAAUUGUGUAUAGUGAUUGAGCAGGGUCGUGUCCACAGAGAUCGGUAAUUAUUUAAAUCCUUUUGAAACGUAAAACGUAAAAUGAGAGAAUUGUUGACAAUAAUAAAAAUCAAAUUAAAAUAACAAGAAUGUAAAUUAAAGUUGUAAUUCAAAUUGGAAAAAGCUCUAGUUGAAGGAAAUAACUCAGCUUGAUUCUACUACUCAUCAUUGAUUCAAAUAUAAAUUAUUACUACUUAUGAAUAGACCAGUUAUAGCUACUGAGACCCUCUAAUAGUUAAUCUCUCCUUAACUAGUCGAUAACCAAGGUACGACCGUUGGUUAUUUCCCUAAUCAAUAGACAACCCUAGAUACGAUCAUAGGAUUUAAUCAAUUGACAGCCUGAAAAACCAGAUAGACCCAAAUCCUAAUAAACAAACACAUACGAUAGUUUAUUUAAAUUAGAUUGUUUAUUCUCACAACACAACUCUCUGCUAUGUUAUUUGUCACAAAUAUUAAAAUCUUCAUACGAUGAAUCCUUUAAUUGACAAUAGAUUAAGUUGUUAAUUAAAUAGUGGCCAAUUACCUAAUUAACAAACAUAAUCAUGAAAAUAAUUCAGAGAAUAAACAAAUACCCAAAAAGUAAUAAAACAAUUAAAGCAUAAGAAAGAUCUUACAAUAGUGAUGAAUCAAAGCUUCAUUAACCUUCAACCAGAAUAAUAGGUUUAGUUCUUCAUAGAGAGAAGAGAAAAAUUUAGAUCUAGGGUUUCUUUCUUUUUCUCCAAUCCCUCUUUUUCACAAUAAAUUCCUCCCUUAAAUACUCUCUCUUUAUUCUCCUCUAGAAUUCUAUUUAAAAUAAAAUACUAAUAUCUGAAAUAUUAAAUUCGUAAUUACAAAAAUACAAAACACGUUAAACUAAAAACUGCAUGUCCGUAGUUGACAGCACGCGCCCACGUCUUAUCAACAAAGUUCUUCUGACGCUCAUAAUUUCUCCAAGAGAACAAUCAUCCUUAAACAUCAUCUUAUAACUCAAUUUUAGCACCAAUCAAUAGAAUUGCACCUAUAAAAAUAAAACACAAGUAAAUCACUAUUAUUAAGUGCAAAAUAUCGAUAUUAAGGGAAGUAAACAAUGCAAAACUAAUGCAUAAAUUGCACUCUAACAAAUUCCCCAACACCAAGACGAUGCUUGUCCUCAAGCAUAUAACUCAAGACUAAUCUCAAAUCUCCACUAAAUUCUCAUCUCAACUCAUCCAAAAACAAUUUUAAGCAAGCAUACCUCAAGAAAUUAAGUCGAUCAACAUUUGAGAGACAAGGAUUUUAAAGCAUAGAAUCUCAUAAGAUAGAAUAAGAACAUUCAACCACCAAGAAGAUCCAUUCAAAAUUCAAGUGCAACAAGAUUUCAUAGCCCUCUCAUUGACUUCACUCCAUGCACUCAAAGUGUUUAUGGUGUCAUUUAUGCACUCAAAUCAAAUCAAAGAAUACUAUUACCAUAAGCUUGCUUAUAUAUCACAUCCCAAUCCACAAAACAUGAAUUAAAUGCAAAAAUCUAAGGGUCUUAAAAAGGUUGUAACGGGGUUAAAUGGGUUAAAUGAAAAAGAAAGGUCUAUGAAAGAAAAAGAGAUCAAAAUGAAAAGAAUGAACUCAUUGAAUGAACUUUAUGAUAUCGAAACGCUUAUUUCUACUCAAGUCACCAAGAAUGUAUUUUUUUCUUUUUUUUUCGACUUUUUUUCUUUUCUUUUUCCUUUUUUUUUUAAUCAAACAAAAGAAACGAACCUUGCACAAUUUAAUUCAAGCAUAAUGCUUGUUGAUCUAAUUGAGAAAUUUUAAUACAAGGUAGAAAAAGCAACAAAAUAUAUACAAAAUAUAUCCACACAAUGAGUCCAAAAAUCUCCUUAAAUUGAGGCUCAAAAAGAAGAAAAAUUAUUAAGUAGACGGAGAGAAUUAGAUGGGUAAUGGUUAAGGCUCAAACAAAGAUAGCAAAUAAAGGUCUUCGGGUAGAGAAAAAAAAAAUGCGAGAAUAGAAAAAUGGAAAAUGGUUUGCCCUUAUCAUUUUAAUGCAUAAAAUCCCGUAAUGCGGCUUCAACAUGCAUAAGAAAGCAAGUUCUAGAAUAAACAAACUAAGAUUGAUAUUCACAUAACAAAAAUAUUAGAGCAAAGUGGUUGCUCGUAGGCUCAAAUCCUCACAAAGUUGGUAAAUUUGCCAUCAAAUCAUGUACACUCUUCAAAUGAAUCAACCAUCAAUAGUGGUUUGGAAUGAGAAGAAGGUAUGAGUAAUAUAUAAAAGGAAAGGUAAAAAGGAUAAUAAGCGAGAAAGAUGUAUGUAGUAAAAAAAAUGAAAGAUAAAAUGUGAGUGAUGAAAGAGUAUGAUAGAAAAAAUAGAUGUAAAUAAUUUGAGAUAGAUGAGAAAAGAGUAGUGAGAAAGAAAAGAAAAGAAAAAUAAUAAUAUAUGAAGCAUACUAACUCCAAAAUCAUUUAAGGAUGAGUAGAGUGAAAAUAAUACUUCCAGACAUCAAUCAUGCAAAAAUUCCUCCCCCACACCCAGACCUUACAUUGUCCUCAAUGUAAGAUAAUCAAAGCUCACAUAAAAAUUAAAGCAUAAGGAUAAAAGAUUAAAGGUAAAAACUUCCCUGAAUUGUGAGCUUUGAUCCACAUAACGUCUAUGGGCUUGGCGGAAAUGGUGGGAUAAAUCCCACACUCUCGAAGUAUGCGGCCAAAUUCUGCUCAAUCAUGUUAAGCUUGUGGUCUAUUUUCUCUAAAUGAAUGCUCAAAGGUGGUGCGGAUGUAGAAUGAAUAGUUGGCGGGGCAGUAGUGUCGUCGUCAAGCUCGUCAUCAGAGGUAGCACCACUCCUAGCAUAAAGCUUUUUUGGAGGUUGAGUUGGUCAUGGUUCAGUAAACUGAAAUCUCCCCUCCUUGAAUUCGACCACACCUGUUCUUUCAAACACAAACAUAUCCAAAAAUUCCUUUUUGCAAGUAGGAUGCAAAUCAUUAUUGUCAGGAUCAAGCACACAUAGGUUUAUAGCUAACAGAGUAAUGUAUGGACCAAGAAAUAAAGUCCUAUACUGUUUAAGCACACUUUGAAAUUGAUCUGCUAACCAAAAACCUAAAUUAGGCCUCACAUCAUUUAACAUGCACCAGAUAAAAUAAAAUUCAGUUUUAGAGAAAACUCCUGAGUGAUCUUUCUUUCCUAAAAAAUUAUAUGCUAAGAAUCGAUGCACACAUUUCAAAACAGGAUCACGUAAGAAAUAACUCUUUGAUUUACUCGGGUCAUAGGCAUUGUGAUCAAAAGAUAGAUUACGCCAAAGACCAUAAGGCUCAAAAUUUUCGCUAAAGUCACAAGUUGUUCCUAAAUAUUCAUCACUAGUAGAAUAAUCAUCAUCAAUGAAUCCUAAAGCUAGGUUAAAAUCCGUGAUAGAGUGUGAAAAAUUUCAUCCCANNNNNNNNNNNNNNNNNNNNNNNNNNNNNNNNNNNNNNNNNNNNNNNNNNNNNNNNNNNNNNNNNNNNNNNNNNNNNNNNNNNNNNNNNNNNNNNNNNNNNNNNNNNNNNNNNNNNNNNNNNNNNNNNNNNNNNNNNNNNNNNNNNNNNNNNNNNNNNNNNNNNNNNNNNNNNNNNNNNNNNNNNNNNNNNNNNNNNNNNNNNNNNNNNNNNNNNNNNNNNNNNNNNNNNNNNNNNNNNNNNNNNNNNNNNNNNNNNNNNNNNNNNNNNNNNNNNNNNNNNNNNNNNNNNNNNNNNNNNNNNNNNNNNNNNNNNNNNNNNNNNNNNNNNNNNNNNNNNNNNNNNNNNNNNNNNNNNNNNNNNNNNNNNNNNNNNNNNNNNNNNNNNNNNNNNNNNNNNNNNNNNNNNNNNNNNNNNNNNNNNNNNNNNNNNNNNNNNNNNNNNNNNNNNNNNNNNNNNNNNNNNNNNNNNNNNNNNNNNNNNNNNNNNNNNNNNNNNNNNNNNNGCAGUGGGUAGUUCGCGCUGGUGGGGCUUGCGUUGCGCGUUGCUGGGGCUGCGUGGCGGGUGGGACUGAUGCAUUGGGGCUGGUUCUGCGUGGCUGCGGCUGCUGCUGCUGCGUGGGCUGGUCGGUGAAGCUGGAGAAGAAAACCAAUUUUGUGCAUUAGGGAUUUUGUUAAUAGUAUUUUUCAUUUUUUUUUUUUUUAGUGAUGAAUCACUUUGAGACACUAAAAAUUUCAAAAGUACUUUUCUAAUAAGCACGUGGAUACGCCUUAAAACUAUUUUACUUUAAAAAUUACAGAAGUACUUAUUAGUUAAGACGUGGGCACGCCUUAUCAAAAAUUUUCUUCUGACCAAAAUAAGCAAACAUAUAAUUAUUUUUUUUAAAAAAAUUUGAAUCAAAACUAAAAGAAGACAUAACAAAAACCAAAAUAAAUAAAUCAUUUGGGUUGCCUCCCAAAAAGCGCCUUUGUUUUAUGUCUUUGGCUUGACACAUUUAUACAUCAAUCUCUAUAAUUGGGACUCUCGAGAGCCACAUUCUCCACAAUAUCCAUCGAAAAACCUUCAUAAAAAGGUUUUAAGCGAUAACCAUUAACCUUAAAAACUUUGCCAGAGGUCGGACUCCGAAUCUCAACUGCACCAUGAGGAAAAACAUUAGUAACAAUAAAAGGUCCAACCCAGCAAGAACGUAAUUUACCCGGAAAAAGUUUAAGCUUAGAAUGAAAAAGAAGAACUUUUUGACCAAAAUUCAUGCACUAUAUGGUUAAUAACAUCCACAAAAAAUACCGAAUGUUCCUCAUUAGGAUAUUUCAUGGCAUCAUUCAUAUUGAAUUCUAUAACCUCUCCAUCAAACUCCAUAGUGAGAGUCCCUUUAUGUACAUCCAUUUUAGUCCUAGCAGUUUUAAGAAAAGGUCUUCCUAGCAAAAUUGGGACAGAAUUAGAGGAGUUAUCAUCUUCCAUAUCAAGUACAUAAAAAUCAGCAGGAAAAACCAACUCAUUAACUUGUACGAAGACAUCUUCUAAUACCCCAUCAGGAUAUGCAUUAGACCUAUCAACUAGUUGAAUUAUCACGCCAGUUUCUUUUAAUGGACCAACAUUCAAAGAUGAAUAAAUGGAACGAGGCAUGACAUUAAUAGAAGCUCCUAGAUCUAACAUAGCCUUUUCAACUCUAACACUACCAAUUUUACAAGGGAUAGUAAACAUACCUGGAUCCUUGCACUUAGGAGGUAGUUUCUUUUGGAGAACUGCUGAAACAUUCUCCCCCAUGUGAACUUUUUCAUCUCCUCUUAAUUUUCUCUUGGAGGUGCACGGUUCCUUAAGGACUUUAGCAUAUCGAUGUAUUUGUUUUAUAGCAUCUAAUAAAUGAAUAUUUACCUCAACCUUACGAAAUGUCUUAAGGAUGUUUUUCUCUUGUUUCUCCUUCUUGGAUUUUGUAAACCGUCUUGGAAAAUGAGGAGGUAUCACAAUAGGUAGGGGUUUCGCUCUGGUGGGUUGCACAUCUUGAGAUUUAGGCAUCAAUUCAUUCUUCUCAAGCUCAUCUUCUACAUGCUUUGUCACUUUCUUACUAGGCUCUUGUAACUCAUUCCCACUUCUAAGGAUGACAGCACUAACGUUUUGUUUUGGAUUCACCUCAGAUUGUGAAGACAAUCUCCCUAAUACUUGAGACUCCAAACGGCUCACUGUAGUCGCCAAUUGACUCAUUUGGUUCUCCAAAUUCUGAAUGCUUGCUGUAGUUGCAUGCUGAAAUUGUUGAGUGUUAGUCGCAAGUGAUUUAACAAUUUCUUCAAGAGAUAUACCUGACUCGGAGUUUGACUGUGGAGGUGCUGGUUGUCUUGGUGGAUACUGUUGUGGGAAUCCUGACGGCCUAACUCCAUAGCUGAAGUUGGGAUGAUCAUUCCAUCCCGGAUUGUAUGUUUGUGCAUAAGGAUCAUACCUCCUCUGAGGCAUGCCUGGAAAUCCUCCAACUGCAUUGGCUUGUUCAACGAGUUCUUCUUGAAGUGUAGGACACAUAUCAGUUGAAUGACCUAUAUUGUAACAAAUACCACAAGUCUUCACCUGUUGCACAUUACCUACAACAAACUUUUCCACAAGAGAAGUAAGUUUAUCUAAACAUUGUUCAACAGAAGAAAUAUUUACCUCAUUCACCUUCCUUGAAGUGGGAUCUUGCAUGUUGCCAAAUUAUUGUGCAUUAGCAGCCAUAUUUGAUAUCAACUCCCUUGCUUGAGUAGGGGUCUUAUUCACCAACACACCUCCACUAGCAGCAUCUAUCAUACCCCUAUCCAUUAAUGACAGUCCUUCGUAAAAAUAUUGAAUAAGAAGUUGAUCAGAAAUCUGAUGUUGAGGACAGCUGGCACACAAUUAUUUGAAUCGCUCCCAAUACUCAUACAAAAUCUCCCCAGAAAGUUGUCUGAUCCCACAAAUAUAUUUUCUGAUGUUGGCAGCUCUUGAAGCAGGAAAGUAUUUCUCAAGGAACUGCUUCUUCAAACCAUUCCACGUUGUAAUCGAUCCAGGAGGCAAGUAGUACAACCAGUCUUUGGCUAGUCCAUCUAAAGAGAACGGAAAAGCACGCAGCUUAAUCUGCUCUUCAGUCACGCCUUGAAAGCAAAGGCGACGAGGAUCGUUGCUUAGCUCGCUUCAUCUGCUGUCUCAGCUGGCGAGCUGUCUUCUCAAUUUCAGGAUCAAACGAAAGUGUACUUGUACGAGAAGAACGAACCAUACACCAAGUAAAACGUAAAAAGGAUUAAAUAAAUGACACCAAUCCCCGGCAACGGCGCCAAAAUUUGAUGGUUGUCGAAGCCAGCAAAAAUAAAUACCUACUCUAAAUAAAUUGUGUAUAGUGAUUGAGCAAUGUCGUGUCCACAGAGAUCGGUAAUUAUUUAAAUCCUUUUAAAUGAUAAAACGUAAAAUAGGGGAAUUGUUGACAAUAAUAAAAAUCAAAUUAAAAUAACAAGAAUGCAAAUUAAAGUUGUAAUUCAAAUUGGAGAAAGCUCUAGUUGAAGGAAUUAACUCAGGUUGAUUCGACUACUCAUCAUUGAUUCAAAUAUAAAUUAUUACUACUUAUGAAUAGACCGGUUAUAGCUACUGAGACCCUCUAAUAGCCAAUCUCUCCUUAACUAGUCGAUAAUCAAGGUACGACCAUUGGUUAUUUCCCUAAUCAAUAGACAACCCUAGAUACGAUAAUAGGAUUUAAUCAAUUGACAGCCUGAAAAACCAGAGAGACCCAAAUUCUAAUCAACAAACACAUACGAUGGUUCAUUUAAAUUAGAUUGUUUAUUCUCACAACACAACUCUCUGCUAUGUUAUUUGUCACAAACAUUAAAAUCUUCAUACGAUGAAUCCUUUAAUUGACAAUAGAUUAAGUUGAUAAUUAAAUAGUGGCCAAUUACCUAAUUAACAAACAUAAUCAUGAAAAUAAUUCAGAAAAUAAACAAAUACCCAAAAAGUAAUAAAACAAUUAAAGAAUAAGAAAGAUCUCACAGUAAUGAUGAAUCAAAGCUUCAUUAACCUUCAACCAGAAUAAUAGAUUUAGUUCUUCAUAGAGAGAAGAGAAAAAAUUAGAUCUAGGGUUUCUUUCUUUUUCUCCAAUCCCUCUUUUUCACAAUAGAUUCCUCUCUUAAAUAUUCUCUCUCUCUUCUCCUCUAGAAUUCUAUUUAAAAUAAAAUACUAAUAUCUGAAAUAUUAAAUUCGUAAUACCAAAAAUACAAAACACGUUAAACUAAAAACUGCAGGUCCGUAGUUGACAGCACGCGCCCACACCUUAUCAACAAAGUUCUUCUGACGCUCAUAAUUUCUCCAAGAAAACAAUCAUCCUUAAACAUCAUCUUAUAGCUUAAUUUUAGCAUCAAUCAAUAUAAUUGCACCUAUAAAAAUAAAACACAAGUAAAUCACUAUUAUUAAGUGCAAAACAUCGAUAUUAAGGGAAGUAAACAAUGCAAAACUAGUGCAUAAAUUGCACUCUAACAAGUUCCUUAUGAUAAGCAAGCUGAAGAGAGCUGAAGAAGGAGGCAAGAUCUCGAGGAAAUUCAGCGAUGGAUGAAGCGAGGGUUCUAACUCUCACUCUUUUAAAAAAAAUUAUGCAUAUUCUUUCAUGUGCUGUAGAUAGGCCCUUCAACCUCGGAAACCUCACCAUGGACUGGGAGCGAAGGAAGUGGGAUCUGAUGGUUGGCAUUGUAGGUGGCAAGCUGCAAAAGAAAGAUGACGUUUUCAAAGUUGAAGGGCCUUUCUAGAGCACUGGAAUCCAUUCAUACUUCAGCUUGAAAUCCCAAAACACAAGGCUUUUUGUGCAUAUUUGUUUAGAUUUUGCAGUAAGAUUGGCUUUUAUUUUUCCCUUUUAGACUUGAAUCAGUAUAACAUUUCAAUGUUACAGCACACUUUGGUGCAGCAUAUGUAGAUCUGUAUUGGUUGCAACUGAGGUUUUCUGCAAAGACUGUUAUGAAUUUUUUUUUUAAAUCAUUUAUUAGGAAAUUUUCCCAACAGCAACACCAGAAAAGGUGAAAACAGGUAUGCUUGAGGUUGUUAUAGCUGCGCUUGGCCUACCGAAAGGUUCAUUUAGUCCAAUUAUGCUAAGACUCCACUUUUAUGGACAUUAUCUUGUAAUUUCAUUUUUAUCACGUCCCAUUUGGAUCUCCGUGACCUACUUGGCCUGUAGCUAUUUGCUGUUGGUGUUGCUUUUGAAUUAGUGGCUGAUUUGGACACGCUUAACAAGUUAUUGUGUGGACUCUAGUUAUAUUUUUUUGUUAUGCUUGUCUGAGAAAAGAGAUGGAACAUGUCGUUCCAAUUUAUUGAAUAUUUAAAAUAACUUGAGAAUUUCAUAACUAAGAAAAUUCAAGGUUCCUUUUUGAAUUUUUUUUUUUUUGGGNNNNNNNNNNNNNNNNNNNNNNNNNNNNNNNNNNNNNNNNNNNNNNNNNNNNNNNNNNNNNNNNNNNNNNNNNNNNNNNNNNNNNNNNNNNNNNNNNNNNNNNNNNNNNNNNNNNNNNNNNNNNNNNNNNNNNNNNNNNNNNNNNNNNNNNNNNNNNNNNNNNNNNNNNNNNNNNNNNNNNNNNNNNNNNNNNNNNNNNNNNNNNNNNNNNNNNNNNNNNNGGGAAAUGGGGGCAAGGGGAUGUGUGGGGAUGCAGCUCUUCCGUCUAACACUCCAAAGUAUUUCUUGUAUCUUGGAUCCUCGCGGAAGGACUGGUAUUUGUGGCGAUUGGCUGUUGGGUUCAAGUUUUGAAUCAGCUGCCUUAAGUGGCCGGCUCAUGCCAAUCAUGUAAGCAAGAAUACGAUUUUCAUUUGCUUAUUUGGUUUCUUUUUUGUGCAUAGAAAUAUAUAUUUCAUGAUUGAUAAUUAACAUCAAAAUCAAAUAAUAAAAUCUGUAACAACCUGUUUACCCCUGUAUAUGGACAUCUAAAUAUAAAUUAGUAUAUUGGCUUCAGUUCUGUUUGAAAUAUCAGACAAUUUUCAAUCGUAAGCUUGAAGCAUGAUUAUUCAUAUAUAAAUACUGUAAUUGGUCUAUCUUGAUUGUAGAUUAUUUAGGAAGUCGUGGAGUUCAUUUUGAGGAGUUUGCUGUUGGUUUACAAACAAGUUUUCUGCCACUCGAAGGACAUGAUAUUGGGCAAUUUCUAGGUUUAGAGUCUAUGGAAAAAGACGAAGCUCAAGCAUAUCAACCUAUCAUUUGAAUCAUUAAGCAGGCCAUGAAAAUUUCUACAGUUGUUAAGGUAUGCUUCUAUCUACACACUGUUUAUGGAUUUAUGAUUUUUACUUUGGUUGCCCCAUAUAUUAAUUCUCUUGCUUUUAUAGCUUGGAGUAUUAGAUUGCAGUGAUUGAUGAGAGUGAAUGCUUGUUUAAUGAUAAUUGAAACAAUUUGCUAUCAACAGUGUAGCAUGUGUUAAUCGUUGAAUAUUGUUUUUGUGACAACGUUUUUGUGUAUCAUUAAUUGCAUGUAGCCAUUGUGAUGCUUAGUUUAUAUGAAAAUUAGGCUAGCCCAAUCUUUUUUGGAUUUUUUGUUAUGAUUAUCUCCACGUUUGUGAUUGAGGUGUUGUGACUUUUAAUUUAUUGAGGAAUGGAAUUAAAACAUUAACUGCUUAAUAAAAAUGGGUGUUUAUCAAAUAUCUUAGCUAAAAUGCUGUCAAAAUUAUACUGCCACCAAAAUAGGACUCAACUCGAGUUAUUCAAACUCUUGAAACUUGAAUUUUGUGUAUCUGAACUGGGUGCUCAGUUAGUCAAUCGCAUCCAUGUAAUGAUUUGCAUUUAUUUAUUUAUUUAUGUUACUAUGCUUUGCUGUACCUGGGGAAUCAUGGCUUGGGAGGAAGAAUCGGAACCAGAAUGAUAUGUCCUUAACCUCUGAUAUUUGGUCAUGCUGCGAAUGAUUCUCAGUUUCGUCCGUUGGUUGACUGGAAGGUGGAAUCAGUGUUGGCAUGCGCAUACGGGAUCAUCAAUAUUGACAGAUCACCAUUCCCGCUUGCGCUAACCGUUUGAUUGACAUACUUUUACCAUGGAGGGUUGAGAUUUCGCCACGCCACCAUGCGCGGAAUACACUCACUGCAUUGGGUGAUACACCCAACCAUUCUUGUCUUAUUAGGAAGCAAUCUUGUUCGUUCAUUGUAUUGAUCUGAUGUUCCACAUUUAGCCACGUUUCCCCUUUCACUCAGCGAACGUUGUUGACCACAUCUGAACCGUUGGAUCGUGCAUCAAGUUUUCUUCAACGCAUGCUCACCGUGAUUAUUACGGUCACAGGAUUUGAAAAUGGAAGUUUUGUCUUCGGAUUGAAUUGAAAAGGUCGCGUGAUUUGGCUGAAAUAAUAAAAUUUCUUCCCUUUUCCUUUUUUCUUUUUCAAUUUCUGGCUUUUGUAUGUAACUUUUGUAAAUUAAUUAACAAAAUAUGUGCUUUAUUUUCCACUAUCUGUGGUUAAUUUUAUCAAGGUAGGGUGAGGUGAAGCUCUUCAUAUAAAGAUAUGAUUUAGUUAAGUUUUAUUUUUUUUAAUUGGGGAAAAAAGAUGGUAAACUUUAAUAUAUUUAUUUGUAUUAAUAACACUAGAGGUCAUUUAGAAAAUGGUAAAUUUUGAAUUAUUUUCUGUAUAAAUUGAUUAUCUUCAAACUUUUUUUUAUAUUUGAAAAUUUUAAACUGUUUUUAUUUUAUUUUAUUUUAUUAUAAAAAAGGAGUAAAUUAAGAUUUUUAAAAGGUAAACAGAAUUAUAUUUAAAUAGUCCAGGAAUAAUUAGAAAUUAACUCAAAAAUAACAUUAAAAAUGCUCUGCCCUUAUUACCACUAUGUCUAUGCGUGUUUUUGUGUUUGUGUGUGUGUGUGUAUACAGAUCCAUUGUUACUCAUCUUCGACAGCCUAGGGUUGGUCAAGCUAGAUCUAGUCUCUCUGUGUUAUGGGUGCAGGCUGAAAACAGCGGGGACGGAGAAUGAAUUUUCCCUUUUUAACUUGAAUCAAUGUAACAUUUCAAUGUCACCGCAUGCUUUGGUGCAACAUUUGUAGGUACGUAUACGUUGCAAAUCAGGCUUUCCUGCAAGAUUGGUAUGAAUUCUUUUUUAUCAUUUAUUAGGAAAAUUUCCCUACUGCAACAGCAGAAAAGGUGAAAAUAGGUAUGCUUGAACUUGUUGUAGUUAGGGGUGGCAAAGCGAAUAAAUGAAUCGAAUCGUAAGCGAAUUGGGUUAAAAUUUUAUUGAUUGAGAUUCGAUUAGUUUAAUAAAUGAAUCGAAAUCUCAGAAUUCGAAUUCGCUUCGUUUAUUAAACAAAUAUUCGGUUCGAUUCGUUUAAUUCGUUUAAUAAAAUAAACAAAUAUAAUCGAAUUCAGAUUCGUUUACUAUUUGUUUAUCCUUACGAAUUCAUAAUGAAUCGAAUUGAAUCUGGAUUCGUUUACAAUUCAUCUGUAAACUAUAAUAUUAACCUUCAAAUUUUAAAAAAAUUUCAAAUAAAUUUAAGGACAAAAAAGUAAUUUAAUUAAACGAAUGGACCAUAUUCAAUACGUUUAUAACCCAUUUAUUAAACGUAAAUGAAUAAACGAAUCAAUAUCUUUAAACCCGAAUUUGAUUUGUUUAAGUAGCAAAUCGAUUGAACUCAUCCAUUUAUUAAACGGAUCAAUUUUUUCAAAUGUAAAUCUAUUUAAUUUGUAUAAAAUCAAAUCGAAUAAAUGAACCCUAAGUUAGAUUGCCACCGCGAGUCGGAGCUGCGCUUGGCUUUAGAAGUUGGCUUUAGAAGCCCCUUUUUAUACUCGAGAGUCCAAUUAUGCUAAGACUCCACUUUUAUGGGCAUUACCUUGCAAUUUCCUUAUUUUUUAAUCGUGUCCCAUUUGGAUCAUUGUGACCUACAUGGGCUGUACCUAUUUGUGGUUUGUGUUGCCUUUGAUUUCGUGGUUGAUUUGGACAAGCUUAAUAAGUAAGUACUGUAUGGACUCUAGUUUUAUUUUCUUGUUUUGCUCGUUUCUCAGACGAGAUGGAAUAUGUCAUUCCAAUUUAUUGAAUAUUUAAAAUAACUUAGAGAAUUUCAUAAUUAAGAAAAUUCAAGGUUUCUUUUUCAUGAUUUAUGUAUUUUUUUUUCUUUUUUUGGGGGGGAUGUGCAGAGAUGCAGCUCUUCCGUCUAACACUCCAAAGUAUUCCACGUAUCUUGGAUCCUGGCGGAAGGGCUGGUAUAUGUGGCGAUUGGCUGUUGGGUUCAAGUUUAGAGUCAGCUGCCUUAAGUGGCUGGCUUGCCGAUUAUGUAAGCAAGAAUAUGAUUUUCUUUUGCUUAUUUGGUUUUACUUUUGUGCAUAGAAAUAUAUAUUUCAUGAUCGAUAAUUAAUACCAAAUAAUAAAAUCUGUAACACAACAUUUAUCUAUACCCCUAUAUACGGACAUCUAAAUAUAAACUAGUAUAUUGGCUUCAAUUAUGUUUGAAAUAUCAGACAAGUUUCAAUCAUGAGCUUCAAGCAUGAUUAUUCAUAUAUAAAUACUGUAAUUGGUCUCUGUAGAUUGUAGAUUAUUUAGGAAGUCAUGGAGUUUGUUCUGAGGAGUUUGAUGUUGGUUUGCAAACAAUUUUUCUGCCACUCGAAGGACAUGAUAUUGGGCAAUUUCUAGGUUUAGAGUCUAUGGAAAAAGACGAAGCUCAAGCAUAUCAACCUACCAUUUGAAUCAGUAGCCUUUAAAGAUUAUUAUGAGCUUUAUUGCUUGAAGCCCCACUUCUUGCCGCUGUUAGCGAUAAGUUGAAAACAGUAAUGGUUCCUUUUUAUCCACGUUACACAUUACACUCAUUCAAGAAUCUAGAGAUUACUUAACCGUGUUGUAAUUCAAGAGUGGUGUCCAACUUGGCCUAGUGGCAGCUUCUUAAAGCAAGAGUUUGGCCCAGAGGAUUGUUGCUCUCCACCAGAUGCGUUUGGUCUUAAGCUGAAUUCGCUUUUGUUGCCAAGUUCCAAUGAAAAAAUGUAACUAAAAAAAAAAAAAAACCCGAUGAUUGAAUCUUUGUGGAAAAUGAUCUGGAUGCAAUGCUGCUGCGUAGUGUGGUUUAGUUAAUUAUCCACAACAAAAGAGUUAUAAAAAUAUGUUACGUGUCCCAUUACUUAUUGAAUCAUUUUUUGGCAUCCACACUUAUUAUAGAAUAACUCAUUUUUUUUUUAUAAUGGUUAUUCAAACAGUAAAAAUUGCCAAAAUUUUUGAGUAAAAUGGUCGUUGUUAUUGUUUUUUUCCUUUUAAAACGGUGCCUUUGCUAUAUGAGGGGAAUCAUGGGAACCAGAAUGAUUGGUACUGAUUCAAGGUCCCAUAAUGAUCACGGUUUUGAGGUUUAACCCCCCACAAGGCAGAUAAGAACCUAAAAUUAAUUACAUGGUCACGUGAUUGGAAUUGCAUGGGCUGCAUGGGUAGGCUUAGAAUGAAAUGGCAUGGUGGCCGACCGCUGUACCAUGACUGCAAUUCCUGCACAGUAACAAGCAAGCUGAUUUACAUAUAUAUGCCACGUUGACAAUUAGCUUAUUUAGACAAACAUCUUAUCAAGGCACAAACGAACUUGAACGUAAAGCAAUAAUAUCCCAGCAACUAAUUGUCUUAAAAUAAUUAUUGUAAUUCUUCAUAAUACACAAUCACAAUUUUGAAGUUUUGAAAGAAAUUAAGCGACGAAUGCACCGAAAGCUUUCCUCCCUAACCCUAAGUGAUUACUUACGUAACCGUGCAUGUUUGGCCCACCUUCAGUGAAUCUUUUUUGAUUUUGGCUACCUUAUCACGAAACACAAAUGGAAGGGGACUCUGACUUAAGUCUCAAUUGACGAAACAGUAGUGCUAACACAAACAAAUAUUGGGGACUCUGACACAAAUGUGAGGUGAGGAAAUAUUACAACAUUUAGACUAGGAAUGUAAACAAAUGAAUAAAUAAAUAUAUUACUGGAUUUAAGAAAAUGAAGCCGGUGGCGAGUACAAAGGAGCUCUUAUGUGUUGAUUCCCUAAUAUCGUGUGCACUUCCUCAUAUAUAAUAAAUUUUGAAUUUUUUGUUGUUGUUAUCUAUGUCAUAAUUGUUAUAACAUUAAUGUUUUUUCAAAUAAGGAUAAAAUUGAUAGAUUUAUGAUUUUAUUAUAACACACACAGUCAUAUAUACACCUAAAAUAUAUGUAGAACCACUACCACCUUAUAUAUAUAUAAAAAAAAAGUGUAUACAACAGGUUAUCAAGGCAUACCAUUAGCACUAAAUUAUGUAAAUCAAGUUUCUUUUCCUUCAUGCCAUGUCCUUUACGGUCGGCUGAUUCGGUUUUGGUGCUUGUUGCUGAUGAGCAUAUAAUAUAUACAUAUUUUACUCUUAAUUAUAUAAUUGCUAAUUAUUAUUAUUUGUUAUUUUAAUUGAUUAAAUUAUUUUGUUGAAUGAGGAAUUAAUUAGAGAUUAUGGAUUAAAAAAGUAUAAAAAAUUUUAAUUUAGAAAGAAAUAAAAAUUAAAUUAGAAGACAAAAUUACAGUAGAGAAUUAAUGAAAGUCAAGAAGAUCAAAAUUCAAAGUCAACUUCUUUAAUAACGGACGGUGGGCAUGCAUUUAGAAGACAAACAUUUGGUGAUGGCAAUUGCAUUUACAUGACAUAAUAUAUUAUGGAAAGCAAUUUAAAGGGACCUGUGACUUGGCUUUCAAAGGUGGACAUAAACUGAUGGAUUAUGGUAUUGACAAAUAAUGAUGACAUAAAUUAGGAAAAUUGACUUUAGAAUUGGAAAUAGAAUCCCGAUUGAAUUGGGCCAAUUAAUGUAUAUGGAAUCCUUUUCAUAAUUGGUGGCCAUGGUGCUUGCAAAAGAUGCAGCUGCCAUACUCAUUUCAAAAACUUUCCGAUCCAAUGAGUUCUACAGGAGGAUUUAUAAAUUAAGUGAUAUAUUUUUAUAUAUUUUUAAAAUAAAAACUUUAAUUGCGCACCACUUGAGUUCUUAUCCAAAAUUACCUUUCCCGGUAAAGCUAAAGCAUUUUGUGUUUUCUUACACGGCAAAACAUUGUUUGUUACAUAAACAGUUCACGGCAAGAAGAGCAGCCAUUUUUGACUUUUUUGAAGAGAAUAAUAUUGGAAUAAGCUUUCGAAUUUACCGAUUACGAAUUACGAUGGCUUUCUAAGCAAAUGGGGUCUGAGAUGGACCGAUGGUUAAGUUGAGGGGAAAAUUACAGAUAGAUUCCAUCUUCAAAUAUAAGUUAAAAAUAUUUAAAGUUUUAAACUUAAUUUUAAAUAGAUUGUGAUACUUUAUUCUUUUUAAAUUUAAAAACGUUAUAUUUAAUUUCUUAUACUAACAGUUUAAAUUAUUUUACGAUAAAAAAUUCAUAUUAUCUCUGAUCAAUUUAAGUGAUUUUACAAAUAGUAAACAUCCAUCAAAAUGAUUUGUGUGUGUGUGUGUGUGUAUGUGAUAUGAUAAUAUUAUCCUUUAUAAAUUAAGUGAAGGUAAUUCCAUUUGAUUCCAUCACAUCCUGGAUUAUCUGUCAAUUUUAUUUACAUAAAAAAAUAUACAUUCUCCCAUUGACAACAUAUAAAAUAAGCUUCACCAAGUCUUUAAAAACUGUAUUGCCUACGUUGUUUAUGUUUUUCAGUUUUUAAGCCAAGAAAAAUGAAAGAGAAUUAAAGAUUACAUAAUUAGGUAAUUAACUCAAAUUAUUAAAGACAAUAUUGUCAUAACACCUGCACAAAAUUUCAUUUUCAUGGAUGCCUACAGAUUGUAAAAUAACUUAAAUUGAUUAAGGUCAAUAAGAACAUUUUCAUUGUAAAAUAACUUAAAUUAUUAGUGUAUGGGGUUUAGUACAACAUUUUUAAAUUUAAAGGGUUAAGUGUCAUAACCUAUUGAAUCUGAGUAUAAAUAUUUCUAACUUAUAUUUGAGGAGGAAUAUGUAAUUCUUCCUUUAGUUAAGUUUCUAAUCAAUUUACAAAAUGACUUUCCAUGUAAGUUAUUAAUUGUUCAGAAUUAAUGAAACCGAAGGUGAGAUAAUAACAAUUUGUUCAUUUACAUUAAAAAAAAAAAAAAGGUAUCCACCUAAUUUAAAUUUACACAUCCUUUAUAUGGCUGUUGUGUAUACAAAAGAAUACAGACACACACACACAGAGAAAAAGAGGGAGGGAGGGAGACAAAAAGAGGAAUAAAAAAAAUAUAUAAGUUACGAAAAAUUAAAAAUAAUAACAAAAUUGUUUUAAGGACUAACGAUUAAAGAAACAGGGAAACAAAAUUUUUCUUUUCAUUCAAUAAUCAAUACUAUUGAAAAAAAAAACAUUUAGACUAGGAAUGUAAAUAAAUGAAUAAAAAACGCAUAACUGAAUUUAUGAAAUGGAGCUGAUGGAGUACUAAGGAGUUCUUUUAUAUAUAUAUAUGCGCGCACACACACACGCACCAGAAUAUAUAGCAAAAUAAAUGAUAUAUCAACUAUAUCGGCAAUUAAACAGAAACGAGUGAAGAAUGAUGAUACAAGUACGUAAAAGAGAAAUGAUGAAGGAUCAGCAACUCAGGCACAAACUGAUGUACACAAGACUAGACUAGCUCAGCCCAGUAAGCAAAGCCGGAUACUACAACAAAAUUGAGAUAUAUAGCCUCUAAAAUGUGCUACUAAAAGUAGAAGGUACCACUUUUAGGAGUGAUAUGUUAGCCCAUGUUAAUAAGAGUAUAUCUUUUGGUAGCAGUUAUGGAAUGUCAUAAAUUACAUUUUGUAGCAUGAAAUAAAAGCUAUAUAUGUAUUUUCAGUAGCUUUAGGUAGACGUUACUAUUUCAUAACUCGUAGCAUUUAUAAAAUGCUACUAAAUACCUUGCCAUAGCAUAUAUAAAUGCUAUCAAAUUCUAAGUCAUAGCAUAAUAAAAAUGCUACAAUAUUCUCUUAUGAUUUAUAGCAUUUUUUUAUUGCUUAAAAUUACAAAUUUUGGUAGCAUUUAAACAUUGUUAUUAUAUUUGGUAACAAUGUAUCAUCGUUGUCAUCAUAAUUUUAAAGAAAUUGCUAAUUAGCUUAGAUAUUUAUAUCAUUCAUCUUGAUAAUAAUACAAAACUUUCACAAAUACAAGCUUUAUAAUCCAAAUGAACAAAAAGUACCAUAUAUUAUAUCAAAUAUUGCAUCAAGGUCAUAAGUUGAAGAUAAAUAUCAACUCCAAAUAAAAAUUAUGCUUGACUAUGAACAAGGGCAAAACUAUGUUGUAACAUGGGUUUGGUACCCCUUCUUUUUGUCUUUUUCAAAGUCAAUUACAAUGGAGUCCUGUUAAAAGGUAAUUAAAAUUAUUUUCAAUAUAGAAAUAGAAUAAUAAAACAAAAUUAUUACUCUUAUUUUUUAAUUAAUUACAAAAAGAUAUUUUACAUUAAAAAAUAUAGACAAUCACUGGUGACCACUGCUUCUUUGCGUGCAAUAACAUUAUUAAUCGAAAGGGGUCAUGAAGGGUACCAUUAGACUUGAAAUUGGAUGAUCUACACAAUGAUAGCCUCAAAUGCUAGAAAAUGGUGAUAUGUAGAGUUGCACGCCCCUUCCAAAAUAACUGUGAUCAUAACUACACCACAAAAACACAAGUUACAUUGCACUGCCACCUUUUUUCAAUUUAGAGACCGUCAUUUGGUUGUUAAAGGCAAUGAACCUUGAAACCCCAUUUAAUCAUAGGGUCUUGCUACAGAUGUUUGCAUUGGAAGGCGUCUCUAUCGCUGGUACAUCCAUUUAUCCGACAACAUUGCCACCAUUACACAGAUCUGAGAAUUUUGAAUAUGUUGAUAGUAUUCGUAUUUCUAUUCACUCACUUCUAUUUCUUAGUGAUGGUGUCGUCAUUGUUGUCAUUGACGGUGCAAUAAAUUUUAGCAAUGUUAUUUUGAUUUUUCAUCUAAUUUAUAAAACUUAAAUAUUAAUUAUAAUAUUCAGCAAGUUAUGGAAUUGAUUGGGUGUACGAUUUUUAAUGUGAGAUUUUGAAAUAAAGAAACUGAAUUGAGGGAUUUUUACGAAGUGUGGUGUCAUUGGAUGGUUGAGAGAAAUAUUAAAAAUAAAAAGCGUUUGGGGUUUUGUAGUCAAAUAAGAGUUUUAGGUAACAUUUAAAAAGUGCAACAAAUUAAAUGUGAAAUACAAUUAAAAAAUUAAGAAUAUUAUUCAAUGACUAAUUGUAGUUUUUUUUUUAAUAAAAUGCUACAAUAGCAUGAUAUUUGGCAACAUUUAAAAAAAAAUCUACCAAAAUUGAUAUUUGUUGUAGUAUAUAACUAAAAAUUGAAACAUAACCAUAGCAGGCUAGGAGAAGCACAGGGACACAAUGAUGCAAGUGUUGGCAGGUGGGCCACAGGUGUCUGCAAAAGAUGGGGCUACUCAUCAUUACAAAACUUGGCAAAUUGAUGAAUGAUAGGCUUUUGGUUAAGGCCGUUAAGUUUCCUCAUCCGUUAUAAAACGUGGCAAAUUUUUAUUGUUUGUUAAAUAAUAUCUUUGAUUUGCUUUAUGUUAAAUCCUUUGUCGAUUCGACCAUACACGUAGGGUAUGCCUACCUUACGAUUUAACAUCUCUUUAUAUUAUUACGUUAAACGUAAGCUAACGAGACUCACUGCUAUAGACAGAGCUACAUCUUACGUUAAACGUUAUUCAUUUAUUAAUUUAAUUAAACGUUAAAUAUUAUUUAUCAUACAUAAUAAAUAAUUAAAUUAGUAACCCAACAUGUCUUAUCCAUUUACUCUUAAUGAUUAAAUUAUUGACUUUUAGCAUUAAUUUAGUUGGAGGACUUACCACACCGCAUGCAUAGGCUUUAGAUUUUUUAGCCUUGUGCCCAUUGGACAAAGCGCAGAGGAAAAGCAUGCCACUAGAAGCUAAAAUCAUGGAUGGAGACAACGAUAAUCAGAGGAAAAAAGAAGCGUUGAAAAUAAUACUGAAAUGGAGUUAUAUACAACAUGUUAUCAAGGCAUACCAUUAUUACUAAAUUAUGUAAAUCAAGUUUAUAUAUAUAGAGAGAGAGAGAGGUAAUGAUUAUUUUGAAGCUGCUACAAGAUAGAGCACAAAUUACAGUCACGCCCGUAAAAUAAUAAAUAAAAAAUAUAUAUUAUAAUUUUAAUCGUGUAGUUAUAAAGACAUGUUUUAUAUUCUUUUAUACGUGUAUAAUGACAUAUAUACAUACACACAAAUGACAUAUCUUAUAAAUCAUUAUAAAAAGUACAGGACACAACUACAUCUGCAAUCAAACAGUAACGAGGGAAGAAUGAUUGCAGAUGUAGAUUAUAUAUAUAAACGAGGAGCUGGCUUCGUUACAGAAACUGUAUGUAACAGCCAUGCAUUUUUUAUUCGUUGGAUCUAGAAACUGAAGUUGGAUGGUUGGUAUUAAAGGUCAGAAUAGAAAUUAAUCACGGGCGACCGUUUUUAACAUUUAGAAAGGUUCAUUUUCAUGAACACCCAAAUGUUUUGAUAAAUAUCAAUAUGCACCCAUUAGCUUUUUAAGUAAAACCACACACCCAACUCGUUAACUUUUCUCCUAUUGAAUUAAAAAACUAUCAUGCCUUAAUUGAAUUAAAUUGAUCAGGUAAAAUAUCUCUUAUAACUUAUCAAUUUUUACAGUAAUAUACAAAUAUUUAGUAAAAUCAAAUAUAUUUUUAUUUAGUAAUUAGAUUUUUUAUUUAGUAAUCAAAUUUAUUUUCUAUUCAGUAAUUAAAUUUUUUUUAUUUAGUGAAAUCAAAUUUUCAUUUUCAUUUAGUAGUCAGAUUAUUUUAACAAAAAAGUUCUAAAAUCAAAUUUGACUUGUUUACUAUUUUAAAAAAUGAACUUGUUUAUUAACCAACUAGAGUUUAUCUUUAGUCAACAUAUUUUUUUCUCUAAAAUAUCCUUUGAACAUAAAAAGAAGAAUGAAAAUAAAAAGAUGCUUUACCAAGAGUUGAUUAACAAUAAUCAGUAUAUUUGAGCAUGCAAUGAACCUAUAUUCAUAUGACAUAAUAUAUAAUUUUAUUCAUCAAUUACAGUACUAAUUUUCUAAAUUUUUUAAAAAUAAAUGGUUAAAAAAAAUUUAUUUUUAUAAAAAUAAAUUAAAAAAUAAAUUUUUUUUUACAUGGACCUAAUAUUUAAUUAAGGGCAAUAAUGUCUUUGUACUAGUUAGAAAUGGCCAGUAAUUGAACUUAAACGCGUAGGACAACAAUUUGACUAUUUUAGGGUGGGGUUGAUGGCUUACAUCAAACUUAGGGUGUGCUAAUGAUUAAUAAUAAUAAUGGGGUAAAUAUGAAAUUAAUCCUUACCCAAGCAUUAGAACUUCGUUGGUUUUCUUUUAGCCGGAUAAUUUCCGGUCAAUUUGUCACGCCUCCCUACACAUGGCAGCAUCUAAUUUGUUCGCUUGUCAUUUCAGUUUCUGUUACAUACAGUUUCUGUAACGUAGCCAGCUCCUAUAAACGAACUCCUCAGUUUGUUUGAUUUAUAUAAAAGAAUUAAACCUUUUUCGAAUGCCUAAAAGAGAAAUCACGAAAGAUAGCUUUUUUCAGUGUCAAUAUAAAAUAAUUACGCUUUUACAAAUGCCUAAAAGAAAAAUCACGAAAGAUCAGCAUUUUUCAGUGUCUGUUUGUCCCGCUCGCACUGGCGCGCGUGUGUUACAGUAUUCAACAAAUUUCAUAGAAAUAUUAAAGAAAAAUCAUGAAUUAUCAGCUUUUCUCAGGGGCUGUUGUUACACCAUUCCCGCUAGCAGUGGUGUGUAUUUACGCUCUCCAAAUAUUAACCGUCCGAUUAACAUACUUUGACUAUGGAGGGGUAAGAUUUUGCACGCCACUAUUCGCAGAAUGCACCUCACUACACUGGGUCAUACACACCCAACCAUCCUUGUCUUGAUCCGAUGCUCCAAGUUUUGCCACGUUUUUCCUUUACAUGACCACAUCUGAACCGUUGGAUCGUACAUGAACUAUUCCCGGACGCGCAUCAACUAUUCCUGGACGCGCAUUAGCUACUCCUGGACCAACUUUCCACUUCAGACACACACAAUUUCCCUUUCACUCCCAUGAGUGUCGUACGCAAUAUUUACUUGCCCACGACUCCCUCCCAAAAUCCAAGAAACCCUAGCAUUCAGCUCAGGCCUCAAAAUGAGAAAUAACCCAUAUCAGCUGCACUCUGUGUUCUGGGAUGAGGAUGCAAACCUCGUUCGCUUCAAGUACCCUCUUCCAAUAGGGACGAACCAAGAGGAUGUGACGAUUGAGGUUGACGAAGAUGGGAAUUUGCUUACAAUGAAAAGCAAGGUGGUAAGUUCACAUAAUGAUCCUCUCUCUUCAGCUUUUAACUCGAUGGUCAUAUCCGGAUCUUCUCUCUUAAGCUUCCUGAGGAAAAACGAAGGAGACCCCGCCACCCCGAUUAUCUCGAUGAAAUUCAAGUUGCCAGCGGGUCUUAACCUGAAUGGCUUCAAGACUGCAAUGGAUGAUGCCGGCGUUCUAACUGUUACCUUCACUAAACUCAAGCCAGAGAAGAAAAAGCUGGUGUCAGUAGCAAAGAAGAUGCUGGGAUGUUUGGCUCAUGCUGUGCCUGCUGCUUGUUUUCUGAUAUGUGAGAAGAUAUGUGAUGCGAUUUGUUCAGGAGACUAAUAAUAAGCUGGUCUCAAAUAGGUAUUUGCUUCGUGUUCAUGUAUGUUGCUUCUGUCGUUUAUCUGCUAGUGUCUGACAUAAAGUCUGGAGUCUGUGAGUCUAGACCAUGUGUUCUCUAAUUACUGUUGCGGUAUCUAAAUGUGGAGUGAAAAAUAAAUGCUUUUUUUAAAUGUUUGUUUUGCUUUUUUUUUUUUUUUUUUUUUUUUUAUUUUUUUUUUUUUUUUUUUUUUUUUUUUUUUUUAACGUAUGCAAUAAGAUAUCCCUACUAUAGAAUCUGCAAGAUAGCAAGAUCUCUCUUUUUUUCUUUUUCUUUUUUUAAAUUGUUAGCGUUGGAAAUUUUCUUUAAGUGAAAUAGAAGAUCUUGUCUAAUAAAAAUGAUGAUGGUUGUAUCUCCUUUUUUUUUCAGAGAAAUAGAAGAACUUUAUCUAAUAAAAAAUGAUAAUUAUUGAGUGAAAAAUAAAUGCUUUUUUUAAUAGUGUUGAAUGAAAAAGAAAUGUUUGUUUUCCUGUUUCCGGCCGCCUCCCACAUCACCCCUCACCGCCGAUCACUACCCAACCAGCCGGAAGCCCCUUUGCUAACCGUUACCGCCCCAAAACGUAAAUCCAAGUUCACGGCUUCCCCAUUAAAAUCUAGCCGCCAUCUCCUCCACCACUGUUGGUGGUGUUUUACAGCCGCUUGAACCGUCCUCUGUCACCUCACAGCCACUGUCCCACAUGGUUCACCAAACCCCGUCGACCACGCAUCUCCCUUCAACGCGUGUCGGUCCAAAGCGACACAAUAAACCCUAGUUCGUUGCCAUUUUCCCGUGGCGCCACCAGCCUUCCUGCCAUUGCUGAACCUGAUGUGCUGCCUGCGGUUCACUCCACAUCAUCCCAACAGCCGCCGCUUAGCCUCCCACUGCUGCUUUUGGCCCUCUGACUCCGAAAGCCUCCUACAAUCCAAAUCCGACUCUUCACCAAACCCUAGCCCGCUUUCUCUUGGCCCAACACAGACCCUAGCGGCUGCCCUCUUUCUUUGGCCGCUCACUCCUUCACCGGUGAUGGUGGCUGCCCUCCUUUGUUUCCUUCACAGCCUCCGCACAGCCAACAAACAUCCACCUCCCAACUUGGCGGCCAUGAUUCACGCUUCCUGCCUUCAACUAGACUGCAACAGCGGAGAAGGUGAUAACUGGUAUAAGAAUAUGAAUCUCUUUUGCUUAUUUGGUUUUAUUUUGCACAUAAAAGUUUAUAUUUUAUGAUUGAUAAUUUAUAUCAAAUUAAAAAAAAAAAAAAUCUGUGACACAACCUUUAUAUCCCUAUAUAUGGAUAUGUAAAUAUGAAUCUGUGACACAACCUUUAUAUCCCUAUAAAAAAAAAAAAAUCUGUGACACAACCUUUAUAUCCCUAUAUAUGGAUAUGUAAAUAUGAAUUAGGAAAUUUUGUUCUUUUCAGUUUGAAAUAUCAGACAAAUUUCAAUCAUAAGCUUCAAGCUUUAUUAUCCAUAUAUAAUUAAUGUAAUUGGUCUAUGCAGAUUAAUUGCAGAUAUUUACUUAUUUAGGAAGUAAUGGAGUUUAUCCUGAGGAGUUUGCUUUUUGAAUUACUCUUAUUUAUUAAUUCUCUUGCUUUUAUAGCAAGAAUUAUUAGAUUGGAGUCAUUGAUGAGAGUAUAUGCUUAAUGCGCCCUAAGUUCCUGCAUAUUCCGCCACCAAAAAUAGGACUCGGCUAGAGUUAUCCAGGCUUGUGAAACUUGAAUUUUGUGUUUCAAAGUUUAGUGCUGAGUUAGCCAACCACGCCCACGUAAGUAUUAUUCAUUACUACUAUUAUCAUUAUUGCAUGUAAAUUUUGCACCACCGUAUUAUGACUACAAUUCCUGCAAUGUAAUUAGCUUGUUCAUACAUGCCGCAUAAAUAUUGAAAUGGAGUUAGGUGUAAGCAAGCAUCUUAUCAAGGCACAAAUGAACUUAAAUUCAAAUAUGGCAUUAACAUUGUGACAUGGUGUAUGGAUACAAGCUUACCCUUCGUUCUAGAUCUCUUUUGUUAAUUUUUUUUUUCCAUUGUAACGAAAAUGAUAUUUCCGAUUUUUUUACUUGACUACGAACGUAAUUAUAGUUGCUAUGGCCUUGUAGGCACGGUUGGCAGAUUUGGUAGUUUUUAAGCCAACAAAAAAAAAAUCAAAAUUACAUAAAUUAGAUAACUCAAAUUAUUAACGGCAAUAUUGUCAUAACACCUGCAUAAUAUUUCAUUUUCAUGGAUGUCUAAGGUUUGUAAAAUAACUUACAUUGAUGAGGGUCAAUAAGAACUUUUUCUUGUAAAAUAACUUAAAAAACUUAAACUAUGAGUGUAUCGGAUAGGAAAAUUCUAUGAUCCCGUAAUGAUAAUUACGGCAUCAAUACAGUGAUAAACAUAAACAUUGUAAAUUACACACAAAACUUGUAAAUGUAAAGUAAAACCAGUAAAUUCAUACAAGAUUAUUAAUUAUUGAAAAAAUUAACAUCGUUUCUAUAGAGUUUUAGUGAAAACUAUUUUAUUCAUUUACAAAAAAUAUUUUCUUUAAUAAAAAAAACUCAUUAAUUAAACAAAAAUUAUACUGAAAAAAGUGGAAUAUGUUUUAUUGAAUUUGUUUAACCAUUAAUUCUAUAUUUAUUCUAGGACAUUUGUAUACUUUUUUCCUCCCAUUUUCUAUAAUAAUAUCUAUUUAUUACAUAAGUGAAUCAAGCACAAUUAUUUAUCAUGAUAUGGAUCAAGCAAAAACAAACAAAAAAAAUUCUUAUAAUACUAGACAUAUGUACAAUAUAUCAAUGAAAUUAUAUAUAAUUUUGAGCCUUAUACAUACAGGAUUGUUCUUGAGGAAGCGUAGAAAGAUACAAAAUAACCUCAUUUUACAACAACUAUGAAAGAUAUUGAAAUAAUUUUUUUUUUAAAAUCCGAUUUUGAGAAUAAAUUUCAUCCUUAAUAAAAUAUCACAUGUAUUACAUAAAUGCAAAACUAGCAUUAUUCAAUUUAAAUUAAAAAAUAUAAGGUAAUAAACAUUGUAAUGAGUUUUUAUUUUACAAUUGUGAAAUGUUUUUGUAAUAACUCUUAUAUCAAUUUAUUUAUUUUACCUUUUAUUCAUAAGUUUUAGACGUAAUCUAUAAAAUUUAUGUUUUAUUUUGCACUUAAUGUUGAUUUACUUGUUUUAUGUUAUAUUUGUAAAUUUUCGUUUAAUUUAUCAAUAAUACAUUAAAUUACCAGCUUUAUAGUAAUUUACUUGUUUUACCUUCUUUUUACAAGUCUUUUGUUUUAUUUCUAAAAUUUAUAUUUUAUUUCUUAGUUAGUGUUGAUUUACUAGUUUUAUGUUCUAUUUACAAGUUUUUGUUUUGUUUAGCAUUAAUACAUUAAUUUACUAGUUUUAUAUUAAUUUAUUUGUUUUACCUUCCAUUUACAGGUUUUAUGUUCCAUUUUCAAAAUUUAUGUUUUAUUUUGCGCUUAAUGUUGAUUUACUAGUUUUAUGUUAUAUUUAUGACUUUUUGUUUUAUUUACUAGUAGUUCAUCAAUUUAUCAGUUUUGUAGUAAUUUACUUAUUUUACCUUUCCUUUACAAGUCUUUUGUGUCAUUUUCAAAAUUUAUGUUUUAUUUUACAGUAAAUGUUUGAUUUACUAGUUUUAAGUUAUAUUUGCAAGUUUUUGUUUUGUUUUCUAGUAGUACAUCAAUUUACUAGUUUUAUAUUAAUUUACUUAUUUUAUCUUUUAUUUACAAAGUUAUAUUUAAUUUUUAAAAAUUAUGUUUUAUUUUACACUUAAUGUUGAUUUAUGCAUUUUAUGUUAUAUUUGCAAGUUUUUGUUUUAUUUACUAAUAAUACAUGAAUUUAUCGGUUUUGCAUUAAUUUACUCAGUUUAUCUUUCAUUUACAAGUCUUAUGUUUAAUUUCUAAAAUUUAUGAUUUAUUUUACAGUUAAUGUUAAUUUACAAGUUUUAUGUUUUGUUUACAUAAUUUAUAUUCAAUUACGGUAUUGAUACCGUAACUUUAUUCACGGCAUCAUAGAAUGACCCAAAGUAUAAGGAAAAUAUUUUUAAAUUUAAAGGGUUUAUAACCCAUAUUAAUUGGGAUUCAAAUUGAGACUUAGAUGAUGGGAUACCUCAUAUUGCUCAUUUAUACUUACACAUCCUUUAUAUGGCUAUUGCGUAUACAAAAUAAUGCAAAGAGAGAGAGAGAGAGAGAGAGAGAGAGAGAGAGAGAGAGAGAGAGAGAGAGAGAGAGAAGGAAUACAAAUAAUAUCUAAGUUACAAAAAGUCAAAAAUAAUAAUAAAACUAUGGUAAUAUAUCCACGAUGAAGAGCCCAAAAAAAAAAGAUAAGAUAAUUAAAGCAUUAAAAUAUGUUCUUAACAAAGUGGGGAAAAUACUAUGUGAAAGGGAAAAAAAAACAUAUGUAUAUGUUACACGAAAGACAAAAAACUAUAAUUUGGUGUAAUUUAUUUAUUAUUAACUUAUAAAUUCAUUGAAACUCAAAAUCAAGAUUUGAGAUCACCGAAAGACUCUUUAAAUGAGAUUUUAUAUCUCAUUUGAAGAGUCACAUAAUAAAUGAGAUUCUUCAAAUAAGAUUGUCAUUCUCUCUCUUCAAUAUUAAAGAGAAAGAAGCACUAUCUAAUUUGAAGAAUGUUAAUUCAAAGUGUUUUAGAGCCUCUAAUUUAGUAUUAAAUUAGUUUUUAUCUCAUUAUUGUUGAAGAGAGAGAAGUGCUAUAAUUGCCACUAUUUUAGUAGAGUAAAAAGUUUGAUUAAAACAAAAUAAAUUUAUUUUGAUUUAAAAAAAUUUGUUGUAGAUGUCAUAUUUUUUCACUCUUCUAUUUGUCAAAUAGGUAAAUAAAUAAAUAUUUGAAGAGUAAAUUAAAAAUUUAUUUUGGUGAUGCUUUAAGAAGACGACUCUUUAGAUGGAAUUAAUUAGUCCUCGGCUUAAAAAAAAAAAAAAAAGACUAAAGUUUAUGCUUGUCCAAAAAUACAAAAUUGUCGAUCUAGUAACCUUCAAUAUUUUUGGACGGUUUGAAUUGAACAUAAGCUUCCAGAGAUUUCUUCCCAACAAGUGGAUAUGUGUGCUCGCGCAGUCGCACUACUUAAUAUGAGUAUGACCCCCCACCUACCGGCUGCUAGUUUUCUCCAUGCCACAUCAUAUUACACGCAUUGAGUUUGCAAUUUUGAGGUUUAAUUUAGCCGAAAAAAUGGUAGCUUGAUAUGAUUUGCGCCUAAUUCCUUGUCUAAAUUAUUUUAAUUACCUAAUUAAUAGUCGCUUGAUAUGAUUCAAGUGGGAAUAUAGGCACUCUUUCGAUGAUGUGACUAAGAUGACAUAGCCCGGGCAACGUCAUUCGGAUUUGCAUAUGGUUAUGGUGGGGCAAAGCCUUUUUGACAAUCUGCGUCCAGAAAAGAAACUAGAUGCCGAAAGAAAUAAUACAUGUGGUACCCCAUUAAUAAUUAAAAUAAUCCAUGUUCGUUGAAAACGUCAGGUCACACGUCACAACUUUUUGUUUUCAGAUCGGUUGGCAAAAUCCGGAUGUAGGCGCAUUCGGAUCCGUAUUUAUAUUUUUGUACUCGUAUAUGCAUUUGGAUUUGUAAAAUAAGAUGUAAAUCCGGAUAUAGGUAAUAUUCGCAACAGAUGCGAGUGGAUAUUUUGAAUAUCCGGAUUCAUAAAAAUUAAAAUUUAAUAAUUUAAUAUAUAAUUUAAAAAUUCAAUAAUUUACUUAAUAAUAUCAAAUCAAAUCUAAUCAUAAUUCCACAAUUAAUAACUCAAAGUGAAUAACAUACAAUAAUCUUAUAAAUCUACAAAUAAAAGUUAAUUUUUAAUUUAAUUUUCAUUUUAAAAUAAAAUUCAAUAAUUUACCUAAUAAUAUCAAAUAAAAUUCAAUCAUAAUCCAACAAUUAAUAAUUCAACAUGAAUAAUAUAAUAACAUCAUAAAUCCACAAAUAAAAUUUAUUUUUUAUUUUUCAUUUAAUUUUAAUAUAUAUUUUUAAUUUAAUUUUUAAUUUAAAAUAAAAUUUAUCCCGAUCCAAAUCCGUAUGGUUCCCAAAUUUUCAUAUUCGGAUCUGCAUUUUUUAAUAUACGGAUUUGGAUUUUUCCGGAUCUGGAUCUUCCGGAUCCUUACAAAUCUUAGCUGGAUCCAGAUUUAACUGUCAUCCCCAUAUCAUAUUUUGGCUAGGUCAUAUUUUGGCGAUUGCGGUUCGAUGUUCUUGCUUAACUUUUUAAGGAUUUUAUUAGACCUAUCUACAUUAGUUAUUAAUGGCUAAAUUUGUUAUCCUUGUAUUUUUUUUUUAUUUUACGCUUUUCCAAAAAUGCAUCAUAUUGACAUAAGAUCUUAAUUCUAGAACAUCCCGCUUGUUUGCUUUUAGCCUCAUCGUGCAUAAUUGAAACACACUUCACUUCCAUUACUUUUUAUUUUUUUUGGGCUUACUUUUACAAUAUUACUCUUUUAUAAUAAUUUUUUUAUUUGGACAUUAAUAAAAAAAUAAUAAUUAAAUUACCAAUUUAACCCUAGAAAAUAAAAAAAAAUUACAUUAAUUUUUUUGCAAGCACCAUUUGCACAUUUGGUAGUUUGCAUACAAUUUUUGACAAUUAAAAAUUAAUACAAUUUUUUUAUUUUUUAGGGUUAAAUUGGUAAUUUAAUUAUUUUCUUUGUAUUAAUGUCCAAACAAAAAAAUUAUUAUAAAAGGGUAAUAUUGUAAAAGUAAGCCAAAAGAAAUAAAAAGUAACGGUAGGGGUAUCAAUAUUUUAACGGCAUGGAUGUUUUGAGGUAUUUUUAAAAAUAUAGGGAUUAAAUGGAUACUAAUUUUAAAAUACAGGGAUUAAAUGAGCUUUUACCCUAUUUUUUUGGUUGAUUAAAAUGCCUAUAACAAAGAUUAAUUCAGAAAAUUUAAUUGAUUUAUCCUACAAACUGAGACUGUGCAUGGAGUUUGAUUAAGAAGAAGUAGCAUGUGAAUUCUAUAAUAAGCAUACUUAUGAGAUUAAGGAUAAAAAUAUCACAAGCACAUGGAAUUAGGCAUAUUCAGAUCCUAUUCAAGUUCCCGUCGGACCCGUUACAAGAGCUCGAGCAAAGAAAUUCAAAGAAGCGCUUAAUGGAUUGAUUCAAGCAACUUGGGCUCAAUCAAAUUCGUGGAGACCCAUUGAAGGAAUCGCACAUGAUAAAUGCAUGAUUCAGGCUCUUGAAGUUUCCAAAUAGUCACUUCCAUGAAAUAGGGAAUUGGCUUAAACAUUAUGGUGGGAAAAUAUAUUAUUUUCCUUUUUCAGAUACUUUCCCAUUUAUUGAGGAGGCUAUUAGGGAAUCAAAUCAGUUAUUUCUAUUUUAAUCGCUCAAUUUCCAUUUAAUUGAUGUAAGGCAUUUAAGACAAUUAGGAUCCUGAUUUAGUUUAAAUUCUUUCCUAUUUACUUAGAUUAAGAUUCUAAUUUGAUUUAGAUUCUUUCCUAUUAGGGAAGAUUUGGAUUUAGAUUUGAUUUUUGGGUUAUGAUUUAUUUCCAAAAAUUCUUGUAACCAACCCUAUAUAAAGUACUCAUAUUCAAUAAACAGAGAAGAAGUUUUUGAUGCAAUUGGUGAGAGAGUUAAUUCUCUUUAGUUCUUUACGAACUCUUUGAACUUAUCCGAUUUCCGUGGCGUUCAAAUUCUUGACUUAUCAAUCAGACCAUCCAUAACUGAUUGUGGCGUCUUCACAUACCAAGGUUCGUGCUUUCAAUAAGCAUUGGGUCGAGAUUCCAUUCCAUUUCUGGUUUAGAUUCGAUCUUGAGAACUAAAUUGAUUAGGGUCGUGUCAGUUCUUGACGGGGUUCGUAUCACAUACCUUAAGUAUGGGCUUUAGUAUUAGAAAAGAUACCCAUGCUAAUAAUAAGUGUAAUAGUGAAAUUACAUCCAAAGUUUGUGUUUGUUGCAAACAAGGUUAUCGAUAGAAAGCCAAACAGAUCUUCCAAAAGUAAAGUAUAGAGCAAAUACAAGAGCCAUGUAUCAUGCUGGAUUAUUUAUCAAGCAAAAAUGAAGAAGAAUAAUUGGUUCGUUAAUUAUUUUAUUGAGUCUCAUAACCAUUCGCUUCUAAUGCAAGAGUGUGCCCACAUGCUACCUUCUCAAAGACAAAUAAUUGUUUCGCUAGCAAUUGAAGUAGACUUGGCAGAAGAAUCCAGGAUUUCACUUAAAUCUGCAUAUAGUUAAUGGGCAGACAAGUGGGAGGGCGAGAACCUCUUGGAUACACAAAAUUAGAUCAAAAUAACUAUUUUAGAACAAAGAAAUAGAAAGAUUUAGCUUACGGAGAAGCAGGGUAUUUAUUGAAAUAUUUUUCUGAUGAAACUUUAAAAAAUCCAUCAUUUUUAUACUCUAUGCAACUAGACAAUGAGGAACGGGUCACAAAUAUAUUUUGGGCAGAUUCUAAAAGUAUUAUUGAUUAUGGCCAAUUUGGAGGUGUUUUAAGUUUUAAUACAACUUACAAAGUAAAUAAAGAAAAUCGACCAUUUGCAACUUUUGUUAGAUUUAAUCAUCAUCGAGUGACAGUUUUAUUUGGGGCAGCUUUGAUGUAUGACAAGACUAAUAAUUUAUUUAUAUGGUUGUUCAAUUUGAAGGCAAUAUCUGCGAAAUCACCAUAAAUGAUCUUCACAUACUAGGAUGCUGCAAUGACUUAAGCUAUUUCUCAUGUAAUGCCUAAUACUACAUGGCAUAUGAUGCAAAAUGUCUUAAAGCGUGUAAAUAAUGUUUUUAAAGGUCCUAAAGGGAUAAAAAGUGAAUUAUCUACUUUCAUGGAGUCCAUUGAAGAGAAAGUUUAGUUUUCGAGUGCUUGGAAAGCAAUGCUUAAGGAAUAUGAUGUGUAUGAUAAUAAUUUGUUGAAAAUUGUAUUUGAGUUAAAGGGAGAAAUGUGCUUAUGCAUAUAAGGCAAGCAUGGUUAGCUAGAAUCAAUAGUAACCAACUUAGUGAGAGUUUUAAUAUUAUAACAUAAAAGAUUACCUCAAGUGAGACCUCAAUGUAGCAUAAUUUCUUAUGCAUUUCGAGAGGGUAAUUAAUGAUAAAAAGUACAAGAAGUUGGAAGCAGAGUACGAUUUAUGCUAUAGGCUAGUUUUAUUUUUAAAGAUUAACUGAAGAAAAUUAUUAUGAGUAAUGCAUUUGUUGUUGCUGUGUGGUAUUCAAGAUAAGUUUCAGCACUUAUUUCACUUUAUGCUUUUUAUAUUUUAAUUGAUGAGUUAAUUGAUUUAAAGUUUUGUUUGCUUGAGUUCAUAUAUUAUAUAGAUUGACGGAUGCAAAAUUUUAUGUAGUUUUUUAAACUUCAUUAGCCAAGACAUUUAUUUCAGAGUGGAGGACAUUCUUACAUUUGAUGCAUCCAUGAAAUUUCACAUUUUAUUGUUUUCAACGAGCACAACUCAGCUCAAUUGAAAGCUAUCUCAGAAACAGAACAAACUUUAUACAGAAAUUGAACUUCAGACGCUAAUAAACAUCUAAAAUAGUUUUGUUACUAGAUUAUAAUCGAAGACAAUAAAAAAUAUUGCAUUUUCCCUUCAUCAUAAUAAUAAUAAUAUGUAUUACGUAAAAUAAGAAUGACAUGAUAAGCGUGGCAUUUUCCCUUCAUUAUAAGAAGGGAAAUUAUCAGCUAUAUACUCUUAAAUGAUACCAGUAUCAAACGUGCUACAACACUUUUCAAGUGUAUCACUCGUAUACUCUAAGUUGACAAAACAUUUUUGCCGAGUGCCGUCCAUCAAUCCGUUAACUGCCAUUUGCAAGCGCUGACAUCAUAAGGGUAAUCUAGUCUUUUUAAAAAAACGACAUGUCAUCCCAUUUACCUAGUAAAAACGACAUGUCAUAUGAUAUAUUUUGAUACAAAUGACAUGUCAUCACAUUUCUCGGAUAAUUGUUAAUAAUUACUUUAAAAAAAGCUACUUUACAACCGAAUCUACUCCUCCAAAAUUCAACCUAAAUUAUUGAAGAUAUACUCCUCUAAGCUCAAACUUGAAUUUUUUAUGGUAUAAGAUGAAUUUUUUUUAUGGAUAAUUGUUAAUAAUAUGUACCAUUAAUAAUUUAUAUUUUUUUUAAUAAAAAAAUGUAUUGUUAAUAACAAAAUAAAAAAAAUUAUGUAUUAAAAAUUUAUAUUAAUUUUUAAGGUAAAUUUAUUUUUUUACUUAAUUUUGAGUUUAAAGGGUAAAAUAGUCAUUUUGCUAAAAUUCUGUUAAGUUCUUAACGGUAGUAAACGGAAAGAUAGACAUCAGAAUUCUUUUAUCAACUUAGUAUAUACGAGUUAUAUAAAUGAAAAAUAUUAUAGUACGUUUGAUACGAAUGUUAUUUAAGGAUAUAUGGCUGAUAAUUUUCCUUAUAAGAAUGGCAUGUUUUCUAUAAAAUCUUUUCUUUUUCCUUUUUUUUCUGCCCUUCUUCUAUUUUAGCUUCCACGUAUUGGGAAUUAGUUGUUAUUGAUUUGGUGAAAAUGGAAUUUGCACUAUUUGGAUCCUAAGAGGGGGCAAUCAGGAUCCUGAUUCAUUGUUCAGAUUUCUUCAAAAAGAAUAUUUCGGUUAAAGAGUGCAGAGUAGGGCACAAAUGAUUAAAGCAUUUUGCAGAUUUCUUUUUUUUUUUUUUUGGAUCCCACAUCGACUAGGUGGCCAAUUCACUCCGUUUUUUCUUCACUUCCAAAAUUCAUUGGCGUUAAAGGGAUGCGCUCUAUUGCUGACCUUUUAUUGGCCCAGGUAACAAAUCUUUUUUCCUUUUUUUUUCCCCUUUUAUGUUCUUUUGUUGUUGAUUCUAUCACGCUUCUUUGAUUAAAACAUGGGGAAGUUGUCUAAUUAAGUCACAAUGGUAAGAAUCUGCAGUAUUGUUUUGAAGUUUGCUAGUGUUGAAACUUGGCUCCCAAAAUCAUUAUAGUUUUGGGUUUGGACUAGAGAAGGAAGAUAAGAGUAUAUCAAACUAAAACCACAAUUACUUGAUCACAUUAUAUCAGUUUGCUUAGGCUAUAUGGGCUGACUUAAUGAAAUAGUGACGAUAAUGAUCGUAACUGAGGAAAAGAAGAACAAGCAUGAACAUUUUGCACCACUGUAUUAUGAAUAUAAUUCCUUCAAAGUAAAAGGCUCUAUAUGGAGUAUUAAUAUUGAGUUGGAGUUAGUUAUAUACAACGUGUUACUUGGUAUUCCAUUAUUAUUAAAUUAUGCAAAUCUGUUCCUUUGUCCUUCAUGUCAUGGCUAAAUACUUUUUCAUGCUUGUUGCAGACCUCUGUGGUUAGUGUAGUGAAACCUUGCUGGAUCUUGAGCCCAUUAAUGGGAUGUGGCACUUGAGCGAGAAUGGAAAACCUCGUGGGCAGAUUGAUGUAAUUAUUAUUGGUGAUACAGUGCUGCUACCUUUGCUCCCUCUCUCAUCAAAAAAUUGUCUUAAAAUUUUGCACUAAGAAAAUCUGUGUUUUUUAUAUUGCCGUGGCAAAAUGUUAAAUGGGCUUCACUUUUUUUUUUGGGGUGGGGGGUGGGGAUAAAAAAGAAAACAAAAGAAAAUUUUCAAAUUUUACAUUCCAUCAUUACCUCGGACUCAGGAGUGGGGAAAGGUUAAAGUUUUGUACAGUAAUAUAGAGAAACCCUCUGCCAAUCCAAACCUCUGUGAAAGGGAUCCCAUUUCAUGACAAUCUUUGUGGGUUUUGAGUUGGAAUACUCUGGCAGGUUAGAAGUUGUUUCAAUUAAUUAUCUAUAACAUAUGAGUUGUGUUAAAUUGUAUGACUAUAUAGUGAUUCAUUGUAGGAUACUAGGACAUCAAAGAGCUCAAAAUUUCUGACAGAUUUUCUUCCUAAAUUUGGUUAAAAUGUGAUGGAUAGAUUAGAACUAAGUUGCUCAGCAAUUUGUAGCUGUAAACAUCUAGAAGGCUGGAACUAAAUGCCAUUUGAUUAGGUUAGAAUAAUAUGAGCCGAGCUUACAAUCUUUGUCAUUCAUUCAAUUGCUUUUUCAGAUGACCACAAUUCAUCAUGUUGAUAUUAUCCGAUUGGUGCCUUGUAAAUUUCCUUUAUGACUAUGAUAUAGGGCAUUAUUGAAGAGUUGAAAAUAUCCAAAGAAAAUUAGCGAGAAUAGGUUCUGGAUUAAAAAGACAACUUUAUGCAUGUUUCCUUUCUGCUUCAUCAAUUGAUUAUAGACCAUUAAUUACCUAUGCCCUUUUUUGUUUCGGCUUUGCUUUACAGUAAUAGUGCCUAGAUGUAAUGAUAGGAAAAUGUGCGAAUCGGUUGUCUAUUCAUCUGGUGUACCUCUAAUAGCUAGAAAAAUGAAGGUAUAUAUCCUUUGAAAUAUUCAGUUUGUUUAGUGUCUAAACUAUGUUUUGUUCAGUCAACCAUUCCUAAAUUGUUUCGAAGCUUCAUGCUGCAUUUAUCCAGUUUGUAGAGCCUGGAACUAAGUUCUAUAUGGACAGUUCUUGCAGCAUCUGAGGAUCCCCUUCUGCUAGUAGUGCAGCAUCAUUAAAGGCACCUUUGUUAAUGGUGUUGAUUCUGUCUCAUGGACGGCAAAUAACUCAGUGAAGCUUUUUAGUUCCCAGAGUGAUGGUACUCAUUGUUGGACCUUUUUCAGCGCUGCAGCUUAUGGAAAAUGAAACAAGGUUCCACAGAUCUGUUGGUACAUAAAUGUGUGUCUUGUUUAAAAUACUUGUUUUCACAUGAUUAUAUGCUAGCAUUGACACACUUUUUUAUCAAUUGCCUAGACCUGUUGAAUCCAUUCAUACUUCAGCUUGAAAUCCGAGCUAUUGAAACAAGGCUGCAAUGAGUUCAGUUUUGGACUAUCCUUAUAGUUGUCCUAUUUCCUUUAUGGUUAUAAGUGCUGCGUUUGGCAUAUGAAUCUAAUUGAAUGAAAGUGAAUCAGGGGUUGGUCUUAAAAGCGCAUAUUGUUCAAAUACAAAAAGUAAUAUUAUUUGAGACAAUUCAUACGGCUUCCUUUGAGUGAAAAAUAGUCAUAUUACCAUUUAAACUGGCAUGAUAUGUUCUUCCAGUUUAUUUGAAGAAUUAUGAGAAGAACCUCAGGUGUGUUAACUAAAAAAUGCCCAAAAUGGACUGUUCAUAUUCAUGCCACUGAAUCCCAGGUAUGUUAAUUUUAAACUCCAAUUAAAUGCUCUAAUCUUUCUUCACUCAUUUUAGCAUGUAUUCCAUAAUUCAUGCUUUCUUCUUCCCCUUUUAAUUUUUCCUCUUCUUCUCUUUUAGCUUCCGUAGUAUUGGGAAUCAGUUGUUAUUGAUGUUGGAAAAAGGAAUUGUUUUAUUUGGAUCAUAAGAGGGACAAUCCUGAGCUUGAUUAUGUACUUUCCAUUUGACGCCAUUUAUAUUUAUAGGCUUCUUCAAUAAGUUGAUGUCGUUAUCUGUGUGAAUAUUUUUAGCUCUUGUAAUAAUGCUAUUUGAUUUCUGAUAACUAGUAAUUGGGUAUGGAAAGUGAAACAAGGUUUCCCAGGUCAGUUCAUAAAUAAAUAUAUGUUUACAUUCACGCACUUGCUAGUCAAUUGCUUAGAGCACUAGCAUAGUAGAAUAGCUUCACACUUUAGCUUGAAUUCCCAAGCUAUUGAAUGAGUUCAGUUUUAUGUGCAUAUUUAUUUAGAUUUGGUAAUAAUAUUAGCUUGAUUUUCUGCGUUAUACUUUGAAUCAAUAUAAUGUUUCAAUUUUACAGCAGAGAUUUAUGUUGCUAUUUAGCUUCAGAAAUAUCAGACAAGGAAUUUCAAACAUAAGCUCGAAGCUUGAUUAUUCACAUAUAAAUAAUGUGAUCUAUGUCGAUUGCAGAUUAUUUAGGAAGCAGUAUAGGUCAUACUGAGGUGUUAUCGUGCACAAAAUUAUUGUUUCAUCUGACAUAUUGUUCGCUUAAGCAAUAGUAAUGAACUUGAGGUGUUAGUUUUUGAAGUCUUCUGUUUAUAUAUAAGUUGUAUUGAAUCUCUCUCGACAAUCUUUCUUCUAGUUUUGAUCAUUGCAUCAUAAUUUUCACAUCUGUGUUUAUAAUAUAACUCUGUGCAUUACUUCAUCUUUUUCUCACUUUUUGAUUCCUUGCAUCUUGAAUCUGUUUAAUCAAUAUUCUGGACUUCUUUUGUGGAGAGGCUGCCCUUCUGAGAAUCUGUUUUCAGUUAUCACUUACCCCUUCUAAUAGUUUGCAAACCAGAUGUGGUUUUUGCAUGUUCAUAAACUUGCAAUGUAAUUUGUUUAUUAGUUCAGUUAAUACAAAUUUCAAAGAUGAAAAACACAAAACGACUAUUUAUUCCAAGCGUAUAUAUUUAUAUCUUGGACAGCAUUGAACUCUUUUUUUUAAAAAAAAAAAAUUGUUACAAUUGCCACAUUUGUAAUCUAAAAUUUAUUGGGAAUCUAGAUACAGACACUUAGUAGUGCAAUCAAAAAUAAAAAAAAUCUGUCGGACAUUAACUUGAAAAUAUGUUUCUACUACUAUUUGGAGAAGUGUAUAUUGUACGUGGCAUUGAACUUUUCUUUCUAUUUCUUUUUUCAAAAUUAUUACAAUUCACACAUAUUUCAUUCUAAAAUUUGUUGAGAUUCUAGAUACAAAUACUCAAGGAUACAAUUUUAAGCAAAUGAGCAGUUUGCAUAAUAUUUUACUCGUGGAGACUGGAGAUAUCUACCCUUAAUUAUUUAGUGAAAAUAAAUUAGAUAUCAAAUUUUGUCAUAACAAAAUUAAUCCAAAACAAAACAAAAGAUGUCACCUUAAUUGUUGAUAUAUCUGAAUCUUAUUAUCCUCCUUUUGCAACUAUGAAAACAAAAGAAUAUUUCAGCAGUGGCGAGAGAGCAGGGCAGAAUCAAGUAUAAAACAUAGGAUAAGGAACGAGAUUAUAACGAACAAAACUACCACUAAAUGAUGACAACUUUCAUUUCAUUUGCAUCUUCAUCCUCUCUGAUUCUUCAACCCCUUAAACCCCCAAAAUCCUCAAGACUCUCAAAAGCAAAGACACUAACUUCAACCAUUAAAGCAACUUCUUCUCAACCAAAACCCAACAACGCAAAUGCUAAAAAACCCACUUCAAGAAACCGCAGAAGAUCAUCGUAUGGCAGUUCGAGAAGGUCAGCUCUCAAGAAAACAUUCGCCCAAGAGCAAGUCACGUUCACUACACCCGUCUCCAGUGACCCGUGUGUGGGGAUUAUUGGUGGAGGCAUGGCCCGUCUCGCACUCUCGCUUGUGCUUUGAGUUUGGAUAAGAGAGGUGUAAAGUCCACUAUUUUUGACACGGUUUGUCACUUGUCUGGUUUCUUGGCCUUUUUUUUUUCUGUACUUUUGUGUUUUUGAUUGGAGAGCUUGAAGUGGGUGGCCAAUUCAAUUAUCUGUUUAAUAUGGUUAGGUUGUGUUUGUAUUUGAGAGUAUACGCUUGUAUAAUGGUAAUGUAAAAAAUUUGCUGUCAACAGUCUAGCAUGUGUUGUUAUGCAUUGAAUUUUGAUUAUAAGCAUCUUUUGGAAUUGAGGUGCUCUGACCUUUGAUCUGCGUUUGUUGAGGAAUGAAAUUAAAACAUUAGCUGCUAAAUAAAAAUGGGGGUUCAUCAAAAUUUUAGUCAACCACAUUUAUGUAUUCUUAACACUGUGCUUUGCUAUAUCAGGGGAAUCAUGGCUUGGGAGGAAGAAUGGGAACCAGAAUGAUUGGUCCUCAACCACUGAUAUUUGAUCAUGCUGCUCAAUUCUUUACUGUGACUGAUUCUCGGUUCAUGAGUUGGUUGAUGGUUGGUUGGAGAGAGGUCUGGUGUGACCAUGGGAAGGUGCGAUUGGAGAGCUUGAAGUGGGUGGCCAAUUCAAUUAUCUGUUUAAUAUGGUUAGGUUGUGUUUGUAUUUGAGAGUAUACGCUUGUAUAAUGGUAAUGUAAAAAAUUUGCUGUCAACAGUCUAGCAUGUGUUGUUAUGCAUUGAAUUUUGAUUAUAAGCAUCUUUUGGAAUUGAGGUGCUCUGACCUUUGAUCCGCGUUUGUUGAGGAAUGAAAUUAAAACAUUAGCUGCUAAAUAAAAAUGGGGGUUCAUCAAAAUUUUAGUCAACCACAUUUAUGUAUUCUUAACACUGUGCUUUGCUAUAUCAGGGGAAUCAUGGCUUGGGAGGAAGAAUGGGAACCAGAAUGAUUGGUCCUCAACCACUGAUAUUUGAUCAGACAGCAUCUUACAUGGCAUACCUUUAUUUUUAAAUUAUUUAAAUAAGUUCCUUUGUCCUUCAUGCCUUUAAUGCAUUUUGAUUCUUGUUGCAGACCUCUAUGGUUAGCAUAGUGAGACCUUGCUGGAUAAGUAAUCUUGAGCCAUUUAAUGGAAUGUGGCACUUGAGGGAGAAUGUGAAACCACGUGGGCAGUUUGAUGUGGUUGUUAUUGCUCAUAAUGGUGAUUCAGUGCUGCUAUCCUUUCUCGUUUUCUCUCUCUGUGGAUUGUUAUAGUCUUACAUUUGCAUUCCAAAAAUGCAGGUUAUUGUUUUUCGUAGUUGUAUGAACGUGACAAUUGCCUUUGCUAUUGGAAAAAAAAUAAAAUAUUUCUGAUUUUACUCUCUAUCAUUACAGUGGAUUAGGAAUGGAAAAUAAUCUGGUUUAUUACAGGGAAACCCUACCGAAAUCCAAACUCGGUCCCUCUCCCUAACCAUCCUGGAAUACCCUGGGGGGUUAGAAUGCAUAUAGUGUUACAUUAUAUGAUUUUGUAGUUCGCUGAGUUCUUAUGUUUUCUGGGAUACUAGGACUUCAAAAAGCGCUGAAAACUUCAUAGAAUUUCAUACUGAUUUUUCACUGUCAAUUUGGAGAAAAUGAUGGCUAGAUUACAAGUAAGAUUAAGAGCGACUUUUAAAUUUAAUCAACUGGAAGACUGGUAUUGAAUGGCUAUUAGUUAGGUUAGAAUAAGAUGAGCUAGACUUUCAAGCUGUGCCAUGCAUUCACUGGCCGUUGUAGUAUUACGUAGGUUGUUAUGGAAGUAAAAAAGAUCUCUAUAAAUUUAACAACCAGAUUAGGUUUCUAGAUCCAGAAGUCGAGGUUAUGUUUAUUUGCUUACUCUUUCGACUGUUAAUUGCCUAUGUCUUUUUCUGUUUACAUUUUGGCUUAGCUUUGUAAUAAUAGUUCCUUCAUGUAAUGAUAGGAAAAUGUGCAAACUGGUUGCUUGGUUCAUCUGGCUUACCUCAAAUAGCUAGACAAAUGAAGGUAUAUGCUUUGAAAUAUUCAGUUCUUUUAAUAUUAUCUAGCCUAUGUUUUAUUCAGUAUUGGCCAGUUCUAAUUAUUUUGAAGAUUCAUAACUCAUUUUCCUGGUUUGUAGAGGCUGGAACUAAGUUCUAUAUGGGCCCUUCUUGCUGCAUUUGAGGACCCCCUCCCACUGGGCAGUGCAUCAACAUUUGAAGGCGCCUUUGUGAAAGGUGUUGAUUCUGUCUCAUGGAUGGCAAAUAACUCAGCAAAACUUUUGAAUUCUCAGAGUGAUGCUCCUCACUGUUGGACCUUCUUCAGCACCGCAGCUUACGGAAAACAAAACAAGGUUCCACAGGUCAGUUUGUAUAUAAAUGUGGGUCUUCUUAAAAGUACUUGCUUACACAUGAUAAUAUGCUAGCAUUGGCACACUUUUUAACCAAUUGCCUAGACCUCUACUUGAAUCCAUUCAUGCUUCAGCUUGAACUCCAAGCUAUAGAAACAAGGCUGCAAUAAGUUCUGUCUUUUUGUGCAUAUUUAUGUUCCCUUUUAUACUUGAAUCAAUAUGACAUUUCAAGUUUACAGCGAACUUUGGUGCUGUGUGGAUAUAUAUAUGUUGCAAUUUAGGCUUUCUGCAAGAUUUUUAAUGAUUUUUUUAUCAUUUAUUAGGAAAAUAUCCCAACUGCAACAGCAGAGAAGGUGAAAAAAGGUAUGCUCGAGGGUGUUGAAGCUGCACUUGGCCGACCGAAAGGUUCACUUCAGAAGCCCAUUUAUACUCGAGUCCAUUUAUGGUAAGACUCCACUUUUAAGGACAUGACCUUGUAAUUUCAUUUUUUUAUCUUGUCCAAUUUGGAUCCUUGUAACCUACUUGACCUGUAAAUAUUUGCUGUUGGUGUUGGUUUAGAAUGAGUGGUUGAUUUGAACAAGCUUAAAAAGUUAUUGUGUGGACUUGUGUAUAGUCCUAGUUCUAUUUUCCUGUUACGCUCAUUUUUAAAAAAAGAUGGAACAUGUCAUUCCAAUUUAUUAAAUAAAUAAAACAACUUCAGAAUUUCAUGAUUAAGAAAAUAGUUCCUAUGUGAUGAAUUAGGUAUUUAUUUAUUUAUAUAUCUAUUUUAUUUAUUUAUUUUUUUGGGGGGGAAAUGUGUAGGGGUGCAGCUCUUCCAACUAAUACUCCAAGUAUUCCAUGUAUCUUUGAUCCUCAUGGAAGGGCUGGUAUAUGCGGCAAUUGGCUGUUGGGUUCAAGUGUAGAGUCAGCUGCAUUGAGUGGCAUGGCUCUUGCCAAUCAUGUAAGCAAGAAUAUGAUUUUUCUUUUGCUUAUUUGGUUUUAUUUUGUGCAUGUAACUAUAUAUUUCAUGAUUGAUAUAAAUAAAAUAAAAUAAAUCUAAGACAACCAUUCUAUCCCUAUAGGGACAUCUAAAUAUAAAUUUGCAGGUUGGCUUCAAUCAGAUUGAAAUAUCAGACAAGUUUCAACAACAUUAGCUUGAAGCUUGGUUAUUCUUAUAUAAAUAACGUAAUCGGUCUAUGUAGAUUGCAGACUAUUUAGGAAGUGGUGGAGUUCGUCCUGAGGAAUUUGCUGUCGGUUUACACAACGAGUUUCAAUUGCUCGAAGGACAUGAUAUUGGACAAUUCCCGGGUUUGGAGUCCGUGAAAAAAGAGCAAGUUCAAGCAUAUCAGCUUACUUCUUGAAUCCCUAAGCAGGCCACAAAAAUUUCUGGAGUUUUUCAAGGUAUACUUCUAUUGAUACACUCUUUAUGGCUUUCUUUUUUUCACUUGGGUUACUGUCAUGUUAAUUCUCUUGGUUUUUAUGGCUAGGAUUAAGAAGUUUAUUCACAAAAUGCAGUUAUUGGCAUAGUUGCUAAGCAAGCAUCCUGAAAUUCUUUUUGUGAUACCAUCCAUUAUGAAACGUAAAUGAGUACAGAUGCAAAGGAGAGCGGAUUCUUGGAGCAGCUAAAUCCUUACAGAAAACUUGUUUUCAGUAGCAUAGGUGACAGGAAUUGUGAUAUUUCCCUGGCUUUCAUGGAAGAAAAUAAAAAAUUUCUAAUAACUGUAACCUUUUUGAGUUCUCCACAAAUCAGUUUGAAUAUGAAGCCAAAUAUCAGAUGCAGAUUUUAGAGCAACAAAGUUCAAUGCUAUCAGUUGUUUUGGGUUCAAGUGAUCAGAGCUUCAUCCGGCACAAGCUCGCCUAACAGAGUAUGAAAAAUAUUGAAACCUACAGUUAACAAUUCUCAAGUUCCAUAUUUGACCUGUAAUCACAUUCAAGUUAAUACAUGACUACUGAUAUAUGAAAUGACAUUUUUAUUCAGUUCCAGGAAAGUCGCAUGCAGAGGAUUUAAGUUUCAUAUUAAUGGAAUGGUUUUGAGCUUUAUUAUUAGAUUUUAAAAAAAAAAUAAUUAAUGGAGUUAACAUUACUUAUUACAGGACAAGAAAGAGAGAUUAAUUCUCCAUGGGAAAAGCGUUGAAAGAAGCUUCUCAUGCGCGUAAUCAGCCUCUCAGUUGCUUACCAUGGCAUCUUUUCCAUACUUAUGCACAUGUUGAUAGAAUUCUUUCUUGGUUAAAUAAUCUGGGACAAAUCGCUGUUCAUUGGCAACACGAGCAACAAAAUAUCACACAAAUUAAUUCCAACAAAAAUAAUAUUUUUACACGAGAGACUUGUGUGAGAGAAGAGGGUUAAUUAGAUGAUUACUAUUGAGAUCACAAGUAUGAGCGAAAUGAACACAGGCAAUUGAACAAACCGUGACAGAGUCUAUCCAGCUGAAGAAAUCGAAAACUCUUCGGCAUUUGUCUGCAAGCUUUAAAGCCGUCGGAAAACCAUUGUGCUUCUGCUAAAUUAACUUGAUAGCCAGCAACAAAAACAACAAGAAGAGCCCAGCACAGUAGCAGUUUCUAGUUUUUCAUGCUUCCCUUCUUUUCUUUCUUGAGAUUGAAAUGAUUUAAGAUUUAUUUAAAGGGUCUUUGUCUUGGUAUGCAAAUAAUGGUUUGAAAACAGAUUAUAUGCUAUUACAAGUUAAUUUUUCUGAUAACGAGUGUUUGACUAGGAUUCUUGUCGUAGUGUAAUUAUUAAACAUGAUUUUAUAAUUAAUGAUUCUACUAUGGUAGUAAUGAUUAUAUAAUGAUUUUAUAAUUAAUGACUCUACCAGGAUUUGAAAACUACUAUGGUAGUAAAAUUGCUUGAAGCAACAGCUUAAAAUUAUCAGAUGGUGUGAAAACCGGAGAAGAUCUACCAAGAGGGUAAUGAAGUUUUCUAAAGUCCAACUGAAAUGAUUUCAGGAUUCACUUCAACAAUGCAAAAACAUAUUUGAUAUUUCAAAACUGAUGAAAUUCAUUAUCAUUAUCGUUAUCUUGGACGUAUUUGAAAUGCAUUAUCAUUAUCGUUAUUUCAAAACUGAUGAAACAUAUUUGAAAUGCAUUAAUUACUGAUGCUAGCACUUGAAAUAAAAAAAUAAAAAAUCAAAUGAUAGCCGUGUUCAAGAAGCGAAGUAUUUUUAUAUUUCAUACUUGGCCGUACCGCAAACCCAAUUUAUAAGACAUGAAGAAGAAAUCUCCUUUAUAGAGUUAUUUCUAAAAUGGCAGAAUCUACCAUCUUGAAUCAAAGUAUAUCAUUAGAAAAAGAAGGAGAAUUAAGGACAUUUUAUCUCGAGAGCUACCUGAUAGGGUACUCCAUUCUUGACAGAGUACUGGCCCUCGUUGUCAUAUUGCCACAGAAUCUGAAGUUCUUUGAGGAAAUGAAUGCUUUGGUGGAAGAAGACCUUGAGCAAGAAAAAGACCAACAUGAAAGAGAGAUGAAGAAAAUCUCUAAUUUUGCAAAUAUGGUCUGAUUGGCUUGUCAGAUAACUAACCAAACUAAUCACUACUUUCAGUGUCAAUCAAAUUCCAACAAACAAUUCAUUUUCUGUUCGAACUCGAGUGGUGAUCAGCCAAAUAAAGUUGCCUGAAAACUGCUCCGACAAAACUCUGGGGAUAUAGUACAUUGCUUGUUGAAAUUGGUGUAUGUUAAUAGAAAUAUAAAAGCCCUUACCGAAAUUUGACCGAGAUUGAAAGUAGCGAUUAAUUUGGUUAGUUAAAACUUACAAGCCCACAAGACCAAUUUGAUUAGUUAGAGAUCUUCUUCCACCAAGCAUCCACUUCCCCAAAGGAUUUCACCCAGAGGAUUUCAAGAGAUCGAUCUUUAAUUUGCCGUCUCUGAACAUGAAACAUGAUCCAAUAUAUUAUCACCACCUAGCAAUAUCUGAGUAGGCUUCUCUUUAACCUUGCAUGUUAUAAAGAUUGAGUACAUAUAAAUAAAAGGCAAGUGCUAAGUUAUAUGUAAUGUAACUUACACUACUCACAUGAACAGUGAGUGAGCCCCACACCAUCACUAUUAAUGUGAGUAGAUGUAAGUUACAUUAAAUAUAACUUAGAGGGAUCUAGAUAAAAUUGUACUCCGAAAAUUUGCCCUGGCCCUCAAUACAUGUUAAUCCAUGAGUUAGGUAAGAGUUAGUUGGCUUUGUCCUAUUUAGGAUUGCUGCCUUAUAGGUGUAGCUUCUAAGCAACAACCUCGGUUAAUGACUUUGUAUUUGAUGAAAAAUCUUUGUUACUCUCACUAUUUUUUUCAAUUAUUAUUUUUCAAGCUUUAAAAAUCAUAUUUAUCAAUUAUUUUCAACUUUUAUUUCGUUGCAAUUGUAACUCAAUUUUUAAGCCACAGCACUCUAAAUAAAUCCUCAACAAUUAAUGGUCUCUUUAACCUUGAAAUAUUAAUAACCCACCUUCGGUCACCAUGAGCCACCACCGCACCACGAACUGCCAUCGGCAUUUAUAUUUUGCUAUCUUUUGACGUUAAUUUUAUACUAUUAGAAUCUUUAUUACUGGAUCUACCCAACAAUUGCUUGUAUCAUCGACAAUAAAGUUUCUCGUCAUUUUAAGUACAUAGAUACAAAACUUUGAUCGUAAAUCUACGAUGAACAGAAGCUCUAUUUUCGGUAUUACAUUUACUGUUAUGAAACUCCAACGAUAAGGAUUCUCUUGGUAUCAAAAUUGACGUCAAAGGAUGCCAAAAUUAUAUCGAAGAGGGUAGAUUACGGUGGUUGGUGAUGGUCAAUAAUUUUGCCAUUCAAAUUUAUUAUUUGAUAAACUAAUGAUAAACAAAUUAAAUAUGUUUUAGUGUGUUAAAUAAUUUUGUAUUUUAAAAGUCAACAAGACAUUGACGGGGAGGGGGGAAGGGGGCAUGGGUUUUGAUAACACAGCAAAAAAUGCAUUAACGUUGUAAUUAGUGUUAUCCAACGCAUUUCAUUUCAAUUACUAAAAAUUGGUUUGUUUCAAUUAACGUUGUACCCAUGAAGUAGUGUAUGCCAAACAUAUUUUUUAAGUAUUGAAAUUGGGCAAAAGUUAUGUCAUAAAAAUAUUUGAUAAACACUUGUUACUAUAAUUUAAAAAUUAAGUUGAUUUGAUUAAUAAGAUAAAAAAUUUAAAAUAUAUUUUUUGUUUUUAUAAAAUUUUAUUUAAAAAUUAUAUUUAUUAUGUAUUAUUAAUUUUUAUAUCAAUUUAAACAAAAAUGAGAAGAAGCCCCAGCCUUUUAAUAGAAAUGCGAAGGCAGUGUUGCAACUUGGGUCGGUCCUCCCAAGUACAGUACUAUGGUACUGAUCAAAGUCCCAACCUCAUCUCAGUUUUGAGGUUUAAUCCCAUAAGGAAAAUAAGAAUAUAUGAAACUAGAAGCUAAAAUUACAUGGUCACAUGAUUGCAAUUGCAUAGGCUGCAUGGGUGGACUUAAUCAUAACUGAGGAAAAGAAGAAGUAGCAUGAACAUUUAUUUUGGCACCACUUUGUUAUGACUAUAAUUUGUGAAAAACAACAAGCUUAUUUAUAUAUGCUACAUUAGUAUUGAAAUGGAGUUAGGUGCAUACAAACAUCUUAUCAAGGCGUAUGCCAUUAUUAUAAAAUUAUGUAAGGCAAGUUCCUUCAUGUCAUGUCCUUUUACGGGUCUAAUUCUGUUUUAAUGAUUGUUGCAUCUUAAGGUUAAUGGAAUGAGACCUGCUGGACAAGUAAUCUUGAGCCAUUUUUUCUUCCCAAUUUUGUUUGUUUGUUUUGGGGAUUGUAAUGCAAAAGAUUUUAGACUGGGAAUGUAAUUAUAUGUUGCUAUGAGCUUUAGUUUGAUUAUAAUGAAUAAAUAAAUGUAUUACUGAAUUUCAGAAAUGAAGCUAGUGGGAAGAAGAAUUAAGCUUAAUUGAGAUUGAUAUAUAGAGGGGUACUGUGAUGAUCCAAGCAUUGAAGGCACAAAGAUCCCUCUCUGUUGGAUUACAAACGAGCAAGGAUAUCAAAGAAACCCCACCAACAAGGCAAUUUAGAGACAAUCUGUUCUACAUAGAUUCACUUAUUCUCUAACAUAAAUUACUUCUUGUGUGUUUUCUUAAGCAUUCAUUGCUUUUUGGGACUUGAUAGAGUGUUGUGGGAGUUUGACAAUUAUAGUAUCUGUGGAACUUAUAUCGUAGCUUUUGUUAUGUCAUGACAUCGCAGCUUAGUUUUAAUCUCAAUUGUUAAUGUCAUCAUCACGAUUCAUGAUGUCAUGGAAGUUCAUGAAUGUUUAUCUUCAGCUAUGUAAAUGAUGCAAAUCAAUUAUUAAAUGGUCAAUUUUAUUCAUAAAUUAUUAAUUAUAAAAGAAAUGAAAAAAUCUCAAUAGUCGGUAGAAGUAAAGGUAUCAAUUUAAUUAGAUCAUAGAUAAUAAACAAAAAAUAAAUUUUAAGUAAAUCAUAAAUAAAAAAUAAAAAAAUUAAUUAAUUACUAUAAGGUAUAAAUAAAAAAUAAUGACAUAAAUGGAAGUCUCAUAAAUAGAUAUUUAUAUUUUAAUCUUAUCCCACUUAAACUCAUGCAUAAAUUAGGAUUAAUAAUCUCAUAAUUUAGGAUUAAAUUUAAAUUUAGAUUUCCUCUGUCUAAUCGAGAUAAACUUACAAAAUAUAGGAUAAAUAUUUAAUCACAAAAUUAAUCCAAUCUCAUACUUAAAACCUAGUAUCCACUAGGAGCUGUACGUUGCAGAUGGUAAUGGGCACUGCCUGCACUCCGCAUUGGGCUUAUUAUUACUAAAUUCACACUCGCAUAAAAUUUAAAUUAUCAAACCGACACCCACAUCUGCUGCGGGUUUUAAUUUUUUAAGAAAAUCCACCCGUUGUAGGUUUUGACAAUUACUAUCUACAAUGCUACCCAACGGAUUUUUUGCGGGUUCUCAUAUUUAAAAUAACAAAUGUUUAAUAUAUAAAUUUAUAUUAAUAAGCUAAAAUUCCACAAAAAUAUACUCAAUUCUAAAUUUAAUCAAAGUAAAUAGAAAAUUAAAAUUUCAAUAUCAAUUCAACACAAAUUCUUAAAUUUAAGUAUGAAAUAUAUAAAUCCAUAAAAAAAAACCACAAAUGCCACGAAAAAUUCAUGGGUGUGCGGUUGCGGCACAAGGGUGAAAGGAAAAUGGGUAUGCUACUGCUGCUCAUGGGUGGAAGGGAAAUAGUUUGGAAGGCUAGGUUUUGCAGCUGCUGCUCAAAGGUGAAAGGGAAAUAGUUUGGGUUUCCUUUAGGUUAGGCUAUGAGUUGCAACUUGCACACACGACAUGUAACGUAUUUAUACUUUACAUUUAUUUAAUUUAUAAAUUUUUAGAUUUAAUUAUUUUUUCAAUUAAAAUUACAUUAAAAAUAUUUGGGGAAAAAAGUUACAGGUUUAGUAGAUAUCCAGGCGGCAUCCAUCGGAUAUUUAGUUAAUACCAAACCCACCCACAACGUAGUGCAAGUUUCAAUUUUUGAUACCAAACCCGCCCGUAACCCACAAAAUUACUAGUAAUGAGCGGGUUUUGGCAGGCAAGUUUGGACGAAUUUACUGGUUUGUAGGUACCAUUUAGGCUUGGCAAAAUCUGGAUCCAGUCCGGGUUUUGGUGUUGCCCGGGACUGGACCAAAUGAGUGAAACUCAAGACCGGACCCGGGUUAAAACCCGAUUUUUCCAGGUGCGGUCCGGGCUCAAGCCUGGCACCCUCGGGCCGGGGUUUUUUAUCCGGGUUUCUAAGCCCGCAUGUGAUAACUCAAUAUUUUUUUUCUUCAAUUUUUUCUUUCAUUUAUCUAACAAUGCAAAUUUUAGAAAAGAAAAUAGUCGAAUAAACUCAUUCAAUCUCAAGCUUUAAAAAAGAAAAUAAUCAAAUACAAAUAUAUAACAUACUAACAAUGCAAAUUUACACAAAUAAUAAAUAAAAAUUAUUUCAAUCUACUUUCUGAUACCUAAAUUCAUCCAAUUUCUAACCUAAACUCAUUCAAUUUAUAUAAAAAAAUAAAAUUAAAUUCAACAACACAAUAAUCACACAAUAAAUCUAAAUAACAUCCAACAUAUCAUAAAUUCAUAAUUAUAUAUAUAUAUAUAUAUCUUAAUUUUUAAAUAAUAAUUUUAACAAAAUUAAUAAAAUUAUAAUUUUUUUUUAUCAUACAAGUGUAAAAUCAAAUCAACUUAAUUUUUAAGUUAUAACAACUAACAUUUAUCAAACAGCUUAGUAUUAUUGUUUAAAAUGCCUAAGUUACCCAUUUAAUAAUUUAAUAUAUAAGAUACAUAUGUAAUCGAAUGAACAAGGGAAUUGACAUAUAAGCAAAUCAAAGAUAUUGUUUAACAAACAAUAAAAUUGUGCCACGUUUUGUAAGGAUGAGGAAACUUAACGGGCUUAACCGGAGCCUAUCGUUCAUUGAUUGUCAAGUUUUGUAAUGAGUACGGCUGCUCGAUCGCCAUCUUUUGCAAGCACCAGCUGCCACACUGCAGACACUUCCACCAUUGCGAAAUGGUCAUGCUUCAGUCUUUUUGUUUUUGUUAUGAGUGCCGCUAAAUAUCAAGAACAACGAGAGAAGGAUGAGAGAAUUACCUAUUCUCUCUCUCUGUUGUUGAUUUUUUUUUUCUCUCUCUUCUCCCACCACAUGCUUCAUUCUCUCGUCAUUCUUUCGUUUUUCUUGAUACUUAACAUUUUUCUUUUGUUAUACACAUUCGAGCAAGUCUUGCGUACAUCAGUUUGUGCCUGAGUUGCUGCCCUUUCAUUUUUACUUUAUGUAUUAAAGCAUCAUUCAUAAUCCUCCUCCCCACUAAAAAUGUUUUGAUAAAAUUAAUUAAAUAUUUAAAUUAUUUUAUUUAUUUAUUGUAUUAUGAUUACCCAAUAACUUAUUUACAAGAUAUUUAAUUUCCUUAUUAUUUUAACUUAUUUACAACGAUGGCAAUUGAACUCCCACACUCACUUCAACGACUUGACAAUUAAUGGUAGGAUAGUAAGCCUUUGAAUUUACGGAUUAUGUAAUGACUUCAAUGACUUUAGGCUAUGUUUUGGAGAUAUGAUUAAAUGCAGGAUUAGAUUAAUGUUAGAAUUAAAUAUUUAUCUUAUAUUUGGCAAGCUCCACUUUGGAUUAAAUUAUGGGACUAAAUUUGAAUUUAAUCCUAAGAUUAUGGGGAUUAACAAUCCCAAUUGAGAGAUGGGUUUAGUUAGGAUUAACUUUAAAAAUAAUUGUCUAUUUAAUUAAUUAUUAAAUGAAUAUCUAAUAUAAUAUUGGUUACUUUUAAAUUAUUUGCUAAUUUUUUGAUAAAAUAAAAUUAAAUAUUUAAAUAAUUUUUAAUUUGAUUUAACCUAGUCUAGUUUAUAUUUGUUUAUUAUAAUUAUAAUUGCCUAAUAACUAAUUUUCUGGAUAUUUAGUUUUAAUUAAUUAUCUUUUAAAUUAUUAUCAUUAAUUAUUUUAUUAUUAAAUAUUCAUAAAUAAUUCAUAUUUAUAUUUAAAUAUCAACUUAAAUGCUAUUUAAUUUUAUUCAAAUAAAAUUUAAUAUAGUCCAUUCCAAUACUAUACCAAACAUAAGAUAAUAUUAUAUAAGACAAGCUAAUUUAAUUAAAUUUAAUUAAAUCUAAUCCUAAUAAUUGGUUCAAUCUAAUCAUGCUUCCCAAACGUGGCCUUAACGUAAUAGUGCCGAUAUUUAGGGAUGGCAAUGGAUUGGAUUUGAUCCAAGAUCCAUGUGAUCCAAAUCCAAUCGGAUCGGAUUUGGAUCGGUUUAAAAUGGAUUUGGAUCGGAUUUGGAUAUUGAUGUGCGGAUCUAAGACGGAUCUGGAGCAGAUAUGGAUCUAUCUUAAUAUCUAAAUCCAUAUCCAUAUCCACUCAUCUUUUAAUUUUAUUUUAUUUUAAAAGUUUCUUAAUAAUUGUGGAAUGAUAAUGAUAAUAAAUUUUAUUCAUAGCAUAUUAGUAGUAUUUACCAUGAAUUUAAACUCUUAAAACUUAAAGGUUAGUUUUGUAAAUUUAAAGGUCAGCCAAGCCUCAAAGCAUGUACAUGCAAUAUUCAAAAUGCAAUCCAAGUAAUAUAACCUGGUAAUUUAUUUUAUCAUAUUGGCCAAAUAAUUUUUAAGAAAUAUAGUUAUUCAUAUAUUUAGUCAAAUAUGGUCAUAAUAAAAAUAAUAAAGGACUGAAUAUAAAUCAUAUUUAAUUUAUAUGUCAUUAUCUAAUGUUGUAGAAAUGAGGGUAGGUGUAUCGUGGAUACUAGAAUGAUGAAGGAGACAAUAGAAUAUUAGAUUGAUCUUACUCCUUAUGGGGAUUAACAAUCCCAAUUGAGAGAUGGGUUUAGUUAGGAUUAACUUUAAAAAUAAUUGUCUAUUUAAUUAAUUAUUAAAUGAAUAUCUAAUAUAAUAUUGGUUACUUUUAAAUUAUUUGCUAAUUUUUUGAUAAAAUAAAAUUAAAUAUUUAAAUAAUUUUUAAUUUGAUUUAACCUAGUCUAGUUUAUAUUUGUUUAUUAUAAUUAUAAUUGCCUAAUAACUAAUUUUCUGGAUAUUUAGUUUUAAUUAAUUAUCUUUUAAAUUAUUAUCAUUAAUUAUUUUAUUAUUAAAUAUUCAUAAAUAAUUCAUAUUUAUAUUUAAAUAUCAACUUAAAUGCUAUUUAAUUUUAUUCAAAUAAAAUUUAAUAUAGUCCAUUCCAAUACUAUACCAAACAUAAGAUAAUAUUAUAUAAGACAAGCUAAUUUAAUUAAAUUUAAUUAAAUCUAAUCCUAAUAAUUGGUUCAAUCUAAUCAUGCUUCCCAAACGUGGCCUUAACGUAAUAGUGCCGAUAUUUAGGGAUGGCAAUGGAUUGGAUUUGAUCCAAGAUCCAUGUGAUCCAAAUCCAAUCGGAUCGGAUUUGGAUCGGUUUAAAAUGGAUUUGGAUCGGAUUUGGAUAUUGAUGUGCGGAUCUAAGACGGAUCUGGAGCAGAUAUGGAUCUAUCUUAAUAUCUAAAUCCAUAUCCAUAUCCACUCAUCUUUUAAUUUUAUUUUAUUUUAAAAGUUUCUUAAUAAUUGUGGAAUGAUAAUGAUAAUAAAUUUUAUUCAUAGCAUAUUAGUAGUAUUUACCAUGAAUUUAAACUCUUAAAACUUAAAGGUUAGUUUUGUAAAUUUAAAGGUCAGCCAAGCCUCAAAGCAUGUACAUGCAAUAUUCAAAUUGCAAUCCAAGUAAUAUAACUUGGUAAUUUAUUUUAUCAUAUUGGCCAAAUAAUUUUUAAGGAAUAUAGUUAUUCAUAUAUUUAGUCAAAUAUGGUCAUAAUAAAAAUAAUAAAGGACUGAAUAUAAAUCAUAUUUAAUUUAUAUGUCAUUAUCUAAUGUUGUAGGAAUGAGGGUAGGUGUAUCGUGGAUACUAGAAUGAUGAAGGAGACAAUAGAAUAUUAGAUUGAUCUUACUCCUGCAAUUACUUCUGAAUGAUAUUUUAUUAUCUUUCUUAUUUGUUGUUUUGGUGUAGAAGUAUAAGCUACAAUAUUUAUUAUAUUUUUGAGAAAAAUUAUAUAAUUUAUUUGUUAUCAAUACAUUUUAGCACUCAAUUUUCAAUCUAAAAAAUUAUUACUUUUUUAUUACAAAAUUUUAAAAUUCAUGACGGAUCUAGAGCAGAUUUGGAUUUUAAUUUUUUUUUUCGGAUUUGGAGCAGAUAGAGAUAUUUAUUUCUUUUUUGGAUCUGGAUAUGGAGCGAAAAAUAUGGAUUCAUAACGGAUCUGGAGCAGAUGCGGAUCUUGAUUUUUAUUAUGGAUUUGGAUUUGGAGCAGAGUAGAUCUAACCCAUAUCUGCCCCAUUGCCAUCCCUACCGAUAUUGAUCGUGAUAAUGCACUCACUAUAUUGGGUGAUACACACCCAACCAUUCUUGUCUAGUUGGGGACCAUUCUUGAUCUUUUUAUUGCACUGAUCCGAUGUUCCACAUUUAGCCACGUUUCCGCUUUUACACAACCAAAGUUGUUGACCACAUCCGAAUUAGGGGUGUUAAAAAUGACCCGCCCAGUCCAGAUCCAAACCGCACCCUGACGUUGUGAGCCGAGUAUUACCCGGCCAGUUAUGAAGCCGGGCUGGUUUAUGAAUUAUUUGAUAAAUUCGGGACACGACCCAUAACUCGGAUUUAUUAAAAAAAAUUAAAUAUAUAUUAUUUUAAAUAUUUAUAUUUAUUUGACCCAUCUAUUACACAUAUAUAAAGUUUUAAACAUUUAAAGUUUAUUUUCAUGUCAAAAUUUAUUGAAAUAAAUUUAAAACUUAUAAAAUUACAAAAAAUAAAAAAAUUAUACAUAUAUAAUAUUAAAAAAAUAAAUUUGUCGAAUAAAAUUUAAAUUUUGAAUAAAUAAAAAUUACGGAGUUGAAAAUAAGAGGUUUCCGUCACGCUAAUUUAAAUGGAGAGGAUAUUAAGUUCAGGCUAAAUAAUUAUUAAAAAAUUCAUAAUAAAAAAGCAAAAAGAAAAUAAAAAUAAUCCCAAUCUGUUUGAUGAACAAGGAUAGAAAAGGAUGAUUGUUUUAUGAGUAGAUUUGGCUCAUUGGUUGGAACAGUUUGGUUGUUGACUUGUCAAGUGUUGAUUGGAUGCUCAUCUAGUGGUCCCCAUAAUGUUAUUGAAUUAUAGUUAUUAGGGUUGGUAAAAUGCGGGUUUGGGCUCAGGUAUUGCAAUGCCCGGACCUGACCCAGAUGUAAUUUUUAAAUGCUCGGACUGGGUUUUAAUUCGGAUACCUGGAUUUUAAAUUUUUUAAUAUUAUUUAUGUAUAAUUUUUUAUUUUUUUGUAAUUUUUUAAGUUUUAAAUUUAUUUUAAUAAAAUUUGACAUGAAAAUAUAAAUUUUAAGUAUUUAAAACUUUAGAUAUGUGUAAUAGAUGAGUCAAAUAAAUAUAAAUAUUUAAAAUAGUAUAUUUUUUUAAUAAAAUUUGAGUUUCGAGCUAGGUUCUGAGUUUAUUAAGUGAUGUUUAAGACCGACCCGACUUCAUACUCAGACCAAAUAAUACCCGACCCACAACGCCUGGAUGCGAUCUAGAUCUGGACCGAGGGGGUAUUUUUACCACCCCUAAUUGUUAUCUUCUUUCGUUUUCGUUUCCAUGUUUCAAGAUUUUCUAAUUAUUUAAUUAUGCUAUUUUCUUUUAAUAUGGUACACGCUACACACACUAGACAGGCAAUCCCAUUGAUGCUCUUUCCAAUCUCAUUAAGCAAUCAUCAUUAGCAUAUUUUUACAGCAUUCAAAUUAUUAAAAAUUAAAAUAACAUCAUUAACAGUUUGGAUUGGAACAACAUCUUGAAAUUAUAUAUCAAAAAGCUAAAAUUAUUAAACAAAAAGAAGAAAGAACUUGUAUACUUAUUGAUUACAACUUUCUCAUCUUAUUUGAACAAUGAAGAUGUCUUUCUGUGUGCACAUGCGCCGUAAGAUGAUUACGUUGUGGGGAAAACUGUGAUAAAAUUUUGGACCCAGUUGCCUUUGAUUUUUCAGACUGUCGAAAAUUGCGGCUAUGUGUUCACACUAUAUUAGUUCAGUUUAACCAUGCAAAGUUUUUGGGUAUUAUUCAUUGCGUGACACUGGAGACAAUUUAUAUUUAAUAGUUGGUUAGGCAUUUUGCUUGAUAUUAUUUGGACUCGUAGGGGUGUUAAAAUUUUUGUUAAUUUAUAAUUCAGAUCUUAUUGUAAUAAGAUAGCAAUUUUUGUUGUGGCAAAAUGUUGUUUGUUACAUAAACAGUUCAUACCAAGAAGAGCAGCCAUAUUUGACUUUUUAGAAGGACAUAAUAUUGGAAUAAGCGCAAUUAAGCAGUUAGCAAGCCUUUAGGAUGGAUGGCUUUCUAUGCAAAUGGGCUAUAAGAAUAAGAUGAUUUAAGUUUAGGGGAAAUUUGUACAUCUAGUUGCCUUCAAUUUUUCUGACGGGGAAAAUUGUGAAAAUUGUGGAUGACACGUGUAAUUUAAACAGCUUAAAAGAAGAAAUUAAGAUUAUCAUAUGAUAUAAUUAUAAAACGUCAAAAAGUGUAAUUAGAAAUUUUUGCUAAAGUAGAGAGAGAAUAAAAGGUCACAAAUUUGCUUUAAUUUACUCUAUGCUCCACGCGGUAUACUAGCUAGUACAAAUUCAGUAUGAUCACUACUUUAUAUAUGCAUUGCUUGAAAGUUAUAUAAAGUAAAUCUCUUUCACUUAUCAAAUUUUAAGUAUUAAUUAAUAAAUUAAUAAUGCUUAAUUAGAGAAGAAAAAACUAAGGGACAGUCCGGAAAGAUUAUUUGAUUAAAAUAUAUUCUUAAAUUCUACUAAAAGUUCAAUAGUGAAUAUAAAGUACAAAUAUAUAAUUUAAUAAUUUUCAAACAGAAUGUUCUUUUUUCAAUAAGAUUGGCUCAUAUUAAACUCUUUAUUAUUAAUCUAUAUUCCAUAAAGUACAAACUCUUUAUUAUUAAUCUAUAUUAAACUACCAACAAAGUGUUGGCUCCACUGGCAAUGGAGUCUCCUUAAGUGGUUUGACUGGAUUUGCUCCCCAGUUUGAGUCGCUGGGAAGUCGCAUUUGUUGGGAGAACAUGUGUCUCUCGGUUCGAGCAGGGACUUUUAGUAUGGGUUGUGGUACGGGCUUAAAAGUGCAUCCCAUAGUUGGGGCCCUUCCCAGGAUACCUCGUGGUCAAAACAAAAAAAAAAUUAAUCUAUAUUAAACUCAUGUCUCUUUCUAUACACAGUUGGCCUCCGUGCAAAAAGCAGUUUUCCGCGCGUAAAUCUUGUAUUAAUUUAGUGCAUGAUCUUAAGCAACAUCUUUGAUUUGCUAUUGUGUUGAUUAUCUCUGUUGAUUUUCCUAAUAUUAUAUCAUUUGUACUCUCUCAUACAUAAUAAAUUAUUAAAUCAAUGGUUUAUUCUUAAUAAGUUUUUUAGCAUUAAUUUGGGUGAAGGGGGACACAAUAGAUACAAAAUGGUUUCUUUGAGGAUUUUGUUUUUCUGUGAAAAAUCCAAAACUGAGAUGCGGUCAUGGGAUGAUUCCCUAAAUGAACAGACAUGUGGCAGAUGAAGCAGUCGUGGGUAAGUAUUAUUAGGAAUUUGAGUUGAUAUUUCAAAAUACUAAUAUCCCACGUUGUUUAAACAAGAGAACACAAGUUGAUUUAUUUAUAAAAACUAGAUACAUUGUGGCAUCAGAAUAAUGUUAUGUUAUAUGUAUGUAACUUAUAAUCCUCUCACAUAAAUAGUGAAUGAACCCACACUAUUAUUCAUGUGAGAAAAUUAUAAAUUACAUGCAUGUAACUUAGGGGAUCUUGUGGCAACAAAUCCCCGCAACACGAAACCAAGCAUAACUAAAAAUACUUUAAAGAAAUAUACGUAAAUUCCCAAGAGUUCAAAAGUUCACAAAACCAAGCAAUCCUUCGAAAGUUAAAUUCCCACUAUAAAGAAAUACAAGAAAUUUGUUCCAAACUCAAAAAGAAGACCCAAAGACCUAUAACUCUGAAAGCUACCUUUGAGACACAAGUAACAAAAGAACUUUGAAAGCUACCUUAGUGACAAAGAACAAAAGAACUCUGAAAGCUACCUUAGUGACACAAGUAACAAAAGAACUCUGAAAGCUACCUUAGUGACACAAAUAACAAAAGAACUCUGAAAGCUACCUUCAGAGCAAAAGAGAAGAAAUUACACAAGUAACAAAAGAACUCUGAAAGCUACCUCCUUCAGAGCAAAUCUGAAGGUACAAGAAAUUUGUUCUAAGCUCAAAAAGAAGACCCAAAGACCCAUAACUCUGAAAGCUACCUUAGAGACACAAGUAACAAAAGAACUUUGAAAGCUACCUUAGAGACACAAAUAACAAAAGAACUCUGAAAGCUACCUUCAGACCUUCAGCGCAAAAGAGUCCCUGGAAAAGAAGUCCCAGGAAAAGACCCAAAGACACAAAUAAAUAAAUAAAUUUCUCUUCUCCUGACACAAAGACACCGCAGAUACUAAAGCUACCUUCAGACCUCAAAAACCCCCUAUAAAUAAAUUUCCCCCUCAAAGCCAUCAGACCUCAACGCCAAUUCCCAAUUUCGCAGAUACUAUAAAGAAAUACUUUUUAAUUAGUUGAAACCUCAAAGAAACCCAGAAACCCUUCAAUUCAAACCUCAAAAAAUGUGCCUCGGAAACAAACCAUAUCAGUGCUCUGUUAUCUGGGAUGGGGAUGAAAACCUCGUUCACUUCAAGUGCCGUGUUCCAUCAACGACGAAGCGAGAGGAUGUGAAGGUUGAGAUUGAUGAACAUGGGAAAUUGCUUAUAGAAAUAAGCAAAGGGGUAAGUUCACAUAGUGAUCCUCUCUCUUCAGCUUCUUCCUUGAUGAUCAGAUUCGGAUCCUUUCUCCUAAGCUUCCUGAAGAAAAAUGAGGGAGACACCACCAGCCCGAUAGGCCCGAUGGAAUUUAACUUGCCAGCGGGUCUUAACACGAAUGACUUCGAGACUGCGAUCGAUGACGAGGGGUUGCUGACUCUCACUUUCAAAAAGCUCGUGCCCAUUCGUGCCCAUUAUCAGCGCUCUGUGUUCUGGGACGAGGAUGAAAACCUCGUUCACUUCAACUACCGUCUUCCAUCAGGGACGAAGCGAGAGGAUGUGAAGGUUGAGAUUGAUGAAGAUGGAAAAUUGCUUAUAACAAUAAUAAGCAAGGUGGCAGGUGCACAUACUGAUUCCUCCAUGAUCAUAUCCUCUCUCUUCAGUUUCCUGAAUAAAAAGGAAGGAGACACCACCAGCCAGAUAAUCCGGAUGGAAUUCAACUUGCCAGCGGGUCUUAACACGAAUGGCUUCGAGACUGCGAUCGUUGACGAGGGCUCGCUAACUCUCACUUUCAAAAAGCUCGUGGAGUGGAAGAACAAAAAGCGCGUCUUUCACUUCAAGGCCUAUCUGCCAGCGGGGACGAAGAUGGACGACAUGACGGUUGACAUAGAAGGUCGCAAAUCCCUUGUGAUAGGCAUUCAUGAUCGGCUGAAGAAAGAGGAAGGGGACACCAGUACCCGCAUGUGCUUGAAUGGCAAGAACUUUAGGAGCUUCAUUUUGCCAGAUGGUGUGAACCCAAAUGGCUUCGAGACUGCAAUGGAUGAUGCCGGUGUUCUAACUGUUACCUUCACUAAACUCAAGCCGGAGAAGAAAAAGCUGGGGCCAAUAGCGAAGAAGAUGCUGGGAUGUUUGGCUGAUGCUGCUCUUAUGCUGAUAUGUGGGGGGAUAACUGAUGCGAUUUGUCCAGGAGACUGCUAACAGGCUGGUGUCAAGUAGGUAUUUGCUUUAUGUUCACGUAUGUUGUUUCUGUCGUUUAUCUGUCAGUGUUUGAAAGAAAAAUAAAAAAGAACUCUGGACUCCAUAGUCUAGACCAGGUGUUCGUUAAUUUCUGUGUUGUGUGGUGUUGUGACUCCAGAUCGAGUCAAGACCAGGUGUUCGUCAAUUUCCGUCUUUCGUGGUGUUGCAUCUCCUUUGUUUCAGUGAAAUAAAAAAUGAUAAAACGCUGUUGAGCGAAAAAUAAAUGCAUUUUUUUUUUUAAUGGUGUUGAAUAUUAAAAAAACAAAACAAGGCCUGGUUUCAUGCAUACGUGCAGCCACAAGAUAAAGGAGAAACUGGAGAUCGGUCAGGUGAGCCAAUCAUGCUACAAAAUCUGCAAUCUGUGUAUAAUAGAAUUAAAAAAAAAAAAAACUGCUUGCGGUUGGAUUUUUUUUUUUCAAAUGAGUACAUUGGUAAUGGUGUCCGUAGGAAUGGUAAAAUCCGCAUUUAUAUUUUUAUAUUCGGAUCUGCAUCCGUAUCCGCAAAAAAAAUAUACGGAUCCGGAUGCGGAUAAUAUUCGUAACGGAUACGGGUGAAUAUUCUAAAUAUUCGGAUCUGCAAAAUUAAGAUUCAAUAAUUUAAAACGUAAUUUAGAAAUUCAAUAAUUUAAAAAUUAAAGUAAUUAAAUCAAAAACCUAAUUAAUAAUUAAAGCAAAUAUAAAAUUAAACUAAUUUGUAAAGGUCCAGCCAUGAUUUUUCACUAAAUUUAUGCUUUUACAUAUUAAUUUACUAAAACUAUGAAUAUUGAUUGUUGGAAAGUAAUUGGCGUGGGCUUGGCAGUUGGCUCACCUUUUGUAUUUCUAUUUUCGGGCGUUUAUGAGUGGUGGGAAGCAAGGGUUGAUUUCGGCCAUUUGUGAGUGGUGGGGAGUAGCCGAGCAGGGGCUGAUUUUAGUUGCUUGUGGCUGUACCCACUACUACAAAAAUUCAAAAUAAUGACCCAUAAAUUAUUACGGUUUUUAAAAAUAACUGUCAUUAAAAUUUUUUUAUAACCGUUAUUAUGUAAACCAUCAUAAUAUUUAAUACUUACAAUAACGGUUUUAUAAAAAAAUCGUCAUUAAAUAUAAAUUUAAAAUAUAAUAUUAUUUUUAAUGACGGUUCGUUAUAAAAACCGUCAUUAAAAAUAUUAAUACGAUAAUGACGGUUUAUUAUAAAAAUCAUCAUUAAAAAUAUAUAAUUAUAAUGACAGUUUAAUUAAAAAACAAUCAUUAAAUAUAUAAUUAUAAUAUAAUGUUAAGUUUAAUGACGGUUUAUUAUAAAACCGUCAUUAAAAAUACAAUAAUGCUACACAUCCCAAAUUUUUUAUCCCAAAAAAUUAUUCCAAAUGAUGUGUCAUUAAUUGAGUGGUUGAUAAUUCUUUACAAGAUCCAAGUGAAUUAAUUGUAUUAUCUCACCAACCAAUUGGUAAAUGACACAUCAUUUGGGAUAACUUUUUGAGAUAAAAAAUUUAGGAUGUGUAGCAUUAUUGUUAAAAAUACAUACUUACAAUGAUGGUUUUUAAACUUAACUGUCAUUGUAUCUCUACUAAAAUAUAACCUUAGUAUUAAUGACCGUUAUUUUAGGAACCGUGGUUAAAGAGGAAAUUACUAAUCUUCAUUCAUGACCAUUUAUUUUAUAAACGGUCAUGAAUAAUACAAAUAAAAAAACAAAGCCGAUUUCUAGACUUGGCAUUUUAUUUCAUCACUUCAAAAUAUCUCUCCCAAAUACCCAAAUUCCUUCCAUCACACGCUCAUUUCUCUCCAGAAUAGCCAAGAUUGAUUGUUGCCCACUUCGUAACCAUCACAACCUUGGGAUUAUUGUGCCGUCUCAGUAGCCACCGAGUUGAAUCCCAUUGUUAAUGCUCCAAUGCAUCCUCAGUUCACUGCCUAGGUCAGCUCUAUUUGACGUUUUGAUUUAUUUGUAAUCAAAUUGACACAUUAUCAGCUCCUCUAUUGAAAGCCCUCUACUUUCCACAUACAUUACUGGAAAGGAAUUUGAAAUUUCUUAUUUAUGAGCCAAAUCAUUCUCGCUCUCUAUCUCUCUCUAUAUUUUCAUUUUAUUACUUAUAAAUCUCAUUAAUUUGAUUGGGUAGGUUUCAUGGUUUUGUAACCUAGCAUUGGAUGACUCUAAACAUGGCUACUUCUCUCAGAGAUUAUUGGUGUGCUUGAUAUUAGUAUUGAGUUCAAUCAUCUGCAAGGUUUGUUUCAGUUCUAAUAGUUUGUUUUAAAAUUUUUCGUUGCCAUGUAAUUCUAUGGUGUGGAUUUUAUGAAAUUCAUGUUUAAUUCAGCAAACUCUGUUUCCUUUAAGUAUUUAGUUCUAUGACUGGCAAUAAUAGGUAGAAAAACCUUGAAAGGGCCAUAACAUUUUUCUUUUUUGUUGUUUUUUUAACUUUGUUUUGAUGUAAUAAAAGUAUUCCUUCCUCCCAAACUCAAUUGAGAGGAUUUAAUUGUUCUUUUCUUAUAUUGAAGUGUUUAGAAGCUCUGAUUGCCACUGAUUUAUAAAGAAAACAGCAAUUGUAAAAUUAUUCUGCCGUUAUAUGCUGUUAAAAACAGCACAUGGAACUUCCAAGCACUGAUUUUAGCAACUGGACAACAUCCAUAAAAUUUUCUCGGCGUGUCAUGCUGCUAUUUGUUGUAAAAAAACAGCAUUGAAAAGUUUCAGAUGCUAUUUUAACACAAUUACAGCAGCAUGACAACACCCAAAAAAUUUUCUAGGAGCUGUCUUGCUGCUAUUUGCUGUUAAAAACAGCACCUGAGAGUUCCAAAUGCUGUUUUUAUCAGCUGGACAGCACUAAAAAAAUUUUUAGGUGCUGUCAUGCUGCUGUUUAAGGCUAAAAACAACACCCUAAAGUUGCAGGUGCUGUUUUUAACACAAUUUUAGCAGCUACGUAGCACUUAUAAAAAAUUCUAGGUGCUGUAAUGUGCUGUUUGCUGUUAAAAACAGCACCUAAAAUUUUUUUGGGUGCUGUCAUGCUGCUGUUCAAGGCUAAAAACAACACCCAAAAGUUGCAGGUGUUGCUUUUAACCCAAUUUUAGCAGCUAUUUUCUAAGUGUUGUCAUGAUGUUGUUUGCUGUUAAAAACAGCACUUGAAAAUUUCAGUUGCUGUUUUUAUCAGCUAGACGGCACCCAAAAAUUGUUUGGGUGCUGUCGUACUCCUGUUUGAUUAGAAAAACAGCAUCCAAAGUUUUCAGGUGCUGUUUUAACAUAAUUUCAGUAGUUAGACAGCACUCGAAAAAACUUUUAGGUGCAUUCAAGCUGUUGUUUACUGUAAAAACUGCAAUGAAACUUUCAGUUGUUGGGUUUAUUAGUUAGAUAGCACCUAAACUACUUUAGGAUGCUGUCAUGCUGCUGUUUGAUGUUAAAAGUAGCACCCGAAAGUUGUUAAUGAAAUAGUGACGAUAAUGAUCAUAAUUGAGGAAAAGAAGAACAAGCAUGAACAUUUUGCACCACUGUAUUAUGGAUAUAAUUCCUUCGAAGUAAAAGGCUCUAUAUAUGGAAUAUUAAUAUUGAAUUGGAGUUAGUUAUAUACAACGUCUUACAUGGUAUGCCAUUAUUAUUAAAUUAUGUAAAUCAGUUCCUUUGUCCUUCAUGCCAUGGCUAAAUACAUUUUCAUGCUUGUUGUGGACCUCUUUGGUUAAUGUAGUGAGACCUUGCUUGAUCUUGAGCCAUUUAAUGGGAUGUUGCACUUGAGUGAGAACGGAAAACCUUGUGGGCAGUUUGAUGCAACUAUUAUUUCUCGUAAUGGUGAUACAGUGCUGCUACUACUUCCAUCAUUACCUCGGAUUCAAGAGUGGAAAGGUUCAAGUUUUGUACAGCUACAGGGAAACCCUCUGCAAAUCCAAACCCCUGUGAAAGGAUCCCACUUCAUGACAAUCUUUGUGGGUUUCGAGUUGGAAUACUCUGGCAGGUUAGAAGUUGUUUCAAUUAAUUAUCUAUAACAUACAAGUUGUGUUACAUUAUAUGACCAUAUAAUGAUUCAUUGUGGGAUACUAGGACAUCAAAAAGAGCUCAAAAUUUCAGACAGAUUUUCUCCCUAAAUUUGGUGAAAGACUGAUGGAUGAAUUAGAACUAAGUUUCAUAGCAAUUUGUAGCUGUAAACAUCUAGAAGGCUGGGACUAAAUGCCAUUUGAUUAGGUUAGAAUAAUAUGAACUGAGCUUAUAAUCUUUGUCAUUCAUUCAAUUACUUUUUUAGAUGUCCACAAUUCAUCAUGUUGAUAAUAUCCAAUUGGUGCCUGGUAAAUUUCCUAUGACUAUGAUAUUGGGUGUUAUGGAAGAGAUGAGAACAUCCAUUGUAAAUCAGCUAGAACAGGUUCUGGAUCAAAAAGACAAGUUUAUUCCUGUUUCCUUUCUGUUUCAUCAGUUGAUUAUAGACCAUUAAUUACCUAUGGCCUUUUCUGUUUCGGCUUUGCUUUACAGUAAUAGUGCCCAGAUGUAAUGAUAGGAGAAAUGUGCAAGUCGGUUGUUGAUUCAUCUCGUGUACCUCUAAUAGCCAGAAAAAUGAAGGUAUAUAUCCUUUGAAAUAUUCAGUAUGUUUAGUGUUAUCUAAACUAUGCUUUGUUCAGUCAACCAUUCCUAGAUUGUUUCGAAGCUUCAUGUUGCGUUUAUCCAGUUUGUAGAGCCUGGAACUAAGUUCCAUGUGGACACUUCUUGCGGCAUCUGAGGAUCCCCUUCUGCUAGGUAGUGCAGCAUCAUUUAAGGCGCCUUUGUUAAUGGUGUUGAUUCUUUCUCAUGGACGGCAAAUAACUCAGCGAAGCUUUAUGGUUCCCAAAGUGAUGGUCCUCAUUGUUGGACAUUUUUCAGCGCUGCAGCCUAUGGAAAAUGAAACAAGGUUCGAUGGAUCUGUUUGUGCAUAAAUGUGUGUCUUGUUUAAAAUACUUGUUUUUACAUGAUUUGUUAUAGAAUUGCUGAACUUGACUGUUAACUAAAGCCAAUUAAUCAAGUCGAAUUGAUCAAGAAUAGCCAAUUACGAAGAACACUGAGCUGAGUAGUUAGAGAUCAAUUUAGCCAAGAACAGACGAAUAACGAAGAACAGCACUCAAGGAUUAUGUGGUUCGGUACCAAGAUACCUAUAUCCUCAGCUGAAGAAGCCAACUGGACUUAAAGCUUUUAUUGAACUAAUCAAUUACGAUGAGACAUCAGAGAACAAAGCUUAAAUCUCUCUGUAGGGAAUUUCUAUCUCACUCUAAGCCUCUCAAAAUUUGAUUAAAAGGUUCUGCAUCAGUCAGCCCCGGGCCCUGUUUAUAUAGCUCAAAUUUUCCAGCUGUUGGUUAUAACAAAUUAACCACCAACUGGUCCGGCACUAGCUGACUCAGCUUGCCCCACAAUCAAAGGGUAACAGAAUUAACUAACAGCUUCACAUGAUUAUAUGCUAGCAUUGACACACCUUUUUAUCAAUUGCCUAUACCUGUUGAAUCCAUUCAUAGUUCAGCUUGAAAUCCGGGCUAUUGAAAUGAGGCUGCAAUGAGUUCCGUUUUGGACUAUCCUUGUAGUGUCCUAUUUCCUUUAUGGUUAUAAGCGCUGCAUUUGCAUAUAGAGCUAAUUGAAUGAAAGGAAAUCAGGGGUUGGUCUUAAAAGUGCAUAUUGUUCAAAUACAAAAAGUAAAAUUAUUUGAGACAAUUCAUACGGCUUCCCUUGAGUGAAAAAUAGUCAUAUUACCAUUUAAACUGACAUGAUCUGUUCUUCCAGUUUAUUCAAAGAAUUAUGAGAAGAACCUUAGAUAUGUUAACUAAAAAAUGCCCAAAAUGGACUAUUCAUAUUCAUGCCAUUGAAUCCUAGGUAUGUUAAUUUUAAACUCCAAUUAAAUGCUCUAAUCUUUCUUCACCCUUUUUAGCAUGUGUUCCAUAAUUCAUGCUUUCUUCUUCCCCUUUUAAUUUUUUCCUCUUCUUCUGUUUUAGCUUCCAUAAUAUUGGGAAUUAGUUGUUACUGAUUUCGGAGAAAGGAAUUAGGUGAUUUCUUCUUCCCUUUCAAUAGGACACGUACGCUCGUGCUGAAAUAAAAGGUUCCUAUGGAGGGGGCUAAUCAUUUUUCUAAAAUUAUUGUCACAUCAUCAAAAUGGUUAGUAUAAAUAUGAGACGUUACGUGCACCUUAUUAUUACUUCUAAUUAAGAGUUUGGUGAAAUUUGAGUUGUAUUGUGAAACAGUAAUGUUUGACUUGAUGUUGUGAUGCCAUUUUUAGUUCUUACAGGAAUGAGUUGAUGUCGUUAUCUGUGUGAAUAUUUUUAGCUCUUGCGAUAAUGCUAUUUGAUUUCUGAUAAUUAGUGAUUGGGCUUGGAAAGUGAACAAGGUUUUGCAGUCAGUUCAUAAAUAAAUACAUGUUUACAUUCACACACGUUUUUAAUCAAGUGCUUAGGGCACUAGCAUAGUAGAAUAGAUUCACACUUUAGCUUGAAUUCCCAAGCUAUUGAAGCAGGCUACAAUGAGUUCAGUUUUAUGUGCAUAUUUAUUUAGACUUGGUUGUAAAUAUUAGCUUGAUUUUCUGCCUUAUACUUUGAAUCAAUACAACAUUUCAAUUUUACAGCAGAGAUUAAUGUUGCUAUUUAGCUUCAGAAAUAUCUGACAAGGAAUUUCAAACAUAAGCUCGAAGCUUGAUUAUUCAUAUAUAAAUAAUGUGAUGUCGACUGCAGAUGAUUUAGGAAGCGGUGGAGUUCAUACUGAGGUGUUAACAUGGACAAAAUUUUUGCUUCGUCUGACAUGUUGUUAGCUUUAGCGAUAGUAAUGAACUUGAGGUGGCAGUUUUUGAAGUCUUUUGUUUAUGUAUAAGUCUUAUUGGGUCUCUCUCGAUAUUCUUCCUUCUAAUUUUGAUCAUUGCAUCAUAAUUUUAACAUCUGUGUUCCAUAAUAUAACUCUCUGCAUUACUUCAUUUUUUGGCACCUUUGGAUUCCCUGUAUCUUGAAUCAAAACUUUGUUGCUGCAGGUUCAAUAUUCUGGAUUUCUUUUGUUGAGGGGCUGCCCUUCUGAGAAUCUGUUUUCAGUUAUCACUUACUCCUAAUAGUUUGCAAACCAAAUGUGGUUUUUGCAUGUUCAUAGACUUGCAGUGUAAUUUGUUUAUCAUGUUUCGUUAAUACAAACUUCAAAGACGAAAAACACAAAACAAGUGAAACAACUAUUUAUUCCAAGUGUAUAUUAUCUAUCUUGGACAGCAUUGAAUUUUUAUUUUUCCCCCACCCAAAAUGUUACUAUUGCCACAUUUAUAAUCUUAAAAUCUAUUAGGGAUCUAGAUGUAUACACUUAGUAGUAUGAUCAAAAAGUUUAUCGAGCAAUAACUUGAAAGUAUGUUUCCACUAAUUAUAUUUGGGAAGUGUAUCUUAUAUGUCUUGAAUAGCAUUGAACUUUCCUUUCUAUUUCUUUUAAAAUUAUUACAAUUUACGCGUAUAUUUCAAUCUAAAAUUUGUUGAGAUUCUAUAUACAAAUACUUAAAAGAGUACAAUCUAAAAGUUCAUCGAACUAUUUACUUAAAAUUAUGUUCUCACUAAUAUUUGAGAAGAUAAGUAGAUAUUUAGUGAAAAUAAAUUAAAAAAAAAUCGUUCAUUAGCAUUUGUAUUUACAUAUAUAAGGCUUGUCUUUGAUAGACUUGAGGAAUUAAUCUCAGCAAGAAAAGAAAGAUAUUUGAUAAUUGCAACCAUGGAAGUUUCGUAAGCAGCAAGCGAGUUAUUAGCGAGAUAAUUUAAAUAUCUUACACUUGCAGAUGUACAAUUAAUCGAUGUUAUUCAUUCCUGCUUAAUCAAAUUAAGCUUCAAACUAACUAACUUUGGUACCACUCUUGUUUGACGCGCCCGGAAUCUUAUCCCUGGAAGCAACGAAUUAAUUGAAAUGAAUCAAGUCAUUAUCCUGCCAAAUGAUUUCUCUGGUUUCAGGAUCUUCAAUGGUGAACAACAAUUAAUCGAUAAGCAAGCUAAUGCAAAGUUUCCACCAAUAAAGAGCAAGCCGGAAGUCCGUGGAAGGUCUUCAAAAAUUCUUUCAAUAUACAGUAUACAGCAUCAUUGUUACUACUUUUAAUUUGGUUUGAAUAUAAUGUAAAACAACAAAGAGAAUCGUCCAUUGGAGGGAAAAAAUAAAUAAAUAAAUAAAUUACUACUUUUAUCAUGUGCAGAUUUUAAAACACACAAAAAAAAAAUCAUUACAUUUGAAUCCAAUUCUCUAAACUAGAAUCUCGAAUUUAUCUAAGAUAUAUAUAUAAAAAAUAAAGUCAUUGUCAUUUGCAGGCGCUCUCUUUUUUUUUUUUUUGUCUGGAUGCAGUUUAAUAGUUAAUUAAAAUGACUAUAAAACUAAAUGAUUUAAUAGUGAAUUGAAAGUUUACUCCAUUAAAUUAUAUAGUUUAAUAGCAAAAAAAAUGAAAGUACCGAUAUAUGUAUGUGUAUGUAUUAGUUGUCUGAUAUUAUAUAAUUACCCUCCUUACUGAUGGACAAAGUCAAAAUUAUAUUUCAUCCACUCUCUUCUAAUAAAAAAUGGUAAAUGACUCAGGUAAUUGUUUUGAAAAACCAAAUUAAGGCAGCUAAUAAUCGUUCGAAAAUAAAUUGGUAGGUUUAAUUUCAUCCAACUUCAUUAAUUGAUGCAAAAGAAUACAACAAAGAGCAACCUUGACAAAGUGAGUUGAACAUGACAUGCGUUUUUUCUUUACACCAAUAUUUUCAAGCCUAAUAGUGGACUGGACAUAAAAAUAAAGUAAGCCCUGUUAAUUUUUCUAAAUCAAUGUGAAAAAACAAAUUUCAUUUGCUAAAGCUAAAAGCCCGACCCAGUUUAUAUUAUGGGAUUUCGACUUCCGGAUCCUUUCUAGGCUUUGGGAGCACAUUCCCCCCCACAAAUUCGAAUUCUAGGACAAGUGACUAAAAAGCUCUGUUUACAUUCUUCUCCUUAAUUUUCUUUCUUUCUUUCUUUCUUUUUUUUUUUAAAUAAUGAAUGAAGUGGAGCUUUCUGGGUCGUCAGAAUGGAGAAUUAUUUGUCUCCAAUUUUUUUUCCCCUUUUUUGAAGUCAGUUGAUUCGGCUGCAAUCUUCUUCGCUAUGAUUCUAAUAUGGUCUUCUCUUCAUUUCUCUUUCUCUUUCUCUUUCUCUUUCUCUUUGAAUAAGAGACGAAUUAUUAACAUGACACGCGUCCCGUCAACUGAUGACGUGUUGUUUGACGAUUGCGUUUUAUUUAGUUAUAAAUUAAAAAUUUGAAAGAAAGAGAAAUAGUGAGUGAACGGGCAGGUGAGACGACUGACGCGCUUAAUAAGUUCAACGAAUCGAAUAUAAACAGAGAAGAAAGUUCAAUUGUUGUUUUUUCUGACAUAUUGAUAGCUUAAGCAUUAGUAUGAGCUUGAGGUGGCAGUUUUUGAAAUAUUAUAUAUAUAUAUAUAAGUUGUAUCGAGUCUCUCUCGACAUUCUUUCUUCUAAUUUUGAUCGUUGCAUCAUAAUCCUGCAUCUGUGUUCAUAAUAUAACUUUGUGCAUUACUUCAUUUUUUGGCACCUUUGGAUUCCUUGUAUCUUGAAUCAAAACUUAAUUGCAGGUUCUAGCAUGUACUUUUGUGUUUUUUAUGUGGGUUAUGUUUGUAUUUGAUGAGAGUAUAUGCUUAUUUAAUGGUAACUGAAAAAAAUUGAUUUAAAACAUUCUAGCAUGUGUUGUUUUACAUUGAAUACUGUUUUCGUGAAAAGGGUUUUGUAUAUCGUUCAUUACCUGUAGCUAUUGUGAUAGACAGUGUGUAUGCACCUUUGGCAAGCUCAACUCUUUUUGGAAUGCAUUAUUGAUUUGAUUAGAAGCAUGUUUAGAAUUGGGUUGUAGUGAUUUUUAAGCUGUAGUUGUUGAGGAAUGAAAUUAAAACAUUAGCUGCUAAAUAAAGUGGGGGUUUAUCAAAUAUUUUGGUCAACCACAUCCAUGUAAUUAUUUUUCAUUCUUUCUUUUUAACAAUGUGCUUUGCUGUAUCAGGGGGAUCCUGGUCUGGAAGGAAGAAUGGGAACCAGAAUGAUUGGUCCUCAACCACUGAUAUUUGAUCAUGCUGCUCAAUUCUUUACUGUGAAUGAUUCUCGGUUUGGUGAGUUGGUUGAUGGUUAGUCGCAGAAAGGUUUGGUACGACCAUGGGAAGGUGUGAUUGGAGAGUUGAUGUAGGUAGAUGUAACAAAAUGAAUAAACGAAUCGAGUUCGAAUCGAAUCGUAAACGAAUUAGGUCAGAACUGUGCAGAUUCAGAUUCGUUUUUUUAUUAAACAAAUUAAAAUCUUAGGAUUUAGAUUUAAUUUAUUUAUUAAACGAAUAUUGGUUCGAUUCGUUUAAUUUAUUUAGUAGAAUUAAUAAACGAAUUGAAUUGAAUUUAGAUUCGUUUACUAUUCAUUUAUCCUAUAACAAAUUAAUAAUGAAUCGAACUGAAUAUGAAUUCGUUUACAAAAAUAUAAUUAAUAAACAAAAAUUAAGCAACACAAAUUAUAAAAAAAGACUACAAAUUUAACAUCCUACAAAAUGCAAACUUAUUAUUAUUUAUUAUUACUAUAAUACUUUCAAAUUUUAAAAUUUUUUCAUGUGAAUAUUGAAAGAUAAAUAAGUAAUUUAAACGGAUAAUAAACGAAUGGAUCGUAUUCAAUUCAUUUAUGUUCCAUUUAUUAAAAAAANNNNNNNNNNNNNNNNNNNNNNNNNNNNNNNNNNNNNNNNNNNNNNNNNNNNNNNNNNNNNNNNNNNNNNNNNNNNNNNNNNNNNNNNNNNNNNNNNNNNNNNNNNNNNNNNNNNNNNNNNNNNNNNNNNNNNNNNNNNNNNNNNNNNNNNNNNNNNNNNNNNNNNNNNNNNNNNNNNNNNNNNNNNNNNNNNNNNNNNNNNNNNNNNNNNNNNNNNNNNNNNNNNNNNNNNNNNNNNNNNNNNNNNNNNNNNNNNNNNNNNNNNNNNNNNNNNNNNNNNNNNNNNNNNNNNNNNNNNNNNNNNNNNNNNNNNNNNNNNNNNNNNNNNNNNNNNNNNNNNNNNNNNNNNNNNNNNNNNNNNNNNNNNNNNNNNNNNNNNNNNNNNNNNNNNNNNNNNNNNNNNNNNNNNNNNNNNNNNNNNNNNNNNNNNNNNNNNNNNNNNNNNNNNNNNNNNNNNNNNNNNNNNNNNNNNNNNNNNNNNNNNNNNNNNNNNNNNNNNNNNNNNNNNNNNNNNNNNNNNNNNNNNNNNNNNNNNNNNNNNNNNNNNNNNNNNNNNNNNNNNNNNNNNNNNNNNNNNNNNNNNNNNNNNNNNNNNNNNNNNNNNNNNNNNNNNNNNNNNNNNNNNNNNNNNNNNNNNNNNNNNNNNNNNNNNNNNNNNNNNNNNNNNNNNNNNNNNNNNNNNNNNNNNNNNNNNNNNNNNNNNNNNNNNNNNNNNNNNNNNNNNNNNNNNNNNNNNNNNNNNNNNNNNNNNNNNNNNNNNNNNNNNNNNNNNNNNNNNNNNNNNNNNNNNNNNNNNNNNNNNNNNNNNNNNNNNNNNNNNNNNNNNNNNNNNNNNNNNNNNNNNNNNNNNNNNNNNNNNNNNNNNNNNNNNNNNNNNNNNNNNNNNNNNNNNNNNNNNNNNNNNNNNNNNNNNNNNNNNNNNNNNNNNNNNNNNNNNNNNNNNNNNNNNNNNNNNNNNNNNNNNNNNNNNNNNNNNNNNNNNNNNNNNNNNNNNNNNNNNNNNNNNNNNNNNNNNNNNNNNNNNNNNNNNNNNNNNNNNNNNNNNNNNNNNNNNNNNNNNNNNNNNNNNNNNNNNNNNNNNNNNNNNNNNNNNNNNNNNNNNNNNNNNNNNNNNNNNNNNNNNNNNNNNNNNNNNNNNNNNNNNNNNNNNNNNNNNNNNNNNNNNNNNNNNNNNNNNNNNNNNNNNNNNNNNNNNNNNNNNNNNNNNNNNNNNNNNNNNNNNNNNNNNNNNNNNNNNNNNNNNNNNNNNNNNNNNNNNNNNNNNNNNNNNNNNNNNNNNNNNNNNNNNNNNNNNNNNNNNNNNNNNNNNNNNNNNNNNNNNNNNNNNNNNNNNNNNNNNNNNNNNNNNNNNNNNNNNNNNNNNNNNNNNNNNNNNNNNNNNNNNNNNNNNNNNNNNNNNNNNNNNNNNNNNNNNNNNNNNNNNNNNNNNNNNNNNNNNNNNNNNNNNNNNNNNNNNNNNNNNNNNNNNNNNNNNNNNNNNNNNNNNNNNNNNNNNNNNNNNNNNNNNNNNNNNNNNNNNNNNNNNNNNNNNNNNNNNNNNNNNNNNNNNNNNNNNNNNNNNNNNNNNNNNNNNNNNNNNNNNNNNNNNNNNNNNNNNNNNNNNNNNNNNNNCUGCACGCUCGUAUGCGGUGAGCAAAUUUAAAUUUAAUAAUUAUGUUCGUUUAACUUUUAAUUUGAUAGUUAUUUAAUAUGUUCUUUUUGGCGAAUGUACAGGCCCCGGAUGACGUUGGAGUGUAUACUGACGUGGGCAAUGAAAAUUUGUCUACGCCCACGUCAUUGGUUAGUUUCUACGGGGAUGUUAGUGGGGAGAGCGUGCAGGUGUUCACAGAGGUGCCUCCGGGCGUUAGUAAGUUCGGCCGCGCGUACAUACCGUCGUAUGUUUAUAACAGUCCUUACAUGAUUCCUCCGGUCAGGCGAGGACAGAACGUCUGGCCUUUACCUCGACCCCAAAUCAUGGAGCAUGCGAUUGACAUGAGUACGAGUGUGGAUGUAAAUCCACUGAGAGGAUUGGAGGACUCUAGUCUGUUUGCUGAGUUUGAUCAAUGGUUUACUGGUGAUAGCAGAGUCCGCCGGAGAGUCCAGCACCCGCGGUCAUUCUUUCAAAUAAUUUUGGGGACAGCUUCGAUGGGAUGGUUAGGCGAUGAGGUAUUUAUAAUUUCCUCGUGGUGUAUACUGUUGUGGAUUUGUGUAUAAAUUUGUUUUUAAAAACUCGUAAUAUUUCUGUUUCUCUACAGCAUAUUCACGAGUAUCUCCGCUUGAUUAGCGAGAAGCAACGGCAGUAUCCAAAUGCCUUACUCCAACGUGUCACACAUACUGACACAUUUUUUUGGGUAACGUGCCGACAAAACUUAUAAAUUUUAUGUGGAUGUAAAAAUUUAAGUUUUAUUAAUUUAUGCAUUUCUUGGUUAUCUAUGUAUUAGGUGUUCUUGAAUCAGUUAUGGAAUAACGGGAAUUGUGCAGUCGAUUCAAUGGUAUUCGACGACCGCGUGAAUAGUUAUCUUUGUGGCCGCCAGCACACAAUGUCUAAAUCAAUGACGGAUGUCGAUAUGGUAUGUAUUUUAUUACAUUUCACAUGGGAUCUAAUGAAAAUAUUCAAGUUGUUGCGUUUUCUUUGUUGUAUUUUAAUUUCAUACAUAACGAACAUGUUUUUCAAUUGUUAUAUGCAGCUACUCAUCCCUGUUAACUUCGACGGCGCGCAUUGGGUACUAGCACGAGUUGACUUUCGGAAAAACAAAGUCUGGAUUUAUGACUCAUUACUCACAAAUCGCGACGACAAAAGGUACAAGUUGAAAUUCAAGCCACUUGAAGUUAUAUUCCCUCGAUGGUUGGAAUACGUUGGCUUCUACAAUAUCCGACCGGAGUUGCAGAGUGAAGACCCGUGGAAAGUUAUCGCAGUUAAGAGCGCGCCACAACAAGAGCCCGGAACUGGCGAUUGCGGUGUUUUUGUAUUGAUGGUUACGAUGUAUUUAAUGUUCGGGAUUAGAUUGGAGUUUAACGCUAGUCAUGUCGAGUACUUUAGAAAGAAGAUUGCGGUUGAUAUAUUUAAUGACGAUAUUCAAUUGUAAACCUAUGUAGUAAUUCAAAUGUUGAAAUUUGAAUUUUUUUUUACUUCGCACACUUAAGUUUAUAUAAUUUUAAUGCCUCACAUUUUAAACUUUAAAUAAAGUUUUAUGAAAUAUAAGUGUACAAUACAAAAAAAACAGUAACAGUUUUAACCAACGAACACAAAAACAAUAAUAGUUUUAACAAACUCAUAACACACAAAAUACAACUAACUUCGAGUCGACGCAAUGGGAUUCUUACAUCUCUUACGAUUAUGGCCUAGUUCAUGACACCGACCGCAUCUAACAGUCCGCCGGUCAACGUCCUCGCCAGCCGAGGGUAUUCUGAGCUCUUUACGACGGCCAGGUGGUGGUGCCUCAACUGGUGGGUAUACAUGCAUUUCCUGAAUUUCAUCUGGAAUUUCCCAAUCAGCCACAUCACCAACUGGCUCUACUGGUUGUGCAUAAGCCAUCGCCAACGAUUCUGUAGUGUAAAAGUCCGAGCAAAGGUUAAUAAAAUCCACCCGGUGUGUUAAACACGCCGCAAUUGCAUGAGCACACACAAGCUGAUCAAGCUGAAACACUCUGCAGGAGCAAGUUCUCUUUUGCAAGUCAACUAACCCUUCCUUAAGCCCACCGCCUAUAACUUGAAAGCGAUGCGGAGACACCGGCCGAACUAUCAUUCUUUCAGCUAUAGUUCUCCUCUCAGUGACUAUUUCAUCCGCCCAUGUUGUUAGCCGAGUAGUCAUUGAUUCAGCCACAAUUUUUCUAUCAUAAAACCAUUGCUGCAACAUUUUCCUAAAGUGAUCAACAAGAUGAGUAACAGGAAAUUUUCGCGGUUCCCUCAUGAAAGAAUUAACACUCUCCGCGAUGUUGGUGGUAAGUAUGCUGUACCUCCUACCUUCAAACUGAGACCUUGCCCAAUUACANNNNNNNNNNNNNNNNNNNNNNNNNNNNNNNNNNNNNNNNNNNNNNNNNNNNNNNNNNNNNNNNNNNNNNNNNNNNNNNNNNNNNNNNNNNNNNNNNNNNNNNNNNNNNNNNNNNNNNNNNNNNNNNNNNNNNNNNNNNNNNNNNNNNNNNNNNNNNNNNNNNNNNNNNNNNNNNNNNNNNNNNNNNNNNNNNNNNNNNNNNNNNNNNNNNNNNNNNNNNNNNNNNNNNNNNNNNNNNNNNNNNNNNNNNNNNNNNNNNNNNNNNNNNNNNNNNNNNNNNNNNNNNNNNNNNNNNNNNNNNNNNNNNNNNNNNNNNNNNNNNNNNNNNNNNNNNNNNNNNNNNNNNNNNNNNNNNNNNNNNNNNNNNNNNNNNNNNNNNNNNNNNNNNNNNNNNNNNNNNNNNNNNNNNNNNNNNNNNNNNNNNNNNNNNNNNNNNNNNNNNNNNNNNNNNNNNNNNNNNNNNNNNNNNNNNNNNNNNNNNNNNNNNNNNNNNNNNNNNNNNNNNNNNNNNNNNNNNNNNNNNNNNNNNNNNNNNNNNNNNNNNNNNNNNNNNNNNNNNNNNNNNNNNNNNNNNNNNNNNNNNNNNNNNNNNNNNNNNNNNNNNNNNNNNNNNNNNNNNNNNNNNNNNNNNNNNNNNNNNNNNNNNNNNNNNNNNNNNNNNNNNNNNNNNNNNNNNNNNNNNNNNNNNNNNNNNNNNNNNNNNNNNNNNNNNNNNNNNNNNNNNNNNNNNNNNNNNNNNNNNNNNNNNNNNNNNNNNNNNNNNNNNNNNNNNNNNNNNNNNNNNNNNNNNNNNNNNNNNNNNNNNNNNNNNNNNNNNNNNNNNNNNNNNNNNNNNNNNNNNNNNNNNNNNNNNNNNNNNNNNNNNNNNNNNNNNNNNNNNNNNNNNNNNNNNNNNNNNNNNNNNNNNNNNNNNNNNNNNNNNNNNNNNNNNNNNNNNNNNNNNNNNNNNNNNNNNNNNNNNNNNNNNNNNNNNNNNNNNNNNNNNNNNNNNNNNNNNNNNNNNNNNNNNNNNNNNNNNNNNNNNNNNNNNNNNNNNNNNNNNNNNNNNNNNNNNNNNNNNNNNNNNNNNNNNNNNNNNNNNNNNNNNNNNNNNNNNNNNNNNNNNNNNNNNNNNNNNNNNNNNNNNNNNNNNNNNNNNNNNNNNNNNNNNNNNNNNNNNNNNNNNNNNNNNNNNNNNNNNNNNNNNNNNNNNNNNNNNNNNNNNNNNNNNNNNNNNNNNNNNNNNNNNNNNNNNNNNNNNNNNNNNNNNNNNNNNNNNNNNNNNNNNNNNNNNNNNNNNNNNNNNNNNNNNNNNNNNNNNNNNNNNNNNNNNNNNNNNNNNNNNNNNNNNNNNNNNNNNNNNNNNNNNNNNNNNNNNNNNNNNNNNNNNNNNNNNNNNNNNNNNNNNNNNNNNNNNNNNNNNNNNNNNNNNNNNNNNNNNNNNNNNNNNNNNNNNNNNNNNNNNNNNNNNNNNNNNNNNNNNNNNNNNNNNNNNNNNNNNNNNNNNNNNNNNNNNNNNNNNNNNNNNNNNNNNNNNNNNNNNNNNNNNNNNNNNNNNNNNNNNNNNNNNNNNNNNNNNNNNNNNNNNNNNNNNNNNNNNNNNNNNNNNNNNNNNNNNNNNNNNNNNNNNNNNNNNNNNNNNNNNNNNNNNNNNNNNNNNNNNNNNNNNNNNNNNNNNNNNNNNNNNNNNNNNNNNNNNNNNNNNNNNNNNNNNNNNNNNNNNNNNNNNNNNNNNNNNNNNNNNNNNNNNNNNNNNNNNNNNNNNNNNNNNNNNNNNNNNNNNNNNNNNNNNNNNNNNNNNNNNNNNNNNNNNNNNNNNNNNNNNNNNNNNNNNNNNNNNNNNNNNNNNNNNNNNNNNNNNNNNNNNNNNNNNNNNNNNNNNNNNNNNNNNNNNNNNNNNNNNNNNNNNNNNNNNNNNNNNNNNNNNNNNNNNNNNNNNNNNNNNNNNNNNNNNNNNNNNNNNNNNNNNNNNNNNNNNNNNNNNNNNNNNNNNNNNNNNNNNNNNNNNNNNNNNNNNNNNNNNNNNNNNNNNNNNNNNNNNNNNNNNNNNNNNNNNNNNNNNNNNNNNNNNNNNNNNNNNNNNNNNNNNNNNNNNNNNNNNNNNNNNNNNNNNNNNNNNNNNNNNNNNNNNNNNNNNNNNNNNNNNNNNNNNNNNNNNNNNNNNNNNNNNNNNNNNNNNNNNNNNNNNNNNNNNNNNNNNNNNNNNNNNNNNNNNNNNNNNNNNNNNNNNNNNNNNNNNNNNNNNNNNNNNNNNNNNNNNNNNNNNNNNNNNNNNNNNNNNNNNNNNNNNNNNNNNNNNNNNNNNNNNNNNNNNNNNNNNNNNNNNNNNNNNNNNNNNNNNNNNNNNNNNNNNNNNNNNNNNNNNNNNNNNNNNNNNNNNNNNNNNNNNNNNNNNNNNNNNNNNNNNNNNNNNNNNNNNNNNNNNNNNNNNNNNNNNNNNNNNNNNNNNNNNNNNNNNNNNNNNNNNNNNNNNNNNNNNNNNNNNNNNNNNNNNNNNNNNNNNNNNNNNNNNNNNNNNNNNNNNNNNNNNNNNNNNNNNNNNNNNNNNNNNNNNNNNNNNNNNNNNNNNNNNNNNNNNNNNNNNNNNNNNNNNNNNNNNNNNNNNNNNNNNNNNNNNNNNNNNNNNNNNNNNNNNNNNNNNNNNNNNNNNNNNNNNNNNNNNNNNNNNNNNNNNNNNNNNNNNNNNNNNNNNNNNNNNNNNNNNNNNNNNNNNNNNNNNNNNNNNNNNNNNNNNNNNNNNNNNNNNNNNNNNNNNNNNNNNNNNNNNNNNNNNNNNNNNNNNNNNNNNNNNNNNNNNNNNNNNNNNNNNNNNNNNNNNNNNNNNNNNNNNNNNNNNNNNNNNNNNNNNNNNNNNNNNNNNNNNNNNNNNNNNNNNNNNNNNNNNNNNNNNNNNNNNNNNNNNNNNNNNNNNNNNNNNNNNNNNNNNNNNNNNNNNNNNNNNNNNNNNNNNNNNNNNNNNNNNNNNNNNNNNNNNNNNNNNNNNNNNNNNNNNNNNNNNNNNNNNNNNNNNNNNNNNNNNNNNNNNNNNNNNNNNNNNNNNNNNNNNNNNNNNNNNNNNNNNNNNNNNNNNNNNNNNNNNNNNNNNNNNNNNNNNNNNNNNNNNNNNNNNNNNNNNNNNNNNNNNNNNNNNNNNNNNNNNNNNNNNNNNNNNNNNNNNNNNNNNNNNNNNNNNNNNNNNNNNNNNNNNNNNNNNNNNNNNNNNNNNNNNNNNNNNNNNNNNNNNNNNNNNNNNNNNNNNNNNNNNNNNNNNNNNNNNNNNNNNNNNNNNNNNNNNNNNNNNNNNNNNNNNNNNNNNNNNNNNNNNNNNNNNNNNNNNNNNNNNNNNNNNNNNNNNNNNNNNNNNNNNNNNNNNNNNNNNNNNNNNNNNNNNNNNNNNNNNNNNNNNNNNNNNNNNNNNNNNNNNNNNNNNNNNNNNNNNNNNNNNNNNNNNNNNNNNNNNNNNNNNNNNNNNNNNNNNNNNNNNNNNNNNNNNNNNNNNNNNNNNNNNNNNNNNNNNNNNNNNNNNNNNNNNNNNNNNNNNNNNNNNNNNNNNNNNNNNNNNNNNNNNNNNNNNUUUUUUUUUUUUUUUUUUUGUCUGGAUGCAGUUUAAUAGUUAAUUAAAAUGACUAUAAAACUAAAUGAUUUAAUAGUGAAUUGAAAGUUUACUCCAUUAAAUUAUAUAGUUUAAUAGCAAAAAAAAUGAAGGUGCCGAUAUAUGUAUGUGUGUGUAUUAGUUGUCUGAUAUUAUAUAAUUACCCUCCUUACUGAUGGACAAAGUCAAAAUUAUAUUUCAUCCACUCUCUUCUAAUAAAAAAUGGUAAAUGACUCAGGUAAUUGUUUUGAAAAACCAAAUUAAGGCAGCUAAUAAUCGUUCGAAAAUAAAUUGGUAGGUUUAAUUUCAUCCAACUUCAUUAAUUGAUGCAAAAGAAUACAACAAAGAGCAACCUUGACAAAGUGAGUUGAACAUGACAUGCGUUUUUUAUUUACACCAAUAUUUUCAAGCCUAAUAGUGGACUGGACAUAAAAAUAAAGUAAGCCCUGUUAAUUUUUCUAAAUCAAUGUGAAAAAACAAAUUUCAUUUGCUAAAGCUAAAAGCCCGACCCAGUUUAUAUUAUGGGAUUUCGACUUCCGGAUCCUUUCUAGGCUUUGGGAGCACAUUCCCCCCCACAAAUUCGAAUUCUAGGACAAGUGACUAAAAAGCUCUGUUUACAUUCUUCUCCUUAAUUUUCUUUCUUUCUUUCUUUCUUUUUUUUUUUAAAUAAUGAAUGAAGUGGAGCUUUCUGGGUCGUCAGAAUGGAGAAUUAUUUGUCUCCAAUUUUUUUUCCCCUUUUUUGAAGUCAGUUGAUUCGGCUGCAAUCUUCUUCGCUAUGAUUCUAAUAUGGUCUUCUCUUCAUUUCUCUUUCUCUUUCUCUUUCUCUUUCUCUUUGAAUAAGAGACGAAUUAUUAACAUGACACGCGUCCCGUCAACUGAUGACGUGUUGUUUGACGAUUGCGUUUUAUUUAGUUAUAAAUUAAAAAUUUGAAAGAAAGAGAAAUAGUGAGUGAACGGGCAGGUGAGACGACUGACGCGCUUAAUAAGUUCAACGAAUCGAAUAUAAACAGAGAAGAAAGUUCAAUUGUUGUUUUUUCUGACAUAUUGAUAGCUUAAGCAUUAGUAUGAGCUUGAGGUGGCAGUUUUUGAAAUAUUAUAUAUAUAUAUAUAAGUUGUAUCGAGUCUCUCUCGACAUUCUUUCUUCUAAUUUUGAUCGUUGCAUCAUAAUCCUGCAUCUGUGUUCAUAAUAUAACUUUGUGCAUUACUUCAUUUUUUGGCACUUUUGUGCAUUACUUCAUUUUUUGGCAGCUUUGGAUUCCUUGUAUCUUGAAUCAAAACUUAAUUGCAGGUUCUAGCAUGUACUUUUGUGUUUUUUAUGUGGGUUAUGUUUGUAUUUGAUGAGAGUAUAUGCUUAUUUAAUGGUAACUGAAAAAAAUUGAUUUAAAACAUUCUAGCAUGUGUUGUUUUACAUUGAAUACUGUUUUCGUGAAAAGGGUUUUGUAUAUCGUUCAUUACCUGUAGCUAUUGUGAUAGACAGUGUGUAUGCACCUUUGGCAAGCUCAACUCUUUUUGGAAUGCAUUAUUGAUUUGAUUAGAAGCAUGUUUAGAAUUGGGUUGUAGUGAUUUUUAAGCUGUAGUUGUUGAGGAAUGAAAUUAAAACAUUAGCUGCUAAAUAAAGUGGGGGUUUAUCAAAUAUUUUGGUCAACCACAUCCAUGUAAUUAUUUUUCAUUCUUUCUUUUUAACAAUGUGCUUUGCUGUAUCAGGGGGAUCCUGGUCUGGAAGGAAGAAUGGGAACCAGAAUGAUUGGUCCUCAACCACUGAUAUUUGAUCAUGCUGCUCAANNNNNNNNNNNNNNNNNNNNNNNNNNNNNNNNNNNNNNNNNNNNNNNNNNNNNNNNNNNNNNNNNNNNNNNNNNNNNNNNNNNNNNNNNNNNNNNNNNNNNNNNNNNNNNNNNNNNNNNNNNNNNNNNNNNNNNNNNNNNNNNNNNNNNNNNNNNNNNNNNNNNNNNNNNNNNNNNNNNNNNNNNNNNNNNNNNNNNNNNNNNNNNNNNNNNNNNNNNNNNNNNNNNNNNNNNNNNNNNNNNNNNNNNNNNNNNNNNNNNNNNNNNNNNNNNNNNNNNNNNNNNNNNNNNNNNNNNNNNNNNNNNNNNNNNNNNNNNNNNNNNNNNNNNNNNNNNNNNNNNNNNNNNNNNNNNNNNNNNNNNNNNNNNNNNNNNNNNNNNNNNNNNNNNNNNNNNNNNNNNNNNNNNNNNNNNNNNNNNNNNNNNNNNNNNNNNNNNNNNNNNNNNNNNNNNNNNNNNNNNNNNNNNNNNNNNNNNNNNNNNNNNNNNNNNNNNNNNNNNNNNNNNNNNNNNNNNNNNNNNNNNNNNNNNNNNNNNNNNNNNNNNNNNNNNNNNNNNNNNNNNNNNNNNNNNNNNNNNNNNNNNNNNNNNNNNNNNNNNNNNNNNNNNNNNNNNNNNNNNNNNNNNNNNNNNNNNNNNNNNNNNNNNNNNNNNNNNNNNNNNNNNNNNNNNNNNNNNNNNNNNNNNNNNNNNNNNNNNNNNNNNNNNNNNNNNNNNNNNNNNNNNNNNNNNNNNNNNNNNNNNNNNNNNNNNNNNNNNUUCCUUUCUUGUCGAUUCUACCAUGCUUCUUUGCAUCAAAAGGGGAAAAUUGUCUAAUUAAAUCACAAUGGUAAGAAACUGAAGUAUUGUUUUGAAGUUUGCUGGAAGGUAGUGUUGCUGCUUGGGUAUUCCAAGUCCCAAAAUCUUUAUAUUUUUCAGGUUUGACAGGAGAAGGAAGAUAAGAGUGUAUGAAACUAAAAGCUACAAUUAUAGGGUCACGUGAUUUCAAUUGCUUUGGCUGCAUUGCUAGACUUAAUGAAGCAGUGCUGAUAAUGAUCAUAACUGAGGAAAAGAAUAACCAGCAUGAACAUUUUGCACUGACACGGUGAGAGUAUAAGAUUGAACACUUAAUGAGAGAGCAUAUAUAUAUUUUUACUUAAUUUAUUAUACAAGGGUUUUAUUAAUGUACUAAGAUUUAGUAUAAAUUUUCUACUAUAAUUUAAUAGUCCUAAAAAAAUUUAUAAUUCUUUUGUGUCUUCUAUUUUAUUUGGAAACUAGAAAAUAGAACCGCGCUUCACGCUGCUUUGAAAAAAAAAUUACUAUUAUUCUUUUUUAAUUUUUUUUUCUUACUUUACACUUGAUGAAACUAAUAAAAAAUACGAAUUGAUUUUUUUUUAAGAUCAGGCAGUCUUAUAAAAAACAAAAAAAGCUAUUAGCCAGCAAUACAAAUAAAAAAGUAACGCAAGAUAAAUAAUAAAAUGAGAGAAUCUAUUAUAAAGUAAUUUUAUUCAUUCCAAUUGUGUGUGUACAAAACAAAAAGAUGAGCUCUCCUUUUAUAGUUACAUAAUCACUCCAUGAAAUUAAUGAAAAAUUAUGGAUCAUAAUUCCUUGUGAGAUAGUGUUGAGCUUCUUAACACUUCUGAGUGAUGCGUCUAGGAGUUCAUUUUAGAAAUAUAUCAUUAAAUUAACCAUCUUGGCCAUUGACCAUUGUCUUUUCUUUUUUCCGCCUUCUUUGAUCUCGAUUGCGUGUGACCGACGUUUGUCUACACUGUCAUUGACUUAUUGACCACAUUGAUAGUGUGUCAUUUUGGGUACUGCAAAAAGCACAGCAACGAUUAAAGUGCAGCUUCGAAUAAUUCAUAUCUCGCUGCAUAUUUUUGUUGAGUGAAGUGCUGCGUAACCACUCCCACUUUAUUAGAAUCACUUGAAGAGGGUCCCUUAUGUCAUAACAAUGGAUUCAAAAUGUAUUUGAAUGUCAUUUAUAAUAUUAACUAGGAAAUAAAACCGCGCUUCGCAUGGCUUUAGAAAAUAAAUUUAAUAUUAUCAAUUUUUUUUUCUUUACACUCGAUAAAAUUGAUAAAAAAUAUAAAUUGAUUUUUUUUAAAAUGAGGCAGCCUUAUAAAACUAAUGUUAUUUAUGAAAGUUAACUACUUUUUUGUUAACGUUAAAAAUAUAUAUUAACAUGUAUAGUCUAAGUGUACAUACCUUAUACCUUUUGUAGUUGAUAAGUUCCAAAUUAAAUUUUGUAAUUGAGGAUCCUUAGCAAUGCGUUGAAUUAUAAAAGAAAUAAGUAAAAUACAUGUAAAGACUUUUACUAACUUGCACAACAUUGGAGAUGGUAGAAAAUCUUUCAAUUAAUGAUGCUACAUAAUCUAUUUGAAGAUUUAUGUAGAUUUUGCUUGCACUUGUGGCAGAGAAAUUAACCUCACCUGUUUAGAGCAAAUGUAACCUAAAACGAAACUUGAACAAAAUCCAAAUUUGUGUAUAAUAUUAAAAUAACCACAUUGCAUUUGAAAAUGUUAAUUAGUGGGAUCUAAAUAAAAUAAUCACCUUGGAAUUUUUUAAUGGUUGUAGAAGUUACUAUCAUAAUACAAGGACCCUCGUCUUUCUUGUACAAGUUUGGAUCAAACAUCUCCCCUAACUUUCCCCAUAAAGUAAUCUUUGUUGUUACCGAGCUAUCCAUAAAAAUUAACAAAAGUUAAUAAUGUAAAGAGAACCAAUAAUUAAAAAAUAACAUAAAUAACUAAAAAAUAUAAAGUCGUAGUUUUCUUGAUUAUAUUUAACUUACUAAUCCGCUAGAAUUUUUAUAUCUCUUUUUUUCCAACCAACUCCAACUCAAUAUCACCCACACCACAUAAACUUCCGAUAACAUCUGUAAUAUUAUGGAAAAAUAACAUAAACAUGUUAAAACAUAAGAAUUAAUAAUUUCUAAUAUACACUUAAAGAUUAACAAAUAUUAAUAAUUAAAAUAAAUACAAUUAAUAAUUUCUAAUAAAUGCUUAAAGAUUAACAAACAUUAAUAAUUAAAAAAAUACCUGAGAGGAUUGUGUUAUCAUUCACACGUAAAUCAAUCAAAUUCGGAGAUACGAAUUGAAAUCCAUUAAUCGGAAUCUUGACAGUUCCUUCUUCUAACCUCUUAAGAGAAGUUAUAACCAAGAAAAUAAUCUUAUACUGAUUUGAAAGUGGUCUGUACUCGCCUGUAGUUGAAACAACUUUCAAAUUGUUGACAUUGUACAAAGAACCCUCACUCAACAUGUGCUUAAACCUUGUCACUAAAGUUUUCCUGAUUGUUGCAUGCAUUAGAUAGCAUAAUAAAAUUUGAAGGAGCCAAAAGACACUCAACAAAAGGUUGCAUAAUUAAAUAUAUGAUUAUGGCAUUGAAAUUAGGCCAUAGUGGCCUUGUUGAGGGAAGAUGAAAGAACCUCUCUUCCUAUGUUAAUUUGUUGAUGUAUUUUAAGUCACUAAAGUUUAAUUGCUAGCAUAAUAAAAUAAAUGAAUGCUUUAAAAGACUUAUAAUUAAUUAUUAUUAAUGGUUACAUAUUGUUGGAUUUAAAUAGAAAGAGGAAGAAACAUGUACAAAGAAUAUCCACCAAUAUUUUAGAUAUUUUAGAUAAUAGAGAAUAUAAAAAGAUGAGGUUGAGGGAAGAUGAAACAACCUCUCUUCCUAUGUUAAUUAGGUGAUGUAUUUUAAGGCACUAAAGUUUAAUUGAUAGCAUAAUAAAUUUUGAAGAAGCCAAAAGACACUCAACAAAAGGUUGCAUAAUUAAAUAUAUGAUUAUGNNNNNNNNNNNNNNNNNNNNNNNNNNNNNNNNNNNNNNNNNNNNNNNNNNNNNNNNNNNNNNNNNNNNNNNNNNNNNNNNNNNNNNNNNNNNNNNNNNNNNNNNNNNNNNNNNNNNNNNNNNNNNNNNNNNNNNNNNNNNNNNNNNNNNNNNNNNNNNNNNNNNNNNNNNNNNNNNNNNNNNNNNNNNNNNNNNNNNNNNNNNNNNNNNNNNNNNNNNNNNNNNNNNNNNNNNNNNNNNNNNNNNNNNNNNNNNNNNNNNNNNNNNNNNNNNNNNNNNNNNNNNNNNNNNNNNNNNNNNNNNNNNNNNNNNNNNNNNNNNNNNNNNNNNNNNNNNNNNNNNNNNNNNNNNNNNNNNNNNNNNNNNNNNNNNNNNNNNNNNNNNNNNNNNNNNNNNNNNNNNNNNNNNNNNNNNNNNNNNNNNNNNNNNNNNNNNNNNNNNNNNNNNNNNNNNNNNNNNNNNNNNNNNNNNNNNNNNNNNNNNNNNNNNNNNNNNNNNNNNNNNNNNNNNNNNNNNNNNNNNNNNNNNNNNNNNNNNNNNNNNNNNNNNNNNNNNNNNNNNNNNNNNNNNNNNNNNNNNNNNNNNNNNNNNNNNNNNNNNNNNNNNNNNNNNNNNNNNNNNNNNNNNNNNNNNNNNNNNNNNNNNNNNNNNNNNNNNNNNNNNNNNNNNNNNNNNNNNNNNNNNNNNNNNNNNNNNNNNNNNNNNNNNNNNNNNNNNNNNNNNNNNNNNNNNNNNNNNNNNNNNNNNNNNNNNNNNNNNNNNNNNNNNNNNNNNNNNNNNNNNNNNNNNNNNNNNNNNNNNNNNNNNNNNNNNNNNNNNNNNNNNNNNNNNNNNNNNNNNNNNNNNNNNNNNNNNNNNNNNNNNNNNNNNNNNNNNNNNNNNNNNNNNNNNNNNNNNNNNNNNNNNNNNNNNNNNNNNNNNNNNNNNNNNNNNNNNNNNNNNNNNNNNNNNNNNNNNNNNNNNNNNNNNNNNNNNNNNNNNNNNNNNNNNNNNNNNNNNNNNNNNNNNNNNNNNNNNNNNNNNNNNNNNNNNNNNNNNNNNNNNNNNNNNNNNNNNNNNNNNNNNNNNNNNNNNNNNNNNNNNNNNNNNNNNNNNNNNNNNNNNNNNNNNNNNNNNNNNNNNNNNNNNNNNNNNNNNNNNNNNNNNNNNNNNNNNNNNNNNNNNNNNNNNNNNNNNNNNNNNNNNNNNNNNNNNNNNNNNNNNNNNNNNNNNNNNNNNNNNNNNNNNNNNNNNNNNNNNNNNNNNNNNNNNNNNNNNNNNNNNNNNNNNNNNNNNNNNNNNNNNNNNNNNNNNNNNNNNNNNNNNNNNNNNNNNNNNNNNNNNNNNNNNNNNNNNNNNNNNNNNNNNNNNNNNNNNNNNNNNNNNNNNNNNNNNNNNNNNNNNNNNNNNNNNNNNNNNNNNNNNNNNNNNNNNUAGUGGCAUUGUUGAGGGAAGAUGAAAGAACCUCUCUUCCUAUGUUAAUUAAUUCAUGUAUUUUAAGUCACUAAAGUUUAAUUGCUAGCAUAAUAAAAUAAAUGAAUGCUUCAAAAGACUUAUAAUUAAUUAUUAUUAAUGGUUACAUAUUGUUGGAUUUAAAUAGAAAGAGGAAGAAACAUGUACAAAGAUUAUCCACCAAUAUUUUAGAUAUUUUAGAUAAUAGAAAAUAUAAAAAGAUGAGGUUGAGGGAAGAUGAAAGAACCUUUCUUCCUAUGUUAAUUAGUUGAUGUAUUUUAAGGCACUAAAGUUUAAUUGAUAGCAUAAUAAAAUUUGAAGAAUGUUUCAAAAGACUUAUAAUUAAUUAUUAUUAAUGGUUAUAUAUUGUUGGAUUUAAAUAGAAAGAGGAAGAGACAUUAAAAUUAUUAAAAUUAAAUUUAGGCCCAUAAUUAAAUGUAAGAUUAUGGCAUUAAAAUUAGGCCCUAGUGGCAUUGGUGAUGGAAGAUGAAAGAACCUCUCUUCCUAUGUUAAUUAAUUCAUGUAUUUUAAGCCACUAAAGUUUAAUUGCUAGCAUAAUAAAAUAAAUGAAUGUUUCAAAAGACUUAUAAUUAAUUAUUAUUAAUGAUUACAUAUUGUUGAAUUUAAAUAGAAAGAGAAAAAAAAGUACAAAGAAUAUCCACCAAUAUUUUAGAUAUUUUAGAUAAUAGAAAAUAUAAAAAGAUGAGAAAUGAUAUUUAUUAAUAAAGUUACUAUUUAUUAAAUGAGUUAAAUACAAUCAAAUUAAAUAUGAGAAGAUGAAAAGCCAAAUCUAAAAAAAAAAUUAUUUAUUUAUUAGAUAAUAGAGAAUAUACAAAUAAGUAAAAUGGUGAUGCCACAUCACCUCCUCAAGUCCUAGCUUUAUAAAUGAAAGAACCUCUCUUCCUAUGUUAAUUAAUUCAUGUAUUUUAAGCCACUAAAGUUUAAUUGCUAGCAUAAUAAAAUAAAUAAAUGUUUCAAAAGACUUAUAAUUAAUUAUUAUUAAUGAUUACAUAUUGUUGAAUUUAAAUAGAAAGAGAAAAAAAAGUACAAAGAAUAUCCACCAAUAUUUUAGAUAAUAGAAAAUAUAUAAAGAUGAGGAAUGAUAUAUAUUAAUAAAGUUACUAUUUAUUAAAUGAGUUAAAUACAAUCAAAUUAAUUAUGAGAAGAUGAAAAGCCAAAUCUAAAAAUAAAAAUAUCUAUUUAUUAGAUAAUAGAUAAUAUACAAAGAAGCAAAAUGGUGAUGCCACAUCACCUCUUCAAGUCCUAGCUUUAUAUAUAUAUAUAGAUAUAUAUAUAUAGAUUCUACUAUUUUACUGACUAUACGUGGUUGUAGUUCUAUUGUUGAAAUUUUGUGUAAAGAACGUAAGUUUGAGUGGAGAUUUCUUGUCAGAUUUUUUGAAGAUCAAAAUAUAUAUUUCUUAUUUUUAAUACUUAAUUUUUUUAUUUAGUUUUUAUUCAUGUAAUUUAUUUAAAUUAAAAUAAAUGUAAAUAAAAUAGUAAUUAAAAAUAAGGGUUAUAUUGUAAACUUAUGUUGUCGGGGGGUUUUUGGCCAUUAUAAAAAUAAUAAGAGGGUAAAUCGUAUAUGUUAAUUACUGUAGGGGGGAAAGUGGCAAUCUCCCAUUAUAAUAUAGUGGGUGGAAAAAAAUAAUUGUUAUCACUAAAACGACUUUAAGAUUUUUAAUUAAUUUGUAAAGAUUGACACAAAACAUCUUUGUAUGGACUUUGUGCUGUCUUAGUUUUUGUUCUCUUACUUUCGUUUAAGUGUCUGCUUGUUACAUGGGGAAGAACAGCCUUUUCAGAAGGUGGGGAAGGGAAACAUAGAGGACCUGUCUAUGGUACAGAUUCUGUAACAAACAUCUCCCGUCAUCCCACCAUCCGAUCUUCUAUUGUUUAGUUUCUCACUCCACAUCCAACGGCUGAUGCUGCAGUCUGUACCUUACAGAUUCUGUAAGCUAGUCGAGUCCAACAUAGAAUAUCAGAAGGGACCAGCAAUGUUGCAGCAGGCAAGCCUUCGAGUUCCGAAUGAGCAGUGCUAGCGUCAUUUGCCUUUGACGCAGCCGCUGCUUCAAAUGGGGACACGUAACCCUCUGUUUUUUUGCUUAAUCACUUACAAUUUGUGAUUAAGAAAUCCUCAGUCUUUAUGCUUAAUUACUAUAUUACCAUUUCCUUUAGUUUUUUUUGGGGAAAAAAUAACAUUUAUUUAAAGUUUAAAUUGGCUACAAUGUUUGUUUAAUAUGACAGUAACAAUGUUACGCAAAUAUUUCUUACUCAAAAUUUUAUUUUUCUGAGAUAAGAUUCAAAUAAUAAUAAUAAUAAUAAAUAUCAAUACACCAUUAUUACUUUUCCACUUCUUAUUUUAGCCGCUCUCUUUAUUAUGAUUUUUACAAAUAAUUUGAUACUUUUUGUGAAGUUAACAGGUCCUCUUAAUUAUUAGUGGAGUAGAUUUAACUAGCUUAAGUUUUUAUUUAAAUAUUCAAAAUGCUUUUGAUAAUUGAUUUAGGAGAUUCAAAUAAAUUUUUUACUAUAAAUAUCAAUAUUUUUAUCAAGUAAUUUAGUGACUUAUAAUGAAAAGUAAUUUUUACUUGUGCAAUUUUUUAAUAAAUUUAAUCUGGUACUGACUCCAUAUUUUUAUUCAUAAAUAUCUUUUCUUUUUGGUUAAUUGUUUGUCUCAGGAAAUAGAUUAAACAAAUAUAUGAAGGUGUUUGUGUUAUAAAGGGUAUUUUUUUUUUUUUUUUUUGAUAAAGAAAGGGCUCUAAAAGAGAAGAGCUAGAGGGGCACAAAACGGGGGUGUGCCACCCCAUACAUAUCCGCAGAUAAAAUAGAUCUCAAAUCUAAAGGCGCAGAAUGAAGAAAAUGCACUCCAACAGGUAAACUCAAAGCAUGCGUAGAAAGGAAAUCAGCUGCCGAGUUUGCUUCGCGGUAGAUGUGAUCAAUUUGAAUCCUCCAAUCCCUCCUCAUGAGAUCUCUAAUCAUCUCGAUUAUAUUCGAAAUUUCGUUGACAUGAACAUAAUUUUCUUUUAUAAUUUGCACCACACUACAGUUGUCUAUUCCAACUUGGAUACGUCUAUAGCCAAGGUCCCAUGCCAUCCUUAACCCAUGCAAGACACCCCAAAGUUCAGCUUUUAGCACGGAACAAACUCCAAGAUGUGCGCUGAAACCAUGAAUAAAAUUACCAUGGCAGUCCCGCAGCAACCCACCUGCACUCGCCUCUCCAUUUCCUUUCCUUGCACCAUCCAUAUUUAAGCACAAGGAAGGCCAUGAUGGAGGAGCCCAGCGAAUCCAUUUCUGAAUCCUUUCAUUUCUUCGAUAGCCUACGCGUGAAAGAUUAGAACAAAUACUCUCAGCCCUUGCCUUAAUAUCCCGGACGAUCAAAUCAUCAUUCCAGCUCUUGUUGUUGAACAUCACUUGGUUCCUCCAAUACCAAAUUCUCCAAGCCGCAAUACCAAACAUAAUCGGCCAAAAUAAACUCCCCAUAUCAUAAACUCUUCUCCUAAGAUUUGUCAUGAUCCAUUGCCGAAGAGGAUAACUAAAAAAGUCAUGCUGUCUAGGCGCGGGAACAAGCUUCCGCCAAACACCUCUCGAAUAAUCACAAUCUCGAAUUGCAUGCAAAGAAUUCUCAACGUCUGCAUGGCACCUCCCACAUAAAGCCUCGACGUCCAGAUGCCUUCUAGCAAGCUCACAUCUCAUCUUCAAUCGAUCAUGGAAUAACAACUAUAGAAAAAUUCUUACGCUUUGAGGCCCCUUCCAUUUCCACAAAUGUUGCCAGUCUUGACAGUCUUCAGCGGGGCAAAAAUUCGUAAGCACUUGGUAAGCUGUUUGGACUGUAAAAUUGCCAGUAUUUGAUGCACCCCAAUACAUCCUAUCCUCGCCUCUCAUUGACGAUGGAGGAGCCAUGGAAACAAUCCUUAAAACGGCAUGGUUAUUCAAAAGAGAGUUGAACCUGUUCCACAACCAAUUCCCAUUUUGAUCCACACAAUCCGCUACCAGCAUAUUUCGCAUGCUAUCCGGGAUUGAAGCGACCGUAUAGUUGAUUAAGGGAUCACCAUUCGUAGCCCAAAUAUCAUCCCAAAACUUCACCCGUUGGCCAUUUCCAAUACUCCACCGCAAACCCUUCUGGAAGUCUUUCCAAAUCCUACCCAUAGAGCGCCAUAAAUAUGAACCAUUUUUAAAAGAAACAUCAGUAGUAAUCAUAUCACAAGGCGCAGCAUAUUUAGAGAUUAAAACCUGGGAGCACAGCUUGCUAGGAUUUAUGAAUAAAUCCCAAGCCACUUUCAUUAGUAAGGCUUUGUUCAUAAGCUCCAUGUCCUUGAAACCGAGCCCUCCAUUGCUCUUAGGCCUACAGAUGUUGUCCCAGCUAACCAAACUUAACUUGCGUUGAGAACCAGCCCCACUCCAAAUAAAUCUUCUACAUAAUUGGUCAAUUUUAACUCUGACACUAGAUGGGAGGUACGUGGUUUGCAUAGCGUAAAUCGGGAUUGCCUGAAGCACCGAUUGAGCGAGAGUAACUCUCCUUGCCAGAGACAAUUGCUUUGCUGCCCAUCCUGAUAGCCGCUGAUCAAUUUUGUCAAUGAUACUCUGGUACGUUUUCUUAGAAACCCGAUCGUGUAGAAGGGGCAUGCCAAGAUAUCUUCCCAAAUUAUUUGUAACCGAGAAACCUAAAGCCUUGCCAAUUCCACUGGCUAAAGUGACCAGGACAUUUUUGGAGAAGAAGACUUGGGUCUUUUGAUUACUAACUCCAGCGCCCGAGCUACUACAGAAAUUCUCCACCACGUCAUUCAAAACAUCGACUUGGCUGUAGCUUGCUUCCAAAAAGAGAAGCAAAUCAUCCGCAAAAAAUAAAUGGCUUAGAGGAGUGCCAGUACGAGUCAGCCGAAUGGGUUUCCAUCUACCUUGAUUAACCACCUGGAUAAUCCCAUGACUUAAUCUUUCAAUACAAAGCACAAAAAUAUAAGGCGAUAGAGGGUCUCCUUGUCGAAUUCCUCUCCCUGGCCGAAAAUCUUCAGUCAUUUCUCCAUUCCACAAAACAUUCAUUUGGGCUGUGGACAAACACUCCAUUAUGAGGUGAAUAAAUCGCUCUGGUAGCCCAACUUCCUGUAACGUUUCCUGAACAAAUCGCCAACUCAACCGGUCAUAAGCCUUUUCCAAGUCCACUUAACCGCCAUCAUUCGUUUACCCCCCACCUUUUUCUUCAUUGUAUGGAUUACCUCUUGAGCAAUAACAAUAUUCUCUGUAAUAUGCCGACCCGGUACAAAACUGGUUUGUUGGGGUCCAGUGAGAUCUGGAAGAAAAGCCUGUAGCCUAUUUGCAAUAAUUUUCAUUACCGUUUUAUACGGAACUGUGCACAGGCUGAUCAGCCGAAACAUCUUAAGGCUUGUUGGAUGAUCCACUUUAGGAAUGAGCACCAGCAAGGUUCUGUUGAUCUCUGCAGGGAUAUGAUUAGAAUUAAAAAUAUUUUUGAUUAAAGAGCUUAAAGACAUACCAACUGUAUUCCAUUGGGCUUGGUAAAAACCAGCAUGAAAACCAUCAACUCCGGGAGCUUUAAAAGGACUCAUACUGAAAAUAGUCCGUCUGAUUUCCUCAUCUGUUACCGCAGACAUCAAACUUAAAUAAAAAUCAUCUGACAUCUCAGGGAAACACCCCCUCACAUUAUAUGAUCUAUGCACCCCUUGUUCAGGCGUGUAUAAGUCCGAGAAGAAAUUGACUGUAAGUUGCUUAAUGAUCUCAACGUCGUGUAUCCACUGCCCAGUAUCAUUUUGAAUUGCAGUAAUUCGAUUCUGGCGACGCCUGGUUAGCGUUUUUUUAUGGAAAUAAGCAGUGUUGCGGUCACCAUACAAAGUCCAAUCUCUCAUGGAUUUCUGAAGCCACAAUAAUUCUUCCUGAGUGAGAACCUCUUCGAGCUCUUUCUGAAGCUUAACUUCAAGUCUGGUAAGGCUAUGGUUAGGCUUGGUUUCCAAAAUUCGUUGGAUCCCGCCUAUUCUAGCCAACAAUUUCCGCUUUCGAUAAAUAAUAUUUCCAAAAAUUUCCUUAUUCCAUCGCCUAGUUUGUUGAGUAAAAUCAGCCACCGCCUCAAGAAAAUUCGCUCCCUUAUUCCAGCUGUCAUUCACAAAACUCCCAAAUCUCUCAUCCGUGAGCCAUGCCGCCAAGAAACGAAAUGGCCUCGGGCCCCCAUGCUUGGACUCCAUGUUCUGGAACUUGACUAGAAUAGGCCGAUGAUCGGAACCAAUUUUUGGAAGAUGCAUGACACUACUAUUUGCAUGUUUUAUUAGCCAUCCAUCAUUGCAAACCGCUCUGUCCAGUCGUUUAGAAAGGUUUCCCCUAGACCAAGUGAAGCGAGGGCCGGAGAACUUUAGAUCAAGCAUCCUGCAAGAGUGAAACCAAUGAUUAAAUAAAUUGCAAGUGCCACUUAUUCGGUUCGAGCCCCCUUUCUUCUCAUGUGCGUGUAAGAUAGUAUUGAAAUCUCCGCCCACCAACCACGGAUCCGACAUUUAAGAAGCAAUACUUGCAAGGUGAUACCAUAAUUCACGCCGAACUGUUAGAAUAGGGCUAGCAUACACUGCCGUAACCCAACUCUCCAAUCCGUUGCUACAAACAAUCUUGAAAUGAACAAACUGCCUAUGGUUUAAGGCUACCUCUACUGUGAUAGAAUCCUUCCAUAAAAGCCAAAUUCCUCCAGAAAAACCCACCGCCUCUAUCCUGUGGGAUCUCUCAAAACCACAGCCCCGAAUAAAAUUGUCAGCUUUUUGGCCACUAAUUCUUGGUUCAAAAAUUACCACCAUAGUCGGCUUAUAGCAUUGAAUAAUUGCAGCAAAAGAAAGUCUAAAAUCUGAGGCUCCCGCCCCUUGAACGUUCCAAAACAUAACUGAAAUCGACAUAACCAUAAUAAAAGAGCAAAAGGGGUAGAGCUUCCAUACUAGCUGGAUCCAUGGAUCCUAUCCUCCUUACUCAUUGGCGUAUCUUCCACAAAAUAGUCCUCACCCUCUGUUGUAUCAUCAUCCUCCUCAUCCUCCAUAUAAUUCGGAUCAGCCUCUAUUUCAAGAUCCAUAUCACCACCAUGUAAAUCUGGAGGAUCUCCCAAACAAGGUAAAGAACGACCCUUAGUCCCCCGGCUCAUUUGUAUUGCGGCAUCAUCCAGCUCAUGAGUAUCUGUAGGCUUAUUGUUUGGGUUAUGGAAGAUAAUUGUCUUAUGCCUUAUAGGGUCAAGGGUUGUAGGUGCAUGCUGAGGAAUCAUCAUGGGGCUAGUUUGGGUAUCGAGUGGCAUGGCGGACGUUGUAGCCACAUUGGGAUUCGCCACAUGGUUUUGUGUGUCGGUUUUGGGGUGCAUGGUCAGCUUACUGUUUCUGGUAUCUUUGGCUGCAAUAGGAGACUUGCCAUUGUCUGCGAACUUUGAUGGAAUUCUUGUGGAGUGCCUACGUUUGAAUUCAGAUGCAUGAGGUUGCAGGACAUAAUUCUUACGUGACUGUUUUGGGUCUGCAUGGCUGGUGUCUUGUCCCUGAGGGUCCGUAGCCACAUGUGCAUUCUCAUUAUCCCAUUUAUCUUGUGAUGCAAGCACCGCAAAACGAGAGUUACUUUGAUGAACAAUCCAUGAGAAAGAUUCUUGCCAGCAUAAUUUCUUGGUUUGCCUUUGCGUGAUACAACCAUCCAAGGACCAAACUUGCUCCCUCCCGUUUUAGCUACUCUAGUAUUCUUCUCGUUGGCCACCACUGGUGCGUUAUUUGCCACUGUCUUAGCUGUUCCAGUCUCCUUCAUAUUCUUCUCCCCACAAUCCUCCGUAAAAUGUCCAUAUUUUCCACAAGAGAAACAAAUCAUGGGGAGCCCCUCAUACUCCACCAGUUGGAUUUGUCCAUUCACCUUAAUUUGCGAGACUAAAGGUUUCACAAGUGAAACCCUUACCGCCAGCCUUGCAAAUUUCCCUCUCUUCGAGUCCUCUGUAUUAUAGUCAAUUUUAAUAACGUCUCCAAUUUUACUGCCGAGUCGUCGCAAGCUACGUUUAUCAUAAUAUUGGAUUGCCAUGCCAGGCAGUCGUACCCAUACCACAGUCGAUGUUAGUUCAUUAGCGAAGCAAUCAAAAUUCGGCGUCCAAGGUUGAACAAAAAGAUUUCUACCCAUAACAGUCCAUGGUCCUUCAGUUAGGGCACGUUCUGCAUCAACAGCAGUUUGGAACUUGACCAAGAAAUAAUUAUUUUCUAGAUCAAUGAUGGAGAAGCCAGCUGCCAUUGAUCGCCAUAGGAUCUCCAAUCUAUUGCAUAAAACCCGAUAGCCUAUCUGUCGUCCCAACAAUUUGACUAUUAUAGAAUAACGCCAUGGCUGCUGCAGUUUCUCUUGCACCCUGUUUGAGAAGUAUAUUGUAGGGAUCCCUUCCUCUAUUCUCUCAACCACAUCUUCAUCUUCAAUAUCCCAAUCUUCCUCUGCACUUCCUGUCUGACCUGCCAUCACCGUGACUGCCUCCAUAGCCUUAUCUCUCCAAGAGGGUUUAUGAGGAUUAUCAGCAUCCGUUCCCUCAGCCCGAAACCGGGCCUUCUUAGUCGUCCUGUCCUCUUGCAGUGGUGGUGGGUUAGAGUUCUCAAACCCUAGCCCUAAGUUUUCGUCACCUCCAGAAUUUUCGGAGCUCAUAUUUUCGUCUUUUACUCAACUUUGAGAAUUUUCUGUAUAGUAUUACUAGGAAGCGAAGUUCUUACAAUUAUAAAGGGUAUUAUUGAUAAUCAUACUAGUAGCAAAAACUGAAACUAUUUUUUUGAGAUAAAGUUGAGUUCUUAUCAAUAUUCAAAGUUGUUUGUUAGUUUCGUCAAUGAGUUUAAUUGGUUUAGAAAAUUAUUUGAAGGUAAUAGAAUUACAUUUAUACUUUAUGGUUCAAUGGGAAGCCACUAAAGCUAUUUAUCAUUUGCUUGACACUAGACACACUGACAGUCACCCCGUAAUUUUCAUUUUCUCUAAUCAUUGUUCUUAUUUUUAGUUUUAAUUCAAUUUUUAAUUUAUUUUUAUUAUUAUUACUUUAACUUAACUUAUACCUUUUUUAUAUAAAAAAAAAAAAUUGUAUGCCUUCUGGUUAGAUUUUGCUUAAAUUUGUUUAGGCUUCUAAUUUCAGGAUUGUUCAAUCAAGUCUUUGUAGGUUAGUUAAGUAUAUGUUUAGUAAGGAUAAAAUUAACAAUCUUUCACUCAUUGUGUCGAUUAAUGCACUCAUUAUUCUUAAAUUAUCUUAAUACUCCCAAAAUGUAUUUUUAUGUUAAAUUAAUUUGUAUUAUGUUAAUUUUAUAUUGUAGGUAUAUUUCAAUAAUAAUGAGGAGUUGGAAAUGGAAGCACGAACAAAGAAGAAUUACUGUAGCCAUUUGAAAGUAUUAUCGAGGAGAUAAAAAAAAAAAAAGUGGGCAAUUAUGUUUGUAAUGGUUAGGAGGUCAUUAUGCCGCCUGACCAUCACCAUGUUUUACUUGUUUGUUUGUGUGAUAAUAAUAAGAAAUAAUGAUAAAACAAAAGAAGUUGAUGCUGAAGAUCGCCUAUAAAUAGGAUAAGCUUUUGCGGAGGGGGGACGGAGAGCCGAGAGAGAAUGAAGUGGAGCUGAGGAAUUUCUUUCUUUCUUUUUUCUUUUCUUGUUUUCUUAUGUAUCAAUUUUCUUGUAAUAUAUUCCAAAAGUUUGUCAAAUAAUCAAAAGAGUAUUCUAUUUUCUUUCAAUAUGAGUGGUUAAUUUUACUAAGCUAAGGUGACGAGUGAAGCUCAAAGUUUUAAAUUAUAAAAUUAAUUACUUUCUCAAGUGAGUUUUAAUUUUAUUUUAUUCUUUUCUGGUUAUUUUUAUGUCAUAUUAAUUUAUAGAUUUCCUUGGACUUGUAUGAUAUUUUGAUAUAAUGUCGACACAUUAAUAUAGUUGUGGCACAUUAGGUACUUAAUUCCAUAUUUAUCCACACACAUAGGUCCCAACAAUUUGACUAUUAUAGAAUAACGCCAUGGCUGCUGCAGUUUCUCUUGCACCCUGUUUGAGAAGUAUAUUGUAGGGAUCCCUUCCUCUAUUCUCUCAACCACAUCUUCAUCUUCAAUAUCCCAAUCUUCCUCUGCACUUCCUGUCUGACCUGCCAUCACCGUGACUGCCUCCAUAGCCUUAUCUCUCCAAGAGGGUUUAUGAGGAUUAUCAGCAUCCGUUCCCUCAGCCCGAAACCGGGCCUUCUUAGUCGUCCUGUCCUCUUGCAGUGGUGGUGGGUUAGAGUUCUCAAACCCUAGCCCUAAGUUUUCGUCACCUCCAGAAUUUUCGGAGCUCAUAUUUUCGUCUUUUACUCAACUUUGAGAAUUUUCUGUAUAGUAUUACUAGGAAGCGAAGUUCUUACAAUUAUAAAGGGUAUUAUUGAUAAUCAUACUAGUAGCAAAAACUGAAACUAUUUUUUUGAGAUAAAGUUGAGUUCUUAUCAAUAUUCAAAGUUGUUUGUUAGUUUCGUCAAUGAGUUUAAUUGGUUUAGAAAAUUAUUUGAAGGUAAUAGAAUUACAUUUAUACUUUAUGGUUCAAUGGGAAGCCACUAAAGCUAUUUAUCAUUUGCUUGACACUAGACACACUGACAGUCACCCCGUAAUUUUCAUUUUCUCUAAUCAUUGUUCUUAUUUUUAGUUUUAAUUCAAUUUUUAAUUUAUUUUUAUUAUUAUUACUUUAACUUAACUUAUACCUUUUUUAUAUAAAAAAAAAAAAAUUGUAUGCCUUCUGGUUAGAUUUUGCUUAAAUUUGUUUAGGCUUCUAAUUUCAGGAUUGUUCAAUCAAGUCUUUGUAGGUUAGUUAAGUAUAUGUUUAGUAAGGAUAAAAUUAACAAUCUUUCACUCAUUGUGUCGAUUAAUGCACUCAUUAUUCUUAAAUUAUCUUAAUACUCCCAAAAUGUAUUUUUAUGUUAAAUUAAUUUGUAUUAUGUUAAUUUUAUAUUGUAGGUAUAUUUCAAUAAUAAUGAGGAGUUGGAAAUGGAAGCACGAACAAAGAAGAAUUACUGUAGCCAUUUGAAAGUAUUAUCGAGGAGAUAAAAAAAAAAAAAGUGGGCAAUUAUGUUUGUAAUGGUUAGGAGGUCAUUAUGCCGCCUGACCAUCACCAUGUUUUACUUGUUUGUUUGUGUGAUAAUAAUAAGAAAUAAUGAUAAAACAAAAGAAGUUGAUGCUGAAGAUCGCCUAUAAAUAGGAUAAGCUUUUGCGGAGGGGGGACGGAGAGCCGAGAGAGAAUGAAGUGGAGCUGAGGAAUUUCUUUCUUUCUUUUUUCUUUUCUUGUUUUCUUAUGUAUCAAUUUUCUUGUAAUAUAUUCCAAAAGUUUGUCAAAUAAUCAAAAGAGUAUUCUAUUUUCUUUCAAUAUGAGUGGUUAAUUUUACUAAGCUAAGGUGACGAGUGAAGCUCAAAGUUUUAAAUUAUAAAAUUAAUUACUUUCUCAAGUGAGUUUUAAUUUUAUUUUAUUCUUUUCUGGUUAUUUUUAUGUCAUAUUAAUUUAUAGAUUUCCUUGGACUUGUAUGAUAUUUUGAUAUAAUGUCGACACAUUAAUAUAGUUGUGGCACAUUAGGUACUUAAUUCCAUAUUUAUCCACACACAUAGUUCGUUAAGAAUUAAAUGACAUAAUAAGUAACUGGUAAUAAUGAGGUAAAAUAUAAAAAUAAAAUAUUAUUAAAACCAUAGUUUGAAUAUUGAGAGUGGAUCAUGUAGCCUUAGCAUAUUUUUAUAUUGAUUCCUAUUAAUUUUUUUCCGCAUUUUAUUUUCUUUAUUUAACAAAUUGACUACUAGAUUUCAAAUUUCAUGUGAUUCGAUCCCGGACUUACCAGAUUAUAUUAUAACUAGACACUCUUAUACAUCGGAGUAAUAACACUUUUGAGUCGUGUCACUUUACCUUUUGUUCUUUUAUCGUUUUGCUUCCGACCACAAGACAAGAAUAUGAUGGUCUUAAGAGUUUUUUAAUUCAACUAAAUUUUAAUGCAUGUUGACCAUGAACUAUGUGUGUGUGUAUAUAAUGUGAGGAUUAUCAGCAUCCGUUCCCUCAGCCCGAAACCGGGCCUUCUUAGUCGUCCUGUCCUCUUGCAGUGGUGGUGGGUUAGAGUUCUCAAACCCUAGCCCUAAGUUUUCGUCACCUCCAGAAUUUUCGGAGCUCAUAUUUUCGUCUUUUACUCAACUUUGAGAAUUUUCUGUAUAGUAUUACUAGGAAGCGAAGUUCUUACAAUUAUAAAGGGUAUUAUUGAUAAUCAUACUAGUAGCAAAAACUGAAACUAUUUUUUUGAGAUAAAGUUGAGUUCUUAUCAAUAUUCAAAGUUGUUUGUUAGUUUCGUCAAUGAGUUUAAUUGGUUUAGAAAAUUAUUUGAAGGUAAUAGAAUUACAUUUAUACUUUAUGGUUCAAUGGGAAGCCACUAAAGCUAUUUAUCAUUUGCUUGACACUAGACACACUGACAGUCACCCCGUAAUUUUCAUUUUCUCUAAUCAUUGUUCUUAUUUUUAGUUUUAAUUCAAUUUUUAAUUUAUUUUUAUUAUUAUUACUUUAACUUAACUUAUACCUUUUUUAUAUAAAAAAAAAAAAAUUGUAUGCCUUCUGGUUAGAUUUUGCUUAAAUUUGUUUAGGCUUCUAAUUUCAGGAUUGUUCAAUCAAGUCUUUGUAGGUUAGUUAAGUAUAUGUUUAGUAAGGAUAAAAUUAACAAUCUUUCACUCAUUGUGUCGAUUAAUGCACUCAUUAUUCUUAAAUUAUCUUAAUACUCCCAAAAUGUAUUUUUAUGUUAAAUUAAUUUGUAUUAUGUUAAUUUUAUAUUGUAGGUAUAUUUCAAUAAUAAUGAGGAGUUGGAAAUGGAAGCACGAACAAAGAAGAAUUACUGUAGCCAUUUGAAAGUAUUAUCGAGGAGAUAAAAAAAAAAAAAGUGGGCAAUUAUGUUUGUAAUGGUUAGGAGGUCAUUAUGCCGCCUGACCAUCACCAUGUUUUACUUGUUUGUUUGUGUGAUAAUAAUAAGAAAUAAUGAUAAAACAAAAGAAGUUGAUGCUGAAGAUCGCCUAUAAAUAGGAUAAGCUUUUGCGGAGGGGGGACGGAGAGCCGAGAGAGAAUGAAGUGGAGCUGAGGAAUUUCUUUCUUUCUUUUUUCUUUUCUUGUUUUCUUAUGUAUCAAUUUUCUUGUAAUAUAUUCCAAAAGUUUGUCAAAUAAUCAAAAGAGUAUUCUAUUUUCUUUCAAUAUGAGUGGUUAAUUUUACUAAGCUAAGGUGACGAGUGAAGCUCAAAGUUUUAAAUUAUAAAAUUAAUUACUUUCUCAAGUGAGUUUUAAUUUUAUUUUAUUCUUUUCUGGUUAUUUUUAUGUCAUAUUAAUUUAUAGAUUUCCUUGGACUUGUAUGAUAUUUUGAUAUAAUGUCGACACAUUAAUAUAGUUGUGGCACAUUAGGUACUUAAUUCCAUAUUUAUCCACACACAUAGUUCGUUAAGAAUUAAAUGACAUAAUAAGUAACUGGUAAUAAUGAGGUAAAAUAUAAAAAUAAAAUAUUAUUAAAACCAUAGUUUGAAUAUUGAGAGUGGAUCAUGUAGCCUUAGCAUAUUUUUAUAUUGAUUCCUAUUAAUUUUUUUCCGCAUUUUAUUUUCUUUAUUUAACAAAUUGACUACUAGAUUUCAAAUUUCAUGUGAUUCGAUCCCGGACUUACCAGAUUAUAUUAUAACUAGACACUCUUAUACAUCGGAGUAAUAACACUUUUGAGUCGUGUCACUUUACCUUUUGUUCUUUUAUCGUUUUGCUUCCGACCACAAGACAAGAAUAUGAUGGUCUUAAGAGUUUUUUAAUUCAACUAAAUUUUAAUGCAUGUUGACCAUGAACUAUGUGUGUGUGUAUAUAAUGUAAUCAAUUCAAAUAAAAUAUUUUCUUUCUUAAUAUUAGUUUACUAGAUUCAGCUAUCUUAAGUUUAGUAGUUAUUGUAGAUUUCGACCUCGUUACUACUAAUCUAUAUUCCAGUAAACUUGUGCGCUUGUGAGUAUAUCACUAUUUGCUCAACAUUUGACAUACUAUUCAUUCAAUUAAGCCAAACAAUAAAAUUGUAAAAGCCAUUUGGGAUUAGUUUUUGAGAUAUUUAAAAGUGAUUUUAAAAAGUUAAAAACUAAUUUUAAUGUUUGGUUUUUUUAAAAAUCAUUAUUGGCAAAAUCACUCCAUUCUAUAGCACAUUUUGAUAAUAAGUUUUACAUUUAAUACAGUUUCACAUAUAUCCUCACAACUAUUAUAAAAAUUCAAAAUUAUCCUUAUUUAAUUAGGAAAUUAAGUCAUUAAAUUUAAACAUAUUAUUAUUAUGACUACUACUAAUACUCCUACCACCAAUUAUAUUGAGAUAACAAAAUUAAUAAAAUAUUUUUUUGAGUUAUCAGUUAUUUUAUGUACACCAUACAAAAAAUAUUAUAUCUACAUGUAAAUAAAUUUUAUUUAACGUCUUAUAUAUUUCAGUUAUUUGUAUUCUUAUAACAAUUUAACUGUAAAAAUUACUAAAUACAUAUGACUAUUUUUAAAACUCAUAACACUUUUAAAAAUAAAUUUUACUAAACAUCUUAUCUGCUAACAUCAUGUUCCAUGUAUGUUGUUCUAUCGUUUGUAUGUUAGGUUGCAUUUGUUUUUUAUCUGAAAUUUGAAUAGGUCUAAAUGAAAAUGUCUGAAUGACUUUUUUAUUUUUUCUUUUUCAACAUCCGAAGAGAAAAAAAUAAAAGCUAGUAGUUUGGCAUAGAUAUCCUUUUAAGUGGUGCAUAUAUUUAUUCUUCACGAUUUAUAAUUUUCACAGGUUGAUUUGUUUGGCAGCAUUAAAAAAAAGUACUAUCAUUAUUGAUUUUAAUUUAAUUUUGUAAUAAAAGAUGUGAUUAUAAUAUUAAAUUUUAUUAUAAAGUUAACAUUGUUGUUUUAUUUUUUAUUCAUCACAAUAGACAUAAUUUGAUUUGUUCAAUAUUUCAAUUUAGUUAAUGUUAUCAUGUGAAUAAAAAUUUAAAGCAAUUAAAAAAAUAACUUCAAGAAUAAUACAAAAAUAUUAGGUUUAUACAUAAUAUUGAAAAUACAUGAAUUGUUAAGGGUAUUUUUGAGAAUUGAAAUUAAAAUUUUCUAUUUAGACUUCAAACUUUAGAUAAAAGUGGACUUUUUUACUUUUCCUAUUCAGAUAAAAUUGUACAAUGAGUGAUAAGUUAAAAAAUCAAACAACCUAAAAUAAUUAUUAUUCCACUGAGAUUUAGGAUUUCCAGAUGUUUUGCCAUUAUUAACAGCAUUAUUAUUAUUCCAGUUUCCUCCUCCUCCUCCUCCAUAAUUUCCUCUGUAACCAUUAUUUCCAGCACUUCCAACAGUAAAACCAGAUGAUCCAUAAUUUCCUCUAUAACUACUAUUUCCAGAAUUUCCAGCAGCAUUACUAUAGCCUGAAUUAUAUUCAAGGUUACCAAAACCUUUUCCUCCUGAGAAGUUUCCUCUCUUAGGCCCUCUAUUUUGUGCAAAGUUAGCUUCUAAAUUGUGUUUAACAUCCAUAUUAGCAAGCAUAUGAGUUUGUUGAUCAAUCCUAGCCUCUUGAGUUAACAACAUAGCAUAAGCCUCGUUAACAGUCAUUUUUCCAGUUCCUACUUGUCCAGUAACGUAAGUAGCAACAAAAUUAUAUAAUCAGGACCUAGACCAGAGAGUACAUGUAAAAUCAAAUCAUCAUUGCUUAAUGCACUUCCUGCUGCAGCCAUGUUAUCAGCAAUAGAUUUCAUUUUAAUAAAGUAAUCAGUCAUUUUAAGAUCAUCCUUUCUAGUGGAAUUCAUCAAAUAUCUCAAAUGUAAUGGCCUAGACUUUGAUUGAGAUCCAAAUUGAGUUUCAACAGCUUUCCAUACCUCCAAUGAAGUCUCAAGAUUGAACAUUAGACUGAUGAUUCCUCCACUUAUGGAUGAAAGAAGCCAACCGAGAAGUAUUUAAUCUUGUGCUCUCCAGGUUGCAAACUCUGGAUUCUCCACAGAUCUAAGAUUAUCAUCACAUCUCUUAGCAAUAUGAGAAGGAGGUGGAGUGAUUGACUCAUCGAUAAAUUUCUCAAGCCUAUUUCCUCGAAUUGAAGCAAGAACUUGAGAUCUCCAGAUCAAAUAGUUUGAUUGAUCAAGUUUAACAUGAGUAUUGAAAGUGAAAUUGACGGUUGUUGAAUGUGCAGUAGUGUUAUGAACUUGAUUUAAGGAAGAGGCAAGAUUCACAGAUGCCAUUGUGGCUUUGAUACCAAGUAAGAAAUCAGAAUAAGGAUGUUUAGAAGCUGAGAAAAUUUAAGAAUUGAAAGCUUUUAGCUCACACGAUUUUAUUCAUCAAAACUUAUUAAUGAAACUGUACACAGAGAUUGCUUAUAUACACAGCUGAUGCUCAGCUCAAUUAGUUAACUAAUUACAAAACUAAUUCUAGCUAGCUAUAACAACUUCAACUAAUUAUCACGUGAACAAGUGAUUACAUAACCACCAGGUGCCAGCUGGCAUGCCAUGUCAUCGAUUCUUAAUUGUAAGCUGGAGCUGCUGUUAUCCUCUGCUUUAUAGUCUAUGCUACUGAUGUGUGCUUCCUUAAUAUCCCCUCUCAAGCUCAAAGGUCUACUGACGACAUUGAGCUUGGAUCUAAAGAAACUAAAUUUAGAAAAGGAUAAGGGCUUAGUAAGAAUAUCAGCUACUUGUUCUUCAGUGGGAAUGUAUCUAACCUCCAAUUCUUUUCCAAGCACUUUGUCUCUAACAUAAUGAACAUCCAACUCUAUGUGCUUAGAUUUUGAGUGAAACACAGGGUUGCGAGCUAGCUCCCCUGCACUUUGGUUAUCAUACCAAAGAACUGGAGUAGGUAGUUUAGCAAUAUUGAGUUCUGAAAAUAAAGACUGCAACUAAGAAAUUUCUGAGCAUGCUGCUGACAGGGCUCGGUAUUCACUUUCUGUGCUUGACUUUUCUACAAUUGCUUGCUUUUUGGAAGACCAUGAAACCAAAUUGUUACCUAGGUAUAUACAAUAGGCUCCAAUUGAUUUUCUGUCGUCAAGAUCGCAAGCCCAGUCAGCAUCUGAAUAGCCUGUUAAUCCAAUUUCCAGAGAUUCUUCCUUUUUAAGAUAAAGACCAUGGGUGAAAGUUGACUGGAGAUGUUGAAGAACUCUUUUGCAGGCUAACCAGUGCUGAACAGUAGGAGAACUGAGGUAUUGACUGAGUUUAUAAACUGAAUAAGCUAUAUCAGGUUUGGUGAGAAUUAGAUAUUGUAAUCCUCCAACUAUGCUUCUGUAUAGUGUUGGAUUUUCGAACUCCUGACCCAAAGGACCCUUGACAUUUCUUUCUAGCUUAAAACCAGUACUAAGAGGAGUAUCAGACCCUUUGCAAUUCUUCAUAGAUGCUUUACUCAACAAGUCUUUAAUAUACUUUGUUUGAGAUAGAUGCAUUCCUUCAUCAAAGUAACUGACUUCAACAUCUAGGAAGUAAGUAACUAAUCUCAAAUCUUUCAAGGCAAAGGCCUGACUGAGUUUAACAAUAAAAUCCUCUAAUAGAGCAGAAUCUGGUCCAGUGACUAGGAUAUCAUCCACAUAGAUCAAUACUAUGAUUAAGCUCCUUGUAUCAUGUCUAAUGAAUAGAGAUGUAUCAGCUUUUGAAUUAAGAAAUUGCCAAGUAGUAAGACAACUCUUCAAUUUUUCAUACUAGGCUCGUGGAGCUUGUUUCAGACCAUAAAGAGCUUUAUUGAGUUUGCAGAUUUACCAUUCCUUAGUUACAAAGCCUUCUGGUUGUGUUAUAUAUACAUCCUCAGAAAGAUCUCCAUUGAGGAAUGCAUUAUUGACAUCAAUUUGUAUGACUUUCCACCCUUUUAUAACUGCCAAGCUGAGUAUAACUCUUACUGUUGAAGACUUCACCACUGGACUGAAAGUUUCUGAAUAAUCUAUCCCUGCUGUUUGGUGAAAUCCCUUUGCAACUAAUCUGGCUUUAUAUUUGCUAACAGUUCCAUCUGUGUUACACUUUGUUCUGAAUACCCACUUACGACCAACUAGCUUGUAGAUUGAAGACAGUGGCACAAGAGUCCAAGUGUUGUUGUGAAUAAGGGCAUUAUACUCAGUUUGCAUUGCAUCUUUCCAUUUAGGAUCUGAUAAUGCCUCAGGAACAGUAAAUGGUUCUAAGCUGUUGUGAGUUGUUAGAAAGGUCUUUGGUUUGAAAAUUCCAGCUCUAGCUCUGGGUAUCAUAUGAUGGGUGGAAGUAAAAGGUUUAGGCUGAGAUGUAUGCGUUGUACAGGGUAUUUGUAGUGCUUGUGACUGGGAUGCAGGUGAAGGCAAAGAUGUGGAGGUUUGAUUUGUAUGUGACUGACAUUGAGGUGUAUUUGAUGACAAAGAAUGAUUGACAGGGAAUUGAUUUGCUGUAGUAGCUUCAAGACUGUUCGGAUUGCUAGUAGGAACUGACAGAGUAAACCUUUGAAAAAGAUUAUAUUGAAAAUCAGAGGAAGUAUGUUUAGAAGAGGAAGAAAAAUUUGGAUCUAAAGUGUAAGGGAAAGUGGUUUUAUCAAACAAUACAUGACUGGCAAUAUAAAUCUUGCCUGAUGAAUGUAGACACUUAUAGCCUUUAUGUGAGGGACUGUAUCCUAAGAAAACACACUUUGAAGUAUGGAAAUGAAAUUUAUGGUUAUUGUAUUCUCUAAGAAAAGGAAAGCAAGAACAUCCAAAUGUUCUUAGAAAGUUAUAGUCUGGUUUAUGAUGAAAGAUUGAUUCAUAUGGAGUUUUCAUUGAUAGAAUAGAUGUUGGUAAUCUGUUAAUGAGAUAAGUUGCUGUAUGAAAGAAAUCCCACCAGAAUUUGAUAGGUAAUUUAGCUUGUGCAAGAAGAGUAAGGCCUGAUUCAGUGAUGUAUAUGUGUUUCCUUUCUACCAAACCAUUUUGGUUAUGUGUAUAAGGACAAUAGUGUCUAAAUUCUAUCCCUUUUUCUUGAAGAUAUUUGGUAAAAGGUCUGAAUUCCCCUCCCCAGUCAAAUUGGAGACAUUUAAUGGGCUGUUCUAAUUGUUUUUCAACUUGAGCUUUGAAAAUUUUGAACACAUGAAGAGUUUCAUCUUUGGUUUUCAAGGAAAAUAUCCAAGUGAAUCUGGUAAAAUCAUCCACAAAGCUCACAUAAUAUUUAUAACCUUGUAUGGAAACCACUGUAGCUGGUCUCCAUAAAUUAGUAUGUAAAAUGGCUAAAGGUUGUUUUGUUUUUGUUUUAGUUGCUGGAAAGUGUAAUCUAUGCAUUUUCCCCAGUUUACAAGCAUCACAUGAAUCAAAAUCUUUAUUUUCAUUGAUAGGUUUGAAAGAGGAACAAAAUUGUAUUACAUGAUUUAAGAUCUUAGAGUUAGGAUGACCUAGUCUCUGAUGUAUUAGGAUGACCUAGCCUCUGAUGUAAUACAUAAGUGCUUAAAAGACACUUAGAGUUCAUACAAGACUCUGCUGCUACAUUUUGCAAGCAGUGAUUUAGUUUAUUUGAAUGACUGAGAUUGACAGCUGAGAGCAUUGAAAGAGAAACAAAUGACUGAAAAGAAGACUCAAUAUUGGCAAUAUGACCUUGAAAGGAAGACUGAGCAGAGGUCUUAUUUGAGGACACUAAUAGCAAUCUGUACAAGCCUUUUUCAGCCUUGCCCUGCAGUAUGAUCAAAUUCUUCAACUUGUCCUUCACAAAACAAGAUUUGUUAGUCAACUCAACUAUGAUAUUGUUGUCUUUGGUUAGCUGAGAAAUGCUUAUGAGGUUCUUGGUUAUUUGUGGAACUAAAAGUAUAUUGUUUAGUUUAAUCAUAGUGGAAUCAGUGCAGUUGUGCAUUCUCAGAACAACUUUUCCAAUAUGUGUAAUAUUCAAGCCAGUACCAUUACCAAUAAUGAGUUUAGAUGUACCUGUAAAUGAUUCAGAAAUCUACAUAUUGUUCAUGUCAUUUGUGAGAUGAUGAGUGGCACCACUGUCAAGGUACCAAUUUGCAUCAGAUGAUCCUUCCAUGUUUGCCAGAUAUGCUGAUUUCAGAUUCCUAUUUGGAAGUGGUCUAUAAGCUCCAGAGGCAAUAAACUAUUCCAGCUUCCAACAUACAUUGGCUGUGUGACCUAUUUUAAGACAAACUUGACAGGUAGGCUUAGAAGGAUUCCACUGAGAUUUAGGAUUUCCAGAUGUUUUGCCAUUAUUGACAGCAUUAUUAUUAUUCCAGUUUCCUCCUCCUCCUCCUUCAUAAUUUCCUCUAUAACCAUUAUUUCCAGCACUUCCAACAACAAAACCAGAUGAUCCAUAAUUUCCUCUGUAACCACUAUUUCCAGAAUUUCCAGCAGCAUUACUAUAGCCUGAAUUAUAUUCAAGAUUACCAAAACCUUUUCCUCCUGAGAAGUUUCCUCUCUUAGGCCCUCUAUUUUGUGCAAAGUUAGCUUCUAAAUUGUGUUUAACAUCCAUAUUAGCAAGCAUAUGAGUUUGUUGAUCAAUCCUAGCCUCUUGAGUUAACAACGUAGCAUAAGCCUCGUUAACAGUCAUUUUUCUAGUUCCUACUUGUUCAGUAACAUAAGUAGCAACAUAAUUAUAUAAUCAGGACCUAGACCAGAGAGUACAUGUAAAAUCAAAUCAUCAUUGCUUAAUGCACUUCCUGCUGCAGCCAUGUUAUCAGCAAUAGAUUUCAUUUUAAUAAAGUAAUCAGUCAUUUUAAGAUCAUCCUUUCUAGUGGAAUUCAUCAAAUAUCUCAAAUGUAAUGGCCUAGACUUUGAUUGAGAUCCAAAUUGAGUUUCAACAGCUUUCCAUACCUCCAAUGAAGUCUCAAGAUUGAACAUUAGACUGAUGAUUCCUCCACUUAUGGAUGAAAGAAGCCAACCGAGAAGUAUUUAAUCUUGUGCUCUCCAGGUUGCAAACUCUGGAUUCUCCACAGAUCUAAGAUUAUCAUCACAUCUCUUAGCAAUAUGAGAAGGAGGUGGAGUGAUUGACUCAUCGAUAAAUUUCUCAAGCCUAUUUCCUCGAAUUGAAGCAAGAACUUGAGAUCUCCAGAUCAAAUAGUUUGAUUGAUCAAGUUUAACAUGAGUAUUGAAAGUGAAAUUGACGGUUGUUGAAUGUGCAGUAGUGUUAUGAACUUGAUUUAAGGAAGAGGCAAGAUUCACAGAUGCCAUUGUGGCUUUGAUACCAAGUAAGAAAUCAGAAUAAGGAUGUUUAGAAGCUGAGAAAAUUUAAGAAUUGAAAGCUUUUAGCUCACACGAUUUUAUUCAUCAAAACUUAUUAAUGAAACUGUACACAGAGAUUGCUUAUAUACACAGCUGAUGCUCAGCUCAAUUAGUUAACUAAUUACAAAACUAAUUCUAGCUAGCUAUAACAACUUCAACUAAUUAUCACGUGAACAAGUGAUUACAUAACCACCAGGUGCCAGCUGGCAUGCCAUGUCAUCGAUUCUUAAUUGUAAGCUGGAGCUGCUGUUAUCCUCUGCUUUAUAGUCUAUGCUACUGAUGUGUGCUUCCUUAAUAUCCCCUCUCAAGCUCAAAGGUCUACUGACGACAUUGAGCUUGGAUCUAAAGAAACUAAAUUUAGAAAAGGAUAAGGGCUUAGUAAGAAUAUCAGCUACUUGUUCUUCAGUGGGAAUGUAUCUAACCUCCAAUUCUUUUCCAAGCACUUUGUCUCUAACAUAAUGAACAUCCAACUCUAUGUGCUUAGAUUUUGAGUGAAACACAGGGUUGCGAGCUAGCUCCCCUGCACUUUGGUUAUCAUACCAAAGAACUGGAGUAGGUAGUUUAGCAAUAUUGAGUUCUGAAAAUAAAGACUGCAACUAAGAAAUUUCUGAGCAUGCUGCUGACAGGGCUCGGUAUUCACUCCUGUAAAUGAUUCAGAAAUCUACAUAUUGUUCAUGUCAUUUGUGAGAUGAUGAGUGGCACCACUGUCAAGGUACCAAUUUGCAUCAGAUGAUCCUUCCAUGUUUGCCAGAUAUGCUGAUUUCAGAUUCCUAUUUGGAAGUGGUCUAUAAGCUCCAGAGGCAAUAAACUAUUCCAGCUUCCAACAUACAUUGGCUGUGUGACCUAUUUUAAGACAAACUUGACAGGUAGGCUUAGAAGGAUUCCACUGAGAUUUAGGAUUUCCAGAUGUUUUGCCAUUAUUGACAGCAUUAUUAUUAUUCCAGUUUCCUCCUCCUCCUCCUUCAUAAUUUCCUCUAUAACCAUUAUUUCCAGCACUUCCAACAACAAAACCAGAUGAUCCAUAAUUUCCUCUGUAACCACUAUUUCCAGAAUUUCCAGCAGCAUUACUAUAGCCUGAAUUAUAUUCAAGAUUACCAAAACCUUUUCCUCCUGAGAAGUUUCCUCUCUUAGGCCCUCUAUUUUGUGCAAAGUUAGCUUCUAAAUUGUGUUUAACAUCCAUAUUAGCAAGCAUAUGAGUUUGUUGAUCAAUCCUAGCCUCUUGAGUUAACAACGUAGCAUAAGCCUCGUUAACAGUCAUUUUUCUAGUUCCUACUUGUUCAGUAACAUAAGUAGCAACAUAAUUAUAUAAUCAGGACCUAGACCAGAGAGUACAUGUAAAAUCAAAUCAUCAUUGCUUAAUGCACUUCCUGCUGCAGCCAUGUUAUCAGCAAUAGAUUUCAUUUUAAUAAAGUAAUCAGUCAUUUUAAGAUCAUCCUUUCUAGUGGAAUUCAUCAAAUAUCUCAAAUGUAAUGGCCUAGACUUUGAUUGAGAUCCAAAUUGAGUUUCAACAGCUUUCCAUACCUCCAAUGAAGUCUCAAGAUUGAACAUUAGACUGAUGAUUCCUCCACUUAUGGAUGAAAGAAGCCAACCGAGAAGUAUUUAAUCUUGUGCUCUCCAGGUUGCAAACUCUGGAUUCUCCACAGAUCUAAGAUUAUCAUCACAUCUCUUAGCAAUAUGAGAAGGAGGUGGAGUGAUUGACUCAUCGAUAAAUUUCUCAAGCCUAUUUCCUCGAAUUGAAGCAAGAACUUGAGAUCUCCAGAUCAAAUAGUUUGAUUGAUCAAGUUUAACAUGAGUAUUGAAAGUGAAAUUGACGGUUGUUGAAUGUGCAGUAGUGUUAUGAACUUGAUUUAAGGAAGAGGCAAGAUUCACAGAUGCCAUUGUGGCUUUGAUACCAAGUAAGAAAUCAGAAUAAGGAUGUUUAGAAGCUGAGAAAAUUUAAGAAUUGAAAGCUUUUAGCUCACACGAUUUUAUUCAUCAAAACUUAUUAAUGAAACUGUACACAGAGAUUGCUUAUAUACACAGCUGAUGCUCAGCUCAAUUAGUUAACUAAUUACAAAACUAAUUCUAGCUAGCUAUAACAACUUCAACUAAUUAUCACGUGAACAAGUGAUUACAUAACCACCAGGUGCCAGCUGGCAUGCCAUGUCAUCAACUCUUAAUUGUAAGCUGGAGCUGUUGCUAUCCUCUGCUUUAUAGUCUAUGCUACUGAUGUGUGCUUCCUUAACACUGCUCAAACUGGGUUACACAAGACUUGAAGACUAGACUAGCUCAACCCUGUAAGCAGAGCCGGAUAUAUAACUAAAAAUUGAAGCAUAGCAGGCUAGGAGAAACACGUAUGUGAGGGCAACGGAGGCAAUGAUGGAAGUAUUGGCGGUACGUACAGCUACUGAGUGAUACUCAUAUAGGUUGAGGGGACGCACAUUGGAUCAAUUCGUAGGGCAUACGUGACUCGAGCAUAAUGUGUUAUGCCGGGCACUUUUUCACCGUAAGAUUCAUUGAAGAGUACCAAGGCUUUAUUGACCACUCUCUCGUAGGAACCAUCGGACCUACCACUUUGAUUUUCUGCACUUGGUAAAAGGCCGAUUCGGACCUACCACUUUGAUUUUCUGCACUUGGUAAAAGCGCAGAAACAACAAUCUGAGCCUUCGCUCCGUGGGUGUCUUAAUCGGCUUCGGCGCAGAAACAACAAUCUGAGCCCCCGUUCCGUGGGUGUCUUAAUCGGCUUCGGCGUUUUGGCUUAAGAAGAGGCGGAGCAUUUGGAAAAUAGAGCUCCUGAGUGUCACAAAUAUAAAUAUCAUUUAUUCACUACUUCAUUCGACCUCACCAAAAUCCAAGAAGCCCCUUCUCUUGAAUUUACAACUCAAAAUGUGCCCUAGAAAAAAUCAAAAUCAGCGCUCUGUGUUCUGGAACGAGGAAGAAAAACUCGUUCGCUUCAACCACCGUCUUCCAUGAGGGACGAAGCAAGAGGAUGUGAUGGUAGGGAUUGAUGAAGAUGGCAAAUUGCUUACGAUAAUAAGCAAGGUGGCAAGUGCACAUAAAGAUUCCUCAGUGAUCACAUCCUCUCUCUUCAGUUUCCUGAAGAAGAAGGAAGGAGACACCACCAGCCAGAUAAUCCGGAUGGAAUUCAACUUGCCAGCGGGUCUUAACCCAAAUGGUUUCAAGGCUGCAAUCGAUGACGAGGGGUUGCUAACUCUCACUUUUGAGAAGCUCGUGCCCAAUCAUUCCGAAACGCCCUCCGACCUCGAAAAGGUCUCCGUGCAGUGGAAGAGCAAAAAAGGCGUCUUUCACUUCAAGGCCCAUCUGCCAGCGGGGACGAAGAUGGAGGACAUGAUGGUCGGGAUAGAAGGUCGCAAAUCCCUUAUGAUAGGCAUUUGUGAUCUGUCGAAGACAGAGGAAGGGGACACCAGUACUCUCAUGUGCGUCGAUGGCAAGAAUUUUAGGAGCUUCAUUUUGCCAGAUGGUGUGAACCCGAAUGGCUUCAAGACUGCAAUGGAUGAUGCCGGCGUUCUUACUGUUACCUUCACUAAACUCAAGCCAGAGAAGAAAAAGCUGCGGCCAAUAGCAAAGAAGUCGCUGGGAUGUUUGGCUCAUGCUGCUUGUUUGCUGAUAUGUGAGAAGAUAAGUGAUGGGAUAUGAGUUGAGGAGACUACUAAUAAGGAAUUUGCUUCAAGUUCAUGCAUGUUGUUCUGUCGUUUAUGUAUUAGUGUUUGAAAAUAACUCUGUACCCGAGACCAGGUGCUUGUAACUACUACAUGGUGCUUGUAAUAACUAUGUUGUAUUGUAUCCCCUUCUUUGCAGGGAAAGAGGGGAGCUUUGUCUGGUUAAAAGAUGAUAAAUGCUGAGCGAAAAAUAAAUGUUGUGGUUGUUAAAACUUAAGCAGCAAUUUAAAUUUUUUCUCAAGUAGCCGCCACCCUCCUUUUACUUUUUGGCCGCUGGUAUGGCAGCCGCCUCCGGCAUCGCCCAAACUGCCGUUCACCACCCAACCAGUCGGGAUCCCCUUUCCCAACCGUUGCCGCCCCAAAACGAAAAUCCAAGUUCACGGCUUCCUCAUCAAAAUCUAGCCGCCAUCUCCUCCACCACCGUUGGCGGUGUUUUACAGUCGACUGAACCCUCCUCUGUCACCUUGCAGCUGCUGCCCAACCACCUUCUUCACCAAACCCCGUCGACAACGUAUCGUCCUUUAACGUGUCGGUCCAAAGCGACACAAUAAACCCUAGUUCGUUACCAUAUUCCCGAGCCGCCACCACUCUUCCUGCCACAGCUGAACCUGAUGUGCUGCCGUCGGUUCACUUCACAUCAUCCCAACAGCCACCGUCUAGCUUCACAGUUUCCAACCUUGGCCACACGCAACUCCUUUUGGCUACCGCUUUUGGCCUUGCAACGUCCCCAAUCGAUGCUCGCUCUCCCUCUCAUCCCUUAACUGGCCCUUUGACUACGACAGUCUCCUACAAUCCAAAUCCGACUCUUCACCAAAACCCUAGCUCGCUCUCUCUUAGCCAAACACAAACCCAUGCGGCUGCCCCUCCUUCCUUGGCCACUUACUGAUACGGUCAAUUUUGGAAGAAGGUUCACGAAGGCUUAUAGAAGAAGAGAGAUAGAGAGUUGAAUACUAAUUGGCUUCAUGCCUUUAUUGAAUUCAGAUCUGGCCUUUUUAAAGGCUUACAACAAAAAUAUCCAACUAGAAAUAAGGAAUAAAAAUACCAAAAUAUAAGGAGAUAAUGCAGCACCAUGUGCCACGAUUCCCCCAUGAAAUUUAUUCGGUUCUAUUCUAAAGCAACAAAACUACUAACAGCUAACUUACUCCACUUGACUAGGUCUUACAAUCAGCAACAAAGUAGUGACCGCAAAUAGCACAUAUCACUUACUCCUUCAACGGUGAUGGUGGCUGCCCUCCUUGUUGCCUUCACAGCCUCCACACAACCAACAAACAUCCAACUCCCAACUUGGCGGCGAAGAUUCACGCUUUCUGCCUUCAACUAGAGUGCAACAGCAGACAAAGUGAUAACAGGUAUGUCGGAGGGUGUUAAAGCUGCGCUUGGCCUGCUGAAAGGUUCAGUUUACAAGCCCAUCUGUAGAUAUAUUAAUUCAUAAUUAAGAAAAUUCCGGGUUCCUUUGUGAUGAAUUAGGUAAUUAUCUUUUCUUUUUUUUUUUUUUUCCUUUUGGAAUCUGCAGGGUGCAGCUCUUCUGACAAUCCAAGUAUUCCAUGUAUCUUUGACAAUCCAAGUAUUCCGUGUAUUUUUUAUCGUCACGGAAGGGCUGGUAUCUUUGUCGGAGGGUGUUAAAGCUGCGCUUGGCCUGCUGAAAGGUUCAGUUUACAAGCCCAUCUCUAGAAAUAUUCAUAAUUAAGAAAAUUCUGGGCUCCUUUGUGAUGAAUUAGGUAAUUAUCUUUUUUGUUUUUCUUUUUUUCCUUUUGGAAUCUGCAGGGUGCAGCUCUUCUGACAAUCCAAGUAUUCCAUGUAUCUUUGAUCGUCACCAAGGGCUGGUAUCUGUGGCGAUUGGCUGCUGGGUUCAACUUUAGAGUAAGCUGCCUUUAGUGGCAUGGAUCUUGCUGAUCAUGUAAGCAAGAAUAUGAAUUUCUUUUGCUUGUUUGGUUUUGUUUUGCACAUGCAAAUAUAUCUUUCAUGAUUGAUAAUUUAUGUCAAAUUAAAAAACAAUCCCUAUAUAUGGACAUGUAAAUAUAAAUUAGUAUAUUUGCUUGAGUUCAGUUUGAAAUAUCAGAAAAAUUUCAAGCAUAAGCUUGAAGCUGGAUUAUUUAUAUAUAAAUAAUGUAAUUGGUCUAUGCAGAUCGCAGAUUAUUUAGGAAGGAAAAUGCUUCGUGUAGAGAAACACGAGAGAAAAAUUAGAGAAACAAUGAAAAAAGGGGUAAAGAGAGAGUGAGUGGGUAGAGAGCGAGAGAAUAAAAUUCUCUAAUCUUUCUCUCGUGCUUCUCUCUCUCUAGCACUACUCAUUUAGGAAUUGAUGGAGUUUGUUCUGAGGCGUUUGCUGUCGAUUUUUACCGGGCUAGGAAUGUAAUUAUAGUUGCUAUGACCUUGUAGGCACUGUUGGCAGAUGCGGUAGAGUUGGAGAAAUGAAAUUUUUUGUGUGUAAUAUAAUAAUAUUGUUCGAUAGGUUAAGAUAAUUUCAUUUUAUUACAUUUUCAUCACAUCAUAUUAAUUUUAUUAGGAAAAAUACCCUUUUUAUCUUGGGAUUUGAUGCAAUAGUCACUUUCUUCCUUACUAUUUAAAUAGUAGCCCAUUUCAUCUAUAUUUUUUGAUCAAUAACACAAAACAGCCUUUCAUUAAUUUACCAUCAGUGUACUGUAUAAUUUAUUGAGGUUAAAAUAGAAUUUUCAAUUAAGUAAUACAAAUUAUUUUAAAAUAGAACUCUCAAUCAUAAUGGACCAUUUAUUUGGUAGAGUUAUGCAAAUGGCUGAAGCGUUGGCUGGUGCUUGCAAAAGAUAGAGAUCCAGCUCGCAUGCUCAUUUCAACACUUGGCACUUGGCAGGUGCAGUGAGUUCUGCAGCAGGAUCUAUAAAUUAAAUAAUAUAGUUUUAUUUAUUUUUAAAAUAAUUAAAACUCUUUUAUUUGCCCACCACUUAAGUUUUUCUCCAAUCACAGGAUAGGGUCCUUUCCCGCCUUUUCCCGGUAAAUCCUUUAGGGUUGUAGACGUGGCAGAUAGCAAGAGGAGGAAGAGAAGCCGUGAUUGACUUUUUAGAAGGAAAUAAUAAUAUUGGAGUAAGCUGAAGCAAAUUGUAGGGCCUAAGUACCAACAAUUUUUCAGACGGGGAAAUUCUGGAUAUGUGCGCUCACACUUUGUUAAUUUAGUUUUUCCAGCGGCUAAUUUUCUCCAUGUUACAUUACAUUACACGCAAUUUUGAAGUUUAAAUUUGUCUAUUUUUUUUUAAAAGAAAAAAAUAAUUUUUAUCAUUUCUGUUUCCCCCAAUAAUUGUCUUAAAAUAAAUAUUGUACUUCCGCGUAGUACGCAGCAAAAGGACAUUAUGAACGGUAUUUAAUCUCGCCCGCACUUGUUCACAAACAAUUUUGAAGUUUCAAAGGAAAUUAAAGAAAGCUUUAGUUUCGUCCCCUGACGUUGACGUUCUAACUGAUUACUUUACUUACCGUGCAGUCUUACCUCACCGAACACAAAUGUAUGGGGACUCUCGACUCAAAUCACAAUUGAAGCCUGCCCAAUUGUUUGUGUACGUGUCCUUAAUUGCUUUUUUUAGAAAUUAUUAUUACAUCAUUUUUCUUUUAUCUCAUAUUAAUUCAACCACUAUAAAAUUUUAAUAUAUUCGCUGCACUAUAUUUUUAUUAAAAUUUAUAUCAAUUAGAUAUUUUUCCACUAACACCAUUAAAUAAUUUAAAUAAAACGAUAAUUUUACCUCUAAAUAAAUUAAAAGACCAUUUUAUCUUAUAAAAAUUUUGAAAAUAAAAAAUUAUAAUUAUAAAAAUACCCCUACAUUUACAAAAUUAUAAAUUUUUAAUAAAAAUAAAUAUUAAAAUUUUAUAAAAUCUAAAUUUAAUAAAAAUCAAAUGAGCACCUCUGUUUUGGAUUUCUGCUGUACCGUACAUCCGCCUUGGCCGUUAAGCACAUCUAUUUUGGAUUUAUUUUUUUAAAUUUAGGGGUAUUUUUAUAAUUAUAAUUUUUUAUUUUUUAAAGUUUUUAUAAGAUAAAAUAUUUUUUAAUUUAUUUAGGGAUAAAAUUAUCAUUUCGAUUAAAUUAUUUAACAGUGUUAGUGUAAAAGUGGUUAAUUGAUAUAAAAUUAAAAAGAAAUAUAGUGCAAAGAAUAUGUUAAAACUUGUGGUGGGUGGAUGAACAUAAGACAAAAAAAAAGUGAUGCAAUGAUAAUUUUUUUUUUAUAAGAACUGUCCUUAAAAUUGAAAACAUGACAACAAAUUUUUUUUUUUCAUUCAACACUAUUAGAAAAAAAAAACACAACAUUUAGUCUGGAAUGUAAAUAAAUGAAUAAAUAAAUGUAUUACUAAAUUUGAGAAAAUGAAGCUGAUGUAGAGCACUAAGGAGCUCUUAGAUAUAUAUAUAUAUAUAUAUAUAUAAUAAAAGAGACGACUAACGAGUGAAGAAAGAAUGACGGCACGAAAACAUGAAAAAUCAGUCUUUUUCAGUGAAUAGUAUUUUGGAAAAAAUUCCUUUCUAGGAUGGAGUUGGCUUCUGGGAUAAGGCACGUCGAAUGACCAUAUCUCUUUUCAUAUGCAGACAAAUACAAUUGACAGUCGCACAAAAUGGCAGCUUCCCUCGCUUGACGUGUCACCCCAUUUGGAUCAUAAUUGGGACCUACUUGCGAUGUGAUCGGUCUCCAAGUCCCACAAUGUGAUAAAUUUGUAGGGACCUGUCUAUGAUACAGAUUCUGAAACAAACAUCUCCCGUCAUCCCACCAUCCGAUUUUCUAUUGUUUAGUUUCUCACUCCACAUCCAACCACAUCCAACGGCUGAUGCUGCAGUCUGUAGCUUACAGAUUCUGUAAGCUAGUCAAGUCCAAAUUUGUAGAUUUGCAAGACUGGAACAAUAAUGGGAAGUAACUUAGCGUUUGCCUAAUGGGAAAUUAAAUAUCGUAGGACCGUCGGACCCAUCCCACGUACAUAAUUUUGAAACUACGGUCCCCUUCGCUCUUGUCUGAGCAUUACGGCAUUAAUAAUUACUAUUAUAUAAGACUCUUCCCAUGAGUGUCAUAUGCUGCAUAUACCUCCCAAAAAAAAUGGUGCCUCGGAAAUAAACAAUAUCAGUGCUCUGUUUUCUGGGAUGAGGAUGAAAACCUCGUUCACUUCAAGUGCCCUCUUCCACCAAGGACGAAGCGAGAGGAUGUGAAGGUUGAGAUUGAUGAAGAUGGGAAAUUGCUUUUAGAAAUAAGCAAGUGGGCAAGUUCACACAGUGAUCCUCUCUCUUCAGCUUCUUCCUGGAUGAUCAUAUCCGGCUCCUCUUUCUUAAGCUUCCUGACGAAAAAUGAAGGAGACACCACCAGCCCAAUACCCCCGAUGGAAUUCAACUUGCCAGCGGGUCUUAACACGAAUGCCUUCGAGACUGCGAUCGAUGACGAGGGGUUGCUAACUCUCACUUUCAAAAAGCUCCUGCCCAUUCAUGCCGAAACGCCCUCCGACCUCGAAAAGGCCUCCGUGGAGUGGAAGAACAAAAAGCGCGUCUCUCACUUCAAGGCCCUUCUACCAGCGGGGACGAAGAUGGAUGACAUGUAUACGUAAUAGAUGAGUCAAAUAAAUAUAAAUAUUUAAAAUAAUAUAUAUUUUAUAAUAUUUUUUUAAUAAAAUUUGGGUUUUAAAUCGGUUUUUAAGUUUAUCAAGUGAUGUUUAAAAUCGACCCAACUUCAUAUUCAAGUCGGGUAUUACAAUACCUGAGUGCUGUCUGAAUCCGGACCAGACCGGGCGGGUAUUUUACCACCCCUAAUUGUUAUCUUCUUUCGUUUUCGUUUCCACGUUUCAAGAUUUUCUAAUUAUUUAAUUAUGCUAUUUUCUUUUAAUAUGGUACACACACACACACCACACAGGCAAUCCCAUUGAUUACAACUUUCUCAUCUUAUUUGAAUAAUUAAGAUGUCUUUCUGUGUGCACAUGGGGCGUAAGAUGAUUACGUUGUGGGGAAAAUUGUGAUAAAAUUUUGGACCCAGUUGCCUUCGAUUUUUCAGACUGCCGAAAAUUGCGGCUAUGUGUUCACACUAUAUUAAUGCAGUUUAACCAUGCAAAGUUUUUGGGUAUUAUUCAUUGCGUGACACUGGAGACAAUUUAUAUUUAAUAGUUGGUUAGGCAUUUUGCUUGAUAUUAUUUGGACUCGUAGGGCUGUUAAAAUUUUUGUUCAUAAUUUUAUAAUUCAGAUCUUAUUGUAAUAAGAUAGCAAUUUUUUUUAUUGUGGGUUAGAUUCUCUCAAUUGAUAUUUAGCUAAAAAUAUCUCACUAAUCCCUAUUGGUUAAGUAUUUUUAAAUUCAUAUACAUGAUUUUUAUUGUUUUUUAAGUAUUUUUAAACUUUUUCCUGCCCAGUUUUGUAUAUUUUUAUUCACCGAGUUUUGCCUCUUUUGUUUUUCACUAUUUUCUCUUAAUUUCGCGCAAUAUUUUUUACUACUUUAAUGCAAAUGCUUGCUGCUUCUAUUACAAUUCUUUUAAUAAAAUGGCUUUCAAUGUAAAUUGUUAAUUUUUUAAAUAGAAUUAACACCAUCUGUAUGAAUCACAUGGAGCUUUUGCAGAUUAUUGUGACCAAUUCCCGCUGUUGGCGAUAAGUUGAAAGCAUUAAUGGCUCCUUUUUAUCCACGUCCACUGAGGUUUAUCGCUGGGGAUUACUUAAUUGGGUUGUCAUUCAACAGUAGCGUUCAACUGGGCCUAGUGGCAGCUCCUUAAAGCAAGAGUCCGAGGACCAAAAGGAUUGUCCCUUCCCACCUGAUCCGUUGAUCUUAAACUGAAUUCGCCUUCGUCGACGAGUUCCAUGAAAAAUAUAACUGAAAAAAUGCGAUGCUCGAAUUAUGGUUUUUAAUUAUUUUAAUAAUUAGCACAGGUAGAAAUUAAAUAAAUAUAAUACUAUUAAAAUUAAAUAAAUAUAUAGUAAUAUUAUUAAUUCUUUAUGAAUAUAAUAAUAUUAUUUAAUAAAGAAUGAGUAAAAGAGGAAGAUGUGGGAGUGGAAAUCUCACUCCACACUCCAAAAAUGAGUGGGACCCACAGAGUGAGAUUCCUACUUUCCUCCUAAAAUAAGCAAGUAAACAGUAGAAGGAAUUCAUAUUCUCCACUCAUACUCGAGCAAGUAAACAUAACAUAAUAUUCUAAAUUAGUAUAUAUUUAUCAAUUUUAACAUAGUUGAUGAUGUUUCGACACGAAAAAUAUUCAUAAAAAUUAUAAAGACAAAUAAUGCUCAUUUGAAAAAAAAUAAAAAGAUAAAAACAAUAAUUAUCUACCAAUAUAUAUUAUCACAAGCUAUAGAGAUGAGUAAUAAUGCUAAUUAUUAAAUUUUAUUUAAGUAAGGAUGAAAAUUAAUUAAUUAGAUGGGAAUAUUUUAAAGAAUAUCUUUUCAUGAUAUCAUUAAGGUUUUUUGGAUUAGGUAAAAAGCUAAAAAAAUAGUUUAAUGACUCAAUAAUAAUGUACUAAAAUUUUUAAUUAAAUUAAAAAUAAAUAAACUUAAUAACUUAACUGAUUAAAAUUAAGUCAAUGAAGUCAUUAAGUUAAAAAAAAAAAAACAAACGGCCUCUAAGUGUAAUUUACUUAAUAUAACUUUGUGUUUAUCUAAUGCAAACUCUAUGAUUUAUGUAACUUACACCAUUAUGUAAAGGGUUCUCUUGGACAACUGUCCUUAAAUCUUAAUUGAGUUGGAGUCCCCUCAAGGUACUCAAGAUUCUAGUCACGUGAAGGUAUGGGAUUUGUACGAUUAUGCUAUUCAAUUUUUGAUAAUUACUAUUUCAAAUAUAAAUGUGCAAUUGAGCAUGGCAAUUUUGGAAUUGCUUGUUGGGUGUUAAAAAUUAAAAUAUUGUAGGGUAAGUACAUACACUUAGUACAUUAUUAUUGCUAUUUGAAUGCCACUGCUACAUUAAGGCAAUGACAUUUGGUUUGUGCCAUACUAAAAAAAAAAAAAAAAAAUUCCUUUGAGCCUACAGGAACGGGACUAUCCUUGUAAUUGUCGUAUUUCCUCAAUGGAUGUAUCUUUUAAGCUCUUCAUUUGGCAUGUUUCCUUUCCAUUCGAUAUCAUUCAUAUUUUAAGUUUCUUCAAUUUAUUUUUUAUUAUUUAAAGAAUAAUAUCAUUCGAUAUUAUUUUUUAUUAUUUUUGAAAGUCAUGUCAAAAUCACAGUUCAAUUUAUCAUUCAUAUUUCCAUUCGAUAAAUAUGGUAGUUUUUGUCCAAUCAAAGGAUCGGUUCGUUUUCCGGCCCUGGAAAGUCCCCUUUUGGGAUUUCGGUACCGUUUGUACAGGUGGCAAAUACCAACGGGAGGAAGAGACGCCGUGUUGACUUUCUUUCAAAGUCAAAAGGCUCUAUAUAUAGAAUAUUCAUAGUGAAUUGGGCCCAAUGCAUGCACCACACUUGUCCUGUACAUGGAGAAAAAGCAUGCAAAUGCUUUUGUUUGGUAGCUGGCUAAAGCAGAAUCUGUAAGUUACAGAAGAGUCUGUAACUUAGCCUGCUCCGUGCAUUGGAGUUAGUUAUAUACAACAUCUUACGUGGUAUAUCAUUGUUACUAAAUUAUGUAAAUUAGUUCCUUAGUCCUACAUGCCAUGGCUAAAUACAUUUUGAUGCUUGUUGCAAAACCUAUGUGUUUAAUUUAGUGAGACCUUGCUGGAUGGCCUUCUAUGCGAAUGGGCUAUAAGAUGAUUUAAGUUGAGGGGAAAUUUGUACACCUAGUUGCCUUCAAUUUUUCUGACGGGGAAAAUUGUGGAUGAUUUAUCAACACGUGUAAUUUAAACAGCUUAAAAGAAGAAAUUAAUAUCAUCAUAUGAUAUAAUUAUAAAACGUCAAAAAGUGUAAUUAGAAAAUUUUGCUAAACUUGAGAGAUAAUCAAAUAUCACAAAUGAUGCAGUUGUGGGUAAAGUAUUACUAAGAAUUUAAGUUGGUAUUUUAAAAUAUUAAUAUCCCACGUUACUUAGAUAAAAAAAAACACAAGUUGAUUUAUUUGUAGAAACUAGAUACGCUCUGGCGGCAACAAGUCCCCGCGGACAAAACCAAGCAUAACUAAAAUUACUUUAAAAGAAAUAUACGUAAAUUCCCAAAAGUUCACCUAUAACCGCAAAGACACCUACCCUUCAGACCUCGAAAGUUCAAAAGUUCACAAAACCACAAGGACACCUACCUUCAGACCUCAAAAACCCCCUAUAAAUAAAUUUCCCCCUCAAAAGCCAAUUAUUCCCAAUUUCGCAGAAUAAUACUAUAUUAAAGAAACAUACUUCUUUAGUUGAAACACCUCAAAGAAACCCAGAAACCCUUCAAAUUCAAACCUAAAAAAAUGUGCCUCGGAAACAAACCAUAUCAGUUCUCUGUUUCCUGGGAUGAGGACGAAAACCUCGUUCACUUCAAGUGCCGUCUUCCAUCAACGACGAAGCGAGAGGAUGUGAAGGUUGAGAUUGAUGAACAUGGGAAAUUUGCUUAUAGAAGAAAUAAGCAAAGGGGUAAGUUCACAUAGUGAUCCUCUCUCUUCAGCUUCUUCCUUGAUGAUCAGAUUCGGAUCCUCUCUCCUAAGCUUCCUGAAGAAAAAUGAGGGAGACACCACCAGCCCGAUAGGCCCGAUGGAAUUCAACUUGCCAGCGGGUCUUAACACGAAUGACCUUGAGACUGCGGUCGAUGACGAGGGGUUGCUAACUCUCACUUUCAAAAAGCUCGUGCCCAUUCGUGCCCAUUAUCAGUGCUCUGUGUUCUGGGACGAGGAUGAAAACCUGGUUCACUUCAACUACAGUCUUUUUGACUGUAAGUAUAGUACGAAAUGGUUUUUUUGAGGAUUUUGUUUUUAUGUUGUCUUAUAUGCUUGUGAAAAAUCUAAAACUGAGAUGCGGUCAUGGAAUGGUUCCCUAAAUGAACGGACAAGCGACAGGUGAAGCAGUCGUGGGUAGGUACUAUUAGGAAUUUGAGUUGGUAUUUCAAAAUACAGUAGUGUUAUACAUCUCAAAUUUUUUAUCUCAAAAAGUUAUCCCAAAUGAUGUGUCAUUAAUUGAGUGGUUGAUAAUUCUUUACAAGAUCCAAGUGAAUUAAUUGUAUUAUCUCACCAACCAAUUGAUAAAUGACACAUCAUUUGGGAUAACUUUUUGAGAUAAAAAAUUUAGGGUGUGCAGCAUUACUCUUCAAAAUAUUAGUAUCCUACAUUGCUUAGAUAAAAAAACACAAGUUGAUUUAUUUAUAGAAACUAAAUAUGUUGUGGCAACCAAGUCCCCGCGUACAAAACCAAGCAUAACUAAAGACACUUUAAACAGAAACAUGGAAAUUCCCACUAUAAAGAAAUACAACAAAAUCACAGAUAAGCAGUAUCACAAUAAGUCCAAAGCAAAGCAGAGUAAGAUGUAUUAUCACAAUAAGUCCAAAGCAAAGCAAAGCAGAGUAAGCAGUAUUAUCACAAUAAGUCCAAAGCAAAGCAGAGUAUCACAAUAAGUCCAAAACCAAUUCCCAAUUUCGCAGAUACUAUAAAGAAAUACUUCUUUAGUUGAAACCUCAAAGAAACCCAGAAACCCUUCAAUUCAAACCUCAAAAAAUGUGCCUCGGAUAUAACCCAUAUCAGCGCUCUGUUUUCUGGGAUGAGGAUGAAAACCUCGUUCAUUUCAAGUACCCUCUUCCAUCAGGGACGAAGAAAGAGGAUGUGAAGGUUGAGAUUGAUGAAGAUGAGAAAUUGCUUAUAGAAAUAAGCAAAGGGGUAAGGUCACAUAGUGAUCCUCUCUCUUCAGCUUCUUCCUCGAUGACCAGAUUCGGAUCCUCUUUCCUAAGCUUCCCGAAGAAAAAUGAUGGAGACAGCGCCAGCCCGAUAAUCUCGAUGAAAUUCAACUUGCCAGCAGGUCUUGACCCGAAUGGCUUCAAGACUGCAAUAGAUGACGAGGGGUUGCUGACUCUCACUUUUAAAAAGCUCCUUCCCAUUCAUUCCGAAACGCCCUUCGACCUCAAAAACGACUCCAAGUGGGUGACUGCUAAAGAGAACAACAAGGACGUUGUUCACUUCAAGGCCAAUUUGGCAGCGGGCACGAAGAUGGGGGAUGUGAUGGUUGGUAUAGCAGGUGGUAAUUCCCUUAUGAUAGGUUUGCUGAAGAAAGAGGAAGGGGACACCGAUAUUCUCAAGCGGUUCCAUGGCAACAAGUGUUGGAUCUCCGUUUUGCCAGACGAUGUGAACCCGGAUGGCUUCAAGGCUGCAAUGGAUGAUGCCGGCGUUCUAACUGUUACCUUCACUAAACUGAAGCCAGAGAAGAAGAAGCUGAUGCCAAGCCCAAAGAAGAUACUGGGAUAUUUGGCUGAAGUUGUGCCUGCUUGCUUGCUGAUAGGUUGCAAGAUAGGUGAUGAGAUGAGUUCAGGAGACUACUAGUAAGCUGGUGUCAAGUAGAUAUUUCCUUCAUGUUCAUGUGUUUUGUUCUGUCGUUUUAUCUAUUAGCAUUUGAAAGAAACUCUGGACUCUCAAAGAGUCUAGACCAGGUGUUCGUUAAUUUCUGUGAUUGCGUGGUGUUGUAUCUCCUUUGUGUCAGUGAAAUAGAAAGGGCUUUGUCUAAUAAAAAAUGAUAAACAUUGUUGAGCGAAAAAUAAAUGCAUUUUUUUUUUAAUGGUGUUGAAUACUAAAAAAACAAAACAAGGCCUGUUUUCAUGCAUACGUGCAGCCACAAGAUAAAAGAGUAACUGGAGAUCGGUCAGGUCAGCCAAUCAUGCUAUAGAAUCUGCAAUCUGUCUAUAAAAGAAUUAAAAAGACAACAAAAAAAAACUUCUAGCGGUUGGAUCCUUUUUUUUUAUUUAUAAAUGAGUACAUCGGUAAUGGUAUCGGGCCAAUGCUCGAGCCAGAGCCCCACUUUUCUCCUUUAAUAAUCGCUCAUUUCACUAUUUCAGCGCAAUCGAGAGUAGGGUGAUGCUAAGUUACAGUAUUUGUACCUUGCAGCCACCCUUGUACAGAAAAAUAAAAAGCGGACACAAGUGGGGUCCCACGGCCAUUUUGUGAGGGUGCUGUAAGGUACAGAUACUGUACCGUAGCAUUCUCCGAGAGAGUAAUGGCAACUUUUGAAGAUAAGAACGAGAUGACAGAGAAAAUAAAACGACCCAUGUGAUGUCCAUAGAAGUCUACACCAAAUUCUCAGGUCUCCGCAGUGACGCACACGCAAAUAUUUCAAGAUCAUGGCAACUUCUGCAACUCAUUCCUUGAGCUUCAAGCUGGCCAUCGAAAAAAAUAACUGGGUAAUGUGUUACAACAAAGAUUUACCUUCACCGAACUGAAGCCGGAGUAAAAAGGCGGUGUCAAGAUCAAAGAAGAUCCCGCGAGGUUUGGCUGAAGCAGUGCCUGUUUGUUUCUUGAUAGGUUACUAGAUAAGUUGGGGAGACUACUAAUUAGCUGGUGUCAGGUAAGGUAUUUGCUAACAUCAUGUUCAUGUAUGGGGCGUCAUACUCGUGUAUGUUGUUCUGUUGUUUAUGUAUUAGUAUUUGAAAAUAACUCUGGAGUAGCUAAAUUAAUGGAUCUAUCUUUUUAAGAGCUGCAUUUGGCAUAUAAAGUUUAUUGUGUGGCAGCAAAUCAAGAGCUGGUCAUAAAAGCAUCCUUAAUUUGAGACAAUACAAACGGUAAAAACUAUUUGAGACAAUUAAUUAAUUCGGCUUCCCUUUGAGUGAAAAAUUAAUCCAUCUUUCGUUCGUUUUAGCAUGUGUUUCUUAAUUUUUUUUUCCUUUUUGCCCUUUUCCUAUUUUAGCUUCCACAAAUUGGGAAUUAGUUAUUAUUGAUUUGGUGAAAAGGGAAUUUGCUUUAUUUGGAUCCUAAGAGGGGGCAAUCGUGAUCCUGAUUCAUUUUUCAGAUUUUUUCAAAAAGAAUAUUUCAGUAAAAGAGUGCAGAGUAUGGCACCAUCAAAGUAUAAAACAUAGGAUAAGAAACAAGGUUACAAAAAACAAACCUAUCAGUAAAUGACGACCAAUUUCAUUUCCUCCAUAGCUUCAUCUUCUCUGAUUCCUUUUUGUGGAUUCCACACUGCAAGUUGCAGUGUAAUUUGUUUAUCAUGUUUCGUUAAUACAAACUUCAAAGACAAAAAACACAAAACAAGUGAAACAACUAUCUAUUCCAAGUGUAUAUUAUCUAUCUUGGACAGCAUUGAAUUUUUAUUUUUCCCCCACCCAAAAUGUUACUAUUGCCACAUUUAUAAUCUUAAAAUCUAUUAGGGAUCUAGAUGUAUACACUUAGUAGUAUGAUCAAAAAGUCUAUCGAGCAACAACUUGAAAGUAUGUUUCUACUAAUAUUUGGGAAGUGUAUCUUAUAUGUCUUGAAUAGCAUUGAACUUUCCUUUCUAUUUCUUUUUUUAAAAUUAUUACAAUUUACGCGUAUAUUUCAAUCUAAAAUUUGUUGAGAUUCUAGAUACAAAUACUUAAAAGAGUACAAUCUAAAAGUUCAUCGAACUGUUUACUUAAAAUUAUACUCUCACUAAUAUUUGCGAAGAUAAGUAGAUAUUUAGUGAAAAUAAAUUAAAAAAAAAAAUCGUUCAUUAGCAUUUGUAUUUGCAUAUAUAAGGCUUGUCUUUGAUAGACUUGAGGAAUUAAUCUCAGCAAGAAAAGAAAGAUAUUUGAUAAUUGCAAGUUUGCAACCAUUGGAUGGAAGUUUCGUAAGCAGCAAGCGAGUUAUUAGCGAGAUAAUUUAAAUAUCUUCUACUUGCAGAUGUACAAUUAAUCGAUAUUUUUUUUUUUGGUUUUGACCACAAGGUAUCCUGGGGAGGGCCCCAACUGUGGGAGACACCUUUAAGCCUGUACCACAACCUAGACUAGAAGUCCCCGCUCAAAUCGAGAGGCACAGGUUCUCCCAACAAAUGUGACUUCCCUGCGACUCGAACUGGGGAGCAAACCCAGUCAAGCCACUUAAGGGGACUCCAUUACCAGUAGAGCCAACACUCUGUUGGUUUACAAUUAAUCAAUAUUAUUCAUUCCUGCUUAAUCAAAUUAAGCUUCAAACUAACUAACUUUGGUACCACUCUUGUUUGACGCGCCCGGAAUCUUAUCCCUGGAAGCAACGAAUUAAUUGAAAUGAAUCAAGUCAUUAUCCUGCCAAAUGAUUUCUCUGGUUUCAGGAUCUUCAAUGGUGAACAACAAUUAAUCGAUAAGCAAGCUAAUGCAAAGUUUCCACCAAUAAAGAGCAAGCCGGAAGUCCGUGGAAGGUCUUCAAAAAUUCUUUCAAUAUACAGUAUACAGCAUCAUUGUUACUACUUUUAAUUUGGUUUGAAUAUAAUGUAAAACAACAAAGAGAAUCGUCCAUUGGAGGGAAAAAAUAAAUAAAUAAAUAAAUUACUACUUUUAUCAUGUGCAGAUUUUAAAACACACAAAAAAAAAAUCAUUACAUUUGAAUCCAAUUCUCUAAACUAGAAUCUCGAAUUUAUCUAAGAUAUAUAUAUAAAAAAUAAAGUCAUUGUCAUUUGCAGGCGCUCUCUUUUUUUUUUUUUUGUCUGGAUGCAGUUUAAUAGUUAAUUAAAAUGACUAUAAAACUAAAUGAUUUAAUAGUGAAUUGAAAGUUUACUCCAUUAAAUUAUAUAGUUUAAUAGCAAAAAAAAUGAAGGUGCCGAUAUAUGUAUGUGUGUGUAUUAGUUGUCUGAUAUUAUAUAAUUACCCUCCUUACUGAUGGACAAAGUCAAAAUUAUAUUUCAUCCACUCUCUUCUAAUAAAAAAUGGUAAAUGACUCAGGUAAUUGUUUUGAAAAACCAAAUUAAGGCAGCUAAUAAUCGUUCGAAAAUAAAUUGGUAGGUUUAAUUUCAUCCAACUUCAUUAAUUGAUGCAAAAGAAUACAACAAAGAGCAACCUUGACAAAGUGAGUUGAACAUGACAUGCGUUUUUUAUUUACACCAAUAUUUUCAAGCCUAAUAGUGGACUGGACAUAAAAAUAAAGUAAGCCCUGUUAAUUUUUCUAAAUCAAUGUGAAAAAACAAAUUUCAUUUGCUAAAGCUAAAAGCCCGACCCAGUUUAUAUUAUGGGAUUUCGACUUCCGGAUCCUUUCUAGGCUUUGGGAGCACAUUCCCCCCCACAAAUUCGAAUUCUAGGACAAGUGACUAAAAAGCUCUGUUUACAUUCUUCUCCUUAAUUUUCUUUCUUUCUUUCUUUCUUUUUUUUUUUAAAUAAUGAAUGAAGUGGAGCUUUCUGGGUCGUCAGAAUGGAGAAUUAUUUGUCUCCAAUUUUUUUUCCCCUUUUUUGAAGUCAGUUGAUUCGGCUGCAAUCUUCUUCGCUAUGAUUCUAAUAUGGUCUUCUCUUCAUUUCUCUUUCUCUUUCUCUUUGAAUAAGAGACGAAUUAUUAACAUGACACGCGUCCCGCAACUGAUGACGUGUUGUUUGACGAUUGGCAGUUUUUGAAAGAAAGAGAAAUAGUGAGUGAACGGGCAGUUUUGUCUGACAUAUUAAUAGCUUUAGCAAUACUAUGAACUUGAGGUGGCAGUUUUUGAAAUAUUUUACGGCAAAUGCUAAGUUACAAACAAUGUAACUUACAUAACUCAUGUGAACCACACAAAAUUGUGGGACCUAUAAUUUGUGUGGUUCAUAUGAAUUGUGUAAGUUACAUUUAGGCUCUCAUAUUUUAUAUUUAUAAGUUGUAUCGAGUCUCUCUCGACAUUCUUUCUUCUAAUUUUGAUCAUUGCAUCAUAACCCUGACAUUGGUGUUCAUAAUAUAACUUUGUGCAUUACUUCAUUUUUUGGCACCUUUGGAUUCCUUGUAUCUUGAAUCAAAACUUAAUUGCAGGUUCAACUCUUGACUUCUUUUAAUAGUUUGCAAACCAAAUCGUAGUUUUGGAAUCAAACUUAAUUGCAGGUUCUAUUCUUGACUUGUUCUAUUGAGAGGGCAAUCACUUACAACUUCUCAUAGUUUGGUAAACAAAUGUGGUUUUGGAAGUUCACAACCUUGCUGUGUAACCUGUUUAGUAUGUUUGGAUGAUACAAAUUUCAAUGACAAAAAACAAAAGUAAAAUUUGUUACAAUUUAUACAUACAAUUACAAUCUAAAAUUUAUUGAGACUCUAGAUGCAUUUCUUUAGUAACACAACUUAGAAUUCUGACGAAUCUGCUAAGCAGUAGCUCGGAAAAUUAAUCUGGAGAUAUCUACCCUUAAUUAUUUAGUUAGAAUGAAUUAAAAAAAUCAAAUAGAUCAUAUGAAAGCUAAUCCUCAACACAAGUUUAUGGGCCAAGUCAAGAACAAUAUAUCAGUAAAAGAGUGCAGGCAGCAUCAAGUAUAAAACAUACGAUAAGAGGCAGACUGUAACAAUCAAAGUGUUGGGGAAAAAUCAGGUUUUUAAAAUUUUAUAAAACCUUUUAAGGACCGCUCUCAUAUAAUAUAUAGGAAUACGUAAUCCAAAAAUCGUACCUUGAAAAUCCGAGUUGGCUUUUUCCGCUGAAGUGAUUUAGGCUCCCAGAUCACGAUCCGUCACCACCACGCUUGUUAGAUCACGAACUGUCACCAAUAAUCUUCCAGGUUAUGACUCAGGUUCGAUCUGCACUUGACGUGUGGGCGCCGUUAUCACUACCAAAGCAACUAGCACGAGAAAAUUUUUCUCUCAACAAUGGAGAGAAAAAUCUUUUUCUCUGGAGUCCCACUCCCACUCCCCACUCCAAAAAUGAGUGGGGCCCACGGAGUGGGACUCCCAAUCCCUCCUCAUUUUAAGUAAGUAAACGCUGGAGUGGGAGGAAUCCACACUCCUCACUCCCACUCCAGCAAGUAAACACAACAUAAAUGUAGUGAAUCAACUUGGUCCAUCCCACUGAAAUUACUUUCAUAUCCUUGGCCCUCCAACUACAUUUUUUCACUCAUUACUGUGUAUGAUAUGUAUAGAUAUAUAUAUACACCUACAUUGUCCUUUAUCAAAAGUAAAGUUAUAUCCUUUUUUUAUCUUUUCUUUAUUUUGUAGUUAAUAAAUUUUUAGACAACACAUCCAACAAAAACUUUGAACUUUUUUUUAAUGUUUAAUAUUAAUUAAUUAGCUCAUUUUAAAAUUAAUUUUAUCAAAAAUCAAAUUCUAUGAACAUAGAUUUAUUAAAAUUUAAAAGUUAUGUGUAUAAAAAUCAUCAACUUUCACCCACAUUUAUUGUGUUUAACCAAUGUCCAGUAACAUUUUCUUAAAAUUCAUUCAAUAAUAACUUAACAGUUUGACAUUAUAAUUGUUAAUAGCUUGCUUUAUCAAUAUAGUCUAGUUGUUUAACUGAGUUUGGGAUCUAUUUGAAAUACAAAUGAGUUAACUAUGUCCUUAUUUGAAAAAAAAAAGUCUGCUGUACGGCCAAGGCGGAUGUACGGUACAGCAGGAACUAAAUUUAUUUAAUCAUAAGAUAACUUGUAUUUAUGUCUUCUGUGAAUCCACAUGGUGAUCACAUAAAUACAUAUAAUAUGAUUAAAUGGACUUUAAUACAAAUAUUAAUGCAAUUAAGAUAUUUGAAUAAAAUACCUCAUUUAUUUUAUUAAUCAGAAAAAUUAUUUAUUACAAUUAAAUAAACACAUAUGCUUUUAAAGAGUAUAUUUUCCCAACACAAAGCUACCAGCAAAAGAUCACCACUUUCAUUUACUAUGCAUCUUAAUCUUCUCUGAUUCUUCAACCCCCUUAAACCCUCAAAACCCUCAAGACUGUCAAAGGCAAAGACAGUAACUUCAACCAUUAUUAUAGCAACUUCAUCUCAACCGAAAAUCGACAGCACAAAUGCUCAAAAACCCACUUGCGGAAACUGCCGAAAAAGAUCAUCAUAUGGCAGUCCAAGAAGGUCAGCUCUCAAGAAAACAUUCACGCAAAAGCAAUUCACCUUCACUGCACCGUCUCAAGUAACCCGCAUGUGGGGAUUAUUGGCGGAGGCAUGGCGGUUCUGGCUUGUGCUUUGAGGUUGGAUAAGAGAGGUGUCAAGCCCACUGUUUUUGACUUGGUUGCCUUUUCUUUUGUACUUUUGUGUUUUUUAUGUGGGUUAUGUUUGUAUUUGAUGAGAGUAUAUGCUUGUUUAAUGGUAAUUGAAAAAAUUUGAUUUAAAACAUUCUAGCAUGUGUUGUUUUACAUUGAAUACUGUUUUCGUGAAAAGGGUUUUGUAUAUUGUUCAUUGCAUGUAGCUAUUGUGAUAGACAGUGUGUAUGCACCUUUGGCAAGCUCAACUCUUUUUGGGAUGCAUUAUUGAUUUGAUUAUAAGCAUGUUUAGAAUUGGGUUGUAGUGAUUUUUAAGCCGUAGUUGUUGAGGAAUGAAAUUAAAACAUUAGCUGCUAAAUAAAGUGGGGGUUUAUCAAAUAUUUUGGUCAACCACAUCCAUGUAAUUAUUUUUUAUUCUUUCUUUUUAACAAUGUGCUUUGCUGUAUCAGGAGAAUCCUGGUCCAGAAGGAAGAAUGGGAGAACCAGAAUGAUUGGUCCUCAACCACUGAUAUUUGAUCAUGCUGCUCAAAUCUUUACCGUGAAUGAUUCUCAGUUUGGUGAGUUGGUUGAUGGUUAGUCGCAGAAAGGUCUGGUACGACCAUGGGAAGGUGUGAUUGGAGAGUUGAUGUAGGUAGAUGUAACAAAAUGAAUAAACGAAUCGAGUUCGAAUCGAAUCGUAAACGAAUUAGGUCAGAACUGUGCAGAUUCAGAUUCGUUUUUUUAUUAAACAAAUUAAAAUCUUAGGAUUUCGAUUUAAUUUAUUUAUUAAACGAAUAUUGGUUCGAUUCGUUUAAUUUAUUUAGUAGAAUUAAUAAACGAAUUGAAUUGAAUUUAGAUUCGUUUACUAUUCAUUUAUCCUAUAACAAAUUAAUAAUGAAUCGAACUGAAUAUGAAUUCGUUUACAAAAAUAUAAUUAAUAAACAAAAAUUAAGCAACACAAAUUAUAAAAAAAGACUACAAAUUUAACAUCCUACAAAAUGCAAACUUAUUAUUAUUUAUUAUUACUAUAAUACCUUCAAAUUUUAAAAUUUUUUCAUGUGAAUAUUGAAAGAUAAAUAAGUAAUUUAAACGGAUAAUAAACGAAUGGAUCGUAUUCAAUUCAUUUAUGUUCCAUUUAUUAAAAAAAAUACUAAACGAAUAAAUGAAUAAAUAUCCUCAAGCCUAAAUUCUAUUCUCUAAUUAGUGAAUCGAAUCAAAUUCACCCAUUUAUAACGAAUCAUUUAUUUUUCAAAGGCAAACUCAUUUAAUUAGCAUCGAAUUGAAUGGAAAAUUCAUUCCAUUGUCUUCUUUACCUCCAAAAUAAAUUGGUGUUAAUGGAAUGCACUCUCUUGUUGACUCUUUAUUGGCCUUGGUAACAAAUCUCUGUUUUGCUUUUGUGUUCCUUUCUUGUCGAUUCUACCAUGCUUCUUUGCAUCAAAAGGGGAAAAUUGUCUAAUUAAAUCACAAUGGUAAGAAACUGAAGUAUUGUUUUGAAGUUUGCUGGAAGGUAGUGUUGCUGCUUGGGUAUUCCAAGUCCCAAAAUCUUUAUAUUUUUCAGGUUUGACAGGAGAAGGAAGAUAAGAGUGUAUGAAACUAAAAGCUACAAUUAUAUGGUCACAUGAUUUCAAUUGCUUUGGCUGCAUUGCUAGACUUAAUGAAGCAGUGCUGAUAAUGAUCAUAACUGAGGAAAAGAAUAACCAGCAUGAACAUUUUGCACUGACACGGUUAGAUUUUGCUUAAAUUUGUUUAGGCUUCUAAUUUCAGGAUUGUUCAAUCAAGUCUUUGUAGGUUAGUUAAGUGUAUGUUUAAUAAGGAUAAAAUUAACAAUCUUUCACUCAUUGUGUCGAUUAAUGCACUCAUUAUUCUUAAAUUAUCUUAACACUCCCAAAAUAUAUUUUUUUGUUAAAUUAAUUUGUAUUAUGUUAAUUUUAUAUUGUAGAUAUAUUUCAAUAAUAAUAAUGAGUAGUUGGAACUGGAAGCGCGAACAAAGAAGAAUUACUGUAGCCAUUUGAAAGCAUUAUCGAGGAAAUGAAAUAAAAAAAAAAGUGGGCAAUUAUGUUUGUAAUGGUCAAGAGGCCAUUAUGCCGCAUGACCAUCACCAUGUUUUACUUGUUUGUUUGUGUGAUAAUAAUAAAAAAUAAUAAUAAAACAAGAAGUUGAAGCUGAAGAUCGCCUAUAAAUAGGAUAAGCUUUUGCGGAGGGGGGACGGAGAGCCGAGAGAGAAUGAAGUGAAGCUGAGGAAUUUCUUUCUUUUUUUUUUUCUUGUUUUCUUCUGUAUCAAUUUUCUUGUAAUAUAUUCCAGAAGUUUGUCAAAUAAUCAAAAGAGUAUUCUAUUUUCUUUCAACAUGAGUAGUUAAUUUUACUAAGCUGAGGUAAAACGUGAAACUCAAAGUUUUAAAUUAUUAAAUUAAUUACUUUCUCAAGUGAGUUUUAAUUUUAUUUUAUUCUUUUCUGGUUAUUUUUAUGUCAUGUUAAUUUAUAGAUUUCCUUGAAUUUGUAUGAUAUUUUAAUAUAAUGUCGACACAUUAAUAUAGUUGUGGCACAUUAGGUACUUGAUUCCAUAUUUAUCCACACACAUAGUUAGUUAAGAAUUAAAUGACAUAAUAAGUAACUGGUAAUAGUGAGGUAAAAUAUAAAAAUAAAAGAAUAUUAAAACCAUAGUUUGAAUACUGAGAGUGGAUCAUGUAGCCUUAGCAUAUUUUUAUAUUGAUUCCUAUUAAUUUUUUUUCCGCAUUUUAUUUUUUUUGUUUAACAAAUUGAGUACUAGAUUUUAAAUUCCAUGUGGUUCGAUCCCGGACUUACCGAAUUAUAUUAUAACUAGAUACUCUUAUACUUGGGAGUAAUAACACUUUUGAGUUGUGUCACUUUAUAUUUUGUUCUUUUAUCUUUUUGCUUCCGACCACAAGACAAGAAUAUGAUGGUCUCAAGAGUUUUUUAAUUCAACUAAAUUUCAAUGCAUGUUGACCAUGAACUAUGUGUGUGUGUAUAUAAUGUAAUCAAUUCAAAUAAAAUAUUUUCUUUCUUAAUAUUAGUUUACUAGAUUCAGCUGUCUUAAGUUUAGUAGUUAUUGUGGAUUUCGACCUCGUUACUACUAGUCUAUAUUCCAGUAAACUUGUGUGCUUGUGAGUAUAUCACAAUUUGCUCAACAUUUGACAUAGUAAAAGCCCAUUUGGGAUUAGUUUUUGAGAUAUUUAAAAGUGAUUUUAAAAAGUUAAAAACUAAUUUUAGUGUUUGGUAUUUUUUUUUUUUUAAAAAAAUCAUAUUUGGCAAAAUCACCCCAUUCUAUAGCACAUUUUGAUAAUAAGUUUUAUAUUUAAUACAGUUUCACAUUUAUCCUCACAACUAUUAUAAAAAUUCAAAAUUAUCCUUAUUUAAUUAGGAAAUUAAGUCAUUAAAUUUAAACAUAUUAUUAUUAUGACUACUACUAAUACUCUUACCACCAAUUAUAUUGAGAUAACAAAAUUAAUAAAAUAAAAUAAAUAUUUUUUUGAGUUAUCAAUUAUUUUAUGUACACCAUAAAAAAAUAUUAUAUCUACAUGUAAAUAAAUUUUAUUUAACAUUUUAUAUAUUUCAGUUAUUUGUAUUCUUAUAACAAUUUAACUGUAAAAAUUACUAAGUACAUAUGACUAUUUUUAAAACUCAUAACACUUUUAAAAAUAAAUUUUACUAAACAUCUUAUAUGCUAACAUCAUGUUCCAUGUAUGUUGUUCUAUCGUUUGUAUGUUAGGUUGCAUUUGCUUUUUAUCUAAAAUUUGAAUAGGUCUAAAUGAAAAUGUUUGAAUGACUUUUUUCUUUUUUCUUUUUCAACAUCCGAAGAGAAAAAAAUAAAAGUUAGUAGUUUGACAUAGAUAUCCUUUUAAGUGGUGCAUAGAUUUGUUCUUCACAAUUUAUAAUUUUCACAGGUUGAUUUGUUUGGCAGCAUUAAAAAAAAGUACUAUCAUUAUUGAUUUUAAUUUAAUUUUGUAAUAAAAGAUGUAAUUAUAAUAUUAACUUUUAUUAUAAAGUUAACAUUGUUGUUUUAUUUUUUAUUCAUCACAAUAGACAUAAUUUGAUUUGUUCAAUAUUUCAAUUUAGUUAAUGUUAUCAUGUGAAUAAAAAUUUAAAGCAAUUAAAAAAAUAACUUCAAGAAUAAUACAAAAAUAUUAGGUUUAUACAUAAUAUUGAAAAUACAUGAAUUGUUAAGGGUAUUUUUGAGAAUUGAAAUUAAAAUUUUCUAUUUAGACUUCAAACUUUAGAUAAAAGUGGACUUUUUUUACUUUUCCUAUUCAGAUAAAAUUGUACAAUGAGUGAUAAGUUAAAAAACCAAACAACAUAAAAUAAAUAAAUAUCUGGAAAAAAGUUAAAUUCAGACUUCAAACUAAAAAACAAACAGCACCUUAGUGUGUAAAAACAUAAAGGCUUUAAAUAUAUAAUAUUCCUAUUAAAGUAUUUAAUACGCUAUAUUAACUUAUCCACUGGUGUAGAAUUUGGAAAAAAAAAAGUUUGUUCUCCUAUUCAAUUUUAAGUACUGACAAUUAAAGAAACAGAUAAACAAUUUUUUUUUUCAGUCAAUAAUCUAUACCAUUAAAAAAAAUUAGACUAGGAAUGUAAAUAAAUGAAUAAAUAAACGCAUAAUUGAUUUUUUUUAUAAAAAAAAAAAUUAGCCAACAUACCAUGAUUAAGUGAGGUACCAUGAAUCUUAAAAAUAAAUUUAUUGUUUUGAUGAGAUUUUGUCUCUUUUUCUUGCAUCCAACAUCCACUAAAAAAUAUGCUUUCAAAAUUAUGUAGAAGCAUAGUGGUUGUUAGAAAUGUACCCCAAGUACGUGCAUAUCCUGCCACCAAAAUAGGACUCAACUCGAGUUAUCCAAACUUAGUGAAACUUAAACUUUGUGUUUCAAUGAGCUAGUCAACCACAUCCAUGUAAUUAUCAUUACCAUUAUUGUUGUUAUUGUUAUUUUCCUUUUAAAACGGUGCCUUUACUAUAUAUCAGGGGAAUCAUGCAUGGGAACCAGGAUGAUAGGUACUGAUUCAAAGUCCCAAAAUGAUCACAGUUUUGAGGUUUGACCCCCACAUGCACAAGGAAGAUAAGAAGCUAAAAUUAAUUACAUGGGCUGCAAGGGUGGACUUAGAAUGAAAUGGCAUGACGGCCGAGGAAAAGAAGAACUAGCGGGAACAUUUUAUUUUGCACCACUGUGUCAUGACUGCAAUUCCUGCACAGUAAGAAGCUUAUUAAUAGUUAUAUAUGCCACACUAAUAAUUAGCGUAUUUAUACAAACAUCUUAAUUAUCAAGGCACAAAUGAACUUAAUUAAAUUCAAAGAUGGCAAUUCAGAAGCGAUAAUAUAUCCCGGCGGCAACUAAUAUAUAUAAUAGAAAUUAAAGUCCAUGGUUAGCAUUAACAUUGUGACACGGGGUACUACAGAUACAGGCUUACCCUUGGUUUGAUUUGGUCGAGUUAUGCAAAUGGCUGAAGCGUUGGCUGGUGAUUGUAAAAGAUAGAGAUCCAGCUCGCAUGCUCAUUUCAACACUUGGCACUUGGCAGGUGCAGUGAGUUCUGCAGCAGGAUCUAUAAAUUAAAUAAUAUAGUUUUAUUUAUUUUUAAAAUAAUUAAAACUCUUUUAUUUGCCCACCACUUAAGUUUUUCUCCAAUCACAGGAUAGGGUCCUUUCCCGCCUUUUCCCGGUAAAUCCUUUAGGGUUGUAGACGUGGCAGAUAGCAAGAGGAGGAAGAGAAGCCGUGUUUGACUUUUAGAAGGAAAUAAUAAUAUUGGAGUAAGCUGACGCAAAUUGUAGGGCCUGCAUAGGGAUGGCAAAUUGGCCCAUCCAAAUUGGAUAUCCAUAUAUCCAAUCCAAUUGGAUUGGAUAAUAUCCAUCCAAAAUCUUAUUGGAUAUGGAUAUGGAUAUUUUUAAAAAUAUCCAAUUGAAUAUUGGAUGGGUAUGAAUAUUUAAUGGACAUCCAAAAUCUAAUUAAUUUAUCCAUUUAAAGUUAAAAAAAUUUAUAUUGUUAAACUAAAAUAAAAAAAAACAACAAAAUCUAAUAUUCUCUUAUAUUAACUAGUGAAAAUUUUAAAUUCCUCUUAUAUUAAAAAUUAAAGUUUUCAAAAUUACCCUUUAAUUUUUUAACUUAUUUAAUAUUAUUAAUAAUUAUUAUUUUAUUUUAUUGAUUUAAUAUUAUAAAUGGACUUCCACCAGAAAGUCGCCGGACCACCACCGGACCUCGCCGGACCACCGUCGGACAUCGCCGGAAAGUCACCGGAUCACCGCCGGACCUCGCCGGGAAGUCGCCGGACCUUGCCGGAAAGUUGCCGGACCACUCUGCUGUACGGCAUAUAUAUAUAUAUUAUUACUAAUAUAAAUAGUUUAAUAGCCAAAUUUAAUAUUAGAAUUUUAACUAUUUUAUAUUAUUAUUUUUAUAUAAUAAAAAUAAAAUAUCCAUGGAUAUCCAUGGAUCUCCAUAACUAUAUGGAUAAAAUUUAUAUCCAUGUCUAAUAUUAAUUACUGGAUAUGGAUAUGGAUAUAUCCAUUAUGGAUAAUUAUGGAUUUGUGUUUGGAUGAAUAUUAUCCAUCCAUAAUUGGAUAUUUGCCAUCCCCGCCUGCACCACUUUAUUAAUUUAGUUUUUCCAGCCGCUAAUUUUCUCCAUGUUACAUUACAUUACACGCAAUUUUGAAGUUUAAAUUUGUCUCUCUCUUUUUUUUUUUUUAAAAAAGGAAAAAAUAAGGGCUCGUUUGGUAUUGGUUCUGAAUUUGUAUUUUUUGAGAAUAAAAAUAAAAAUGAAAAUGGUGUUUUGCAGUUGCUGUAUUUUGAAUUUAAAUAUGCGCAUGGUAUCAUUUUCUGUAUCCUAUAUUUUAAAAUUGAAAACAGUAAUAUGCGUUUGGUAGACACAGUUGAAAAUGAUAAAAUAAAAAAUAUGCGUUUGGUAAUACUUUUUUCAAAAACAGUUUUUACUAAGCAUUUACAUUAUAUUUGUAGUCAUAAAAUAAUUAUUUAUCUAAUACAUACAUAAAUACAACAAAAUAAUUUAAACAAAUUUAUUAUUAAAAAAUUACAUGAUGAUAAAGUUUUAAAAUUAACAUUAAUUAAAAAAAAUUGAUAAUAAACUGAAAGCAUGCAUGGUAUGAACUAGAGUUAGUGCAAUUUAACAUGAAGCUUGCUCGUGCAAAAUUAUUUUAUAUAGCAUUUGCAGUUUCAAUUUCCAAUUCCAAGGUUCUGAUUCCAUGCUCCCAAACACAACAAUAAAUGUAAAUCCAAUUACACAUCUUCUUGGAACAACUUUUUGUGAAGUAAGUGCCAUUUUUUUUUUUAAGAAUAUUCAUUCUGAAAACACAUUAGACACGGAAUUAGAAAGCAGUUUAACUGCUUUCCAGAAACAAUAUUUGCUCUGCCAAAAGAAAAAAAAAAACUACUUCACAUUGACUCACCAAUCCACUCCUCCACUUUCAAUCAUAAAUUCCACAAUAAUCAAUAAUCAUCAGCACUAGCAGGAAAAUUACAUUACACGUUCAGCAACUCACAUAACAAAGAUUCCCAAGCAAAUUAAAACCCAAUGAAUGCCAAAUUCGAUUGUACGCAAUCCAAAGAUUUGUUGUAUAUACAACAAAACACUUAACUGCAACUGCAUCGAAGAAGGAGAGUGUCCUUCCGAUUGUUAUCCUCUGUUUGUAUAUCCAAAAUUCAUGGCCCCGACGCUUACUUCCUCCAAUUCAUUUCUGCUCAAUACAACACCCCGUUCAAGGCUCAUCAUCAAGAACCCAAGAUUCAGUGUGUUUGCCAAGAAAGCUAGACCGUUCCCUCCAUUUCAGGUUGGCAAGUCGAAGGAUGAGAAUUCAUCUGAUGAAAGCUCAAAUGGUGAUUCCGGCAAUUCCAAUCCUUUUUGCUUCAACUUUGGUAAGGUGCGGGAUGUGACAUCUUUGAUCCCAGUUGUGAGCAGCCCUGGAACUGGACUGUCAUUUGGAACUGGGCAGGCCGGCGUUCGUAUUUUGUGGCAACGGCCACGACGGAGAGAGAACGACACACCAAAGGACAGCCGCGGUAGAGACGAAGUUGCAGCGGCGGCAGAGAAAAUGUUGUUGGAGGGAGAAAAGGAGAAAGCACUGCUGCCGUGACUAGAUCGAGGAUGGCCGUGGGGGGGGUUGACCAGAUCGAGAACGAUGAGAGGGGGGAGAGGGUUGCUGCCGAAGAGAAUGGGUUUUGUUUCUUAAUCUAUUUUUGAGUUUAGUUUGUAAUAUUUAGGAAACAUGUUAAACACGUUUUCAUGUUUGUAGUUAUAACACUGGAUCUGAAUUUGUUAUUUUGUGCUUUGUUUUUUGAAUCCAUCUCACCAAACAUAUAUUACGUUUGUAUUAUGAAAACAAAAAUGAAAACAAUGGGUAAAAAACGCUACCAAACGGACCCUAAUUUUUAUCGUUUCUGUUUCCCCCCAAUAAUUGUCUUAAAAUAAAUAUUGUACUUCUGCGUAGUACGCAGCACAAGGACAUUAUGAACGGUAUUUAAUCUCGCCGCACUUGUUCACAAACAAUUUUGAAGUUUCAAAGGAAAUUAAAGAAAGCUUUAGUUUCCUCCCUUGACGUUGACGUUCUAACUGAUUACUUUACUUACCGUGCAGUCUUACCUCACCGAACACAAAUGACAAAUGUAUGGCGACUCUGACUCAAAUCUCAAUUGACGCCUGUCACAAUAGUUUGUGUAACCGUCCUUAAUAUAUAUUUUUUAAUUAUCAUUGUACUAUUUUUUUUUUACCUCAUAUUAAUUCAAUCACUAUAAAAUUUUAACAUAUUUUCUACAUUAUUUUUUUAAAAUUUAUAUCAAUUAGACACUUUUACAUUAAUACCGUUAAAUAAUUUAAAUAAAAUGACAAUUUUACCUCUAAAUAAAUUAAAAGAUCAUUUCAUCUUGUAAAAGCUUUGAAAUUAAAAAAAUUAUAAUUAUAAAAAUACCCCUACAUUUAAUAAAGAUAAAAAUUAUUUUCAUAAAAAAUUAUAAUUAUAAAAAUAAUUCAAAAUUUUGGGAUUUAAUAACAAUCCCCUAAAUUAUUAAAAAUUUGGGAUUUAUUUUUUAAUAAAUAAAUUCAGUUAUUUUAAUAAAAUUUUUGCAAAAUUAUAAAAUUUUAAUAAAAAUAAAUAUUAAAAUUUUACAAAAUCUAAAUUUAAUAAAAAUCAGCUGAGCACCUCUAUUUUGGAUUUAUUUUUUUAAAUUUAGGGGUAUUUUUAUAAUUAUAAAUUUUUUUAUUUUUCAAAGCUUUAUAAGAUAAAAUAUUUUUUAAUUUAUUUAGGAUAAAAUUAUCAUUUCGCUUAAAUUAUUUAACGGUGUUAGUGUAAAAGUGGCUAAUUGAUAUAAAAUUAAAAAAAAAAUAGUGCAGAGAGUAUGUUAGAAUUUUGUGGUAGGUAUAUGAACAUAAGAUAAAAGAAAAGUGGUGCAAUGAUUUUUUUUUUUUUAUAAGAACUGUCCUUAAAAUUGAAAACAGGACAACAAAUAAUUUUUUUUUUUUCAUUCAACACUAUUAGAAAAAGAAAAAAACACAACAUUUAGUCUGGAAUGUAAAUAAAUGAUAAAUAAAUGUAUUACUAAAUUUGAGAAAAUGAAGCUGAUGGAGAGCACUAAGGAGCUCUUAGAUAUAUAUAUAUAUAUAUAAAAUGGGUCCACCUAAGUUACGUUCAAGAGAACUUACGGCUUGGCUGAAACAUUUUGUUCAGGCCCCUAUACUCUAUGUUAUUUAUAAUUUGUUCAUGAAUAUUAUAAAUUUUUUGGAUUGUAAAAUUUCAUCUAACCCCUUACACUCAAUUUUAUUUUAUUGAAACACUAGAGUACGAAUUUGCCCCCCUAUAAUUUUAAAUUCCCAAAAUAAUCUCCAUUUAAUUAAAAGAUAUAAUUAUUAUUAAAUUAAUUAUAAUUAUAAUUAUAAUUAUUAUUUUAUUAUAAUCAUAAAUAUAAUUAUAUUUUUUAAAUAGAUGAUUAUAUUUUUUAACAAUAUAAAGAGAAGAUUGAUAGAGAACUUUAAACAAUUUGACGUAUUCACAUUAUUUAUAUGUAUAUGCGAGUUAAACAUUUAUUUAUUUAUUACAUUUUUUUGUGAAUUAUAAAUCAUAAGGAAACGACUUUGAGGGAACAAUUAGUAUCACAAGUCCCUACUAUUUCUUUUAUGUAAUAGAAUUUAUGGAGCCAAUUAACGGUUGCAAAAAAAGCCCCAUGAUGCUAAGAGUUUCAAUGGGUGUAUUUAUAGUAACUCCCCCAAUGACUUGCUUUUUAAUUGAUAUGCAACAGUACCAACAUUUUUGUGAAUGAAGCUCACACCAAUUUCCAUUGCCACUUUUGGUGUUGUCUAAACAUUUUGGCAUGACACCAUUAAUAGAACAUCCAAGCAAAAAAAGUACGAAAAAUUUUGUGAUCAAGAGAAAAUUAAUUGCAAUUAAUGGAAGUCAAGGAUGGCCGUGGGGGGGGUUGACCAGAUCGAGAACGAUGAGAGGGGGGAGAGGGUUGCUGCCGAAGAGAAUGGGUUUUGUUUCUUAAUCUAUUUUUGAACAUAAUGUGAAUAUGUCAAAUCAUUAAUUUUUAAAUAGAUGAUUAUAUUUUUUUAAAAAUAUAAUCAUCUAUUUAAAAAAUAUAAUUAUAUUUAUGAUUAUAAUAACUUUGUUUUUUGAAUCCAUCUCACCAAACAUAUAUUACGUUUGUAUUAUGAAAACAAAAAUGAAAACAAUGGGUAAAAAACGCUACCAAACGGACCCUAAUUUUUAUCGUUUCUGUUUCCCCCCAAUAAUUGUCUUAAAAUAAAUAUUGUACUUCUGCGUAGUACGCAGCACAAGGACAUUAUGAACGGUAUUUAAUCUCGCCGCACUUGUUCACAAACAAUUUUGAAGUUUCAAAGGAAAUUAAAGAAAGCUUUAGUUUCCUCCCUUGACGUUGACGUUCUAACUGAUUACUUUACUUACCGUGCAGUCUUACCUCACCGAACACAAAUGACAAAUGUAUGGCGACUCUGACUCAAAUCUCAAUUGACGCCUGUCACAAUAGUUUGUGUAACCGUCCUUAAUAUAUAUUUUUUAAUUAUCAUUGUACUAUUUUUUUUUUACCUCAUAUUAAUUCAAUCACUAUAAAAUUUUAACAUAUUUUCUACAUUAUUUUUUUAAAAUUUAUAUCAAUUAGACACUUUUACAUUAAUACCGUUAAAUAAUUUAAAUAAAAUGACAAUUUUACCUCUAAAUAAAUUAAAAGAUCAUUUCAUCUUGUAAAAGCUUUGAAAUUAAAAAAAUUAUAAUUAUAAAAAUACCCCUACAUUUAAUAAAGAUAAAAAUUAUUUUCAUAAAAAAUUAUAAUUAUAAAAAUAAUUCAAAAUUUUGGGAUUUAAUAACAAUCCCCUAAAUUAUUAAAAAUUUGGGAUUUAUUUUUUAAUAAAUAAAUUCAGUUAUUUUAAUAAAAUUUUUGCAAAAUUAUAAAAUUUUAAUAAAAAUAAAUAUUAAAAUUUUACAAAAUCUAAAUUUAAUAAAAAUCAGCUGAGCACCUCUAUUUUGGAUUUAUUUUUUUAAAUUUAGGGGUAUUUUUAUAAUUAUAAAUUUUUUUAUUUUUCAAAGCUUUAUAAGAUAAAAUAUUUUUUAAUUUAUUUAGGAUAAAAUUAUCAUUUCGCUUAAAUUAUUUAACGGUGUUAGUGUAAAAGUGGCUAAUUGAUAUAAAAUUAAAAAAAAAAUAGUGCAGAGAGUAUGUUAGAAUUUUGUGGUAGGUAUAUGAACAUAAGAUAAAAGAAAAGUGGUGCAAUGAUUUUUUUUUUUUUAUAAGAACUGUCCUUAAAAUUGAAAACAGGACAACAAAUAAUUUUUUUUUUUUCAUUCAACACUAUUAGAAAAAGAAAAAAACACAACAUUUAGUCUGGAAUGUAAAUAAAUGAUAAAUAAAUGUAUUACUAAAUUUGAGAAAAUGAAGCUGAUGGAGAGCACUAAGGAGCUCUUAGAUAUAUAUAUAUAUAUAUAAAAUGGGUCCACCUAAGUUACGUUCAAGAGAACUUACGGCUUGGCUGAAACAUUUUGUUCAGGCCCCUAUACUCUAUGUUAUUUAUAAUUUGUUCAUGAAUAUUAUAAAUUUUUUGGAUUGUAAAAUUUCAUCUAACCCCUUACACUCAAUUUUAUUUUAUUGAAACACUAGAGUACGAAUUUGCCCCCCUAUAAUUUUAAAUUCCCAAAAUAAUCUCCAUUUAAUUAAAAAUAUAAUAAUUAUUAAAUGAAUUAUAAUUAUAAUUAUUAUUUUAUUAUAAUCAUAAAUAUUAUUAUAUCUAUUCCCCAACAUAUAUAUAACCAAGUUUGUAACCAUAUACAUACAUACAUACAUACAUACAUAUAACAUAUUUUUAUAACAUAUUUCUCAAAAAUGAAUGUCAUGCAUCAUAAAUACAUUGCAUAUAAGGCUAAUCCCCACACAAGUGAUGAUUCUUAGGCCUAUUUAUUGCAAUAUUCAUAUCUGUUUCAAAGAACAUCCACGUACACAUGAUAUUAUAGGGUAUACACUCUAUGCCCCUAUUUAUUGUUGUCACUGAUCUAUUUCGUAAACAUAGCAGUUAAAUAUUCUGCUGUACCGUACAUCCGCCUUGGCCGUACAGCAGAAUUCAGACUCUAAGAUUUCAAUAAAAUAAAAUUGAGUGUAAGGAGUUAAACGAAAUUUUACAAUACAAAAAAUUUUAUAAUAUUUAUAAAUAAAUUAUAAAUAAUAUAAAAUAUAGGGAGCUGUAUAAAAUUUUAGAGUCAAGCCGUAAGUUACAUUAAACGUAACUUAGGCGGACCGUAUAAAAUAAAAGAGACGACUAACGAGUGAAGAAAGAAUGACGGUACGAAAACAUGAAAAAGCUGUCUUUUUCAGUGAAUAGUAUUUUGAAAAAAAUUCCUUUAUAGGAUGGAGUUGGCUUCUGGGAUAAGGCACGUCGAAUAAUCAUGUCUCUUACAAUUGACAGUCGCACAAAAUGGCAGCUUCCCUCGCUUGACGUGUCACCCCAUUUGGAUCAUAAUUGAGACCUACUUGCGAUGUGAUCGGUCUCCGAGUCCAACAAUGUGAUAAAUUUGUAGAUUUGCAAGACUGGAACCAUAAUGGGAAGUAACUUAGCGUUUGCCUAAUGGGAAAUUAAAUAUCGUAGGACCGUAGGACCCAUCCCACGUACAUAAUUUUGAAACUACGCACCGUUGGGUCCCCUUCGCUGUUGUCUGAGCAUUACAUCAUUAAUUACUAUUAUAUAAGACUCUUCCCAUGAGUGUCAUAUGCUGCAUAUACCUAAAAAAAAAAUGUGCCUCGGAAAUAAACAAUAUCAGUGCUCUGUUUUCUGGGAUGAGGAUGAAAACCUCGUUCACUUCAAGUGCCCUCUUCCACCAAGGACGAAGCGAGAGGAUGUGAAGGUUGAGAUUGAUGAAGAUGGGAAAUUGCUUAUAGAAAUAAGCAAGUGGGUAAGUUCACAUAGUGAUCCUCUCUCUUCAGCUUCUUCCUGGAUGAUCAUAUCCGGCUCCUCUUUCUUAAGCUUCCUGACGAAAAAUGAAGGAGACACCACCAACCCAAUACCCCCGAUGGAAUUCAACUUGCCAACGGGUCUUAACACGAAUGCCUUCGAGACUGCGAUCGAUGACGAGGGUUUGCUAACUCUCACUUUCAAAAAAGCUCCUGCCCAUUCAUGCCGAAACGCCCUCCGACCUCGAAAAGGCCUCCGUGGAGUGGAGGAACAAAAAGCGCGUCUCUCACUUCAAGGCCCUUCUACCAGCGGGGACGAAGAUGGAUGACAUGUAUACGUAAUAGAUGAGUCAAAUAAAUAUAAAUAUUUAAAAUAAUAUAUAUUGUUCUAACCGUUACCUUCACUAAACUCAAGCCAGAGAAGAAAAAGCUGCGGCCAAUAGCAAAGAAGACGCUGGGAUGUUUGGCUCAUGCUGCUUGUUUGCUGAUAUGUGAGAAGAUAAGUGAUGCGAUUUGUUAAGGGGUUUACUAAUAAGUUGGUGUCAAAUAGGUAUUUGCUUUAUGUUCAUGUAUGUUGUUUCUGUCGUUUAUCUGUUAGUGUUUGGGGAAAAGAAAAAAAAAAAAAAUCUCUGGACUCUAGAGUCUCGACCAGGUGUUCGUUAAUUUCUGUGUUGUGUGGUGUUGUAUCUCCUUUGUUUCAGUGAAAUAGAAGAGCUUUGUCAAAUAAAAAAUGAUAAAUGUUGUUGGGUAAAAAAAAAAAAUGCUUUCUUUUUCUUUUAUAUAGUGUUGAAUUUAAAAAAAAAAUGUUGGUUUGCCUGUUCCCGAUCGGGGAGCUCAAAUGUUCCACUUUCAUGCGUACGUGCGUAACGAGACAGCCACAGGAUAAAGUCAGGGGUGGCUUUAAGUAGAGGCGAACAAGGCGGUCGCCUAAGGCCCCAUAUUUUGUGAAGGCCUCAUUUUUUGAAUUUUUUUUAAUAAUUCUCAUAUUUUUAAAUUACGUAUUUUAGGAAAUCAAAAAGCUUAUUAACAUCUCUCUAAUUAUUAAUUAUCAUAUAGUUAAGAAUUAUUUUUUAUGAAAAAACUAUAUUUGAUAACAUUAAUGUUAAAUAGAUAUAACUAAUAAUAUUAUUUAAUCAUUAAUUCAUUCAUUAUUAGUCUUUCCAAAAAAAAUUAAAUUAGUUAUCUUUUCAAUUUCCUCAAAAAAAUUAAUUAUUUAAUGUUAGAAUAUUUGACUUUUAGUAUUUCUUUUAAUUUCCAUUAAAAAAUUUGUAAUCUAAAAAAUCAGUAAAUGAAAAAAUUUCUUCCUCACUUCUCUAGAAAGAAAAAUAUUAUAUUCAUUGGUUCAUUUAAAAAAAAUCAAUUUAUAGAAAUACAAAGUCCAUUUCUAUUAUCUGAUCAUUAAUUCAUCAUCUCAACUUUUUAUGUUCUAUCAUUCGAAAUAUCCUAUUUGAAAAUAAUAUUAUUCGUAUUUAUUUGAUUGUUUAUUUUGUAAUAGUUUUAAUGGAAUAAAAAAAUAUCUUCUUAACUUUUUUUUUAGGUUUUAUUUUUAAAAUUCAAGAAUUACAAAUGAAAUAAAUUUUGAGCAUUUUUUUUUAUUUCUUUGAGUAUUGAAAUUGCAAAACAAAUAGAGGCCUCAUAAAAAAAUUUCGCCUAAGGCCCCAAACACUCUAAAGCCGGCCCUAGAUAAAGGAGUAACUGCGGCGGCGUCAGAUGAGCCAAUCGUGCUGUAGAAUAUGCAAGAUGGCAAUAUCUAUCCUUUUUUUAGUUGUUAGCGCUGGGACCCCUUUUUUUUAAAAAAAUAAAAAUUGAGUGCAUGGAUUAUGGGGUUUAGCCAAUGGUCAAGCGAUCGCCCCACAUUUCUCCUUCAAUAACCUCCCAUUUCAACGCAUUAGACAGUAAAGGCAACUUUUGAAGAUAAGAACGAGAUAACAGAGAAAAUAAAAUGACCCAUGUCCAUAGAAAUCUACAUCAAAUCCUCAGGUCUCUGCACUGACACAUGCACAAAUAUUUCAAGAUCAUGGCAACUUCUGCAACUCAUUCCUUUUGAGCUUCAAUCUGGCCAUCGUAUAAAUAAGUGGGUAAUAUGUUACAACAAAGAUUAAGUGAUUAACCUUCACUAAACUGAAGCCAGAGAAAAAGCUGGUGUCAAGAUCAAAGAAGAUCCUGCGAGGUUUGGCUAAAGCAGUGCCUGUUUGUUUCUUGAAAGGUUACAAGAUAAGUUGAGGAGACUAGUAAAUUAGCUGGUGUCAGGUAAGGUAUUUGCCAACAUCAGGUUCAUGUAUGGCGCAUCAUAUUCAUGUAUGUUGUUCUGUCCUUUAUGUAUUAGUAUUGGUAAAUAACUCUAGAGUAUCUUAAUUAAUGGAUCUAUCUUUUGAGAGCUGAAUUUGGCAUAUGAAGUUUGUUGAAUCAAAGCAAAUCAGGAGUUGGUCUUAAAAGCAUGCUGUUCAAGGAAUGCAAUACAAACAGUAAAAUUAUUUGAAACAAUUCAUACGGCUUCCCUUUGAGUGAAAAAUGAUCUUUCAUUUGUUUUAGCGUGUGUUUCAUAAUUCUCUCUGCUUUUUUUUUUUUUUUUGCCCUCUCCUAUUUUGAGAAUUAGUUGUUGUUGAUUUGGUGAAAAAGGAAUUUGCUUUAUUUGGAUCCUAAGAAGGGGCAAUCAUGAUCCUGAUUCAUUUUUUAGGUUUCUUCAAAAAGAAUAUUUCAGUAAAAGAGUGCAGAGUAGGACACCAUCAAAGUAUAAAAAUAGGAUAAGAAACAAGGUUCUAAAAAUAAACCUACCAGUAAACGACGACCACUUUCAUUGCCUCUGCAGCUUCAUCUUCUAUGCUUCUUUGUUAGAUCCCACAUCGACUAGGUAUGAGACUAGUUGGUGGUUUAUUAACCCCAAGGCACCCAUUUCUUCCAAAUUGGUUUUUGAGGGUGAGUUCUAUCUUGUGGGUUCGUAAUAAUUUGUAUCAGAAUAGUUCGCUUCACUGAAGUUGGACUUAAGAGUGUGUGUGGCUUUGUGCCGUAGGGGUGACCCUCGUCAGGGUGUGUGAGUUCCACCCUCUAAAGUUGGCCCCAGGGCGUGUGAGUGGCUUCGUGGGGUUUUUUAUUUAAAUAUACCCCAUUUAUCCUUAAAUGCCAAAUCUAUAUUCCAUUACAUAUAUAUACCUCCUAAAAGUAUAAAAAAUCAAAAAUAACUUAAAAAAAUCAUCUAUUUACGUUUACUUCCUCUCUCAUGACUUCUACAUAAUAACACAACUAAAGUCGAGUAUACUCGACCUUUUACGAUUUUACCUGACUUAAUUAAAAGGAAAAUUUUCAUUUCAAUUUAAGUCGAGUAUUCUCAACCAAUUACCGAACUUCAAUGAAAAGUCAAGAAUUUUUGCUGAAUGAAUAUUGGGUAGGGUUAAAUUAAAGUCGGGUAUUCUCGACUCUUUACUCGACUUAAAAAAAUCGAGAAUUUUUUAGAUAAUUUUUUUUUUCAAUUGAAGUCGAGUAUUCUCGACUAUUUACCCGACUAACGUGAAAAAGUCGAGAAUUUAUGCUGAAUUAUUAAUUGUGUAUGAUUUGGUUAAAGUCGAGUAUUCUCGACUAUUUACCCGACUUUGAGGAGUUGGGUUUAGUUUUAUGAGGAUUUAGUUGUGGUUAUUUUUAUACUUUCUCUAGCUUUUUAGAGUAUAUAUGUGUAAAAUUUAAGAGUGUUAUAAUUUUAGGUAUAUAUUGGGUAUUUUGAAGGGAAUGGGGUACAUCCCACACAAUUCUCCGGCUUUCGUGACCAUGGGGGCGUCAUCUAGUUAGGAUUUGUGAGUUCUACCUUAUGAAUUUGUAACAAUUGGUAUAGGGCAGUUUGGUCCCAAGGCACCCUCUUCUUAUAAGCUCUUGAAGCGUGUGGCCAAUUCACUCUUUUUUUUUUUUCACCUCUAAAAUACAUGUGUUAAUGGGAUGCACUCUCUUGCUGACUUUUUAUUGGCCCAGGUAACAAAUCUUUUUUUUCUUUCUUUUGUGUUCUUUUAUUGUUGAUUCUAUCAUGCUUCUUUGCUUAAAAAAAUGUGGAAAUUGUCAAAUUAAGUCACAAUGGUAGGAAUUUGCAGUAUUAUUUUGAGGUUUGUUGGAAGGUAGUUUUGAAACUUGGGUAUUCAAAGUCUCAAAAUCAAUAUAGUUUUGAGUUUUGACCAGAGAAGGAAGAUAAGAGUAUAUCAAACUUAAGCCACAAUUACAUGAUCACAUUAUUUUAGUUGCUUAGGCUAUAUGGGUAGACUUAAAGAAAUAGUGAUGAUAAUGAUCAUAACUGAGUAAAAGAAGAGCUAGCAUGAACAUUUUGCGCCACUGUAUUAUAAAUAUAAUUCCUUCAAAGUAAAAGGCUCUAUAUAUGGAAUAUUAAAAUUGAAUUAGAGUUAGUUAUAUACAAUGUCUUACAUUGUACACCAUUAUUAUUAAAGUAUGUAAACCAGUUCCUUUGUCCUUCAUGCCAUGGCUAAAUACAUUUUCAUGCUUGUUGCAGACCUCUGUGGUUAAUGUAGUGAGACGCUGCUGGAUCUUGAGCCAUUUAAUAGGAUGUGGCACUUGAGCGAGAAUGGCGAAUCUUGUGGGCAGUUUGAUGUAAUUAUUAUUGCUCGUAAUGGUGAUACAAUGCUGCUACCGUUGCUCUCUCUCUCUCAGUAUAAAUUUAUAGUCUUAAGAUUUUGCAUUAAGAAAAUGCACGUUUUUGUAAUUACAGUGGCAAAAUGUUAAAAUAGGCUUCGCUAUUGGGGAAAAAAAGAAAACAAAAGAAAAUUUUCAGUUUUACAUUCCAUUAUUACCCUGGAUCCAGGAGUGGCAAAGGUUCAAGUUUUGUACAGCAAUGCAGGGAAACCCUCUGUAAAUCCAAAUCCCUAUGAGAGGGAUCCCACUUCAUGAAAAAUCUUGAGGGUUUUGAAUUGGAAUACUCUGGCAGGUUAGAAGUUGUGUCAAUUAAUUAUCUAUAAAAUAUAUGUUACAUUAUAUGACUAUAUAGUGAUUCAUUGUGCGAUACUAGGACAUCGCAAAGAGCUAAAAAUUUCAGACAGGUUUCUCCCCUAGAUUUGGUGAAAAAGUGAUGGAUAGAUUACAGUUAAGCUUUAUAGCAAUUUGUAACUGUAAACAUCUAGAAGGCUGGGACUAAAUGCCAUUUGAUUAGGUUAGAAUAAUAUGAGAUGAGCUUUCAAUCUAUGUCAUUCAUUCAAUUGCUUUUUCAGAUGUCCACAAUUCAUCAUGUUGAUAAUAUCCUAUUGGUGCCUAGUAAAUUUCCUUCAUGACUAUGAUAUAAGGUGUUAUGGAAGAAUUGAAAACAUCCGAUAUAAAUGAGUAGCUAGAAUAGGCUCUGGAUUAAAAGAAAAAAAGCAAGUUUAUGCCUAUUUCCUUUCUGUUUCAUUAGUUGAUUAUAGACCAUUAAUUACCCGUCUUUUUUUGUUUCGGUUUUGUUUUGCGGUGAUAGUGCCCAGAUGUAAUGAUAGGAAAAUGUGCAAACCGGCUGUUGGUUCAUCUGGUUUACCUCUAAUAGCUAGAAAAAUGAAGGUAUAUAUCCUUUGAAAUAUUCAGUUUUUUAGUGUUAUCUAAACUAUGCUUUGCUCAUUCGACCUUUCCUAAAUUGUUUUGAAGUUUCAUGCUGCAUUUAUCCAGUUUGUAGAGGAUGCAAUUAAGUUCUAUAUGGACACUUCUUGCGGCAUCUGAGGAUCCCCGUCUGCUAGGUAGUGCAGCAUCAUUUAAGGCACCUUUGUUAAAGGCUGUCUCAUGGAUGGCUGAUAACCCAGGGAAGCUUUUUCGUUCCCAAAGUGAUGUCCCUCAUUGUUGGACCUUCUUCAGCACUGCAGCUUAUGGAAAACGAAAGAAGGUUCCACAGGUCUUUUUGUACAUAAAUGUGUGUCUUGUUUAAAAUACUUGUUUUCCCAUGAUUAUAUGCUAGCAUUGGCACACUUUUUUUUUCUUUUAAUCAAUUGCCUAGACCUGUUGAAUCUGUUCGUACUUCAGCUUGAAAUCUGAUCUAUUGAAACAAGGCUGCAAUAAGUUCAAUUUUGGACUAUCCUUGUAGUUGUCCUAUUUCCUUAAUGGAUGUAUCUUUUAAGUGCUGCAUUUGGAAUAUGAACUUUGAUUGAAUGAAAGGAAAUCAGGGGUUGGUCUCAAAAGCAUGUUGUUCAAGGAAUGCCAUACGAAAAGUAAUAUUAUUUGAGACAAUUCACUGGGCUUCCCUUGAGUGAACAAGAGUCACUUUACCAUUUAAACUGAAGUAAUAUGCUCUUUCAGUUUAUUCAAAGAAUUAUGAGAAGAACCUCAGGCGUGUUAAUUGAAAAAUGCCCAAAAUGGAUUAUUCAUAUUCAUGCCAUUGAAUCCCAGGUGUGUUAAUUUCAAACUCUAAUUAAAUGUUAUAAUCUUUCUUCAUUCAUUUUAGCAUGCGUUCCAUGAUUCAUGCUUUCUUCUUCCCCUUUUAAUUUUUCCUUGUCUUCUAUUUUAGCUUCCAUGAUAUUGGGAAUUAGUUGUUAUUGAUGUGGUGAAAAAGGAAUUGUUUUAUUUGGAUCCUAAGAGGGGUAAUCCUGAUCCUGAUUAUGGACUCCUUUCCCUUUGACACCAUUCAUAUUUGUAGGUUUCUUCAAUAUAUUUCAGAGAUAGCUACUGUAGUUAUUUCAUACAAUGUCAUGAUACUGUUCACAACAUAGGAUAUAUAGUAAGGAAAACUGAAAUUAUAGAUCUAAGAUGAGAUUUGUGGAGGUAAAACAAAUUACCUUACCUAAGUGCAGUGUGGCUAUUGCUUUAACUAAAACAUAUGAGAUUUGUCGCUAACUUUUUGGUUUUUAACUGUGAAUAGACCCCGCAACAGCUACGAAAUGUGGAGCUUGGCUAUUAUGUCAUGAGUUAUAUGAAGUACAUAAUAGCCGACGUUGGUUUGCUAAUGAACAAAUUGUGUUACUGAUAAUUAAAUAAUAUCACGUUUGUUUAAUAACAUAUAUGUGGCAUUGUGUUCGAAGUUUUAAUGACAUUGAUUUUAUGGUUAACAGUUCGACAGGACACCUACACUGAGGCUGAAAUAGACGAGGUUCAGUUGGAGUGGACUAACCAUUUUUCUGAAAUCCUUGUCGCAUCAUCAAAAUGUUUAGUAUAAAUGUGAAACAAUACAUGCACCUUAUUAUUAUGUCUCAUUUAUUAGAGUUUGGUGAAAUUUGUGUUGUAUCGUGAAACAGUAAUGUUUUGAGUUGACGUUGUGAUGCCAUUUUUACUUCUUACAAUAAUGUGCUAAUGUCGUUAUCUGUGUGAAUAUUUUUAGUUCUUACAAUAAUGCUAUUUGAUUUCUGAUAAUUAGUGAUAGGGUAUGGACUGAUGGACAGCAAAACAAGGUUCUGCAGGUUGGUUCAUAAAUAAAUAUAUGUUCUUGUUGUAAAUAUAUGUUUACUUUCACACACUUUUUAACCAACUGCUUAGAGCACUAGCAUACUUGAAUAGAUUCACAAUUCAGCUUGAUAUCCCAAGCUAUUAAAACAGGCCGUAAUGAGUUCAGUUUUUAUUAGGGGUGUUCGCGGAUCGGAUUUUACGGAUUGGACAUCAAUCCAUAUCCGAUCCAUGAUUUUGUGGAUUAUAAUUUUUCAAUCCAAUCCAAUCCACGGAUUGAUAAAAUUCAAUUCAAAUCCAAUCCAUACAUCUGCGGAUCGGAUACGGAUUUGACUCAAUCCAUAUCCAAUCCAUACGUCUGCGGAUUGGAUGCGGAUUUGAUUCAAUCCAUAUGCAAUCCACCAUUUUGCGCAUUAGUUUUCGAAUUAAAAAUUUUUAGUUCUCUCCAACUAAUGAAAUAAAAAAAUCUAAUAUAAAAAUAAUUUUGCUACCAAUUAAAUUUAAAAUUGAACAAAAUUUACAUAAAUUAAUUGUUUAAAUAAAGCUAAAAUAAUACAUUUAAAGUUUCAAAAUAUAACACAUCGAGACUAAUUAUUCAAAUAAAGCUACAAUAAUACGUUCAAAGUUUCAAAAUAUAACACACCAAACUUAAUUGUUCAAAUAAAGUUACAAUAAUACGUUAAUAUAACACCGAAAUUAAUUGUUCAAAUAAAGCCACAAUUAAUUGAAAUAGCGAAGUUUCGGAAACCAAACACAGUCUGAUCCUUCACCAGGGCUGUUGCACCUGUCGAAAAGUGGUGAUUACGGAGCCAUCCACGAUGAGAACCAGGAGAAGCCGUACGGGUGGUGAUCUUGAAGGUUGUGAUAGUGAAAUUGUUCAGCUGGAACCAGUGAAUGUGAAGUGGCUCGAUGGACUUGGAAAAGAAGAUGGUUUGCUCUCUCCGGAAUCACGCGGCCGAUGUCCUUUAAAUCCGUGUCGAGGUUGUAUCCAACUAGUAUUGAAUGUUGCUAGUGUGUGUGACGGCGGGGAAGCUUAGGGUUUUUUGUUUGCAAAUUGUUGGUGACUUGGCGUUAUGUUACUUUGCUUUUGCUAGUGCGUGUGACUUUGCUUUUAUUUUGUUUUACAAUUUUUACAAGUUAUAUUUGUAUAUUUGAUUAUUUAAUUAUUUUUCAUUUUAUAUUAUUAUUGGGUAAUGGCUAAGAUAUGUUAUAGUGCUUAGUAACUAUGCAAUGUCACAUUUAUAAUUUUUUUAAUUAAAUUUAUAAUAAUUUUUUAAUUAUAUUUAUAUAUAUAUAUAUAUUUGCGGAUUCACGGAUUUCUGCGGAUUUACAGAAGUAAAUCCAUAUCCAAUCCAUCGAUUGCGAAUUUUUAAAAUUUCAAUCCAUAUCCAAUCCACAGAUCCACGAAUCGGAUUUAUACAGAUAGAAUUUUCAUAUGUGCAUAUUUGUGUAGACUUGGUAAUAAUAUUAGCUUGAUUAUCUGCCUUAUACUUGAAUCAACAUGACAUUUCAAUUUUACAGCAUAGAUUUAUAUUGUAAUUUAGUUUUUCUGCAAUUUAGCUUCAGAAGUUGAUUUGGACAGAAUUGACAAGUGAUUUUGUGGACUUGCGUGUAGUGCAGAUCUUGUUUUCAGGUUAUGCUCAUUUGGAAAACAAAAAAUGGAAUAUGUGAUUGCAAUUUCUUAAAUAUUUGGAACAUGUGAUGCUCAUUUGUUUCAAAUCUCAUGCUUCUUAUUUUAGUCUGCUUUUGACUAUUUCAUUUCAUAUAACUUGGCGUCGAUUAUCCAUAGCCUUAAAUAGAACAGCAGCAUCUGUUUGGAAGGUAACUGUUGGAAUGUCUCCAAAAUUUAGAUGCCCUGAACUCUCUGAGAAACGAGAAGAAGUAAUUUUUUAAUCAAAUAAUUAAAUUUAAAAUUUCUUUUCAAUGGUGUUAUCUAAAUAAUUUUUUUGUAUCUUUAUUUUAAUUUCCAUCAUCUAGUUUUGCAUGAAAUUAGAACAAAAACACAAACUUUGGAGAGAAGCCUGUGUACGUGAAGCAAGAUUGUAGGUGCAUUUGCUUAAGUUUCUCUGAUAAACUGUGUCUGCAAUGUUUACUUUUAUUUAUUAAUUAUUUUUUGAAGUCCCAAUAGAUCUGAAUAUAUAUAACUGAAAAAUAUGUUUGUUUUUAUCUAUUCUUUUUGAGGUUUGACUGUAGGUAUAAGUAGUUUGUAAAUGAAUUUGAGAGUUUAAAUUGUCGACUUCAGACAUAAGAUAGAAGUAAAAACUCUUAGCCUUUUCUAUUAAGAUGAAAAUAUCAUACAGUCAAUGAUAAUUGAAAAAAACAAUCUAAACAGUCUAAUGUCUUAAAAUGAGUUACAUUAAAAAAAAAAAAAAAAAAAAUUCCAAGUCGAAUGAAAUCUUCUCGAGCGUGGAGAGUUGUAUCAUAGAUUCUGACAUGGAUAAGAUUACCUUUCUUAAGUGUUUAUGGGGUCUUGUUACACCACAUGUGUGCAUAUAUAUACUUUGCUUGAGCAAUGUCAUUUCUGUAAAGCAUGGUGAUACGUAGUGUUUCGCUUUCUAUGCAGGGUGAUGGGGAGGGAACUCACAGAUGUACACAUGGAUAAGAAGUCAAAUGGAGUUGUACCGAAUUCAAAUGAUGCAUCUUGUGAUAAAGUUCAUGUGGCUCCCAAAAUCUCAGAAGACAGUGUUGAUGCAAAGGACUACAAGGUGAAAGUGUUGGGAAAAUAUACUCUUUAAAAGCAUAUGUGUUUAUUUAAUUGUAAUAAACAAUUUUUCUGAUUAAUAAAAUAAAUGAGGUAUUUUAUUCAAAUAUCUUAAUUGCAUUAAUAUUUGUAUUAAAGUCCAUUUAAUCAUAUUAUAUGUAUUUAUGUGAUCACCAUGUGGAUUCACAGAAGACAUAAAUACAAGUUAUCUUAUGAUUAAAUAAAUUUAGUUCACAGUUGAUAAAUAAAGUUGGGCACUUUAUUUAGGUAUAGACUAUAAUGAAUUCAUUGAAUGAUUUGUCUUAAUCAUGUAUGAAUUUAUUGAUGUAGUACGACUACAUUGAACAGGAUCAAAUAUGAGAUUUAAUUAACUUUGUAAUAACUGGAAAACUUAUUAAAUCUCAUAGGCAUUGAUUUUACUAUAAUCUUAAUCUUGAGUUAAUUAUGAUUUCAUGACUGUAAUUGUUAUUCCAUUUGAGUUACCAAUGGACACGACACACAAUUGUGGUCAAGAUUAUCCGGUAUCUUAGGGUGAGCAUUUAUGAGUAUUGGAGUUAUAGAUUAACAAUAUAGAAUUUGUACAACACAUCUCUUGAUAGGUUUUCGGUACUUGAUCAUAGAAUUCUCUGGCCAGAGUGUGUCAACAUAUUUAGUAUGUUGAAAAUGAUCAUUAGAGAAAACCAGUAAGGAUCAAGGAAUAAGAUGUUAUUAAAUUGAUUGGACAGUUGAGAUAUCAAUUUAAUUAACGAUAUGGUACAAAGGAUUGUGCAGUAAAGAAAUCCUGCUGUACCGUACAUCCGCCUUGGCCGUACAGCAGNNNNNNNNNNNNNNNNNNNNNNNNNNNNNNNNNNNNNNNNNNNNNNNNNNNNNNNNNNNNNNNNNNNNNNNNNNNNNNNNNNNNNNNNNNNNNNNNNNNNNNNNNNNNNNNNNNNNNNNNNNNNNNNNNNNNNNNNNNNNNNNNNNNNNNNNNNNNNNNNNNNNNNNNNNNNNNNNNNNNNNNNNNNNNNNNNNNNNNNNNNNNNNNNNNNNNNNNNNNNNNNNNNNNNNNNNNNNNNNNNNNNNNNNNNNNNNNNNNNNNNNNNNNNNNNNNNNNNNNNNNNNNNNNNNNNNNNNNNNNNNNNNNNNNNNNNNNNNNNNNNNNNNNNNNNNNNNNNNNNNNNNNNNNNNNNNNNNNNNNNNNNNNNNNNNNNNNNNNNNNNNNNNNNNNNNNNNNNNNNNNNNNNNNNNNNNNNNNNNNNNNNNNNNNNNNNNNNNNNNNNNNNNNNNNNNNNNNNNNNNNNNNNNNNNNNNNNNNNNNNNNNNNNNNNNNNNNNNNNNNNNNNNNNNNNNNNNNNNNNNNNNNNNNNNNNNNNNNNNNNNNNNNNNNNNNNNNNNNNNNNNNNNNNNNNNNNNNNNNNNNNNNNNNNNNNNNNNNNNNNNNNNNNNNNNNNNNNNNNNNNNNNNNNNNNNNNNNNNNNNNNNNNNNNNNNNNNNNNNNNNNNNNNNNNNNNNNNNNNNNNNNNNAUGAUGUGGUACAAAUGAUUGUGCAGUAAAGAAAUCAAUGUGGCUUGGGACGAAUUAUUAUUCGAGCAUACAAUUAUGGAAGUCAGUUCCAAUCUUUUAGUGGAGUAGAUUUGGAAUUAAAUAAUUAGGCUAGUUUAAUUACAUGCCUAAUUGUUAUAGCCACUAUUGUAUGUUCCCAAAUGAUCUCCGGGUUAGCUCAUUUAAUUGACUGCACCACUACUGGACUAAUAAGUAAGAUAACUAGCUAUUUGAGUCAAAAGCCUAAAUAUAUCAUUUAGUGGGAGGCUCCAUUUAAUUAGCUUUUGUGUAAGGGGUCUUAUGUUAUUUUACAAGGUGGGUCCCUUAUUAAAAAAGCAAAUAACGUGGGUUUUGUUUUUUGGAUUAUUUGGAGCCUAGGGUUUUCACUAAAGGGUGAUAUAAAAGGCUUAUUUUCUCAAAAGAACUGCUAGAAGCCACUUUAUACAGAUUAGAGAAUAAGAUUUUUCUCUCCAUUGUUGAGAGAAAAAUUUUCUCGUGCUAGUUGCUUUGGUAGUGAUAAAGGCGCCCACACGUCAAGUGCAGAUCGAACCUGAGUCAUAACCUGGAAGAUCGUUGGUGACAGUUCGUGAUCUAACAAGCGUGGUGGUGACGGAUCGUGAUCUAACAGGAGUGGUGGUGGCGGAUCGUGAUCUAGGAGCCUAAAUCACUUCAGCGGAAAAAGCCAACUCGGAUUUUCAAGGUACGAUUUCUAGAAUACAAAUUCGUAUAUAUUAUAUGAGAGCGAUCUUCAAAAGGUUUAUAAAAAANNNNNNNNNNNNNNNNNNNNNNNNNNNNNNNNNNNNNNNNNNNNNNNNNNNNNNNNNNNNNNNNNNNNNNNNNNNNNNNNNNNNNNNNNNNNNNNNNNNNNNNNNNNNNNNNNNNNNNNNNNNNNNNNNNNNNNNNNNNNNNNNNNNNNNNNNNNNNNNNNNNNNNNNNNNNNNNNNNNNNNNNNNNNNNNNNNNNNNNNNNNNNNNNNNNNNNNNNNNNNNNNNNNNNNNNNNNNNNNNNNNNNNNNNNNNNNNNNNNNNNNNNNNNNNNNNNNNNNNNNNNNNNNNNNNNNNNNNNNNNNNNNNNNNNNNNNNNNNNNNNNNNNNNNNNNNNNNNNNNNNNNNNNNNNNNNNNNNNNNNNNNNNNNNNNNNNNNNNNNNNNNNNNNNNNNNNNNNNNNNNNNNNNNNNNNNNNNNNNNNNNNNNNNNNNNNNNNNNNNNNGAAGCCACUUUAUACAGAUCAGAGAAAAAGAUUUUUCUCUCUAUUGUUGAGAGAAAAAUCUUCUCGUGCUAGUUGCUUUGGUAAUGAUAAAGGCGCCCACACGUCAAGUGCAGAUCGAACCUGAGUCAUAACCUGGAAGAUCAUUGGUGACAGUUCUUGAUCUAACAAGCGUGGUGGUGACGGAUCGUGAUCUAACAGGUGUGGUGGUGACUAAUCGUGAUCUAGGAGCCUAAAUCACUUCAGCGGAAAAAGUCAAAUCGGAUUUUCAAGGUACGAUUUCUAGAUUACAAAUUCUUAUAUAUUAUAUGAGAGCGGUCCUUAAAAGGUUUUAUAAAAAUUUAAAAAUCUGAUUUUUCCCCAACAAUUGGUAUCAGAGCCAUCUCAUAUUAAUAUAUAAGAAUUUCGUAUGAAAUUAAUCCUGAAAUUUAUGUAUUAGAGUGGCACAUUUUAUUCAGAUAUAUAUUAUUUGUUUAAUAUAUGAAUAAAGCAUGUUAUGGUUUGUCUUAAUUAAUGGUUAGAUUUUACGAUGUAUUUUUUCUUUGGAUCUGUAACAAGAGGGGUGGCUUUUCAUCACCAUGUUUCCCUCUUGAUUUAUUUUAUUGUUAUAGAAUUUUUGUAAGCUAAGAUUGGCCUAGGAAAUUUGUAAAUUAAUUACUGAAAAAUUACAGAAACUUGCGGGAAACUGCGGCAACGAACCAGCAGUAAGUAGCGCGCGGCUAGCAGCACAUGCUGCCAGCAAGCGCGCACUGCAAGCGCAGCGGCCAGCAGCCACGCGCAGCAGUAGCGCGCGACCAGCAGCGCUGCCAACAACGUGAGCUUGCGCGCCGGGGAUGGAAACUUGCAGGCGGUUGCUGCUAGCGGAGGAUGUCGUUUGGUAGUUUUCCCGUACGGCGGUGAUGGUCAAUUCGGCCUCGGAAAAUCAUGAACAGUGGCAAAGGUUUUUGGAGAUGGCGGCUGGGGAAGAGAGGAAGAAAAAUAUGGAUUUAGGGUUUCAUGGUUUUUAUCAUGGAGGUUCCUAUGGUUCCAUAAUUUUUCAUUUGGGCAGAAAAUUUUUUAAUUUUUUGCAUUUAAAUCCAAAAAUAGUUUUGGGUUUAAUGAAUCCUAGUUUUAGGCCCAAUUUCAAUUGGGCUUAAUGGAUUAAAAUGCAUAGACAAAAUUAAAUACAUUAAAUUUAUUUUUGGUCCAAAAGUUUUAUUUUACUAGAAAAUUUAAUUAUUUAUUUAUUUCAUUUCAAAGUAAUAAAAAAUAUUUAAUUAUUUAUUUAUUUCCUUUCAAAAUUAAAAUUGGACCAAUUAUGAAUUUAAAAGCUCAAUUUCCCCUAGUCCAUUAACAAAGACAAGCUUAUGGAAGAUGGACAUUGACAAGAAGCCCAAUGAAGAUUAGGCUUAGGGUUAAUGUAUUUUUCAUUAUUAGGAAAGCCAUGAAUUAAGAUUAUUUAAUUAUUUUUUCUAUAUGUUAUGUUUUGGAUGAUAACAUGCCAUGAUAACAUGUCAUAUAGAAUAGGUAGUGCCAGUCUAUGCAUAAUGAUACAUGUCAUUCAUUAAUAAUGAAUUUCAUUAUAUUGUUUGAAAUUUGCGUAUGCUUAAUAAUAUUUGAUAUCAUCUAGAUAAUAUUAUAGGAAGCAUGCAAUUAACAAUAUGUAUGUUUUAAAAAGGAAAAACCAAUUUUAAAAUAUUGAGUGGGAGAGGGAAAAUUCAAGAUAAUUUUUCCCACGGGCUCCAUUGUUAGUUCAAUAAUAAAAUUAUAUAUAUACCUCGACUUCAUGAUACGGUAAUGUUCCCUACGGAGGGUAUAUAUAUUAGAUAUUUUAUUUGAUAAACUUCUUCAAAGAUAAAAUUGAAAUAUUUUUCAAUCGAUUGUUUGCCCCAACGGUGACUAUUGAUAUGAAAAAUACGUAGAUUGAAACAAUGGUUAUACACUCAACUAAAAUUUGUUAUUAACCUUCCCAACGAAGCUCUGUUAACAAAUUUAGGCCCAAAAAGAUAACGAUAAUUAUUUAUCAUGUCUCUACAUGAAAGUAAAUAAUCCAAUGGAUAAUUAGGUCUAGUAAGUGUAGACAUGACUUCCCCAACGGAUAGCUUGUCAAAGCGGUACUAGAUUAUCGUUACAAUAAAUUAAAAUGCAUUCUGCUGUACCGUUUUUUUUUUUUUCAGAAAAUGUCUUCCAUCAACCCAUUAUUAUUUAUCCUUGUUAAAAAUGAACUCACUGGCGAAAAUUAUUUAGAUUGGAAACGCAAUCUAUUUAAUAUUCUCACUGCUAAGGGAAGCAAAUAUGUGUUGACCCAGCCUUGCCCUCCUGAACCGUCGUUAUACGAUUAUAGAAAUCAGAGGGAGCUUUAUGAGAAAUGGUGCGAAGCUAACAAAAUGGCUAAGCGCUAUAUAUUGGCUUCGAUUUCUGUGGAACUGCAUAAGAAACAUCGGAGCAUGGAAACAGCCACUGAAAUUAUGGCUAGUCUUCAUCAGAUGUUUGGGCAAAAUACCCAUUUUGCCAGAGAAGCAGCAUUAAAACGUAUUACGGAUACUCAGAUGGAAGAGGGCACAAAAGUUCGUGAUCAUGUCCUCAAAAUGAUGGACUAUUUGAAUGAGGUUGAGAUUCAUGGUGUUCAAAUCAAUGAUAAAUCAAAGAUUAACAUGGUGAUUGAAUCUUUACCUGAUACAUUCAAAGAGUUUAAGGUCAGCUAUAUCUUAAACAAUAAAGAUAUGACCUUAAUUGAAUUAAUGCACGGACUACAUGCUAUAGAAGAAUUUUAUCAUAGCAGAAAACUUCCUGAAAAAGGAUUCUCUUCAAGGCUUAAGUCGAAAGACAGGAAUGAGCAAACAAGAGUUGGGAUCGGCAAACUGUCCACUAAAAGAAGUGGCAAGCCAAAAGGCAAGUGUUACAAAUGUGGAUAGAAUGGUCACUGGAAGAAAGAUUGUCCUAAGAUUAUUAAAAUCAGGUAUAGGAAAUCUUUAAGCUUCCUAAUUAGUUUAGAUUUCUAUUGAUUCAUGCAAUAAUGAAUUCUGAGAUAACUAAUCUUAUUUGUAAUUCAUUUAUUUGGUUUUCAGGAAACCAAGAGAUUAAGUGAAGAAAGCUUCAAACAGCAGUUGAGGACGUGCUAGUUUAUAUCAAUUGAAAGACUAGAUCAAUUUUACAAGACUUUAGUUUUGAUAUUUGUCUUUAUUUUUCCAAAUAUUAGAGGAAUUUAAUUUCGGUGGCUUGUUUUAAUAAACAGGAGUACACUGUUAUUUAUGGAUCCUCUGUUUAUUACUUAUUUUGGUUAUUUAUAAAGACCAUUUAUAUCAUAAAAGUACAUUGAUCUAUUCAAAGUAAGAUAUAAUGAUAAAAAGUAUAUGCAUUUAUCUAAGAAAAGAAAUGUUUCUUCUAACCAAAAAUCACCUCUGAUAUUUAUGCUUAAGUCAUAUAAACUAUAAUAAGAUUUUAAGAAAAUGAUUAAUGAUAGACUUGUUGGCCUAUUAAGAUUGAUCAUUGUAACUCUAUAAAUCUUAUUUAGAAAAGUAAUAUGACAAGGAUGCUCUUUUUGAGCUAAAAGAAUAACAUUGUAUUUGAUGAUUUAGCGCAUACAAAUAUACAUGGACUAAUCAGUUUACAUGUUAUAAGAGGUUAUAAGUAUUCUAUCAAUCUUGUUGAUGAAUAUUCAUUUCAUUUAUGUUUGUCUAAAUGUGUCAUGAUUCCAUUGCUUUUGAAAUUCAAAAGAGUACGUGGAUAAGACAGAAGCAAUUAGACAGGAACAUAAAAGAACUUCGAUAUGAUCGAAACAAAGAAUAUCUCUAUAGAGAAUUCAAGCACUAUUUGGUUGUCAAUGAACACUAUGAUACAAUAGUGUAAUUAAAUGGAAAAACAAGAUUCUUUUGGAUAAGACAAGAUAUAUACUAAGUGGUUUAUCAUUUAGCUUUUUUAUUUUAGAUACUAGUAUUUAAAACUACAAAGUUUAUUGAACUUAGUUUCAUCUAUCUCGGUGUCUACUACUCCAAGAAAUUAUGAAAAAGUCACAAACAUGGUUUGAGACACAUUCGUAUUUAGAGUUUACUAGUAUUUCUACUAGAAUCAGAGAUAGAGAAGAUGGAUUCGUGUUCAGAAGCUUGCAUGUUUUAGGUAUCUUAAAGGAAUAAGGGAAAGUCUGAAUUAUAGUCCUCAAGAUAGGAAUGUAUUUAUAGAAAUAUUCUUUACUUUCUUUAAGGAAGACUAUAUAAUGACUUAUAACCUAAGAGUAAGGUAAAACUAGAGAAAUAAAAGAGAUCAGGUUGAUGCUCAGCUUUCAACACCUGUUAUAGAAUAGGAAGAACAACAACAACCAGCUGAUCAGAACAGGAUUAUCCUUGAACAACCAUCACUUUUAGAGUCUCGUCGUAGUGGGAGGGUAACUAGGUUACCUGCGAGAUACAUGUUUUUGGGAGAAACCUAUAUGGCUAUCUCAGAUGAACAUGUACAAGAUCCCACUAGUUACAACGAAGCUCUAAUAGAUAGAGAUAUUGAAUUUUGAAAAAGGCCAUGAAUUAAGAAAUGGAAUCUAUGUAUUCCAAUAAAGUCUGGGAACUUGUAGAGGCACCAAAUGGGGUAAAACCUAUAGGGUGCAAGUGGAUCUACAAGAGAAAAAGAGGAGUAGACGGAAAGGUGGAAACAUUUAAAGCAAGAUUAGUAGCCGAAUGGGAAGGGUGGAAACGUUUAAAGCAAGAUUAGUAGUCGAAGGGUUUACUCAGAAAGAAGGAAUCAAUUAUGAGGAAACAUUUUCUCCGGUUGCUAUGCUUAAAUCCAUCAGGAUUCUGCUCUCCAUUGCUGCAGUGCUAGAUUAUGAAAUUUGGCAAAUGGAUGUCAAGACUGCCUUUCUCAACGGGCAUCUUGAAGAAAACAUCUACAUGCAGCAACCAGAUGGAUUUAUACAAAAAGGCCAAGAACACAUGGUAUGUAAGUUGCAGAGAUCCAUUUAUGGAUUGAAGCAAACAUCAUGUACGGUACAGCAGGAAAGAUUGUCCUAAGAUUAUUAAAAUCAGGUAUAGGAAAUCUUUAAGCUUCCUAAUUAGUUCAGAUUUCUAUUGAUUCAUACAAUAAUGAAUUCUGAGAUAACUAAUCUUAUUUGUAAUUCAUUUAUUUGGUUUUCAGGAAACCAAGAGAUUAAGUGAAGAAAGCUUCAAAUAGCAGUUGAGGACGUGCUAGUUUAUAUCAAUUGAAAGACUAGAUCAAUUUUACAAGACUUUAGUUUUGAUAUUUGUCUUUAUUUUUCCAAAUAUUAGAGGAAUNNNNNNNNNNNNNNNNNNNNNNNNNNNNNNNNNNNNNNNNNNNNNNNNNNNNNNNNNNNNNNNNNNNNNNNNNNNNNNNNNNNNNNNNNNNNNNNNNNNNNNNNNNNNNNNNNNNNNNNNNNNNNNNNNNNNNNNNNNNNNNNNNNNNNNNNNNNNNNNNNNNNNNNNNNNNNNNNNNNNNNNNNNNNNNNNNNNNNNNNNNNNNNNNNNNNNNNNNNNNNNNNNNNNNNNNNNNNNNNNNNNNNNNNNNNNNNNNNNNNNNNNNNNNNNNNNNNNNNNNNNNNNNNNNNNNNNNNNNNNNNNNNNNNNNNNNNNNNNNNNNNNNNNNNNNNNNNNNNNNNNNNNNNNNNNNNNNNNNNNNNNNNNNNNNNNNNNNNNNNNNNNNNNNNNNNNNNNNNNNNNNNNNNNNNNNNNNNNNNNNNNNNNNNNNNNNNNNNNNNNNNNNNNNNNNNNNNNNNNNNNNNNNNNNNNNNNNNNNNNNNNNNNNNNNNNNNNNNNNNNNNNNNNNNNNNNNNNNNNNNNNNNNNNNNNNNNNNNNNNNNNNNNNNNNNNNNNNNNNNNNNNNNNNNNNNNNNNNNNNNNNNNNNNNNNNNNNNNNNNNNNNNNNNNNNNNNNNNNNNNNNNNNNNNNNNNNNNNNNNNNNNNNNNNNNNNNNNNNNNNNNNNNNNNNNNNNNNNNNNNNNNNNNNNNNNNNNNNNNNNNNNNNNNNNNNNNNNNNNNNNNNNNNNNNNNNNNNNNNNNNNNNNNNNNNNNNNNNNNNNNNNNNNNNNNNNNNNNNNNNNNNNNNNNNNNNNNNNNNNNNNNNNNNNNNNNNNNNNNNNNNNNNNNNNNNNNNNNAAAAAGGUCAUGAAUCAAGAAAUGGAAUCUAUGUAUUCCAAUAAAGUCUGGGAACUUGUAGAGGCACCAAAUGGGGUAAAACCCAUAGGGUGCAAGUAGAUUUACAAGAGAAAAAGAGGAGUAGACGGAAGGGUGGAAACAUUUAAAGCAAGAUUAGUAGCCAAAGGGUUUACUCAGAAAGAGGGAAUUGAUUAUGAGGAAACUUUUUUUCCGGUUGCUAUGCUUAAAUCCAUCAGGAUUCUGCUCUCCAUUGCUGCAGUGCUAGAUUAUGAAAUUUGGCAAAUGGAUGUCAAGACUGCCUUUCUUAACGGGCAUCUUGAAGAAAACAUCUACAUGUAGCAACCAGAUGGAUUUAUACAAAAAGGCCAAGAACACAUGGUAUGUAAGUUGUAGAGAUCCAUUUAUGGAUUGAAGCAAGCAUCUCGGUCAUGGAACAUCAGAUUUGAUCAAGCGAUUAAAUUGUUUGGAUUCAUUCAUAACAUUGAUGAACCAUGUGUGUACAAGAAAAUUCAGGGAAAAUUUGUAGCCUUCCUAGUUCUUUGUGUAGACAAUAUUCUCCUGAUUGGAAACGAUAUAGGAGUAUUGACUACAAUAAAGAUUUGGUUAGCAAAAUAAUUUGAUAUGAAAGACCUGGGAGAGACAAGUUAUAUUCUUGGUAUCAAGUUACUACGAGACCGGAAGAAUAAAACUUUAGCCUUGUCUCAAGCGGUCUAUAUCGAUAAGAUAUUGGCUAGAUUUAGCAUGGAAAAUUCCAAGACUGGUUUAUUACCAUUCAGACAUGGAAUUACAUUCUCUAAGGAUCAAUCACCUAAAACAUCUGAAGAGAUAGAUAGAAUGAGACGAGUUCCCUGUGCAGAAGCUGUGGGAAGUCUCAUGUAUGUCAUGCUUUACACUAGGCCAGACAUCUGUUUUGCGGUAGGGAUGGUUAGCAGAUAUCAAUCUAAUCCGGGACCUGAACACUAGACUGCGGUCAAGCAUAUAAUGAAGUAUCUGAAAAGAACUAAAAAUUAUAUGCUUGUGUAUUCUGGUGAUGAACUCAUUCCAGUGGGUUAUACUGAUUCUGACUUUAUGUCAGAUAGGGAUUCCAGAAAAUCUACUUCUGGCUAUGUGUUUGCAUUGGGAAGUGGAGCUAUUAGUUGGAUGAGUGUGAAACAAUCUUGUAUCACAGACUCAACAACUAAAGCUGAAUAUGUGGCUACAUCUGAAGCUGCAAAAGAAGCUAUAUGGCUCCGCAAGUUCCUACGAAAUCUUGAGGUGGUACCUGUUGUAACUGCACCCCUUAAACUAUUUUGUGAUAAUGGUGGUGCGGUAGCUCAAUCUAAGGAACCAAGGAACCACAAGAAACAAAACAUAUUGAAAGGAAGUAUCAUCUUAUAAGGGAAUAGUGUAGAAAGGUUAUAUAAAAGUACCCCAAAUGGCAUUAGAUGCUAAAUUGCAGAUCUUAUUACAAUGGCCAUUAGUGGGAAACCUUUAUAACCUGCACUUAGAGCCCUAGAGCAUGAGCAAUAUGCUAGAUAUGCUUUGAGAGCUAGUGGGAGAUUGUUGGGAAAAUAUGCUCUUUAAAAGCAUAUGUGUUUAUUUAAUUGUAAUAAACAAAUUUUCUGAUUAAUAAAAUAAAUGAGGUAUUUUAUUCAAAUAUCUGCUGUACCGUACAUCCGCCUUGGCCGUACAGCAGNNNNNNNNNNNNNNNNNNNNNNNNNNNNNNNNNNNNNNNNNNNNNNNNNNNNNNNNNNNNNNNNNNNNNNNNNNNNNNNNNNNNNNNNNNNNNNNNNNNNNNNNNNNNNNNNNNNNNNNNNNNNNNNNNNNNNNNNNNNNNNNNUUGUCAAAUUUUUAAUAUUGAAACUUUUAAAAUCUGCUGUACGGCCAAGGCGGAUGUACGGUACAGCAGUAUAGAAUUUGUACAACACAUCUCUUGAUAGGUUUUCGGUACUUGAUCAUAGAAUUCUCUGGCCAGAGUGUGUCGACAUAUUUAGUAUGUUGAAAAUGAUCAUUAGAGAAAAUCAGUAAGGAUCAAGGAAUAAGAUGUUAUUAAAUUGGUUGGACAGUUGAGAUAUCAAUUUAAUUAACGAUGUGGUACAAAGGAUUGUGCAGUAAAGAAAUCAAUGUGGCUUGGGACGAAUUAUUAUUCGAGCAUACAAUUAUGGAAGUCAGUUCCAAUCUUUUAGUGGAGUAGAUUUGGAAUUAAAUAAUUGGGCUAGUUUAAUUACAUGCCUAAUUAUUGUAGCCACUAUUGUAUGUUCCCAAAUGAUCCCCGGGUUAGCUCAUUUAAUUGACUGCACCACUAUUGGACUAAUAAGUAAGAUAACUAGUUAUUUGGGUCAAAAGCCUAAAUAUAUCAUUUAGUGGGAGACUCCAUUUAAUUAGCUUUUGUGUAAGGGGCCUUAUGUUAUUUUACAAUGUGGGUCCCUUAUUGAAAAAACAAAUAACGUGGGUUUUAUUUUUUAGAUUAUUUGGAGCCUAGGAUUUUCACUAAAGGAUGAUAUAAAAGGCUUAUUUUCUCAAAAGAAAAUAGAGAAGCCACUUUAUACAGAUCGGAGAAUAAGAUUUUUUUCUCCAUUGUUAAGAGAAAAAUUUUCUCGUGCUAGUUGUUUUGGUAGUGAUAAAGGCGCCCACACGUCAAGUGCAGAUCGAACCUGAGUCAUAACCUGGAAGAUCAUUGGUGACAGUUCGUGAUCUAACAAGCGUGGUGGUGCAGGAUCGUGAUCUAACAAGAGUGGUGGUGGCGGAUCGUGAUCUAGGAGCCUAAAUCACUUCAGCGAAAAAAGCCAACUCGGAUUUUCAAGGUACGAUUAUACAAAUUCUUAUAUAUUAUAUGAGAGCGAUCUUCAAAAAAUUUUAUAAAAAUUUAAAAACCUAAUUUUUCCCCAACAGAAAGAAUGCACUGAAGAAAUCUCGUUCAAAAAUUGUAAUGAGAAACAAGAUGAGCUUGAUGUAGAAUCUAAAAAUUUUGAUGCUGAUGUAACUGAUGGCACAAACGAAUAGCCGGAAAUGCAAAGAAAACUCUCCAUCUAAAUCUCAUGGUCCUGCUAAUGUGCGUAAAAGUCUCACUGUCCCACAGCCCUUUGCUCUUGCAACUGAAAAACGUGCUUCAGGCACACCUAGCCGUGGUGGGGCUGAAACUGCAGCUGAUAGCAAUAAUGCGCAAUCCCCUAUGCCAAAGAAAACUUCACAGGUAACUUAAAUCCUCAAUUGGAUAAAUUGUGAAUGCCACUAUUCUUUAUUAUUAAGUUGAAGGAUCAAUGAACUUAAUGAGAAACUUGACAUUAACUACAGCUGAUAUAAUUGGUGGCCUGAAGAGGCAAAAGAAUUCCACCUAUUUGUAAGGAGUUAGGCAACUUCACCUAGCAAAUAGAUAACAAAUUCAACCAAUGGAGUUUGUACCUUAUAAAGCCGCCUAAAAAUAGUUUUUCUUGCAUUAAAGUGUAGGUUUCCUUAGAUCUGUUGAAGAAAAAAUUUAAAAAAAUUCUUAACCACUUUACUGUAUUUUCAUUUUAUUUUCGUGUUAGGAAUCUUUACCCACUAUAUGCCUUCUUGAUUCAGUCUGUAUGCUUGAUUUAAUUGGAACUGCUCUACAGCAUAGCCUUUGUUUUGUUUUGCUUCCCUGGUGCACCUUGGGGAAAUCCGUAGCUCAUAGAUUUGUAAUCUUGUUAUCCUAUUUGCUUUAUGUUCAAAAAGAAUAUCUUGCUAACUGAAUAAGCAAUUUGUAUGGUGCGUGAAGUCUGAUGGGAAUUCAAAAUCAUCGUGAUCUUUUUUACAAUGAUCAAUGUUGUACAAAUUAUGGAUUUUAAGUUGUUGCUAGUCUUUGAUAUUCUGCAAUUUCUUUUGGCCAAACUCACCCCUGAAUCAAGGAAGCUAUCGCAACUUGAUAACAAGAAGCCUUUUGAUGAAGAACAUAGUUGGUCUGUUGUUUGCUCGUAUCCUUUGUUUCUUAUUUUAGUGUGCUUCUUAUUUCAGUGUGCUUUUAACUAUAUGCUUUUAACUAUUGUUGGCUUUGAUAUACAUAGAAUGGCAGCAUCUACACGGAAGGUAAUUGCUGGAAUGGCCCCAAAAUUUAGAUGCUCUGAACGUGCUAGGAAACAGGAGGUAUUUUUCAUUUAUCAAAUAAUUAAAUAUAAAGUUUAUUUUCAAAUGUGUUAUCUAAAUAAUGUUUUUGUAUCUUGCUGUCAUUUCCAUCUUCUAGUUUUGCACGAAAUUAGAGCAAAAACACAAAGGUUUGGAGGAAGAGAGAAGCAGCUUUGAAGGUGCAUUUUCUUAAGUAUCUCUGAUGUACUGUCUGCAAGUGUCAUUAUAUCUUAUUGCAGACAUCUGAAGUUUGAGUUGAUGUUCGGAUGCCAUUUUUAGUUCUUACAAUAAUGAGUUGAUGUCCUUAUCUGUGUGAAUAUUUUUAGUUCUUACAAUAAUGCUAUUUGAUUUCUGAUAAUUAGUGAGCGGGUACAGAAAGCGAAUUAAGGUUCAUAAAUACAUAUAUGUUUACUUUCACACACUUUUUAACCAAUUGCUGAGAGCACUAGCAUAGUAGAAUAGAUUCACACUUCAGCUUGAAAUCCCAAGCUGUUGAAACAGGCCGCACUGAGUUCAGUUUUAUGUGCACUUUUUGUCUUGGAAAUAAUAUUAGCUUGAUUUUCUGCCUUAUAUUUUGAAUCAAUAUGAUAUUUCAAUUUUACAGUAUAGAUUUACGUUGCAGUUUAGCUUCAGAAAGAGUGGUCGAUUUGGACAGUCUGGUUAUGCUCAUUUGAAAAACGAAAUGGAACAUGUGAUUCCAAUUUCUUAAAUAUUUGAAAUAAUUUGAGAGUUUCAUUAACGUUUUCUAAACAAUCAUGAUUAGCCUAGAAAUUUAUGAAAACUGUGUUCCUUUGCAAUGACUUAGGUUGAUUUGUCUUUUUUGGGAUUGCGUUUUCGGGGUGCAGAGGCGGCUCUUCCGACUAAUACUCCGAGUAUGCCAUGUAUCUUUAUCCCCAUGGAAGGGAUGGUAUAUUUGGCGAUUGGCUGUGGGUUCAAGUUUAGAGCUGGCAAGUCAGCAGCCUUAACUGGCAUGGCUCUUGCUGAUCAUUUAAGCAAAUAAUAUGAUUGUCAUUAGCUUGCUUGGUUUUAUUUAUAAUAAAUCUGGGACUUGACAUUCAUUUUUCACUGUUCUACAAUGUUAUAAACCUGGUUUACAACAUUGUAAAAGUUUUUUUACAGUUUUGUAAACACAUCCCCAACUCUAAUACAAUCCAAAAUUCUUGGAUUGGUACAUUUUCGUAUAUAUAUAUAUUGAGAUCUAAUCAGGUAGGCGAUCUCGCUCUCGAAGAUCCAACAUGAUCAGCCUCAUCUUGAAGAGAGUUGUGCAGCUUUUUGCUUCCUACUGAUGGCUCUCUCUCGCGCGCAUUUGGAGAGCGAGAUAUAUCGCCCACCUGAUCAAAGUCCUAUAUCUCUGUGUGUGUGUGCGUGUCUGAUGAUCGACGAUUAGUAUCAAGUAAAAUGAUCUGUAACACAACAUUUAUAUUCCUUUAUGGGGGCAUUUAAACAUGAACUUGUAUACUUGGCAUCAAUUUAGUUUGAGAUAUCAGGGAAGGAAUUUCAAAAAUAAGCUGGAAGCUUGAUUAUUCAUAUAUAAAUAAUGUGAUCUACAUCGAUUGCAGAUUAUUUAGGAAGUGGUGGAGUUCGUACUAAGCAGUUAACAUGGACUAAAUUGUUGUUUCGUCUGACAUAUUGUUAGCUCUAGCAAUAGUAAUGAACUUGAGGAGGCAGUUUUUGAAGUCUUUUGUACAUAUAUACGAGUUGUAUCGAGAUUCUGUGGACAUUCUUUCUUCUAGUUUUGAUCUAUGCAUCACAAUUUUAAUAUCCUUGUCUCUUAAAUCAAACUUUGUUGCUGCAGGUUCAAUAUUCUGGACUUCUUUUAUUGAGAGGCUGCCCUUCUGAGAAAUCUGCUUUCAAUUAUCACUUGCAACUUCUAAUAGUUUGCAAACCAAAUGUGGAGGAAUUACUUGAAAAUAUACUGGGGAUCUAAAUACAUAUAUUCAGUAAUACAACUUAGAAAUCUGUGGAGGAAUUACUUGAAAAUAUGUUUCUACUAAUAUUUGGGAAGAUAUUUGCUCUUAAUUAUUCUAAGCGUAUAUUUUAUGUCCUUGAUAGCGUUGAACUUUUGUUUUGUUUUGUUUUGUUUUUUUUUCAAAAUUAUUACAAUUUACACAUAUGUUUCAAUCUAAAAUUUGCUGGGGCACUAGGCACAAGUACUCAAUAGAACAAUUUAGAAGCCUGUCGAGUUGUAGCUCGAAAUUUUAUUCCCACUAAUACUCGGAGAGAUAUCUAUUAUUUAAUAUUUAGUGAAAAUAAAUUAAAAUCAAAUAUGUCAUAUCAAAAUUAAUCCAAAACUCAACAUAUGAUGUGAUCUUAAUUAAUGAUAAAUUUGAAUCCUAUUAACCUCCUUUUGCAGCUACGAAAAAAAAAAAAAAAGUAUUUCAGCAGAGAGCAGGGCCGCAUCAAGUAUAAAAACAUCGGAUAAGGAACAAGAUUAUAACGAACAAAACUACCAGUAAAUGAUGGCCACUUUCAUUUCCUCUGCAUCUUCAUCUUUUCUGAUUCUUCAACCGCUAAAACCCCCAAAACACUCAAGACUCUCAAAAGCAAAGACACUGACUUCAACCAUUAAAGCAACUUCUUCUCAGCCAAAACCCAACAACGCAAAUGCUAGAAAACCCGCUUCAAGAAACCGCAGCAGGUCAUCCUAUGGCAGUUCGAGAAGAUCUGCUCUCAAGAAAACAUUCGCUCAAGAGCAAGUCACGUUCACUGCACCCGUCUCCAGUGACCCGCAUGUGGGGAUUAUUGGUGGAGGCAUGGCCGGUCUCGCUUGUGCUUUGAGUUUGGAUAAGAGAGGUGUCAAGUCCACUGUUUUUGACACGGUUUGUCAUUUGUCUUGUUUCUUGGCCUUUUUUUUUCUGUACUUUUGUGUUUUUUAUUGGAGAGCUUGAAGUGGGUGGCCAAUUCAAUUAUCUGUUUAAUAUGGUUAGGUUGUGUUUGUAUUUGAGAGUAUACGCUUGUAUAAUGGUAAUGUAAAAAAUUUGCUGUCAACAGUCUAGCAUGUGUUGUUAUGCAUUGAAUUUUGAUUAUAAGCAUGUUUUGGAAUUGAGGUGCUCUGACCUUUGAUCCGCGUUUGUUGAGGAAUGAAAUUAAAACAUUAGCUGCUAAAUAAAAAUGGGGGUUCAUCAAAAUUUUAGUCAACCACAUUUAUGUAUUCUUAACACUGUGCUUUGCUAUAUCAGGGGAAUCAUGGCUUGGGAGGAAGAAUGGGAACCAGAAUGAUUGGUCCUCAACCACUGAUAUUUGAUCAUGCUGCUCAAUUCUUUACUGUGAUGUUGGUGUUGGUUUAGAAUGAGUGGUUGAUUUGGACAAGCUUGACAAGUUAUUGUGUGGACUUGUGUAUAGUCCUAGUUCUAUUUUCCUGUUACGCUCAUUUGAAAAAAACAUGGAACAUGUCAUUCCAGUUUAUUAAAUAUAUAAAACAACUUGAGAAUUUCAUAAUUAAGAAAAUAGUUCCUCUGUGAUGAAUUAGGUAUUUGUUUAUUUAUAUAUCUAUUUUUUUUUUUUAUUUCCUGCUGUACCGUACAUCCGCCUUGGCCGUACAGCAGAACUAAAAGCUAUAAUUACAUGGUCACAUGAUUUUAAUUGCUUAGGCUGCAUGACUAUACUUAAUGAAAUGUGCCGAUAAUGAUCAUAACUGACGAAAAGAAUAACCAGCAUGAACAUUUUGCACUGCUAUGACUACAAUUCCUGUGAAGUAACAGGCUCCAUAUAUGGAUAAUGGAUUAUUAAUAGUGAGUUGGAGUUAGUUAUAUACAUCUUACAUGGCAUACCUUUACUUUUAAAUCAUGUAAAUAAGUUCCUUUGUCCCUCAUGCCUUGGCUUAAUCCAUUUUGAUUCUUGUUGCAGACCUCUAUGGUUAGCAUAGUGAGACCUUGCUGGAUAAGUAAUCUUGAGCCAUUUAACGGGAUGUGGCACUUGAGCGAGAAUGUGAAACUACGUGGGCAGUUUGAUGUGGUUGUUAUUGCUCAUAAUGGUGAUUCAGUGCUGCUAUCCUUUCUCGUUUUCUCUCUCUGAGGAUUGUUAUAGUCUUACAUUUGCAUUCCAAAAAUGCAGGUUAUUGUUUUUUGCAGUUGCAUGAAUGUGACAAUUGGCUUUGCUAUUGGAAAAAAAUAUAUAUAUAUUUCUGAUUUUACUCUCUGUCAUUACAGUGGAUUAGGAAUGGCAAAUAAUCUGGUUUAUUACAGGGAAAUCCUACCCAAAUCCAAACUCCUAUGGAACGGGUCCCUCUCCCUAAUCAUCCUGGAAUACCCUGGGGGGUUAGAAUGCAUAUAGUGUUACAUUAUAUAACUUUAUAAUUGGGGAUUCAAUUAAUCUAGAUUCAGAAGCUGAAAUUUCACCUCGACCAUCAAUAGGUUUAGCCAGGGCAUUUAUAACACGACCUAAAUAAGCCUUGCACUUAGUUCUUAUGUUUUCUGGGAUACUAGGACUUCAAAAAGGGCUGAAAACUUCAUAGAAUUUCAUACUGAUUUUUCACUGUCAAUUUGGAGAAAAUGAUGGCUAGAUUACAAGUAAGAUUAAGAGCAACUUGUAAAUUUAAUCAACUGGAAGACUGGUAUUGAAUGGCUAUUAGUUAGGUUAGAAUAAGAUGAGCUAGACUUUCAAGUUGUGCCAUUCAUUCAUUGGCCGUUGAGUAUUACGUAGGUUGUUAUGGAAGAGUUAAAAAAUAUCUAUAUAAAUUUAACAACCACAUUAGGUUUCUAGAUCCAGAAGUCGAGGUUAUGUUUUUUUGCUGACUCUUUCGACUGUUAAUUGGCUAUGUCUUUUUCUGUUUACAUUUUGGCUUAGCUUUGUAAUAAUAGUUACUUCUUGUAAUGAUAGGAAAAUGUGCAAACCGGUUGCUUGGUUCAUCUGGCUUACCUCAAAUAGCUAGACAAAUGAAGGUAUAUGCAUUGAAAUAUUCAGUUCUUUUAAUAUUAUCUAGCCUAUGUUUUAUUCAGUAUUGGCCAAUUCUAAUUAUUUUGAAGAUUCAUAAUGCAUUUUCCUGGUUUGUAGAGGCUGGAACUAAGUUCUAUAUGGGCCCUUCUUGCUGCAUUUGAGGACCCCCUCCCACUGGGCAGUGCAUCAACAUUUGAAGGCGCCUUUGUGAAAGGUGUUGAUUCUGUCUCAUGGAUGGCAAAUAACUCAGCAAAACUUUUGAAUUCUCAGAGUGAUGCUCCUCACUGUUGGACCUUCUUCAGCACCGCAGCUUACGGAAAACGAAACAAGGUUCCACAGGUCAGUUUGUAUAUAAAUGUGGGUGUUGUUUAAAGUACUUGCUUACACAUGAUAAUAUGCUAGCAUUGGCACACUUUUUAACCAAUUGCCUAGACCUCUACUUGAAUCCAUUCAUGCUUCAGCUUGAACUCCAAGCUAUAGAAACAAGGCUGCAAUAAGUUCUGUCUUUUUGUGCAUAUUUAUGUUCCCUUUUAUACUUGAAUCAAUAUGACAUUUCAAGUUUACAGCGAACUUUGGUGCUGUGUGGAUAUAUAUAUGUUGCAAUUUAGGCUUUCUGCAAGAUUUUUAAUGAUUUUUUUAUCAUUUAUUAGGAAAAUAUCCCAACUGCAACAGCAGAGAAGGUGAAAAAAGGUAUGCUCGAGGGUGUUGAAGCUGCACUUGGCCGACCGAAAGGUUCACUUCAGAAGCCCAUUUAUACUCGAGUCCAUUUAUGGUAAGACUCCACUUUUAAGGACAUGACCUUGUAAUUUCAUUUUUUUAUCUUGUCCAAUUUGGAUCCUUGUAACCUACUUGACCUGUAAAUAUUUGCUGUUGGUGUUGGUUUAGAAUGAGUGGUUGAUUUGAACAAGCUUAAAAAGUUAUUGUGUGGACUUGUGUAUAGUCCUAGUUCUAUUUUCCUGUUACGCUCAUUUUUAAAAAAAGAUGGAACAUGUCAUUCCAAUUUAUUAAAUAAAUAAAACAACUUCAGAAUUUCAUGAUUAAGAAAAUAGUUCCUAUGUGAUGAAUUAGGUAUUUAUUUAUUUAUAUAUCUAUUUUAUUUAUUUAUUUUUUUGGGGGGGAAAUGUGUAGGGGUGCAGCUCUUCCAACUAAUACUCCAAGUAUUCCAUGUAUGGGGAUUGGCUGUUGGGUUCAAGUGUAGAGUCAGCUGCAUUGAGUGGCAUGGCUCUUGCCAAUCAUGUAAGCAAGAAUAUGAUUUUCAUUUGCUUAUUUGGUUUUAUUUUGUGCAUGUAACUAUAUAUUUCAUGGUUGAUAUAAAAAAAUAAAAUAAAUCUAAGACACUUCCGGUAUAUGUGGCGAUUGGCUGUUGGGUUCAAGCGUAGAGUCAGCUGCAUUGAGUGGCAUGGCUCUUGCCAAUCAUGUAAGCAAGAAUAUGAUUUUCAUUCCCUUCUUGCUGCAUUUGAGGACCCCCUCCCACUGGGCAGUGCAUCAACAUUUGAAGGCGCCUUUGUGAAAGGUGUUGAUUCUGUCUCAUGGAUGGCAAAUAACUCAGCAAAACUUUUGAAUUCUCAGAGUGAUGCUCCUCACUGUUGGACCUUCUUCAGCACCGCAGCUUACGGAAAACAAAACAAGGUUCCACAGGUCAGUUUGUAUAUAAAUGUGGGUGUUGUUUAAAGUACUUGCUUACACAUGAUAAUAUGCUAGCAUUGGCACACUUUUUAACCAAUUGCCUAGAUUUGAAUCCAUUCAUGCUUCAGCUUGAACUCCAAGCUAUAGAAACAAGGCUGCAAUAAGUUCUGUCUAUUUGUGCAUAUUUAUGUUCCCUUUUAUACUUGAAUCAAUAUGACAUUUCAAUUUUACACCGAACUUUGGUGCUGUGUAGAUACGUAUAUGUUGCAAUUUAGGCUUUCUGCAAGAUUUUUUAUGAUUUUUUUUUUUAUCAUUUAUUAGGAAAAUAUCCCAACUGCAACAGCAGAGAAGGUGAAAACAGGUAUGCUCAAGGGUGUUGAAGCUGCACUUGGCCGACUGAAAGGUUCACUUCAGAAGCCCAUUUAUUCUCGAGUCCAGUUAUGGUAAGACUCCACUUUUAAGGACAUGACCUUGUAAUUUCAUUUUUUUAUCAUGUCCAAUUUGGAUCCUUGUAACCUACUUGACCUAUAACUAUUUGCUGUUGGUGUUGGUUUAGAAUGAGUGGUUGAUUUGGACAAGCUUGACAAGUUAUUGUGUGGACUUGUGUAUAGUCCUAGUUCUAUUUUCCUGUUACGCUCAUUUGAAAAAAACAUGGAACAUGUCAUUCCAGUUUAUUAAAUAUAUAAAACAACUUGAGAAUUUCAUAAUUAAGAAAAUAGUUCCUCUGUGAUGAAUUAGGUAUUUGUUUAUUUAUAUAUCUAUUUUUUUUUUAUUUCUUUUUUUUUGUUGGGGGGGGGUGGAAGGGCCGGUAUAUGUGGCGAUUGGCUGUUGGGUUCAAGCGUAGAGUCAGCUGCAUUGAGUGGCAUGGCUCUUGCCAAUCAUGUAAGCAAGAAUAUGAUUUUCAUUUGCUUAUUUGGUUUUAUUUUGUGCAUGUAACUAUAUAUUUCAUGGUUGAUAUAAUAAAUAAAAUAAAUCUAGGACAACCAUUCUAUCCCUAUAUGGACAUCUAAAUAUAAUUUGUAGAUUGGCUUCAAUCAGAUUGAAAAAUCAGACAAGUUUCAACAACAUUAGCUUGAUGCUUGAUUAUUCUUAUAUAAAUAACGUAAUUGGUCUAUGUAGAUUGCAGACUAUUUAGGAAGUGAUGGAGUUCGUCCUGAGGAAUUUGCUGUCGGUUUACACAAAGACUUUCAGUCGCUCCAAGGACAUGAUAUUGGACAAUUCCCGGGUUUGGAGUCCAUGGAAAAAGAGCAAGUUCAAGCAUAUCAGCUUACUUCUUGAAUCCCUAAGCAGGCCACGAAAAUUUCUAGAGUUUUUCAAGGUAUACUUCUAUUCAUACACUGUUUAUGGCUUUCUGUUUUUCACUUGGGUUACUGUCAUGUUAAUUCUCUUGGUUUUUAUAGCUAGGAUUAAGAAGUUUAUUCACAAAAUGCAGUUAUUGGCAUAGUUGCUAAGCAAGCAUCCUGAAAUUCUUUUUGUGAUACCAUCCAUUACGAAACGUAAUGAAUACAGAAGCAAAGGAAAGCGGAUUCUUCGGGCAGCUAAAUCCUUGCAGAAAACUUGUUUUCAGUAGCAUAGGUGACAGGAAUCGUGAUAUUUCCCCGGCUUUCAUGGAAGAAAAAUAAAAAAUUUCUAAUAACUGUAACCCUUUUGAGUUCUCCACAAAUCAGUUUGAAUAUGAAGCCAAAUAUCAGAUGCAUAUUUACAGGCUUCUUUCAGAGCAACAAAGUUUAAUGCUAUCAGUUGUUUUGGGUUCAAGUGAUCAGAGCUUCAUCCGGCACAAGCACGCCAAACAGAGUAUGAAAAAUUUUGAAACCUACAGUUAAAAAUUCUCAAGUUCCGUAUUUGACCUGUAGUCACAUUCAAGUUUAUACAUGACUACUGAUAUAUGAAAUGGCAUUUUUAUUCAGUUCCAGAAAAGUCGCAUGCAGAGGAUUUAAAUUUCAUAUUAAUGGAAUGGUUUUGAGCUUCAUUAUUAGAUUUUUUUUUUCAAAAUAAUUAAUGGAGUUAACAUUACUUAUUACAGGAAAAGAAAGAAAGAUUAAUUCUCCAUGGGAAAAGCGUUGAAAGAAGCUUCUCAUGAGCGCAAUCAGUCCCUCAGUUGCUUACCAUGGUAUCUUUUCCAUACUUUCACACAUGUUGAUAAAAUUCUUUCUUGGUUAAAUAAUUUGGAGAGAGAGCUGUUCAUUGGCAACACAAGCAACAAAAUAUCACACACAAAUUAAUUCCAACAAAAAUAAUAUUUUUACACGAGAGACUUGUGUGAGAGAAGAGGGUUAAUUAGAUGAUUACUAUUGAGAUCACAAGUUAGAGCGAAAUGAACACAGGCAAUUGAACAAGCUGUGACAGAGUCUGUGAUACAACUCUGCAACUCAGAGUUUAUAUCCUAGAUUUACACUUUUCGAGUAAGUGCUGACUCCAGCAAAAAGAAGCAAAAGAAUUGAAAUUAAUGGAGAAACAGAGAUAGCAGGAGAGACGGAGAGAGAGAAGAAGAAAUAUUUGCCAUUUUCUUGCUUUCUAUGACGUGUUCCCCUCUACAUAUAUCUUUUAACCCCUCAACAUUACACGUGUAACUAACCAACAAAUGAAUGAUUCAAAGAAAAAACAGUCACAACAAAAUAACAAAAUCACAGCUGCCAUCUUUUCCACUCUCUUUGUGCCUUCUCGAAUAUUCCUUAGGUAAUGUAAUCUUUGAGGUAUGUUGGUGCCCUGCGCAUACGAGCUGGACCUUUUGUGUGCUCCUCAACCAGCUGGGCUUCUUUCUCUGUUUCCCAUGCUGACUUGUCAUUAAUCUCGGGCAAGGUUGUAUCAGUCUGUCCAGCUGAAGAAAUUGAAAACUCUUUGGCAUUUGUCUGCAAGCUUUAAAGCCGUCCGAAAACCAUUGUGCUUCUGCUUGAUAGCCAGCAACAAAAACAAGAAGAAGAACCCAGUACAGUUGCAGUUUCUAGUUUUUCAUGCUUGCCAUCUUUUCGUUCUUGAGAUUGAAAUGAUUUAAGAUUUAUUUAAAGGGUCUUUAUCUUAGUAUGCAAUUAAUGGUUUGAAAACAGAUUAUAUGCUAUUACAAGUGAAUUUUCCUGAUAACGAUUGCUUGACUAGGAUUCUUGUCGUAGUAUAAAUUAUUAAACAUGAUUUUAUAAUUAAUGAUUCGUACAUUAAGUGAAAUAGAAACCAGGAUUUGAAAACUACUUUGUUGGUAAAAUCGCUUGAAGCAACAGCCUAAAAUUAUCAGAUGGUGAGAAAACAGGAGAUGAUCUACCAAGAGAGUAAUGAAGUUUUCUAAAGUCCAACUGAAAUGAUUUCAGGAUUCGCUUCAACAAUGCAAAAAUAUAUUUGAUAUUUCAAAUCUAUGAAAUUCAUUUUCUUUAUCGUUAUCUUGGACGUAUCACAUGUCAAAAUGCAUUAAUUACCGAUGCUAGCACUUGAAAUAAAAAAAAUCAAAUGGUAAGUAUUUUUAUAUUACAUACUUGAUUGUACCCCAAACCCAAUUUGUAAGACAUGAAGAAGAAAUCUCUUUUAUAGAGUUAUUUCCAAAAUGGCAGAAUCUACCAUCUUGAACCAAAGUAUAUCAUUAGAACAAGGAGGAGGAUUAAGGACAUUCUAUUUCGAGAGCUACCUGAUAGGGUACUUCAUUCUUGACAGAGUACUGGCCUUCGUUGUCAUAUUGCCACCGAAUCUGAACUUCUUUGAGGAAAUGAAUGCUUUGGUGGAAGAAGACCUUGAGCAAGAAAGAGACCAACAUGAAAUAGAGAUGAAGAAAAUCUCUAAUUAUGCAAAUAUGGUCUGAUUGGCUUGUGAGAUAACUAACCAAACUAAUCACUACUUUCAAUCUCAAUUAAAUUCCAACAAACAAUCUAUUUGCUAUACGAACUUAGGUGGUGAUCAACCAAAUAAAGUUGCCUGAAAACUGCUCCGACGAAACUCUGGGGAUAUAGUACAUUGUUUGUUGAUAUUGAAUGGGUAAACAGAAUAUUAGAAGCCCUUGCUGAAAUUUGACGGAGAUUGAAAGUAGUGAUUAAUUUGGUUCGUUAAAACUUACAAGCCCACAAGACCAAUUUGAUUAGUUAGAGAUCUUCUUCCACCAAGCAUCCACUUCCCCACAGGAUUUCAUGGCAGCUAAUUGUAUGCGGAUCGAUCUUCAAUUUGCCGUCUCAGAGUAUGAAACAUGAUCCAACAUUAUCACAGCCUAGCACUAUCUAAGUAGGUUUCUCUUUUAACCUUGCACGUUAUAAAGAUUGAGUAUAUAUAAAUAAAAUUGUACUUCGAAAAUUGGCUCUUGCCCUCAAUACGUGUUAAUCCAUGAGUUAGUUGGCUUUGUCCUGUUCAGUAUCGCUGCCUAGUAGGUGUGGCUUUUAAGCAACAACUUCGGUUUAUGACUUUGUAUUUGAUGAAAAAAAAAAUUUACUCUCACCUUUUUUUUUUCCUCCAAAUUAUUAUUUUUAAAGCUUUAAAAAUCAUAUUUAUCAAUUACUUUCAACUUUUAUUUCAUUGCAAUUGUAACUUAAUUUUAAGCCACAACACUAAAUAAAUCCUCCGCAAUUAAUGGUCUCUUUAACCUUGAAAUAUAUUUUUUUUUUAUAUAAUCACGAGGUAUCUUGGGGGGCCCAACUGUGGGAGGCACCUUUAAGCCCGUAUCACAACUCAGACUAGAAGUCUCCGCUCGAACCGGGAGGCACGGGUUCUCCCAACAAAGACGACUUCCCUGCGACUCGAACUGGGGAGCAAACCAAGUCAAGCCACUUAAGGGGACUCCAUUGCCAAUGGAGCCAACACUUUAUUGGUUAACCUUGAAAUAUUAAUAACAAAACUACUCACCGUCUGUCACCAUGAGCCACCACGAACCACCAUCGGCAUUCAUAUUUAGGUAUCUUCUGUCAUUAAUUUUAUACAUUAGAAUCUUCAAACUUUUGAUAAUGUAGCAAAAAAUGCAUAAACAUUGUAAUUAGUGUUAUGCAAUGCAUUUCAUUUCAAUUGCCUAUGUGGCAAACAUACUUUUUAGGUGUUGAAAUUGGGCAAAAGUUACACUAUAAAAAUAUUUGAUAAACACUUGAUACUAUAAUUUAAAAAAUAAGUUGAGAUUUGUUUAAAAUAAAAAAAUAAAAAACAGCAGUUAGACUUGAGUUUAACUUGAGAUUGAUUGAUAUAUAUAUAUAUAUAUAUAUAUAGCAAUGCUUUUAAGUUUUCUGAGUUUAAUUCAAAAUCUACCUCAAUUGACUUCAAUUAAAGUCAUGUGCAUCUGUUGGGCAUGGUUGAACUGGAGAACAGAAGGGAGUGAAAAAUUUUACGGGCACAUGUGUGAAAUUUUGCUUACGUACUUGAUCAACAUGUUUUGGUUUCCUUCUUAUUAUUAUUAUUAUUUUUAUUUUUGGCAAUCCUCAGUAACUAUGAAAUGAAAGUUGGUUGUAAUUAUGAAAUGAAAAGAAAAUAUCAAAUUAUAAUCGAUAGUUAAAACACAAAAAGUUACCUUUGCACUCUGAUGUAGUCUGGCAGAUAAUGAAGCAGGGAGAAAGAUUCUGAUCAUUUUCCCUCUAAACAAGCAUGAAAGUCCCAGUUCUGUAAGAUGUAUCAUUGGUAAUUUUCAAUUAUAAGCUAAUAUAUGAUAUUUUUUGGGUGGACAAAAUUAUUCAGGCCCUUAAAAUGACUUAUAAAUUAUAUUGAAAUUAAAUUUAAAAAUAAUUAAAAAAAUUUAAAGUUGGAACCCAAAAGAAGAAGAGGAACGAUUUACUCAUGACAAAAGAUAAAUAAAGGGUUGUCACCCAAACAAGAGGAUCGCACAUUCUUAGGGGAAAAUAUUUGGAGGAUUCACCAAAGAUGGUACCUGGGUUGUCAGCAUAACGAUUUGGGUGGCGAGAGGCAAAGAAAACAGAGGAUGUAGGUGAUUUAAUUAGACAAAUAAUUAGGAUACAUCGAACAGAGGAGAAGACAAUCGCAAAUUCGUUGGAGCAGUUGAUUUCGAUGAUUUGUUUAACGAAUCGGAUGGCGCUUUUGUAAAUGUAGUUGCGAACUGCAACCCACUAUUUGGGUGUUGAAAGUGUAGGAAUUCCUCAUGGCCGAAAGUAGAGGGAAUAGCGCCUGUUUUUUUUUUUUUUUUUUUUUUUUUUUUUUUUUUUUAAAAAAAUUUAAAGUUGGAACCCAAAAGAAGAAGAGGAACGAUUUACUCAUGACAAAAGAUAAAUAAAGGGUUGUCACCCAAACAAGAGGAUCGCACAUUCUUAGGGGAAAAUAUUUGGAGGAUUCACCAAAGAUGGUACCUGGGUUGUCAGCAUAACGAUUUGGGUGGCGAGAGGCAAAGAAAACAGAGGAUGUAGGUGAUUUAAUUAGACAAAUAAUUAGGAUACAUCGAACAGAGGAGAAGACAAUCGCAAAUUCGUUGGAGCAGUUGAUUUCGAUGAUUUGUUUAACGAAUCGGAUGGCGCUUUUGUAAAUGUAGUUGCGAACUGCAACCCACUAUUUGGGUGUUGAAAGUGUAGGAAUUCCUCAUGGCCGAAAGUAGAGGGAAUAGCGCCUUUUUUUUUUUUUUUUUUUUUUUUUUGAAUUCUGAUAUACAAGACUGUAGGUACUACAAUUAAUAUUUACAAACAGAUUCUAUAAUUGAGACCUUCUUCGUGGCAUGUACUCCUCUGAAGCGUUGCCCAAAUUUUUCAAACUCUCUCAAAUAUUCGAGGGUUGUCCACUCCACUCACAUUUCGUGAGGGAUAGACUGACUUCACUCAAUUAUUUGAUAAUUGAGAGAAGAUUAUAAAUAAGUCCCAUAAAUUUUUUUUUUUUUUAAUAGCGCGUCUGUUUGAUUUACUAUAUGCAGUACGAACCGGAUGAAGAAGGUAAUUCGUGGGAAAAAAAUAAUGGUUACUUGUGGUUGAAAUUUGAUGAAACUAUAGAUGGUUAUAUUUAUUCGAAGGUAUUAACUAACAUAUAAUAAUUUAUUGUUUGAACUCUUGACUCUUGCAUAAGAAAAUCAAUUGGUAGAGAAAAUUGUUCAUUGCCAAUUUAGUAAAAUAUUUGUUGGUCCCUUGAAAGGUAUAAGAAAUUUUUGGAGUAAAAAAUAUUUAAACAGAGUUGACAAUAUGGAGUUUAUGGAAAGAGCUUUUAAACAAAUCUCACCAUGUAAUUUUAAAUAAGGUUAAAAUCGUAAAUAUGAGAGGGGUUUUUAGAUGACUUUAGAGGGGUGCCAACAGCGCCACUUAAAUGCAAAGCCACUCUUACUUUACUCGUCUCUUAACGACCUAGGGUUCUUCUUCCACUCUCCAUUCUUUUGCUUGCCGACCUGAAAAUCCCUUCUCUUGUAUUCAAAUCUCAAAAAGUGCCAUUUUCGUCAUCGAAAAUAAGCAGAUCUACACCCUGUGUUGUAUGGUUGCAGUCCGUGUGAAGCCAUUGACGUCGAUGGAUGAUGCGGGGUUCUAACUGUCACUUUGAAAACAGUUAUGCCUAUUCUUCCUUGUACUGUAGAAGGCUCCUGUGACCUCAAAGACGUCACCAUGGAAUGGAAGCAUGCUGAAGGCUUAUCCGAUGGUUGGCAUAGAAGGUGGCAAGUUACUUGUAAUAGGCAAGCUGCAGAAGAAAGAUGACGUUUUCAAGGUCGCAGGAGCUUUCUACGGUUGGGGAAAUUUUUCCAUGCUGAAAAAAUAGACCUGUUGAAUCCAUUCGUACUUCAGCUUGAAAUCCCCCGCUACCCCCCCCCCCCCCCCCCAACAAAAAAAAAGAACAAGGCUGCGGUGAGUCCAGUCUUUUUGUGUAUAUAGACUUUGCAACAAGAUUAGCUUUAUUUUCCCUUUUGUUCUUGAAUCAAUACAAAACUUCAAUUUUGCAGGGUACUUUGGUGCAGCAUAUGUAGAUAUGUAUGUGUUGCUACUCAGGCUUUCUGCAAUAUUUGUAUAAUUUUUUAUAUAUCAUUUAUUAGGAAAGUAUCCCAACUGCAACAGCAGAGAAGGUGAAAACAGGUAUGCUCGAGGACUUCGCCUGCCAGAAGGUUCACUUCAGAAGCCCCUUAUACUCAAGUCCAAUUAUUGUAAGAUUCCACUGUUUGGGCAUUAUCUUGUGAUUUCAUAUUUAUCGUGUCCUGUUUGAAUCCCUGUGACCUACUUGGGCUGUGACUAUUUUCUGUUGCUGUAGCUUUAGAAUGAGUGGUUGACUUGGACAGCCUUAUCAAGUUAUUGUGUGCACUUGUGUGUAAGUCCCUAGUUCUACUUUCUUCUGAUACUCGUUUUUCAGACGAGAUGGAUCGUGUGAUUUCAAUUUAUUAAAUAUUUAAAACAACUUGAGGAUUUCAUAAUUGAGAAAAUUCUGGGUCCCUUUAUGUUGAUUUAGGUAUUUAUCUUUUUUUGUUUGGGAUGUAUAGGGGUGCAGCUCUUCCAACUAGUAUUCCAAGUAUUCAAUGUAUAUCUUUGAUCCCCGAGGAAGGGCUGGUAUAUGUGGUGAUUGGCUGCUGGGUUCAAGUUUAGAGUUAGCUGCCUUAAGUGGCAUGGCUCUUGCUGAUCAUGUAAGCAAGAGUAUGAGUUUCUUUUUCCAAUUUGGUUUUGUUUUGCACAUACAAAUGUAUAUUUCAUUAUUGAUAAUUAGUAUCAAAUUUAAAAAAAAAAAAAAAAAAAAAAGCAACACCACCUUUAUAUCCCUAUAUAUGGACAUUUAAAUAUAAAUUAGUGUAUUGGCUUAAAUGCAGUUCGAAAUAUAAGACAAGUUUCAAACAUAAGAUUAAAGCUUGACUAUUCAUAUAUAAAUAAUGUAAUUGUUCGAUGUAGAUUGCAGAUUAUUUAGGAAGUGGUGGAGUUGGACCUCAGGUGUUUGCUGUCAUUUUCCACAAUGAGUUUCUGGGUUUAGAGUCCAUGGAUAAAGAAAAAGUUCAAGCUAUCAACUUACCAUUUGAAUGCAAGCAGGCCAUGAAAAUUUCUAGAGCUGUCAAGAUAUGCUUCUAUCAACGCAUUGUUUAUGGAUUUAUUUCACUUGGGUUAUUCCCAUAUAUUAAUUGUCUUGCUUUUAUUACUGGGAUAAUUUGAUUGCAGUCAUCGAUGAGAGUAAUGCUUAUUUAUUGGUAAUUGAAAUAUUUUGCGAUCAACAGUGUCGCAUGUGUUCAUCAUUAUAUGUCUACACACACACACACACGCACAAAAUAUUUAUAUAUAUGUUUAUAUACCAUGACAAGGGCUUUGUGCGUUAUCAUUCAUUGCUUGUAGCCAUUGUGACACUUGAGUGUAUAUGCAACUUAGGCCAUAGCAAUCCUUUUUGGAAUGAAAUUUUGAUUUGAUUAUUGCCAUUUUUGUGAUUGAGUUAUUGUGACUUUUGGUUCAAAUAUCAUAGUUUUUAUGCUUUCAAAAUUAUCCUGCCACCAAAAUAGGACUCAACUUGAGUUAUUCAAACUUGUGAAACUUGAAUUUUGUGUUUCUAAGUUUUUGAAUUUUGUGUAUCUGAGUUGAGUGCUGAGUUGGUCAGCCACAUCCAUGCAAUGAUUCGUUGUAUUUAUUUUGUUUAUUUUAAUAUGCUUUGCUUUAUCGAGGGAAUCAUGGCUUGGGAGGAAGAACGGAAACCAGAAUGAUAGGUCCUCAACCACUGAUAUUUGAUCAUGCUGCUCAAUUCUUUACCGUGAAUGAUUCUUGGUUUGGUGAGUUGGUUGAUGGUUGGUUGGAGAGAGGUCUGGUGCAUCUGUGGAGAGCUUGAAGUGGGUGGUCAAUUCACCCCAUUUCCUUCUUCACUUCCAAGAUACAUUGGUAUUAAUGGGAGCGCCUUCUUGCCGACUCUUGAUUGGCCCAGGUGACAAAUCUACGUUUGCUUUUGUGUUAAUCCUUUUGUUGAUUCUUUUAUGCUUCUUUGCAUAAACAAUGGGGGAAUAUUGUUUAAUUAAAUCACAAUGGUAAGCAACUACUAUAUUUUUUUGAAGUUUGCUGGUAGGUAGGGUUGCAACUUGGCUUGAUCCUCCCAAGUGCAGUUCUAUGCUAAUGAUUCAAAGUCCCAAAAUCAUCACAGUUUUGAGGUUUAAUUGCACAAGGAAGAUCAGAAGCGAAUUUUACAUUGUCAUGUGAUUUCAAUUGCAUAGGCUGCAUGGGUGACAUAAUGAAAUACUGGCUAUAAAGAUUGUAACUGAGUAAAAGAAAACUGGCACAAACAUUUUGCACCACUGUAUUAUUAAUACAAUUCCUGCGAAAUAACAAGCUUCUAUAUGCAGCAUUAAUAGUGAAUGGAGUUAGGUGUAAACAACAUCUUAUCAAGGCAUUAGAUUAUGUAAAUCAAGUUCCUUUGUCCUUCAGCUAUGUUGUUUAUAGUCUAACUCUGUUUUGAUAUGCUUGUUGCAGACUUCUUCAGGUUAAUGUAAUGAGACCUUGGUGGAUAAGUAAUCUUGAUCCAUUUAAUGGGAUGUGGCACCGGAAAACCAUCUGUUUAAAUUUAAUAACCAGAGUGGUUUUAUAGAUCUGCUUUUUAUUUUUUUUUUUCCUUUCAGUUUCUUGUCAGAUUGUAAGACAAUUUAAGGUGUAUAUACUUUGAAAUAUUCAGUUUAUUUAAUAUUUUCUAGCCUUUGCAUUAUUGAGAGUCAGACCAUCUUUUAGUUGUUUUGAAGAUUUAUGAUGCAUUUUGUGGGUUCUUAAGAGGCUAUACUUAAGCUCAAUAUGGGCUCUUCUUUCUUCAUUUGAGGAUCCCCUUCCGCUAGACAGUGCCGCGACAUUGGAAGGAGCCUGUGUUAAGGAGUUGAUUGUGUUUCAUGGAUGGCGAUAACUCAGCAAGGCUUUCAAGUUCUCAGAGUGAUGGCCCUCGUUGUUUGACACCCCCACUUUAAUCCAAGCUAAAAUAAACCUUAUUUCUCCCCACUCCUCGUUAAACUCCUUACUGGUGGUGUCUUCAUUUUCAAUACCCAUACUUGUAUGGCUAAACCUAACAGACAAAAUCAUUAGUGGUGGUGAGCAAAGACUAGGAUGCCUUCGGCAACUGGUCACUGCUAAUAACAAUAAUCUUGAUUCAAAGAAUGGCGGAUCCUUAGCCCGUCUGUCCGCAAUGCGUCAAGGGUUAUUGGCUGGUAAAAAUCACUUUGAUGAUGUGCUUACUUCCCCAUUUUUUUAAAACGAUUAAUUUCAAAUAUUUCCAUUGAUUUUAGACCACAAGAAAACCAACCAUAGAAUCUUCAAAAUGGCUUUCUACGCAAAUGCUGCUCGGAUUACAGUUUCGUUGGGAUAAAGUUUUGAGUUUCUUAUCAUUCUUCAAAGGCUCUGAUAUGUGGGAGUAAAGAACUUUAGAAACAAAUUAUGUGUAAUUAAAUUCAAAUCUGGUCAAGAAUUAUGGGAAUAGCAAUCUAUUUACACGAGUUUAGUUGGGAUUAGAAAUAAAGAAAAUUUUGUGACGUUUCCGCCGUAAGAGACCGUUGGAUUGGCAGAUUUUGACCAUGGGGGGCCGAGAUUGUGCCACGUCUCCACGCGCACCAUAUACCUUACUAUAUGGUUUUACACACCCAACCAUUCUUGUCUUAUUAGGGAGCAAUCUUGACCGUCGGAUCGUGCAUCAACGGUUCUUGAAGGCGUGCUCACCAUGCUUAUUGUUGAGAUGGUGACAUUAACCAUUUCUCACCCCCAUCUAUCGUAGAUCACGGGUUUUUUAUUUAAAUAUACCCCAUUUGUCCUUAAAUGCCAAAUCUAUACCCCAUUACAUACAUAUACCUCUUAAAAGUAUAAAAAGUCAAAAAUAACCUAAAAAAAUCAUCUAUUUACGUUUACUUCCUCUCUCAUGACUUCUACAUAAUAACACAACCAAAGUCGAGUAUACUCGACUUUUUACCUGACUUAAUUAAAAGGAAAAUUUUCAUUUCAAUUUAAGUCGAGUAUUCUCAACCAAUUACCGAACUUCAAUGAAAAGUCAAGAAUUUUUGCUGAAUGAAUAUUGGGUAAGGUUAAAUUAAAGUUGGGUAUUCUCGACUCUUUACUCUACUUACUUGAAAAAAUCAAGAAUUUUUCAGAUAAUUUUUUAUUUCAAUUGAAGUCGAGUAUUCUCGACUAUUUACCCGAUUAAUAUGAAAAAGUCAAGAAUUUAUACUGAAUUACUAAUUGUGUAUAGUUUGGUUGAAGUCGAGUAUUUUCGAUCAUUUACCCGACUUUGAGGAGUUGGGUUUAGUUUUAUGAGGAUUUAGUUGUGGUUAUUUUUGUAUUUUCUCUAGUUUUUUAGAGUAUAUAUAUGUAAAAUUUAAGAGUGUUAUAAUUUUAGGUAUAUAUUGGGUAUUUUGAAGGGAAUGGGGUACAUCCCACACAAUUCUCCCGUCUUGAAGACAUAAAUCAAAAUGCACUCUGUGUUCUGGGAAGAAGACGAGAACACUGUUCUCUUCAAGUUGCCUCUUGCCUCAGGGACGAAGCAAGAGGGUGUAAAGGUCACGAUAGAAGAUCAGAAGCUGUUCGUCUCAGAGGAAGCAGGCAGCUCUAUCAAUCAAUACUUUGGUAUGUAUGUCACUUUGCCUGAAGGUCUCAACCCGGAUGGCUUCGAGACCUCAGUGGAUCAGACGGGGCUCCUUACUGUCCGUUUCAAAAAACGUAUGCUUUCAUGUAGUACCGUAAAAAGCUCCUGCGACAUGGCUCCCAUGGGCUGGUUUGAGCCUGAUGAUAAAAACGGAGUUAUCCACUUCAAAGUGGGUCUUUCAGCAGAAACGAAGAAAGAAGAUCUCGUCGUCGGCGUCGUAGAUCGACAAUUUCUUAUAAUAGGCCAGCAGCGGAACGAGAAAAAGGAAGGAGGCUCCUGCGCGAGCUUCGUAGUGCCGCAUGGUGUGAACCCGGAAGGGUUUGAGACCUCCAUGGACGAACCGGGGGUCUUGACGGUCACGUUCAAGAAGAAGCCAUCGAAGGAUGGCAAGAAAAAGAAUAAAAAGAAAUUCAAAUCAAGGUUGCUCGGAGGUUUGGCUGAAGCGUGUCUCCUGACAUCUUGCAAGUGCGCUUGUGAUGAGCUUACUGGCGACGACUCCUAACUAAUAAUUAAGCUGGUGUUUGGAAUAUGGUAUUUCCUAUAUCAUGUUCUCCUUGUUGGUCGUUUUUUUAUGAGUGUUUUUUCUGUUUGAAAGAAAUAAACUCUGGACUAGUACUGGAGAACUCCAGAGCACAUGUUCCAAUUUACUCUUCUUCCUUUGGUUUGUCUGGGAGUUUUGUGUGUAAUAAUAUUAAUCAUUAAAAUAAGAGCUUUGUCUAUUUCCUUCUUCUUCUUCUUCUUCUUCUUAUUAUUAUUAUUAUUUCUUUUUCUAAGAACCAGUAAUUUCAGUUGUGUUAAAUGAUAUUGUGUGCGUUAAUUUUUUUUUUUCCUUUCUCCAAUUUUAAGGAUGGACUUUGAUUACCUAUAUAAUGACAAUCACAUGGGUAAACCAAGCAAACUAGAGUAGUUCAUCUAAUACAACUUUGUAUUUGUUUAAUGUGAACUCCGUGAUUGAUGCAACUUACAUCACUAUUAUAACGAAUCUCUUAUCUUUAAGAAUAAGUAACAGAGUAUUGGACAGCUGCGCUUAAAUCUUAAUUGAGUCAGAGUCCCCUAAGGUACUCAAUACUCCACUCACAUGAAGGUAUAGGUGGGGGUACAUUCAAUAACACUACAUAGGGUUUUUUUCAAUUGUUAGCGUAAAUUUGUUUGAUUAUGCUAUUCAGUUUUUGAUAAUCACUAUUUCAAAAUAUAAAUGUGCAAUUUGGUCAUUAGGAUACAAAUCAUAGCAAUUUUGAUAUUGUUUGUUAGGUGGAAAAAAGUUGUAGGGUAAUUACAUACACUUAGUAUAUUAUUAUUGCUAUUUGAAUGCCAUUGCUACAUUAACUGCAAUGACAUUUGGUUUGUGGCAUACUGAAUAAAAUUUCCUUUGAGCCUACAGGAACAGGACUGUCCUUGUAACCGUCCUAGUUCCUUAAUGGAUGUAUCUUUUAAGUCUUGCAUUUGGCAUAUGAAGUUUAUUGAAAGAAAGCAAAUGAUCAGGAGCUGGUCUUAAAAGCAUGUUCUUCGAGGAAUACAAUACAAACAGUAAUAGGUUUUGAGACAAUUCAUAGAGCUUUCCUUGAGUGAAAAAUAGUCACAUUACUAUUUAAACUGACACGACAUGCUCUUCUAGUUUAUUCAAAGAAUUAUGAGAAUAACCUCAGGUAUGUUAAUUGAAAAAUGCCCAAACUGGACAAGUCAUAUUCAUACCAUGUAACCCAGGUUCGUUAAUUUUAAAUUCCAAUUUAGUGUUCUGAUCUAUCUUCAUCUAUUUUAGCAUGUGUUUCAUAAUUCAUGCUUUAUUCUUCUUCUACUUUUUUUGUCCCCCUUCUUAGCUUCCAUUGGAUUAUUGAUGUGGUGAAAAAGGAAAUGUUCUAUUUGGAUCCCGAAAGGGCAAUCCUUAUCCGAAUUUAGACCAGAUCCUUAAAGCAUAUGUUUCCUUUCCAUUCGAUACCAUUCAUAUUUUAGGUUUCUUCAAUGUAUUUUAGAGAUACUCUUGUAGUUUUUCAUACAACGCCAUGAAACUGUUCACAAUAUAUAUCUAAGAUGAGAUUUGUGGAGGUUAAAUAAAUUACCUUACCUGAAUGCAGUGUGGCUACUACUUUUACUAACACAAAUGUAAUUUGUAAUUAACUUUUUGGUUUUUAACCGUGAAUAGACCCUGCAACAACCAGACCAUAUGGAGUGAGGCUAUUAUGUCAUGAGGUACAUGAAGAAUAUAAUAGCAUACAUUGAUUUGCUAAAGAACAAUGUGUGUUACUGAUGAAUAAUAUCAAUAGGUUUGGUUUGUAGCAUAUAUAUGUGGCGUUGAUUUGGAAGUUCAACAACAAUGAUUUUGUGGUUAACAGCUCAAUGCAAAGGACACCACACUCUAGCUGAAAUCAACAAACGACAUGCGUUUGGAGUGGGCUAACCUUUUUUCUAAAAUCCUUGUUGCAUCGUCAUACUAUAAAUGUGAAAUUAUAGUGCAGGGUGAUAGGGAGGGAACUCACAGAUGUACACAUGGAUAAGAAGUCAAAUGGAGUUGUACCGAAUUCAAAUGAUGCAUCUUGUGAUAAAGUUCAUGUGGCUCCAAAAAUCUCAGAAGACAAUGUUGAUCUAAAGGACUACAAGGUGAAAGAAUGCACUGAAGAAAUCUCGUUCAAAAAUUGUAAUGAGAAACAAGAAGAACUUGAUGUGGAAUGUAAAAAUUUUGAUGUUGAUGUAACUGAUGACACAAAUGACUAGCCGGAACUGCAAAAGUCAAACUCUCCAUCUAAAUCUCGUGGUCCUGCUAAUGUGCGUACAAGUCUCACUGUCCUACAGCCCUUUGCUCUGGCAACUGAAAAACGUGCUUCAGGCACAACUAGACAUGGUGGGGCUGAAACUGCAGCUGAUAGCAAUAAUGCGCAGUCCCCUAUGCCAAAGAAGACUUCACAGGUAACUUAAAUCCUCAAUUGGAUAAAUUGUGAAUGCUGCUAUUCUUUAUUAUUAAGUUGAAGGAUCAAUGAACUUAACGAGAAACUUGACAUUAACUACAGCCAAUAUAAUUGGUGGUCUGAAGAGGCAAAAGAAUUCCAACUAUUUGUAAGGAGUCAAGCAACUUUACCUAGCAAAUAGAUAACAAAUUCAACCAAUGGAGUUUGUACCUUAUAAAGUUGCCUAAAACUAGUUUUUCUUGCAUUAAAUAGUAGGUUUCCUUAGAUCUGUUCAAGAAAAAAUUUUAAAAAAAUCUUAAUCACUUAACUAUAUUUUCAUUUGAUUUUCGUGUUAGGAAUCUUUUCCCACUAUAUGCCUUCUUGAUUCAGUCUUAAUGCUUGAUUUAAUUGGAACUGCUCUACAUCAUAGCCUUUGUUUUGUUUUGCUUCCCUGGUGCAGCAUGGGGAAAUCCAUAGCUCAUAGAUCUGUAAUCUUGUUAUCCUAUUUGCUUUAACUUCAAAAAGAAUAUCUAGCUAACUGAAUAAGCAAUUUGUAUGGUGCGUGAAGUCUGAUGGGAAUUCAAAAUCAUCUUGAUCUUGUUUGCAAUGAUCAAUGUUGCACAAAUUAUGGAUUUUAAGUUGUUGCUAGUCUUUGAUAUUCUGCAAUUUCUUUUGGAAACUCACCCCUGAAUCACAGAAGCUAUUGCAACUUGAUAACAAGAAGCUUUUUGAUGAAUUCGAACCCUUUGUUUCUUAUUUUAGUGUGCUUUUAACUAUAUGCUUUUAACUAUUGUUGGCUUUGAUAUACAUAGAAUGGCAGCAUCUAUACACAAGGUAAUUGUUGGAAUGGCUCCAAAAUUUGGAUGUUCUGAACGUGCUAGGAAACAGGAGGAGGUAUUUUUCAUUUAUCAAAUAAUUAAAUAUAAAAUUUAUUUUCAAAUGUGUUAUCUAAAUAAUGUUUUUGUAUCUUCUUGUCAUUUCCAUCUUCUAGUUUUGUACUAAAUUAGAGCAAAAACACAAAGCUUUGGAGGAAGAGACAAGCAACUUUGAAGGUGCAUUUUCUUAAGUAUCUCUGAUGUACUGUGUCUGCAAUCGUCGUUUUAUCUUAUUGCAGACAUCUGAAGAUCUUUGUGAAAUAGUAAUGUUUGAGUUGAUGUUCUGAUGCCAUUUUUAGUUCUUACAAUAAUGAGUUGAUGUCCUUAUCUGUGUGAAUAUUUUUUUAGUUCUUACGAUAAUGCUAUUUGAUUUCUGAUAAUUAGUGAGUGGGUACGGAAAGCGAAUUAAGGUUCAUAAAUACAUAUAUGUUUACUUUCACGCACUUUUUGACCAAUUGCUGAGAGCACUAGCAUGGUAGAAUAGAUUCACACUUCAGCUUGAAAUCCCAAGCUGUUGAAACAGGCCGCAAUGAGGUCAGUUUUAUGUGCACUUUUUGUCUUGGAAAUAAUAUUAGCUUGAUUUUCCGCCUUAUAUUUUGAAUCAAUAUGAUAUUUCAAUUUUACAGUAUAGAUUUAUAUUGCAGUUUAGCUUCAGCAAGAGUGGCCGAUUUGAAUAGUCUGGUUAUGCUCAUCUGAAAAACGAAAUGGAACAUGUGAUUCCAAUUUCUUAAAUAUUUGAAAUAAUUUGAGAGUUUCAUUAAAGUUUUCUAAACAAUCAUGAUUAGCCUAGAAAUUUAUGAAAACUGCGUUCCUUUGCAAUGACUUAGUUUGAUUUGUCUUUUUUGGGAUUGUGUUUUCGGGUGCAGAGGCGGCUCUUCCGACUAAUACUCUGAGUAUGCCGUGUAUCUUUAUCCCCAUGGAAGGGAAGGUAUAUUUGGCAAUUGGCUGUGGGUUCAAGUUUAGAGCCGGCGAGUCAGCAGCCUUAACUGGCAUGGCUCUUGCUGAUCAUGUAAGAAAAUUAUAUGAUUUUCAUUAGCUCAUUGGCUUUACUUAUAUAGCUUCUAAUAAGUCUGGGACUUGACAUUCAUUUUUCACUGUGCUACAGUGUUAUAAACCUGGUUUACAACAUUGUAAAAGUUUGUUUACAGUUUUGUAAACACGUCCGGAACUCUAAGACAAUCCAAAAUUCUUGGAUUAGUGUGUGUAUGUAUGUGUGUAUAUAUAUAUAUAUAAUGAGAUCUGAUCAGGUAGGAGAUCUCGCUAUCCAAGAUCCAACAUGAUCAGCCUCAUCUUGAAGAGAGCUGUGCAGCUUUUUGCUUCCUACUGCACGGCUCUCACUCACACGCUUUUGGAGAGCGAGAUAUAUCGCCCACCUGAUCAAAGUCCUAUAGCUCUGCGUGUGUGUGUGUGCGAUGAUCAACAAUUAGUAUCAUGUAAAGUGAUCUAUAACACAGCAUUUAUAUUCCUAUAUGGGGGCAUUUAAACAUGAACUUUUAUACUUGGCAUCAAUUUAGUUUGAGAUAUCAGGGAAGGAAUUUCAAAAAUAAGCUGGAAGCUUGAUUAUUCAUAUAUAAAUAAUGUGAUCUACAUCGAUUGCAGAUUAUUUAGGAAGUGGUGGAGUUCGUACUAAGCAGUUAACAUGGACUAAAUUGUUGUUUCGUCUGACAUAUUGUUAGCUCAAGCAAUAGUAAUGAACUUGAGAGUGGCAGUUUUUGAAAUCUUUUGUACAUGUAUACGAGUUGUAUCAAGAUUCUGUGGACAUUCUUUCUUCUAAUUUUGAUCUAUGCAUCACAAUUUUAUGAUCCUUGUAUCUUAAAUCAAACUUUGUUGCUGCAGGUUCAAUAUUCUGGACUUCUUUUAUUGGGAGGCUACCCUUCUGAGUAUCUGCUUUCAAUUGUCACUUGCAGCUUCUAAUAGUUUGCAAACCAAAUAUGGUUUUACAUGUUCAUGCACUUGCAGUGUAAUUUGUUUAAUAUGUUUGGCUAAUACAAAUUUCAAAGACAAAAAACAAAACAAGUGAAACAACUAUUUAUCCCAAAUGUAUAUUAUAUAUAUUCGACAGCAUUGAACUGUUUUUUUUCCCCCUUCAAUUGUUACAAUUUUCACAUAUUAUAAUCUAAAAUCUAUUCGGUAUCUAGGUACAUACAUUUAGUAGUAUAAUCAAAAGGUCUGUGGGUCAUUAACUUGAAAAUAUGUUUCUACUAAUAUUUGGAGAAGUGUAUAUUGUAUGUGGCAUUGAACUUUUCUUUCUAUUUCUUUUUUCAAAAUUAUUACAAUUUACACACAUAUUUCAGUCUAAAUUAUUUAGUGAAAAUAAAUUAGAUAUCAAAUUAUGUCGUAACAAGAUAAAUCAGGGAGCAGGGCAGAAUCAAGUAUAAAACGUAGGAUGAGGAACAAGAUUAUAACGAAUAAAACUACCAGUAAAUGAUGACCACUUUAAUUUCCUCUGCACCUUCAUCUUCUCUGAUUCGUCAACCCCUUAAACGCCCAAAAUCCUCAAGACUCUCAAAAGCAAAGACACUAACUUCAACCAUUGAAGCAACUUCUUCUCAACCAAAACCCAACAACGCCAAUGCUAAAAAACCCACUUCAAGAAACCGCAGAAGAUCGUCGUAUGGCAGCUCGAGAAGGUCAGCUCGAGAAGGUCAGCUCGAUAAGAAAACAUUCGCUCAAGAGCAAGUCACGUUCACUGCACCUGUCUCCAGUGACCCCCGUGUGGGGAUUAUUGGUGGAGGCAUGGCCGGUCUCGCUUGUGCUUUGAGUUGGGAUAAGAGAGGUGUCAAGUCCACUGUUUUUGACACGGUUUGUCAUUCGUCUGGUUUCUUGGCUUUUUUUUUUUCUGUACUUUUGUGUUUCUGAUUGGAGAGCUUGAAGUGGGUGGCCAAUUCAAUUAUCUGUUUAAUAUGGUUAGGUUGUGUUUGUAUUUGAGAGUAUACACUCGUGUAAUGGUGAUUGAAAAAAUGUGCUGUUAACGGUCUAGCACGUGUUGUUAUGCAUCGAAUUUUGAUUAUAAGCAUGUUUUGGAGUUGAGGUAUUGUGACUUUUGACCCGCAUUUGUUGACGAAUGAAAUUAAAACAUUAGCUGCUAAAUAUAAGUGGGGGUUUAUCAAAUAUUUUAGUCAACCACAUUUAUAUAUUCUUAACACCGUGCUUUGCUAUAUCAGGGGAAUCAUGGCUUGGGAGGAAGAAUGGGAACCAGAAUGAUAGGUCCUCAACCACUGAUAUUUGAUCAUGCUGCUCAAUUCUUUAUUGUGAAUGAUUCUUGGUUUCGUGAGUUGGUUGAUGGUUGGUUGGAGAGGUGUCUGGUGCGACCAUGGAAGGUGUGAUUGGAGAGCUUGAAGUGGGUGGCCAAUUCACUCCAUUUCCUUCUUCACCUCCAAAAUACAUUGGUGUGAAUGGGAUGCGCCCUCUUGCAGACUCUUUAUUGGCCCAGGUGACAAAUCUUUAUUUUUCUUUUGUGUUCUUUUCUUGUUGAUUCUAUCAUGCUUCUUUGCAUUAAAAGGGGAAAAUUGUCUAAUUAAAUCACAAUGGUAAAAAACCGAAUUAUUGUUUUGAAGAAGGUAGUAUUGCUGCCUGGGUAUUCAAAGUCCCAAAAUCAUUAUACCGUUGAGGUUCGACCAGAGAACGAAGAUAAGAGUAUAUGAAACUAAAAGCUAUAAUUACAUGGUCACAUGAUUUUAACUGCUUAGGCUGCGUGACUAUACUUAAUGAAAUGUGCCGAUAAUGAUCAUAACUGACGAAAAGAAUAACCAGCAUGAACAUUUUGCACCGCUGUAUGAUGACUACAAUUCCUGUGAAGUAACAGGUUCCAUAUAUGGAUAAUGGAUUAUUAAUAGUGAGUUGGAGUUAGUUAUAUACAACAUCUUAAAUGGCAUACCUUUACUUUUAAAUCAUGUAAAUAAGUUCCUCUGUCCCUCAUGCCUUGGCUUAAUUCAUUUUGAUUCUUGUUGCAGACCUCUAUGUUUAGCAUAGUGAGACCUUGCUGGAUAAGUAAUCUUGAGCCAUUUAACGGGAUGUGGCACUUGAGCGAGAAUGUGAAACUACGUGGGCAGUUUGACGUGGUUGUUAUUGCUCAUAAGGGUGAUUCAGUGUUGCUAUCCUUUCUCGUUUUCUCUCUCUGUGGAUUGUUAUAGUCUUACCUUUGCAUUCCAAAAAUGCAGGUUAUUGUUUUUUGCAGUUGCAUGAAUGUGACAAUUGGCUUUGCUAUUGGAAAAAAAUAUAUCUAUAUUUCUGAUUUUACUCUCUAUCAUUACAGUGGAUUAGGAGUGGCAAAUAAUCUGGUUUAUUACAGGGAAGCCCUACCCAAAUCCGAACUCCUAUGGAAGGGGUCCCUCUCCCUAACCAUCCUGGAAUACCCCGGGGGGUUAGAAUGCAUUUAGUGUUACAUUAUAUGACUUUGUAGUUCGCUGAGUUCUUAUGUUUUCUGGGAUACUAGGACUUCAAAAAGCACUGAAAACUUCAUAGAAUUUCAUACUGAUUUUCACUGUCAAUUUGGAGAAAAUGAUGGCUAGAUUAGAAGUAAGAUUAAGAGCAACUUGUAAAUUUAAUCAACUGGAAGACUGGUAUUGAAUGGCUAUUAGUUAGGUUAGAAUAAGAUGAGCCAGACUUUCAAGCUGUGCCAUGCAUUCAAGGGCCGUUGAGUAUUACGUAGGUUGUUAUGGAAGAGUUAAAAAAUAUCUAUAUAAAUUUAACAACCAGAUUAGGUUUCUAGAUCCAGAAGUCGAGGUUAUGUUUAUUUGCUUACUCUUUCGACUGUUAAUUGCCUAUGUCUUUUCCUGUUUACAUUUUGGCUUAGCUUUGUAAUAAUAGUUCCUUCAUGUAAUGAUAGGAAAAUGUGCAAACCGGUUGCUUGGUUCAUCUGGCUUACCUCAAAUAGCUAGACAAAUGAAGGUAUAUGCAUUGAAAUAUUCAGUUCUUUUAAUAUUAUCUAGCCUAUGUUUUAUUCAGUAUUGGCCAAUUCUAAUUAUUUUGAAGAUUCAUAAUGCAUUUGCCUGGUUUGUAGAGGCUGGAACUAAGUUCUAUAUGGGCCCUUCUUGCUGCAUUUGAGGACCCCCUCCCACUGGGCAGUGCAUCAACAUUUGAAGGCGCCUUUGUGAAAGGUGUUGAUUCUGUCUCAUGGAUGGCAAAUAACUCAGCAAAACUUUUGAAUUCUCAGAGUGAUGCUCCUCACUGUUGGACCUUCUUCAGCACCGCAGCUUACGGAAAACGAAACAAGGUUCCACAGGUCAGUUUGUAUAUAAAUGUGGGUCCAACUGCAACAGCAGAGAAGGUGAAAAAAGGUAUGCUCGAGGGUGUUGAAGCUGCACUUGGCCGACCGAAAGGUUCACUUCAGAAGCCCAUUUAUACUCGAGUCCAUUUAUGGUAAGACUCCACUUUUAAGGACAUGACCUUGUAAUUUCAUUUUUUUAUCUUGUCCAAUUUGGAUCCUUGUAACCUACUUGACCUGUAAAUAUUUGCUGUUGGUGUUGGUUUAGAAUGAGUGGUUGAUUUGAACAAGCUUAAAAAGUUAUUGUGUGGACUUGUGUAUAGUCCUAGUUCUAUUUUCCUGUUACGCUCAUUUUUAAAAAAAGAUGGAACAUGUCAUUCCAAUUUAUUAAAUAAAUAAAACAACUUCAGAAUUUCAUGAUUAAGAAAAUAGUUCCUAUGUGAUGAAUUAGGUAUUUAUUUAUUUAUAUAUCUAUUUUAUUUAUUUAUUUUUUUGGGGGGGAAAUGUGUAGGGGUGCAGCUCUUCCAACUAAUACUCCAAGUAUUCCAUGUAUGGGGAUUGGCUGUUGGGUUCAAGUGUAGAGUCAGCUGCAUUGAGUGGCAUGGCUCUUGCCAAUCAUGUAAGCAAGAAUAUGAUUUUCAUUUGCUUAUUUGGUUUUAUUUUGUGCAUGUAACUAUAUAUUUCAUGGUUGAUAUAAAAAAAUAAAAUAAAUCUAAGACACUUCCGGUACAUGUGGGGAUUGGCUGUUGGGUUCAAGUGUAGAGUCAGCUGCAUUGAGUGGCAUGGCUCUUGCCAAUCAUGUAAGCAAGAAUAUGAUUUUCAUUAUUUGGUUUUAUUUUGUGCAUGUAACUAUAUAUUUCAUGGUUGAUAUAAAAAAAUAAAAUAAAUCUAAGACAACCAUUCUAUCCCUAUAUGGACAUCUAAAUAUAACUUCCGGUACAUGUGGGGAUUGGCUGUUGGGUUCAAGCGUAGAGUCAGCUGCAUUGAGUGGCAUGGCUCUUGCCAAUCAUGUAAGCAAGAAUAUGAUUUUCAUUUGCUUAUUUGGUUUUAUUUUGUGCAUGUAACUAUAUAUUUCAUGGUUGAUAUAAUAAAUAAAAUAAAUCUAGGACAACCAUUCUAUCCCUAUAUGGACAUCUAAAUAUAAUUUGUAGAUUGGCUUCAAUCAGAUUGAAAUAUCAGACAAGUUUCAACAACGUUAGCUUGAAGCUUGUUAUUCUUAUAUAAAUAACGUAAUUGGUCUGUGUAGAUUGCAGACUAUUUAGGAAGUGAUGGAGUUUGUCCUGAGGAAUUUGCUGUCGGUUUACACAAAGACUUUCAGUCGCUCGAAGGACAUGAUAUUGGACAAUUUCCAGGUUUGGAGUCCAUGGAAAAAGAGCAAGUUCAAGCAUAUCGGCUUACUUCUUGAAUCCCUAAGCAGGCCACGAAAAUUUCUAGAGUUUGUCAAGGUAUACUUCUAUUGAUACACUGUUUAUGGCUUUCUGUUUCACUUGGGCUACUGUCAUGUUAAUUCUCUUGGUUUUUAUAGCUAGGAUUAAGAAGUUUAUUCACAAAAUGCAGUUAUUGACAUAGUUGCUAAGCAAGCAUCCUGAAAUUCUUUUUGUGAUACCACAGAGAAGGUGAAAACAGGUAUGCUCGAGGGUGUUGAAGCUGCACUUAGCCGACCGAAAGGUUCACUUCAGAAGCCCAUUUAUUCUCGAGUCCGGUUAUGGUAAGACUGCACUUUUAAGGACAUGACCUUGCAAUUUCAUUUUUUUAUCAUGUCCAAUUUGGAUCCUUGUAACCUACUUGACCUAUAACUAUUUGCUGUUGGUGUUGGUUUAGAAUGAGUGGUUGAUUUGGACAAGCUUGACAAGUUAUUGUGUGGACUUGUGUAUAGUCCUAGUUCUAUUUUCCUGUUAUGCUCAUUUGAAAAAAACACGGAACAUGUCAUUCCAGUUUAUUAAAUAUAUAAAACAACUUGAGAAUUUCAUAAUUAAGAAAAUAGUUCCUCUGUGAUGAAUUAGGUAUUUGUUUAUUUAUAUAUCUAUUUUUUUUUU